rnacentral:lncRNA from 1 species
CCUCACUGCUCACACAGCCUCACACAGCCUGUGUGCUGGAUCGGAGAUAUGUGGUAACACAUCUUUACAGGGAAACAACUUUAGCACGACACCGGGCAGCCUGCAUCCAUCCAGGGACCUUUAACUGCUGUCACCCUUAGCUUUACAGGAAAACCUCUCCUAACCUCCCCAUACCAUCAAUGCCUGGAGAGCACCCUGACUGUGAACAGCUCCCACACUGCAAGGAGGGCAUCUAACAGCCUGUGAUAGCUUCUGGGUACUGCUUGAUCCACUGCAAGAAGAAGAAACUUCACCUCCCCCUCCAGACUUGGAUAAAACCAGGGGGUUCUCCUGUCCUGAUUGACUGGGGCUUUGUGGUCUUGCCCCCCCUCACCCCCAACCCUCACCCCCUUUUCCUUCUUCUCUGCCCUCCUCACCUGCAAGGGGCAGCAGCUCUUCUGCACCUGUCUUCUUCUGCAUCCUUCCUAACCAUGAUCUUAAAGCCAAGUGCACUUCUCUGCUUCUACAGUGUAUGGGGUGUUCUUCUACAAGGUAAAGAGAAAAAAAAAAAAGAAAAGCCUCUAAAAUAGCAACCUAUUUUUAACUUUUAUUUUAAGAUAUAUAUAUAUUUCUUGUUCUCCUGACUUUCUCCAGUUGGGAUUAAAGAAGAUAGGUAUGCAAAGUGAGCAAUCGAGGCUGCAUAUCCCAUCCAUUAUGUUCUCUAAAUUAUGCACUCCUGAUACUGGGAUUCCUAAACUGGCUUUAUGCUGGCUGUUUGCUCCUAUCUAUGGAUUAUUUAGUCUAUGCAUCCCAUCGAUUGGGUUAUCUAAAAAAGAUAAUUCCUGAAUUUAUUAUACAAGCUGUACAAAUCUACCUCCUGGUAUUUGUAGAAUAAAUGUUUUUAUAUCUAUAUAUAUAUAUAUAUAUCUGUCACAGCCAAUGUGUUUGAUUCUCCCCUUACAGCAUCCAAUCUAUAUGUUAUAGCUGGAGUAAUGUAAGCAAUUAGAUCCAUUCCAAGCAGAAUAGCAUAUCCCUGCUGAAUUCAAGCAUUAAAGCCUCGCUUCCUUACUGUAAACUAAGAUGUUGGGGAUAGAUAGACACAAUGUUAUUCUUGCUGCAUCUCACCUCCAGAAUAUGGGUGUUUGUCAAUGUAUAACUGCACCAUUCACUAAGUACCUGCACUGUAAUGUGUAGCAUCUCCUGUCUGUGCUUGCAUGCUCUGUUUAUCUAGUGUUCUAUGCUGCUCUUGUAUUCCACACAGAUGUGAUCUUUCUGUGAGGUUCCUAAAAGUCAAUAAGAUGAGUUGAAUACUGGUUUUUAUACUAAUGUAAUUAAUUUGGGCUUUUUGAAGGGCCAGGCUAGCAAGAUUUUUGAAUUGAGUUAAAAGACAAGCUGGACAUACUGUCCCAGAUAUGAGGCCUUUAAAUAGCCUUGCUUUCUUGUUAUUUUUUUUUUUUUUCCCAUACCUUACAUAGACAAGACUUGGAAUACACAGAGCUCCAUGAUACUGGACUGCAAGUCUGAGAAAUCUAUUGGGGAAACUUGUGAUUCAUAAACUCUUAAAGAAAUACAGCAAUGUAUCAUAUAUGUUUGCCAAGAGGUUCUGCAGUAGCUACAGCAUUCAUUGCACUGGCAUUUAGUGGACAGGCUAUUUCACUGAUUGCUUGAUGGAAGAAUGCAGCUUGAACCCAGGCCACCAUUCACCAUUCAGUUUUCUUAGUUUAGGCUCCUGUAACAAGCUGUUCUCUUGGAAACUGUCUCUUUAAAGAAAAACAUGAUUCUUUUAAAAAUCUGCUAAAAAAUAAAUAAAAAAAACCAAAAACCUGCAUUGUAUAUUAUUGUAACCAAGAAGAUAAUACCCAUUUUCCAAGCAUUAGGAUGUCUAGCGAUUGCCAAAGCCUAGUGGCAUGGAUGUGAUGAUGGUGGAAUCAUGGGUAUGAAGUGAAUAUCUUUAUCCUGAAUGGAUGUAAACGAUCAGCCCUGCGUUGUAGAUACCAUAACAUUCUCAUUAUUUGUUAGGCUGCAUGCCUUGUCUGGAUUUGACUAGUACUGAGGUUGUGGAAAAGAUUAACUAUGAUGGAAUUCCAACUAGGUAUUAUGUGGAGAGUGGCCUUCCUUUUUAACUCUUACUGUACCAGUAUGUCUUCUUUCCUUUAGUGACUUGGCAACUACUCAGUUUUCCAAGUGGCAACAGAAUAUUUACAAACAUUUGAUUAUUUUUGGACAAUUGUCAAUAGAGGUUUUAAAAUUGCACUGACUGUUUAUAUGUCAACAUUAGCCCUUACUUCUCUCUAGAGAUUUAUUUGUAUACAUCUUUCUGAUUGAAUAGAGCACCAGUAUCUAGCAAUGAAAGUGUUAAAUAUAGGGUCACCCAGUUUCCUUAAGACUUGAAGUUAUAGCCUCUUAACCCCUUGGUUUCAUGGGAAUGCAAUACAGUUAUCACUGGUUUUCAGGGCCUCCUAUCCAGCUGCCUUCGAUGCAGUUUUUGUAGGCUUAGGACAAAACGUUAUGUGCAUCCAUACAUAAAUGAUAUAUUCAGCGUGCGAAGACAGUGGAUCGUGAGAUCUCGGUGACCUUGUGAUACUGACAGCGACCUGAUUUUAAAAAAAUAAAUAAAAUAUUCUCAUCUAUUACAGCUCUUCCCAACUGCGUAAUAUCAGCUGUUUAACACUUCGAUUCUCACCUCCUUUUCAAUGGCUAUGAUUCUAUAGUCUGAACAAUAUAUGUGUAUGCGUGUGUAGCUAUUCUAACAAGAAUUGUUCUAUUGCAGUACGUUUCAGCAUCCAUCACAAUGAGGCACUGCAGGACUUUUAAAAUACGUGCUACCAGUGAUUUGUAUAGAAUGUAUACAACGAUUUCUGUAAUAGGAGACAAGACAUAAUUUAUAACUGAAAUAAUUGUUUAUAGGUUUUUUUUUUUCUGUUCAUACUCUGGGGAUUAAUAGCCUACACCAAAAACAUUUUUUUUGUUAGUUUUUUUUAAAAUAAAAUAAAGCUUAACAAAUUUGUAGCAGGGUACCGGUAAAAGGAUAAAUGUUAACAUUUUAUGUUUUUUUUUCUUUUUUUUUUUUUUUCUUAACUGGUACCACGAAAACUUAGAUAUAGCUUAGUGUCUGGCUGUUGUUCAUUUGCAGAAGCCCAGUGGCUAAGCUUCAUCCAUCCUGGCAUGCAUUGCAACUGCUAUGCUGUUAGCACGUUUACAUCAGGCUGCGCCUGGGGGUCGCCUUCCCAUAUUAAGUACAUUUCCGUGUCAAUUUCCAGUUCAGAUCAGCUCUGGGAAAACUGCCUUGUAUGAGUUGGUGCAGUAGCGUCACUACCUAGGAGAAUGCAAUGCUGAAUGAAGGCAGACAGCUAGCCACUUUGGUUGAGAUUACUUUUUCAGUCGUGUUUCUGUUUUGUUUCCAUGCGAUAAAGUACAAAUGAACCAGAUUCCCGAGACAUAAUCACAGACAUAAUGGCUAUGUGAUGGCGUGCACAUUCACUCAUGUUAAUAUUUUGCAAACAUCACUGGGUUCAUGAUAAACUUCAAGCAGGAAUUUAUUUUAUAUAAUGUAUUUUAAGCACUUGAUAAAUGUUCAGGUUCUUAUAACGAAUAUAAAAUCUGAAAUGCUAAUAUUUACUAAUGUUUAUGAAAAUCGCAGCACUUUUUUAUUCUUUUUUUUUUUUUUAUAUAACUAAUGUAGUAAUGCUGUUGAAUAUAGGAAAUGUACUGAAAUAUUGUAAAGCAGUGACCCAGUGACCUUCAAAUCCUCGACAUCAUCAACACAACAUAUGCAACACCACUGUAUAUGCAGGUGCCAUAGCAUGCUAGAUGAGUUUGGGGAUGGACUAAGAUUGCUUCUUUGAUUGUGUCAUGAGGAUAAGUAGCAGGAAUCGCACUGUAUAUAAUUGUAUCAUUCUAUUUAGAACCCAGCUUAUUCAUGCAAAUGUAAUGAACUGUUUCACACAACUGUCAGUGCUUAGCGUACGCAUCUAAGUAGGUGAACAUUUUAUGUCACAUGCGUGCGUUUCAAAUAACAUGAAAUUCCCUUGCAAAGGUAUCAUUUUAAGUUCAUGUAAAUUAUACAGGCCCUUACUCGAUAUGCUAUUGAGUGGUGUUCUUGUCAGGAAUGAUUUUUGAUUUGCUCAUUUUGAGUGGUGUUGAUCUGUUCUAUCUCUCUUAAAAGCAGCUUCUUAGAAAAAUGGAAAGUUGCUCCGAUAGGCAUUUACUGUGGAUUAAUGGUACCUUUUGCAUUUAACUGUUUCAUUUGAUGCACUGUAAGACAGAUCACAUUGUGUAAUGCUCUCAGUUGUGCGUAUAGUGGUUAUAAUUAAUCUUGUAAGUGUCUCUUUAUCUAUUAAUAAAGCAUCCCAUGGCCCUUAUUUUAAGUUAAGUCUCUUUUUUUAUAACCAUUUAGAAUUUUUAUUUACUUUAUUGGAUUUUUUUUUAAGGUUCACCUUCUGAUUGUGGUAUGCAUAGUAAUGUAAUACUAUACGUUGCUUAUUUUUUUGGUACAUUUUCCAAAUGAACAGUUAUGUGAAACAUAUUACUGUGAGAAGAAUAUCAAUGAAUUUUUAAUAAAAGUAGCUACCAUGUGUGUUUGUGUUGAUUGUGUUUUUCUAUGUUCUAUAAAUAAUGCUUUAUAUGUUCUGAAUGAAAAAUUAUCUCUCUGGUAUUACACUUGCAUUCUGAAAAGGUAGAACUUAGAUAGAUAUAGAUAGGUAGAACUUUUACUGACAAUUUAUUUGUAUGCCAAGCACUUUUUUUUUUUUACAAGUAAGAUUGAUUAAACGAGUGCUCUGGCACCCCCCAUUCUACGUAGUCAAACUUACCUGGGAUCCACCUGGUACCAGUAACUUCUUUCAUUAAAAACCAAAAGCACUCAUUGGCUGAGACUAAAUAUGCUCUUAGCCAGUGAGCUGCCACUGAACAAAUGGCAUAGCUUUUGUCUUUUAGUGGGGGAGGUGACUUCCAUCUGGCAGAUCCUAGGUAAGUUGUCAAACUGUUAGAUUACUUAAAUUGAGGAGGUACCUGACACCAUAAACACUGCAGCACUCUGUAUUAAUCUUCUUUUAAAGGCUUACUCCUGAGAUAAGUCACCAUUCAAGUUGACAGAACUUUCACCAACACUAAGAAUUGUAGGAACUUGCAAUUGUUGCAUUAAAAAAUAAGAUCAAAAGCAUUGUCAAUCGCCUUUAAUAAGCUCAGUCUUUACAUUCCUUCUCACAUAUAUUUUGUUAGAUAAACAUAAAUAGUCAUUAUACUUUCAGCAGGGUUUUAGAAUUUAUCGACCGAUGUACAUAUAGGCAACUGAUUAAAAGCGUGUGUUCCUAGUACCAUAAUCACUUCAUCAUUUUGUAGUGGUUAUGGUCCUAGAAGCUCCCUGGUUUCUCCUCAUGGUAGUGAGUCAAAGUAGUCAAAUCCAUUUUUGAAUGGUUUGACAGUUACCUGGGGUUCCUCAGGUGUCCACGUUGAUUAUGGUCUUCAUGAUGUAUCUAAAGUGAACUUUUCAUUCUGUUUUAGCUAUGUCAACCUUAUGCAUCUCUUCAGAUCAUUUAUUGGCUGAGAAUGGUAUAUUUCUAAGCUAUGCAUGUGUUGUGAAAUUGCCCAAAACUGUUCUACAAGAUAAAAUGUCAAAGAAGUUACAUUUCCUCAUCACUUCGACCCAUGGAUCAGACAAGUUCCACAUCCUCAUUCAUACAUCCAAACAUUCGUUUUGGCAUAAUAGGGGACUGGGUGGUAGGAACCAUGAGGGGGCAUCACCAGUUAUGUGACUAUGUCAAUAGCAACAUCCAUAAUGGGCAAACCCAAAAGGGAAAUGCAAUCUGCUGACAAGCUGUUUGGCUGGGUCCCUGCAUGUUCCUAGUGUCCAAUGCAAAUUGUGAGUGUUGUGCUGCCCAGAGAUAGUUCCCCCAAAUGCGGGAGACCAGGGAACUAAACUGCAGGUGGGUCAGGACCCAAAAUCUGAAUUGUCCUGCCAAAAGCAGGACUGUUGGAAGGCUUGCUCAUUUCCUUACAUAUGGGUUUAAGGCAGAGGUUAAAAGGGUAUUUUAAGCACAAUAAUCACCACAUCACCAAUGAGAUCCCUUGAAGGUACAGUCAGGGGCGUUUUAGCCGUGAGGCAAACAAGGCAUUUGCCUUGGGCGGCAUUUUUCAGGGGGCGGCAAAAAACGCCGCCCCCUAAAUGCCCAGGGCAAAUGCCUAGUUAGCCUCGCGGCUAACUGACAUGCUGGGCGGGCGGCCGGCGAGGGAGCUCUUCCUCUGCGCUGUCCGCUCAGCUCCCUCGUGCCCUGCACAGUGAGGCUGGGAGCCGGAAUAUGACGUCAUCUUCCGGCUCCCAGCCUCACUCUGCGGCGCGCGAGGGAGCUGAGCAGACCGCUCAGGGGAAGAGCUCCCUCGCCGGCCGCCCGCACAGCCCAGCGCCGCCCGCAGCCACUGGACCCCCAGGGAGAUGAACCCCCCCCCCCAGCAUUCCCAAAGGUAAGGGGGGGAGGGUAAAUUAAAAAAUAAAUGUGUGUAUGUGUGUAUCUGACUUUGUGUAUGUGUGUCUGACUGUGUGUGUCUGACUGUGUGUCUGACUGUGUGUCUGUGUGUGUCUGACUGUGUGUGUCUGUUAGUGUGUGUAUGCAUAUCUGUCAGUGAAUGUGUGUGUGUGUGUAUUUAGAAGGCGGGGUGGGAAGGGGGGGGCGCCUGAGUUUUGUCCUGCCUAGGGCAGCACAAAACCAGGAUACACCACUGGGUACAGUGAGGGAAAAAUACUAUUUGAUCCCCUGCUGAUUUCGAACAUUUGUCCACUGACAAAGAAAUGAUCAGUCUAUAAUUUUAAUGUAAGGUGUAUUUUAAAAGUGAGAGACAGAAUAACAAAACAAGAAAAAUCCAGAAAAACGCAUGUCAAAAAAGUUAGAAUUUCAUUUGCAUGUCAAUAAGUGAAAUACAUAUUUGAUCCCCUACCAAUCAGCAAGGUUUCUGGCUCCCAGGUGUCUUUUAUACAGGUUACGAGCUGAGAUUAGGAACACUCUCUUAAAAGGAGUGCUUUUAAUCUCAGCUCGUUACUUGUAUAAAAGACACCUGUCCACAGAAGCAAUCAAUCAAUCAGAUCCCCAACUCUCCACCAUGGCCAAGACCAAAGAGCUGAACAAGGAUGUCAGGGACAAGAUUGUAGACCUAAAAAAGGCUGGAAUGGGCUACAAGACCAUCGCCAAGAAGCUUGGUGAGAAGGUGGCAACAGUUGGUGCGAUUAUUCGCAAAUGGAAGAAACACAGAAUAACUGUCACUCCCACAGUCUGGUGCGCCAUGCAAGAUCUCACCUUGUGGAGUUUCAAUGAUCAUAAGAACAGUGAGGAAUCAGCCCAGAACUACUCGGGAGGAUAUUGUUAAUGAUCUCAAGGCAGCUGGGAAAUAAUUGGUAACACACUAUGCCGUGAACGACUGAAGCACUCGCAAGGUCCCCCUACUCAAGAAAGCACAUGUACAAGCCCGUCUGAAGUUUGCCAAUGAACAUCUAAAUAAUUCAGAGGACAACUGGGUAAAAGUGUUGUGGUCAGAUGAGACCAAAAUCUAGCUCUUUGGCAUCAACUCAACUCACUGUGUUUGGAGGAGGAGGAGGAAUGCUGCAUAUGACACUAAGAACACCAUACCCACCGUCAAACAUGGAGUUGGAAACAUUAUGCUUUGGGGUGUUUUCUGCUAAGGGGACAGGACAACUGCACUGCAUCAAAGGGACGAUGGACAGGGCCAUGUACCAUCAAAUCUUGGGUGAGAACAUCCUUCCCGCAGCCAGGGCAUUGAAAAUGGGUCGUGGAUGGGUAUUCCAGCAUGACAAUGACCCAAACACACAGCCAAGGCAACAAAGGAGUGACUCAAGAAGAAGCACUUUAAGGUCCUGGAGUGGCCUAGCCAGUCUCCAGACCUUAAUCCCAUAGAAAAUCUGUGGAAGGAGCUUAAGGUUUGUGUUGCCAAACGUCAGCCUUGAAACCUUAAAGACUUGGAGAGGAUCUGAAAAGAGGAGUGGGACAAAAUCUCUCCUGAGAUGUUUGCAAACCUGGUGACCAAUUACAAAAAAUGUCUGACCUCUAUGAUUGCCAACAAGGGUUUUGCCACCAAGUCGAAGGGGUCAAAUACUUAUUUCACUCAUUGACAUGCAAAUCAAUUUAUAACUUUUUUGACAUGCAUAUUUCUGGAUUUUUUUGUUUUGUUAUUCUGUCUCUCACUGUUAAAAUACCAUUAUAAUUAUACACUCAUCAUUUCUUUGUCAGUGGGCAAACAUUCAAAAUCAUCAGGGGAUCAAAUACCCUCACUGUAAGUACUCAGAUCAUCUGUUUUCCAAUUAUUUGACAUCUGGCUGACCCUGGGUGCCUCUGUACCCAGCCCCUCUUCAGAUAUCACAAUAGCAGAAGUCCUGCAUUAGUGAUAUCAAUUCUGCCCAUGUUUGAAUGGAAUUCAUUGACAGGGAGCAGGUAACAAUGACCAGGAGACUAAAAUAUGAAUUGGAAAAUUUCUCCUAGUGAGCUGUUUGGACUCUCGGUACUUUGACCUAACGUUUUUUAUUCACUUUGAAAACCCAACAAUUACUAAACAAUGGUUUAGUAAAUAACUCUGCAGGUCAUGUUGGUGACAGAAGGUCAAUGUAAAAAAUGUCAAUGUUUCCUGUCCCAUUACUGCAGCUGCUUGUUACAUAUUUACAAUAAAACCUGCAAGCAUUGCUGUUUUCAUGUCUUGAACAUGAACUUUUGUGGCUAGAGACUUGUCAUACAAGCCAGAGUGUUUGGCAUUCCAGGAGAAUAAAGAUUUCAUAACAAAUUGAGAAUAAUUUUUUUACCUGUUCCUUUUAGAUAUUUAUUAUCCAAUACUUUGAAUGUUUCAUUAUUCUUUUGUGAACGGUACUAGUUUCAAGAAAGAAUUUCACCCCAAUGUAGCAGAAAAGUUUUCUAAAUAUUAAUCAGUACUUUAGAUCAGGGCUCGACAAAUCCCAGACACGGGGUCGAUAUGGUGACUUGAAAUUCUUGGCACCUGGGUGUUUGUCAGCCCCUUUUGUGAUGGAAUUAUACCCCUCUGCUCCCUGGCAUGAGUACGCACUUCAGUGAGGCUGAGAUAUGUCAUAUUGCCCGCUAUCACUAAACAACCUUCGAGGUAGUAGAGCAAGAAGAGCUUGAAGAUAACCUAUAGGAAAGCAUAAAUAGGCAGCAAUGUAGCCAGAACCACUACAUUAAGCUUCUGGUGACCACAGUGUCAUUUUAACAACUGUAUUUUUAUUGUUGAAAAAAAAAAUGCUUUGUUAGUUAAAAAAAAAAUGUGUACUUUUUUAGCUGGCUCCGAGAUUCCAAGGAAAUAGUCAAACUCUGCUUUAGAUGUUAUGGACUUUUUUCCAUGUUCAGGUUUGAAGACUAAUAAUACAUCAUAGGAAAUGUAAUCCUGAAGAGCUAUAGUCUCUAAGGUUAAUCAAGAUUAAAUAAAGUAAUUACAUAUUAUGAUGGACAUGAAGAGUUCACUAGAGUAUCGUCUCAGUACCCUGUCAGUCAGUGACCUUCCACCGUGCAUAUUACUAAUUAAUACCAACAUAUUGAUAUGUCUGUGUGGAAGGACUAGCAGGUGCUACUCUCCUCCGUAAUGGCCCAAUCAUUAAGCAUUAGAGUGCUGUGCAUGCAUUCAAGCUUAUCCAUAGAAAAGCAUUGUGUUCAUUGCUUUCCUAUGAGCUUCUUUGGUCAAGUGACCAAGUUUUCCUAAUCAGUGCAUCAGAUUUACCUCUAGUGGAUAUCAGGAAGACAGCCACUAGAGGUUGAUUUAACCCUUCAAUGUAAACAUUACAGUUUCUAAAAAAAAAACUGCAUUGUGUUACAUUGCAUGGUUUAUUGAGAUGAAGUGGUCUGGGUGACUAUAGUUUCCUUUUAAAGUUUUAUUUUCAUAAUUUGUUAAAAAUAUGCAGUAGACGUGCAAUUAAUUUCGUUCCGAAUGUACAUUCGGACAAAUUUUGUGCAAUUCGGAUGCUUAUGAAUGUCCGAAGUUCGAAUUGCUGAAUUUCCGAAGUGCCGAACCGAACCGAAUUGAUGAAAUUCCGAAGUGCCAAAGUGCUUCAGAUUUCUGAAAAGUGGCAAAACAAGAGUGGGAGGGAAAAUUACGUGACUGAUAGGAAUCUUGACCAAUAAGCUAAUUCCUGGCACUGGGACUCCUAUAGAUGUGCAAUUGGUUGUGGUGACACUGGGAGCCCUAUAGAUGUGUAAGUGGUUGUGGUGGCAAAGUGCUUCAGAUUUCUGAAAAGUGGCAAAACAAGAGAGGGAUGCUUACGAAUGUCCGAAUUGCCAAAGUUCCGAAUUUCAGAAGUGCUGACCCAAACCAAAUGCCAUUGGUCCGAAUUGCCAAAGCAGACAAUUAAUUUUUUACUUACCCAAAUUUUUUCUGAUGACUUAAAGGUAGGCAGACAAUGUAAUAGAGCAGCAGUAAAUGCUAGCAGAAUGCUUGGUUGCGUAGGGAGAGGUAUUAGCAGUAGAAAGAGGGAAGUGUUCAUGCCAUUGUACAGAACACUGGUGAGACCUCACUUGGAGUAUUGUACACAGUACUGGAGACCGUAUCUUCAGAAGGAUAUUGAUACCUUAGAGAGGGUUCAGAGAAGGGCUACUAAACUGGUUCAUGGAUUGCGGGAUAAAACUUACCAGGAAAGGUUAAAGGAUCUUAACAUGUAUAGUUUGGAGGAAAGACGAGACAUGGGGGAUAUGAUAGAAACAUUUAAAUAUAUAAAGGGAAUCAACACAGGAGGAGACUAUAUUUAAAAGAAGAAAAACUACCACAACAAGAGGACAUAGUCUUAAAUUAGAGGACAAGGGUUUAAAAAUAAUAUCAGGAAGUAUUACUUUACUGAGAGGGUAGUGGAUACAUGGAAUAGCCUUCCAGCUGAAGUGGUAGAGGUUAACACAGUAAAGGAGUUUAAGCAUGCGUGGGAUAGGCAUAAGGCUAUCCUAACUAUAAGAUAAGGCUAGGGACUAAUGAAAGUAUUUAGAAAAUUGGGCAGACUACAUGGGCCGAAUGGUUCUUAUCUGCCGUCACAUUCUAUGUUUCUAUGUUUCUAUGUUUCCAGACUGAACCGAACCAAAUGUUUUGCCCAUGCACAUACCUAGUAUGCAGCAACGAUACCUUGGCACCAUAUCCACUUAAAAUUAAGUGGUUAAGGUGUCAAGAGUGACCAUUUCUAUAUCCAUUUGCUACUGCUAUGUAACAAGCAAUUCAGCUAAAAAAAAAUAUAGUAGAUUUUUAGAUGAAUGGAUAUAUGGAAUAUACAGGGAGUGCAGAAUUAUUAGGCAAGUUGUAUUUUUGAGGAUUAAUUUUAUUAUUGAACAACAACCAUGUUCUCAAUGAACCCAAAAAACUCAUUAAUAUCAAAGCUGAAUAUUUUUGGAAGUAGUUUUUAGUUUGUUUUUGGUUAUAGCUAUGUUAGGGGGAUAUCUGUGUGUGCAGGUGACUAUUACUGUGCAUAAUUGUUAGGCAACUUAACAAAAAACAAAUAUAUACCCAUUUCAAUUAUUUAUUAUUACCAGUGAAACCAAUAUAACAUCUCAACAUUCACAAAUAUACAUUUCUGACAUUCAAAAACAAAACGAAAACAAAUCAGUGACCAAUAUAGCCACCUUUCUUUGCAAGGACACUCAAAAAGCCUGCCAUCCAUGGAUUCUGUCAGUGUUUUGAUCUGUUCACCAUCAACAUUGCGUGCAGCAGCAACCACAGCCUCCCAGACACUGUUCAGAGAGGUGUACUGUUUUCCCUCCUUGUAAAUCUCACAUUUGAUGAUGGACCACAGGUUUUCAAUGGGGUUCAGAUCAGGUGAACAAGGAGGCCAUGUCAUUAGAUUUUCUUCUUUUAUACCCUUUCUUGCCAGCCACGCUGUGGAGUACUUGGACGCGUUUGAUGGAGCAUUGUCCUGCAUGAAAAUCAUGUUUUUCUUGAAGGAUGCAGACUUCUUCCUGUACCACUGCUUGAAGAGGGUGUCUUCCAGGAACUGGCAGUAGGACUGGGAGUUGAGCUUGACUCCAUCCUCUAACCCGAAAAGGCCCCACAAGCUCAUCUUUGAUGAUACCAGCCCAAACCAGUACUCCACCUCCACCUUGCUGGCGUCUGAGUCGGACUGGAGCUCUCUGCCCUUUACCAAUCCAGCCACGGGCCCAUCCAUCUGGCCCAUCAAGACUCACUCUCAUUUCAUCAGUCCAUAAAACCUUUGAAAAAUCAGUCUUGAGAUAUUUCUUGGCCCAGUCUUGACGUUUCAGCUUGUGUGUCUUGUUCAGUGGUGGUCGUCUUUCAGCCUUUCUUACCUUGGCCAUGUCUCUGAGUAUUGCACACCUUGUGCUUUUGGGCACUCCAGUGAUGUUGCAGCUCUGAAAUAUGGCCAAACUGGUGGCAAGUGGCAUCGUGGCAGCUGCACGCUUGACUUUUCUCAGUUCAUGGGCAGUUAUUUUGCGCCUUGGUUUUUCCACACGCUUCUUGCGACCCUGUUGACUAUUUUGAAUGAAACGCUUGAUUGUUCGAUGAUCACGCUUCAGAAGCUUUGCAAUUUUAAGAGUGCUGCAUCCCUCUGCAAGAUAUCUCACUAUUUUUGACUUUUCUGAGCCUGUCAAGUCCUUCUUUUGACCCAUUUUGCCAAAGGAAAGGAAGUUGCCUAAUAAUUAUGCACACCUGAUAUAGGGUGUUGAUGUCAUUAGACCACACCCCUUCUCAUUACAGAGAUGCACAUCACCUAAUAUGCUUAAUUGGUAGUAGGCUUUCGAGCCUAUACAGCUUGGAGUAAGACAACAUGCAUAAAGAGGAUGAUGUGGUCAAAAUACUAAUUUGCCUAAUAAUUCUGCACUCCCUGUAUAUAUAUACUCCUAUAUUUGCUGGCACCCAGUUUGGGAUAGAACAUUUGAUUUUAUUUGUGUGAAAAUUAUGUGCAACAUAUCUAAGCAACCCAUUCUUCCACUGGAAAAUUAACUUUGCAGUUUGUCCUUCGAUUAAUAUUAUAUUAAUAUAAUUUUGCAAAGUACUGCUCUCUUCUCAGUAUCAGUAGAAUGUGAAUUGCAGUGGGGAAUGUAAUUGUGCAACUGUAAACAAUGCAUUUUGUCCAUUUGCCUGGAACCUGAUGACUAUGAUGUACCUCUUCCUCCAAUGCCUACUCAUUAAAAAUGUUGUGAUUGACCCACGUUUAGCUCCUAACCCAGACGUUAAGGACCACUGGGCUAGAAGUUCAACUGUUUUUUUUUUUGUUUUUUUUAACAUAAUCAAGCACUUAAUUGCUUCCAUGUAACCUGGAUUUUUGGGGGCAUACUAGUGGAAACGGGAAAAUAGCUGCGAUCUAGAAUUGUUCCAGUUUGGACAUUUUGACCUCAUGCUUUUAAUUUAGUUCCGGACAAUUCCCACUUUAGUGAGUAAGUCUGUUUGGCUAAUGUUUUGACAUGGCUAUACCAUCAAGUUCCUAUUUUAAAAUUUAAAAUGCAUUUCAUAUUUUGAGACAGAGUAGCCAAACAGGAAACAUAAGUGAAUAGAGUUUUUCCAAAAUUACUUUUUACCCCACAAAAUGAAAGGAACACUAUAGUGUCGGGAAUACAAAAAUGUAUUCUGGACAUUUUGGUGGUAAAAUAACAGUUUAAAAAGUUAGUUUACUUAGCUUUUUUCCAGCACUGCACUGGUCUUGCAAUGGCUGGCCCCGUCAUCUCAGCCAUUCUAAUGGUUUGCAAUAGGAAAGCAUUGGGAGCUACGGCAUAUGCUGCGCCAAUCAGCAUCUCCUCAUAGAGAUGCAUUGAAAUCAGAGCGUGGAGACACUGAAUGUGACUGUUGCACAUUGUGCAGCCCUGACAAAUUAAGCACCUCUAAUAGCCGUCUGAGUGACUGUCACUAGAGUUCUUACUAGGCAGCAAUGUUAAUACUGUCCUUUCUUGAAAAAGCAAUGUUUACAUGAAAAGGCCUGCAGGGACAUUAAGCUGCAAACAGCAGAGAAACUACUUUAAACUGAAGUGGUUCUGCUGACUAUAGUAUCCCUUUAAAGUUUACUGUAUAUUCCCCUUGAAUUCCUUCCAAUCACCUAUUUAGUGUAUUUACAACAAGUGUUGCUGACAUGCUGAGUGUGCACCGUUUUCAUAUUUUGCAGACAAGCUCAGUGUUUAUUUUCUGAUCUCUGACAUGGCAAGUGUCUACUAGUUUCUAUUUAAGGAUCCUAGGUUCAUGAGUUCAUGAAUUUUAUUUAAAGCAAAAUGUUUCUUUCUGUUUAACAGCUUACAUGACGAAAGAGAAAUAAGGAAAACCAAACUUUUCUGUUUAUUAAGUAACCAAGGCUGAGUGGUAGAGGUUAACAUCCGAGGCUCUAAGUGCUCUGUAACUGGUUGUCAGAUACUCCAUAUAAGAUAGGCAUUGAGCAUGCGUAGUUCAAUGAUCCACCUUAAUGAAAAAUUCCAGACACAUAAAGCUGUGCUUGGAGACUGUCAUGUGUGUAAAGGUUUAUAAAAGUGCCAAUAGGAAUCGGCACUUUAGUAUUUGGAGAAAGAAAAGCCCCCCUGGCUGUCAAAGUGAAUUCUGACCCCAUAUAUCGAAGUGGUUUUCCAGCUCAUUGCGAAGCAUAGGACAGCUGUGAUUGCAUACACAUGUGCAUGUGCACUCACAGCUCCAGCACUGAGGCUUCUCGUAUUCACUAAGCACUACAAACUCACCUGUCCAUCUUCUCAUCAAUUCUCAUUCCUUCAUACGUUAUAGCAUGCUUCUCAAGAUCUCACUCAAUUACCUCCUCAUUUCCUUUACAUGUUACCAGUGGCUGCAAUUAACCUUUAGUUCUCUCUGCCCAUGACCUUCAUAUUUCCCUUGAUACCUCUCGUCUGAACUCCCCAUGUCAACUCUUAGAUUGUAAGCUUAUGGGCUAUCUGGUUAAGAUCCUUGUAUAAUAUAGCUCCGAAAGAGUAGAUAUCAGCUCAGGUGUCGAGCCCUCUUUACUGUUUGCAUUAGUCUGUGUAUAUUGUACUGUCUUUCUCCCCAUGUGUACAAUGCUGUGGAAUAUGUAUGCAUUUUAUAAAUGCCAGUAACAACAAUAAAUAAAUAAUAAUUUGUGUGUUCCUCAGCACAGACUAAGUCUGUGCAGGGGAAAUAGGGGAGGGUUGCAAAGGCUGCAGAUAGAAUGUCUGCAGGUAUUGCAAGCUGUUUUUUCAUAUAAAGCAUACAGAGCAUGUAUGGUUUCUUUGGGCUUAUAUAUACCAAAAAAAAAAAAAAAAAGACAAGCAAAAGAAAAUUGGUGGAGUGCUUAUUAUAAGAUAAAAAUCCACUAUUAAGAAAAACCCUUGUUCUGCACAGACUUUGGCGAGGGUCUUAACACUUGUAUUAGCUGCAAGCCAUACAUAUGUAGGGGUCUUUCUGGUUCUGUAUGCUCAUUAACCUUGCAAGAUCUCCUUGGAGCUGGCCUACUUGUGAAAGUUCUGUCUCCUAAACUUUAUGCAAAAAGCUUUUAGCUCCUUGGAGAGUGCGUAGGCAUUACAAUGGCAAAAAUGGAUAGUAAAAUCAGAAGAAAAAAUGGAGUUGAUGUGGAAAUGAAAAAGUGCAUGUUCAACCGAGCAUAGCUUUUAUAUUAUAUCAGGAAAACAUAAAAUACAUAGAUGUAACCUUCUAUGUGAUAUGACGACAGAAUGAAGCAUGCAACAAAUAUAUUUAAAUUUUCAAAACACACAUAUAUAUAUAUAAAUAAAACUGAUCAUUAAAAGUUUAAAAGAAAUAGAUUUAAAAAAAAUCUAACUUGUGGAGUAGAGCACUCAUUCUAUAGGACACACUCUCCAUGAGCACUUAUGCUAUAUCCAGUAUCUCUCUUUCAUCCGUUUGAGAGAGAUGCUUAUGAUACUCGGGCUGGCUGACUGCCAGGAUGCUGCAAACCUUGGACACUUGCAAAAACGACAAGAACUUUAACAAUCAGGUUUUUUUUUCUAAUAAUAUUUUAUACGUAGUUUAGUACCAUAAAAUGGGGGUAAACUGCAGUCUAGAGUUUAUCUUUUUAGUAAAUAGCUGCUCUUAGUUUUCUCUUUCACUUAUUUCCUUUGUGUGACACCCUGCUUCUCUUUACUGUAGUCCUUCCUGGGUGCCCUCUCUACUCGGUAUGACCUUCUCUGUCUUUCAAGAGCAUCUCUGUCAAUAUCAUAAUGCUGUUGGUCAAAAAAGCUUGUGGAUGGAAUCCUGAGUGUUCGGUCACAGGACAUUAAUAUAUCGACUAAAUAUGAACUACAGCUCCCAGAAACCAAAGUCACAACAUCUUUUUACACAGUGUCUUCUAUUCAAUAAAGUGACAUUCUUCAGAUUUGAAUAGAGGGAUCGAAAGGUUUGGCUUCUUGAUCAGCAAAACUAAUUACAAUAAAAAUAGAAAAAUAAAGCUAAAUAAUAAACCUAAUAAUGUAUAAAAUCACAUUAUGCUAAUUCCUAGGAACAAGUUAAAUUAUGUAACUAUAAAGAAAAAAUUGUAAGGCUUUCAUAUCACCAUUCCAGUUUGUGCUGUUUUCAAGAAUAAACAAUAUUACACAAACGUAAACCUAAUUUGUAAUAAUCACUCACUUCUUUUAAAUUGUACACCGUUAACCACUAAUAUAGGAGUAUUGACAGCUUUGACCACAGUAUCUUCUCAAAAACCUAAAGCCCUCUGUGUCCAUAAAAUGAAUCUUAUAAUACCACACACACAGACAACCUUUUGUAUGUUAUUUAUUGAUUUAUUCAAUUUGACUCUCUUAAUAUAUGUUGUUUUUUUCCUAAUACGUAAUAUUGUCAGAAUGGGGGUACACAAAGAAAGUGGGAAGUGAAUCAGAGAUGUGUAUCUGAAUAGAGUAACAGACGGUACAUUUCACAACAGAAUAUAUCCUAUCUGUCUGGGGAUUACAUUGUUAAAAUUAUACAACCCAUCAGGAAAAUUGUGGAUAUGAAUGGAAAUGGAGGGGAAAGACGGGAGGGAGCCUGUCUACCCUUUGUUCUAGUGUCAUGUUUUUAAGAGUCGCACCACAAUAUGUUUGCAUUAUAGCUGCUUCAGCUGGAGUGGUACUUUUGUGAUAGCUUUUAGUUUUUCUCAAAAAACUUAAUGCCUUGUUAUUUAUAUAGUGCCAACAGAUUCCGCAGCGCUGUACAAUGGGUGGACUAGCAAACAUGUAAUUGUUACCAGACAAGUUGGAUGGAUGUGUGUGUGUGUGUGUGUGUGUGUAUGUGUGUGUGUGUAUGUAUGUAUGUAUGUGUAUAUAUAUAUAUAUAUAUAUCUAUAUAUAUAUAUAUCUCAAGGUUCUUAACCGUUAGUAUUUUAUUUAAAUUGUUUAAUUGUUUUAUACAACCAUUGCAUACUUAGUUUGCUUUUCUCUUUGCAUUUUGUGUAUUUAUUAGAUUUAUUUUAUUGAUUUAUUUAUUUUUUCUAGCCAUCAAUUACAAAUGUUUUUUAUCUUCUGCAUAUAUAUACAGAAUAUAUAUAUAUAUAUAUACACUAUACUCAGAUAAAAAUGUUUAUAUAUAUAUAUUAUAUAUUUUUAUCUGAGUAUAGUAUAUAUACCCAAAGGCAGAAGAUAAAAACCAUUUGUAGAUGAUGGCUAGAGAAAACAUUAACUACACCUCUUCUGUGUAUGUAAAGAGGUAUAAAUGGACUACACAAGACUUUGGAGUGGCUGCAGCCUCCUGCUGUAUUAUAAUGUAAAUGGCCUUUGAAUUACUUAAUAUGCUCUGUAAAAACAUUGGUAUUGUGCUGUAUGUCAUAAUGAUUUGAAAUAAUAAGCCCUUGAAAAUGUAUUUUGAGCCUAAAUCUCCGAAACAAAGAAGAACACUGAGCUAUUAUUAAUAAAAUGAACAAGCAAUAGUCAGGUAAAUUAAUCCUGCAGUCAAAGAUAAGAGCUUUAUUUGACUUCAUUUUUAAACCACGUCUUCCAAAAAAUAAAAGAAUUCACUUUACUGACAGACAUGUCACGCAUCUACCAUUUGUGAAAAUAUUUAAGAUCUUUAAGUGCUUUAAGUGCCAGUGGUGCUUGCCAAACAUUUAAAAAAUAUUUUUGUUCAUACCACUGUCUCUACGAAGAUAUUUACAAAAGGAUAAACACCUUUUGUAUUACAACCACACACUUAAGUUGAACAAUAAAGCUUAGUUUGUACGAAAUCAUGCCGUAGCUUUAAGUUGAAAGUGAAUACAGCACAUAGCAUGGUUCCACAUUGUUUUGUUUAGUGAAAUCAAAUUGGGAGAUCUGGUGCAUAAUAAGUGUUUCUAUUAAACAACAGAAUCUAUGAAAUGCUGAAAAGCAUGUAUUGUUUAAUACUACUCUGUAAUUCCUGGCAGCGGGAGGUUAAUGAGACUAACACACAGCGCAACACUACUUCAUUUAGCAAAUGGCUAUGUAGAGACCUGACCAACGGAUGGACUUUUAUUAUUUUACAGAUUCAAUUUCCUUCUGAAGGCAGAUUUUUGAGAUAUAAAUAAAUAAAUAAAUAAAUGCAGACAGCCUUUUAGCAUGACAUUUUGUGCAGCUGUAGGCUAAGUGGAAAGUGAGUCGAUCAUAGACUACUGCUUAAUUAGAAUUAUAUUCUGUAUUUCUUGCUUGGAGGCAAUUUUCAUCAUGCUUUUAUACAGAACAAAUGUUAGAAGCUGCACUGUAAUGGGGUUUUCGUCACCCAUAGGAACCAGCAUUGUGAAACAAGAUAGACACCACAACAUUAAAACGGUUAUAUAUAUGGACAUCUGAUGCUGGAAAAAAUUGUGAUAUACACUUUACAUAAUCAGUCAUUUUUCCCCCUUUUAUAGAGGAGAACUAGCUGUUUAUCCCUGGAGUAAAACCCUUGCUUGAAAAAAAUAAGAAAAAUGAACCGUAACGUGAAGUUAUUUACUAAACAGUGAAUUGCCAGACAAAGGAAAUAUAAAUUUUAUACCUAAAUAAGUGAGCUAGAAAUAUGGUUGAUUUGGACUUUUUUUGUAAAUCAUCUAUUUUUUGCUAAGGCUUGCUAAGGCUACAAUAUGCUUCUUAUUGCUUGUUUUUACUUCUUGUUCACUUGUUUUGGAAUAUUAACAUGCAAUAACAUCAAAAUGCACAAACAACGCAGUUGGAUGGAUGAGUGGAAGCUCUCAUGGGGGAAGGUGAAUUUUAUUAUGGUACGACAACAAUACAAAAUUAUGUUGGUUUAAACAUUUUUACUGGUUUAGUAAAUGCUAACUCGAUACAAUUUAACCCUUUUUUUUUGCUUUCAAUCAUAUAUGGUACUAUUUAGCUUAAAAAGAGAGAAACAUGGGAUGUCUCCAAGGACAAAAAAGCUGGUCAUACUUUGUAACCAUUUCCAACAUCUUUCCCACAGCUGAGAAGUAUAGGAUGACAGUGUUGUGUUUAGACUGAUAACUGCUGGGGAAAAUUUUAUACUAGAAUGAUAACACAAUUUUAUAUUAUACGUGAAUUUAUUAAAUAAAACUAUUUAUUUACUUUUAUUCGUAUCCCAGCUCUAAAUGAAAACUUUUAGCAAUAUACCUGCAAAGUUAGGAAAAUGGCCAGAGACACACAUUCUGGAUUUUCACAAGCUUUAUUACUUUGAUUUUUCACAAAAAAUGUGAUCAUAGCACACACUUCUAAUUCUGUAGCCUAAAAGCUUGUGGAGUGUUGACAUCAAGGCAUGGUGUGGAGUUAAGUAAUAGUUGAGAGGCAACAAAUUUAAUUACUUUCCAGAACAGAAAGACAUUUGUAAACAGUGCAUAAUCAACUACAAUUUUAACAUUGCAAAAUGUCAAAAUACACAGAGUGCCCAUCACUAAGGUUUACAAACAAGCAUAAUAUCAGCUUAAUUUACUUAAAUAUUUCUGCUAACUAUAUUUUAAAAAAAAUCAUAAACAAGACAAGUAGCACCAAUAGAGUCACAAUGGUAUAAAAAAUAUAUUUUUCUCAGUAAUAAAAAGUAAAUAAUCUUACUACUAUAAAAAGAAAACUAUAAAAAAAGGGGAGAUUCAUUAUUAUGUUAGGGCAAGAGCAUUGGAUUGCACAUGCUGGUCCCAUUGGUUUCCAUUACCACUUUGCACUAUUUUUCAAAACUCAACACUUUGAUAAAUCCCCCCUCCAUUUAAUUUGCUGUGUGUCACCAAUGCACUGUCUGUGGCUUAAUUUAUGGCUAAUACUGCAACUCAAGCCAUGUGAUAGUUGUAAUGCCAAUGUCUUCCCCCCUACAACUCCCCCUACCCCUAUGGAAGGCCUAUAAGCUUGCCAAUACCAAGAUAUUUGACCAAAAUUACAUGAAGUUAUAAUGUUAGGACUUGGCCAACUAAAUUAUGACUAUUGGCAAUUAUGCAAAAUUCCUUAUAUCUACAUUCCUUUAUUUCAGGUGCAUCUGUUUCACUUCCUGAGGAGACAUAUGCUUGGUACAACUGUGUAUGCUGGCUGAAAAGCAGAUUUAUAUAGUGUUCUGGGCCAAGAGCCAGAUGUACUAUAGUAAAUAUAGUAACAUCUCCACAUUUUCUGGCCAGGAAAACUAGCAUAAUAUAUAGAUUUUGUGUCCUUCUCUCUCUUCCUAUUCAUGUUGUGCUUUAAACAGUUGACCUAGCUCUCACUAUUUUGUUUUAAAUACAAAACACAAUGUUUCCAAAAUAAAACACAUACUUUUGCUACCCAACACUGGAAAUAUCUCAUACAUAAGUAGGAUUUCCAUCAUAUGGGUAUAUUCUCUAAAAUGUGAGUGAUUUUCAGUUUGGAUGUUGUUUUAGGUUUGUCAAUUUUGGCCUUAAAUUUAAAAUUCACUUUGAAUAUACUUUUGAGUCUAGUAAUUCACACUAGAGUGAAUAACCCUUAUAAACCUUUAAAGAUCUAUAUGUUACACUUUUGUUUUUAUUUUCAUUAGAAGAUAUGGAUUGUCCUUAUAUAUAGUUUAUACAUAGUUUGCUUAUUGCAUUUUAUGUAUACUACAAAUUUUCUACGCAUUCUCCAAACUAGCCAUAGCUAUAAUGUAAUCCUUUUAUGCUUUUACAUUUUUGGUCCUAUACAAUUAUAAAUGUGUACUACUGCAGGUUUUGCAGUGUCAAAAUAUAAGCUAUAUAUUUCAUUUUAAGUGUCUUUUUUUUUUUUUUUGUGUGUAAGAAGACAUCAAAUGAGAAAUAGCACAUGAUAUAGUCAAGAGUACAAUGAUAAGAUCAUAUAAUUGGAAAGACAUUUGUGUAAAUAUACAAUUUAUAUAACGAGCAAGAAAGGAGAAAAGAAGAAAGAGAUAACGAGAAUAGAGAAAAAUAUAAAAUAAGCCCUGCAAGUCAUACAUACACAUACCUCAUACCUCUAAUUAGUCUAUAUUGUACAGAACGCAUGUGCAAAACACUAUAUACUGAAAGAAUAUGGACAGCUUCUCAUCAGAAAUAUAAUUCCAAAGGCAUGGGCGUUUAUAUUAAACUAGCCCUUCUUUAGUUGCUAUAAAACCAUUCAUAACCGAUGCUAUUUCCUGCCAGUUCCUGGAACAUUCUAGGGGAUUUGCGUCUCUUCAUAAAAAGAGUUAUUCCAACCCUUUUUUGCUAUAGUUUUUGUGUAUUUAUAGAGCCCUAUUGGGCACUAUAAAAUAAGUCUCCUACUUUGUUAAAAGUAAAAAUUGCUAGUUUAUCAGGCAAGGUUCUUCCAUACCCCAUCCAAUGACACAGCACUCGGUAAAUUCCACUCCAUGGUAAAAUCAAAUGCUUCUUGAUUAGACAGUUUUACCAGCCGAGAGUGAAUGUGUUGCGGAAUGGAAGGGAGCAUGCUAAGAACGGUGGGUGGGACUUAAGGCAGAGAGUGAGGGACAUACACUCUUCCCCCUGCAGUUUCAGCCUGUAAGAAAGAAGUCAAUUAUGUCUGUUACCAGCAUUGCAGUGAACGCUGAUGACGGAGGUAAUUUUUACACUGAAUUGACAUUUGGCAGUUUAGAGUUUCAGGCUGCCAAAGUCACAUGUGCCAGGGGUUUUAACUAGCCCAUGGCACACAAGUGCAAAUAACUCUGGAUGUGCAGCAAUUCAAGCAGAAAUGGAGCAAAUACAGACUGCUACAACCAUGAUCACUUUUAAAAGCAGAAGUGGUCAUGGUGGUUGGAAUUAUUAUUUGAGGAGGGCAAUAAUAUGGUUAGGUUCUAAUGGUAGGUGAACAGCCCUGUCUUUCAGGAGGCGUACAUUUAAUGCCAAAUAUGUUUGGUCGGUGUGUGUCAGGGCACAAGAGAACGCAUUAAAUUGUGCAAAAAAAAUUGUAUUCUUUACAAAAAAAGGUUUAGUUUUUUUUUACUGUAUGAACAAUAAAGAUGUGGAAUUCUCUGCCUGAAGAUGUGGUUUUAUCAGAGUCCAUACAGAUGUUCAAACAGCAACUAGAUGCAUACUUGCAAAAACAGAAUAUUCAAGGAUAUCAUUUUUCAAUGUAGGGUAAUAGCUUCUUGAUCCAAGGAUAAAUCUGACUGCCAUUCUGGGGUUAAGAAGGAAUUUAUUUUUUUCCUAGUUUCUUGCAAAAUUGGAAGUGUUUCAAACUGGUAUUUUUUGCCUUCUUUUGGAUCAACAGCAAAAAACAAAUGUGAGGAAGGCUGAACUUGAUGGACGCAAGUCUCUUUUCAGCUAUGUAACUAUGUAACUAUGUAACUAGAAAUUGAAGCUCCAAAUCAGGACCUUCUAAGUAUGGUUCAUAGGGUCUUAUUCUGGCCCAUAAAUCCCUCUCCUAUAGUGGUUUAUGAGAUGUAUAGUUCAUCCAUGAACAGCAGUUCUGUUAAUCAGAUCUGAUGAAUGUAGCUAUUGAGUAAACCACUGAGGAAAGGUAGGGACACUGUAUUUAUAAUUAUGUGGUGAAAGGGGGAACUUUCCUCUUUUGAAGUCAGAGGCUUUUCUGCAGUUAUUUAUGUAUCUGGUAAUAGAGAACGCACAUGCACCAUAACCUAAGCAAAGUGCAUAGGUAAUAAACGGAGAGCCCCUUUUAAUAUUUUCACAUCUAUGUCAGCAAAUCAAUUUUGUACUUCGGGGAAUUAUCAUGCUUAACGUCAUAAGGGACUUCACAAAACUACUACCACAUAGCCAAAGGCACAACAUUAUGCAGAAUGUUAUUGAUGCUCCCUUUCUGAAAUGUAGGCACCUAGCCCAUAAUAUGAAAAUGAACCCCAGUAUUUAUUCUUCCUCAUUCCUAAAUAUAUUUUAUAAUAGUGCCACAAUGCAACUCAUACAUUUUCAAAAUUAAGGUCGAUUCUGUUUUUAAUUUGGCUAUUUUAGCCUUGAAAUUUAAAAUCAUUUUAAUUCACGUUGAAUUCCCAGCAAUUCCCAUUUCAGUGAAUAAACCUUUAUUUUCUGCAAGCUAUUCAUUUAUUUGUAUAGUUUAAUGUAUAUGAUUCGACGCUCAUCAUUCCUCUUGACAGUUAUACCCUAAGCUUACCUUAACAGCAAUUUCUAACACUGUGAUAUUUAUUAAACUAUUGGAAAAUUAAAAACACUAUAUACUGGAUAUAUGCUAGAUAACUAAUAGAAUGUAGAUAUCUUUUCACCAGAAAUCUAAUUCCAAAAGCAAGAGCAUUAGCUUUUUUCCUUUUGAAGGCAUAAUUAGUCAAUAUUAAUGAAUAAGUAAUAUCAAAUCAAUCUCUAAUGCUUACUUACAAAUUCUAUUUAGUUUUAAGAUUACAAAUGUAAACUACAUAUUCUAAUAAAAACCUAAUUUUGGAAUCAAUGCAUGAUUAUUUUUUAAUGAUUCCAAUAGAACACCAGUCUAAAUGAAAACCCACAAUGAAUUCAGGAAAAUCACCUUUAUCCAAUAUUAAUAAAUUUGCGCAUGCUUGCUUUACUAUUUUAUGGUUAUUAUUAUUAAUAACAAUUGAGAUUGCCUCUCAUUGUUAUUUAUAAAUACACUCCCGUAUUCAUUUUCUUUUCUUGUAUUUUUUUGUAUAAGCUCCGUCAUUUGAAACAGCAUAUCUCCUUCUAGCAGGGAUUCUUUGCAGUCUGCAGUAACAACCUGCAAAACGCUAUAAUGUAUACCUUAAAAUAACUGUAAUUUAUGUAAUGUAAUUAUGUGAGUAAUAUGUCAUUAUAUUUUGCAUUUUGGCAACAUUUUUAGGCAAUCACAUUCGUAGAAAUGCCAACCAAUAACUUACAAAUACCCAUACGUUUGUUAUUUGAAAAGAUUUAUAUAUCCAUUUUUGUCUCACCACAUUUAAAAAAAAUAUUUAAGUUUUUAAGCUAAUAUUACAGAGCAUAUAAUUAGACAAAGGCUACAAUAUAAUCUCUAUAAUACUUUUUUCAUCACUAAGAACUGAUUGACAAUCUGUACCAGCUAGAUGUCCCACGUUUUAAGUAAACAUCAUGCUAUAUUUUUUCAAUUUGGUAAAACUUGGUAGGUAAGGGGCUAAUUUAGAGCAUCCUACAGACUUAAAGGACCAAUAUAGUGCCAGGAAAACAUACUUGUUUUCCUGGCACUAUAGUGCCCUGAGGGUGCCCCCACCCUCAGGGUCCCCCUCCCGCCGGGCUGGAUGGAGAGGAAGGGGUUAAACUUACCUCUUUUUCCAGCACUGGGCGGGGAGCUCUCCUCCUCCUCUCCUUCCUCUUCUCCUCCUCUUCGGCUGAAUGCGCAUGCGCGGCAGGAGCUGAGCGCGCAUUCAUUCAGUCCAUAGGAAAGCAUUCACAAUGCUCUGCUAUGGACGCUGGCGUCUUCUCACUGUGAUUUUCACAGUGAGAAGCACGCAAGCGCCUCUAGCGGCUGUCAAGAGACAUCCACUGGAGGCUGGAUUAACCCUAACAUAAACAUAGCAGUUUCUCUGAAACUAUGUUUAUUAAAAAAAAAAGGGUUAACCCUAGCUGGACCUGGCACCUAGACCACUUAUUUAAGCUUCCUUUAAGGUUAUGGGUGAAGUAUUUAAAAUGUAUUUAUUACGCAUCCAUGUUUGUAUUAAGUAGACUAAAAUGAUAAUGUUAAUUUUGUAUUUGGAAACAAGAGCUUAAAAGUAAUGAAAAAAUUCAAAAAUCAAUGCAGCACAACAAACUGUGCAAUUCUCCUGAUGCACUUAACCAAAGUAAUCACCAAAAAUCCUCUACAUGGUAUUGCAACGUAUUUAAAUCUUAAUUAUAGAACAUCAUUUGUUAAACAAAAAAUGUGCACACAUAUAAAGCAGCAUAAUAAUCUCUAUGUACAACAAACUUAGGUUUUUGCUAAACCUCCACUGAUUACUUAUAUUUACUCUGGCCUUGUUCUGCCAUUAUUAAUAUUAUAGGCUACAGUAGAUAUGUUUUGAAGCCCUUAUACAAAAAAAUACAGUUUUAUAUUUAUCUCACAAACAUUCCAGUAAACCCUGGAACUAACCUGUUUCACCUUUUACUACAGAAGAAAACCUGAGAGGGUAAUUGGAUUGAAAUAAAAUCUGUGUUUUGAUUGAUUCAAACAGUGAGGAACGCCUUCAUUUGCAGCUAAAAAUUGCAAUAAUGGUCGGUGACCAAAAUAUAUAAAAUAGACUUGUACCAGACGAAAAUAUUUGGAUUGGCCCAAAAAAAAAAAACCCACUAAUAAUUGCGUCUGUCAAUGGGGUGUGAAAAUGGGUUAAUUAGUGUACUACAAAAUAUAUACAUAAGAAAAUAUUAAAUUGUCAUUAUAUUUUGCAGUACACUGGGAGGCACAUUUUCCUGUCAUUUUGGUUCACAAAUUGUCCGACUGAAUGUUGAUUUUAUUAACAGAUCAAGUGAAAAGUUACCAUUUGUGUGAAAAAAUAGAAGCAGUACAAAAAUCUAUAUUUAGGUAUUUGUAAUGUCAAAAUAUAGAUAAAAAAAAAAAAAGAAAAAAUUACAGGUCCAUCUUUUUCCCCUCUAUUGGCUACUUGUCACUUGAAUAAAAUUAACAUUAAGCGGUUGUCCCCUAACCAUGAAUCAUCUUUUUUUCCAUCAACUCUUUUGUUUGGUGCCACAGGUGGAACUCAAUAACACAAAAACAAAACUGUUCAUGCAUUGUCUGUUUAGUUUGUUUUGUGAUUCAUCCAUAUAGAGCGUCGGCUGUACAGAAUUCUGAAGAACUGCAUAUAAUGAAUCUACAUUUGUUUUAAACUGAAGACAUACUUCUAAUAUAAAUAUAAUAAUAAUUUAGCACCUCCAUGUUUAAUAGAAAAACAGACUUUCUGGUGCAAUAAAAUUUAAGCAGAGGAAAGUUUCAUAACUUAUAUGUAUCCUUUUGAAAUGUUCGGCUGUUUUUUUAUUUUUUUUUAUUUUUUUUAUGUAGACUGAGGUUAAAUCAAACAUAACUUGGUUAAAUAUCAUUUUUUUUUUGUUUCACUGCAAUGUUCUGCAUAUAGAUAAUGAUAUUAAUUUGUUCAAGCACUAUCUGCUCAGUGCAGUUAUUAAUUGCACAUGUGAUACUUAAAUGUGGACUAGCAUUCAAACUAUUUAUCUUUAGUUCCUUGCUGACCUCGGAUAAAUCAUUAGUGUUGGAGUGCAGCAGAGCAAUAAGUGGUUUCCCUGAGGUUCAGUGGGGAUGAGUAAAGAUUAUAUCUAGUAAUGUGCUUCCCUUGUUACAUUUGCAAUAUGACUUCUCCUUGGUUGAGGUGUGUUGAGUUUUUAUCGGGUAUAACUAAACAUGGUAAAUAAAAUGCAGUCUGUGUUAAUCAUUAAACACAACAUUUAAGCAAAUUAAAUCUGACUUGUACAAAAUGCGUACUGGGCUAAUCAUUAAAUACAAAAUAUAAAAAAAAAUCAAUCUGAAUUGUGAAAUUCAGCUCAAAAUAGCCAAACUGUGACUUGCACUAAGAUUUAUUAAAGCAGCUAUUUUUAGCUAAAAUUUGCAAUCUUGAUUCAGCUGCCUAAAUUAAAAGUUAAUUUGACUAACAAUGUUUUAAUUAUGAAUCGUUAUAUUUUUUACUGUAUGUUGUAAUUUCCUGCUAAUGAGCAAUAUUUGAUAUGUAUAUGAAACAGCCUUUAGAUAACCCAAGUAAUCAAGUGUAACACAGACUCAGGGCCAGCCCAAGACAUUGUGUUGCCUGGGUACAAGGAUGAAAUGUUGUAGAGGUCUCGCAAGUUCCAGAACUUAAAAUGUCAGUGUUGCUGUGUUAACCAGUGACUACACUUUGGUUGUCCAAGCUCCCAAGAUCUCUACCACAUUGAAAGCCCUGGGCUAUCUCUCCUCUGGGCAGACUGGGUGGAGGAACCCCUCACCCGGCGCCAUACAGGGCAACCCGCUGGGCACCCUUCCAGUAUUGGGCCCUCAGUCAUGGACCGAGGGCCCGAUAAAGUCUGCUCUAAUGGCCCCAAAGGCGCCAAUCAGCAUGAGGCCUUAGGCAGCCACAUACCUCACCUAAUUAGAAUGCUGCCUCACUCUGCAGACAAGCAGAUAAACACUUGAUGUGGACAAGUUAACGUGUACAGGGUGGCAAAGUAUCAUCUGAGACAUAGCCCCAUCUGGACCCAUGCACAGGCGGUUAUUGAAACAUACACGCAUUGAUUUUGACAUUAGAUACGAGUUAAUUGGACCAUCUCAUCUUCCCAUAUUCUAUACAAAAGCAUAUAGCAAGCAUUGGCAUUUUAGAUUUUUAUUAAUAAAGAUAUGUAAUUGUAAUCCAAUAUUUAGUUAUACUGACAUAUAUUUAGCAAUCUAGCAAAGUAUUCACUUACCAUAACAUCUAUGGUUAUGUGUUAAUUCUGCAUGCAAGGACAUAUUCCAGAAUGAUUUUCCUAUUAUUUCACAUACAAAGAUUUUAUAGUAGAGAAAUAAAGCUUAUACCAGGUGUGUCUUAUCACGGUAAAACAGACAAAUGAUAAACCACAAAACCAAAUGGGGAAAAAAGGGCAGUUUAGAGAGGUCAAAGUUUAAGUAGUUUUUUUUAGACCUUUUAGAUUGGACAACUACCAUAAAGCAGCAAUUUAUGUUAUUGCUCUGCUAGAAAUAGAAUGUAAAAUGUCAAGAUAUCUAUGAGGUUAGUAACCUUUCCUAAUUAAUUGUGGGAACAAUAAUAUGUUCUGUUAAUGUUUUUAUUCAUAUAUUCAUGCAUGAGCAGAUGCAAUGGCACCAAACAAUAAGUGGUCAUUGAGACACUUGUGUGUGUGCAACAUAACAUCAACGAUGUAAAUAGCAUUGUGUGUUCUGACUCUACAUUUAUCUACAGUUUGACAUCUAUGACUGUAUUAGAGUGGACUGGAGUAGCUGUAAAUUUCACCUUUCUGUAGCUUUGCGCUGAUGUUAUCAGAUCACUAGUAAUUCCUGCCAACAACAAGGACAAUUAUGUUAAAAGACAGGGCGAUUCAUAUCACCAACAAUGCAAUAUCUUCCAAAUGCCAAUCUAAGAAGGUCCCUAUAUAGGGCCAAAUAUCUGCGCCCCUCUCUUUUAUUGUGUAAUUUUUUUUUCCAGGAAUUCUACAUUAUUAUUAUUAUUAUUAUUAUUAUACAACAUAACUUCAUAGUAAUAAAAUGCUCAGUAAUAUGUACUUAAUCUACAACAUUGGUUACUGUAGUGUUACUCUAAAAAUAAUUUUCUAUAAAGUAGUUAUGUUAGUCUUGUUAUAAAUUAGUUAUUUACAAAAAGUAUGUUGCCAUCUGCAAAACUGAGUGAAAUGUAUUGAAAUGUAAGUUGACAUAACAGCAUUAGUAUAGUACCACAAGUAGCAUACUUUAGUGUUUCACCUGUAAAAGUACAUUUAGAUUGUAGUUCGUUUCUGAGUGCACUCUAGGAUCCAGAUGUUACUAUUAGCCAGUUUAAUGGACCAAAUGCAAUAAAGAGUUGAUCAUGCCAGGAUGAAAGACCAAGUUGACUUUUUUUCAGAAAUUCAAUAUGUACCUCUAGAUUGACAAUCACUUACAAGAACAAUUAAUUUUGUCAUUUUUGAAUACUGGCCUGAUAUAGAUUGUGAUGAAUUGAAAGAUGUCUAUGAUUUUAAUCAUCUGCAGAUGAAAGCAUUGAUUGCUUUAUAAGGAGCAUCUUUUCAGUCUUGUAAGAGACCAACCAAGCAUUGCUCCUUUAUGCUUUCAUAGAAGAGGGAUAGACCGCAGUAAAGGACAAUAUUCUCAAUGAUAAAGAGUGUAAACACUAAGAAAGAUGAUCUGAAUGGUAGACAUUUCUGCAUAAAAAUACAUUUUCAUGUUCAUAGGGUUAUUGGUAACCACUAUAAUAACCCCAUGUUACAAAUCUUCCAUAUAGUUCUGGAAAACACUUGAUGCUAUCCCAGGCAUUGCGUUGUGUUAAGUUUCUAUGACACUGUAAUUUCCUACUAAAGAAACAUAGAAGAUGAUUGAUUAUUCUGUGACCAAUAGGUUAGAAUGUUAAUUUAAUACAUUUGAUUUCUGCCAACAACACUCAAUGGACGUAUCAGCGCAUGAACUGUGUAGGGCCUCUUCCUGGCAGACAUGGCAGUCAUAAAGUAGAGAAGCUGCCAUAUUGCAAAUAACCUGAACCAGUCCUAUAAAUCUAUAUUUCUCCCCCAAAUCAGUAUCCCAUUUCCAUCCUAAAAGAGAUCAAAGUUUGACCCUUUCUUGGCCACCUGUUGAAUGACAUAAUCUAUUGUACGGAAGACAAAGCAAGACAAAAGUGGUAUGGAAUUCAAGUCAGAUGUUGACUUUUACUGUGUAAUCGAUAUAGUCUUAUGAUUGCAGUUAGUUGCACAUACAUACCAUAUGACAAGCAUGCCUUUUACUAAAUAAAACAGGCACCUUUUUGCUUCUUAUAGUUCUGCAGCAGGUUUGGCAAGCUGUAUUCAAUUUAUUUUGUUUGUUUGCUUUCCAAGGGUCAGCAAGAUCAGAUGGUGUAUUUUUUCUAAUACUUAGUACCAUGUUGCUUUGCUGACAUACAUUAACCCCCUCUCCAUUCCAAGUAUUGCAAUCACUUCCAGUAACAAAGUAAUUCAAUAACCGUAAGUUAUUCCAUUCUGUUACUAAGAGAAAUACUGCACUUUGUUUUCCUAUUUCAUGGAGAUUGCUACAAUGAAAAUGUGUGUGUUUAUGUGUGUGAUCGCUAUAAUUUUUACAAACCGCUAUAUAUAGACUAAUACAUUUUAAUUAAUUUAAAUAAAUGUCCUGAAAACUGUUAUAUCUAAUAAAAUAGCACCUACAUUUAAACAUCACAAACAACCUUGUAGGCAUGUGUAUCAUAAUGCCCUAGGUCUCUCUGUGAGUGGAGAAUAAUACUUUCAUAUCCUAACUCGUUGUUUGCACAUUUGGCAGAUGUAUUCAGUUAUAGCCCACUAAAUCAUAUAUAAUUAAAAGAAAUAUGCCACCUUUAUCCAACUUUAUUUUGAUUACAUCUUGCAUUAAACUAUGUUAACAUUCAAAAUAAAAUAAUCUUAAAUAAUUAUUAGAUGGUGUGAUAUUAGCAUCAUAUCAUGUGAUAUGUCCUGAGAAAUUUAUUCCUGGGAUUGUUUUGGGGUAGUGAGUUGCUAAGAAAAUUAAAGGAUCACUAUAGUGUCAGGAAAACAAAGCGGUUUUCCUGACGCUAUAGUGCCCUGAGGGUGCCCCCACCCUCAGGGUCCCUCUCCAGUGGUACUCAAGGGGUUAUAACCCCUUCAGCAGCUUACCUUAAUCCAGCGCCGGGCUCCCUCGGCGCUGGUGACCUCUCCUCCCCGUCCGACGUCACUGGAGCCGAAUGCGCAUGCGCGGCAAGUGCCGCACGCGCAUUCAAAGUGUCCAUAGGAAAGCAUUUCUCAAUGCUUUCCUAUGGACGCUCUGCGUGAUGGAGGCGAAAUAAGCCUUCAGUGUUGCAGACACGCCUCUAGUGGCUGUCCAGAAGACAGCCACUAGAGGCUGGAUUAACCCCAAAUGUAAACAUAGCAGUUUCUCUGAAACUGUUAUGUUUACAUGUGAAGGGUUAGAAACUGAGGGACCUGGCACCCAGACCACUUCAUUGAGCUGAAGUGGUCUAGGUUACUAUAGUGGCCCUUUGAUGUUGGUGUAUUAAGUGGAAAAUUCAGUGAUCAUUGCUAUAUAAUUGCACAAAAUGAACUGUAUAUUCAGAUCUUUCUGACAUGAUACAUUAUAUUUGCUGUCAAUGACUCAGCAAUAUUCUAUUUUGCAAAAAAAAUCUAUUAGUAUGUUACAGGUAAGAAUUUAUGUGGCAGUCAGGGCAGGUUUUACGCCAAGUGCCUGUUUUUACAAAAUUUUAAGGUUCCCCUCUGUUCCCCAACCAAAAAGAAAAAUGCAUAUAAAUCCAUGUAAUGAAUUUAAAUUGCAGGCCAAAAAGCAUCUUCAUAUUUGACUAUUGUAUAUGUGUAUAUGCGUGUUCCUACUUGUAGUAUAUUGUGUUUGUAUCUGUGAAUAUAGUGAGUGUAUGUAGCUGUGCAAAUGUGUAAAAGGUUAAAUAAUAAUAUUAGUGGUUAGGACAAAAGGGGGGUUAAGGUUAGAGAGGGGUUAACAUCAUAGUUCCUGCAAGUCUGUUAUUAAUGGACUACCAAUGACUUUGAUCAAGGCUCCUGGUACUUAUCUUUCCCCACCAGCCUAUUUAGACUUAUAAAGGCACAUUAUUGGUGCUUGAUAGUGAGGAAUUUUCUCUGUCAGGAAUUUUCCCUUGCCAUGGUCUUUUGUAUCAAUUUGCAACUCUCUAUAUUUCUCCUUGUCCCCAAACCAGCUGGUGAGGAGCCCCAGUGAACGAGACAAGACAAUGUAAGGUUCAAAGUGACUCUUGACAUUUAAUGGGCUGUGUAACAGGUUAUAUUCAGCAGGAAAGAGGGGUGGUCUUUACAAGCAUUAUCCAAUCCUAAUAAAAUCAUCUAUCUUAUCUUAACAUCUUAGCCUAUAGCAAGCUUGCUGGUGUAUCUUCAUGUUCAGGCUUUGCUCAAAGCUAAGUUUCACUAUAAAUACGCAGUUAGAAUUAAAGAUAUUUACUACGCAGUUCCAAACUACACAUUACUAUGCAGUUAUGAUCAAUGGGAGAAAUACAGGAAAUAAGGCCAACAGCAGAAACAUACAGGAUAUAACACUAAAACUUGUUACACAAUGUUCUAUAGCUCUUGUCUAGGGGUAUAUUCACUAAGCAUUGUAUAUAGACAAAGUAUAUUAUUUCAAAUAGCUGACAUGCUUUAAGUUAGCCAAUUUUAAACAGACUGGCCAGCCGGUCAUCUGUAGUUUAAGCCUUGGGUAAAAUAUAGGCAAAGUGUAUUAUUCCCAACAGUGCUGAAAACAGGUGACAGGCAGCUCUAGCCAGGUGCCUCCUCUGCUUAAUGGGAAACUCUGCCCUAUUGGCAGUGUGUGCUUGCUGAGCUCAUGUUCAUUAAAAAGAAACACUUUACACCAAGAAUCCACCCAAUUGUUUUUCUGUCUGUACAUCUAUCUUUCCAUAUAUUUGACCUCCUUAUCUUCUAUAAGAAUGACAGCAGUGGACUCACAAUUCAGCAAACUUUUGUCUUUGUCUGUAAAACACAAACACAAAAACAAAAACACACAUCAUAGAAAUGGUAAGUAAAUACAAUAUCUGGAGACUCACAGCAACACUUACAAGAGUUUUAUAACUUUCACCCUUGGCUAUGCAAGUAUUGCAGAUCCAACUCAAUAAGGAUAUAGCUGGACAUGGAAUAUUGUAAAGUAACACUCAAGCAGUCUCCAUUACUUUUCCAUGUGAUGUCAGUGAGAAGAUGUUGGAGCUGGCCUUGUAGUUAAAGGUAUUCUUAAAAAAACAAAGGGAAUUGUAAAGGUAAGUUUGUAGAGACUGCAUCCGAGCAAUCUAAUCACUACAGAAAAUUGUAUUGGUUAUGGUGCUUGGUGUGCACCUUUAAUGAAGAAUGAUACACCAUAACAAUGACUGUAAUAAUAGGCUCAUAUUUUUGACAGUGAUAUUUAAUAGUGAAUCACCUGAUUAGUUCACAAUGUGCUUUCCGGGAGUAAGCUUGAAAGACCUUCACCGGUUAUGGAGACUCAUUCUCCUGCAAUGAGAGGUUUGUGCUUUUCACUUGUAAUCAACAUAGGUGAGUUAUGCUUGAAUCAGAUAUGGUUUAGCUAGAGGAAAUGUUUAGAUUAUAUAUGGUAUGUAGCAUCAAAUCAUUUUAUUAAUGUAUUUAUAUCGAUUUUCUCUGAAACUUUAAAGCAACUUGUUUCUACAAAAAAAAUCUGUUUAUCUAUCUUUCUCUAUCUGUCCAUCCAUCCCUCCCUCCCAUCCACCCUUCAAACCAUCCAUCCAUCCAUCCAUCUGUCAUAGCCUAUAUUUGUUAUAUUCUUCUGGUUUAUGUAACAAACUGUACUUUUUGACUGAUCUGUUUGCCUUCUUUGAUACAGUUACUUCUGAAUGCUUGUGCAUUUAUUUACUUUUUCAGUUUCCUACCCUGUAGCUCAAAAAAACUUUGACUGACAGCUUCAAGAAAAUCUAAAGACCAAAUUAUCCAAUAACUACAUUUCUUGUUUAGACACUUGCUGUAUAAUAAGCACUGCAUGUAACACAGAAAAUAGCAGUGACCUACUUUCAAAUGAUCUUCAGUGUACCAGUUUUAUUACCCAUACUAAGAGGUCUGAUGUAACAGAUAAAUAUUAAUACCAUUUUAUGAUGAAUGCCAAAGACGAGAGACUUACAACGGCGGGAACUAGACUAUAUUUGUGCAUAUUGUAAAUGCAUGACUUUCUUGAUACAUAUAAAUAUAAAGGGUCAUACUUGAAUUAUAUGAUCUGUUAAAGUACGGGUAAAAUAUUGCGUCAUGUCUACAGGUGAUAAAAACGAAAUUGUCAUCAUUAGAGAAUAUGUUCUUGAGAGAAUGUAUAAAUAUGAAAAGCUGAAAUGCCAUUUUUUUCUUUAGAAAUAUUUCAAGUUUCCAAUUGAGUGUUAUGUUGGCAUUCUUUUUUAUUGUUCUAAACUUCUAUUGAAGCGUGAAACUCAAUACAAAACUAAACAAAAUGAAACUGUAAACAGUGACAUUUGAAACAAAGCAUAAAUUAGCUUCUGGCAAGUGAUAUAGCAGAUUUUUCUUUGUAUCUAUAUCACACGUUGCAAUACUAUUAUGUUUCUGCCACCUGAUAGCUUGUAAUUUUUUGAAUCCAUAUAAUUCUGAUUUGAACAUUUUAUCAAAAAUAUUUGUCACUUUUGUCUUUAUUAAUUUUUGUUUUUUUGUAUGUCUUUUUUACAUUUUAAACUUUGUUUUUAUUUUUGUUCCUGUAACAGUAUAUAUACUAUAUGCUCACUUAAAGGUGCAUGCACAUGAUGUAAUUGAUUUCCAUUAAGUAUGUUUGAAUGUAUACAUCUAGUCAAAACUUUGUGUAAAUGUCUUGGGGGGAAAAAAAGCUUUAUGUCAUGAUACUCAAUGGAGUCUAAAAAUUGUUGCAUCUUCAGACUCUAAAAAAAUAUAUAUUUGAUACCUGGAUAAAAUUUCAAAUGUAGCCAAGCUAGAUUUUUUAUUUUUUCUAAUUUUUGUUUUAAAUUUUGCUAUUUUGAGUCUAUGAUUUUACAAGUCUGUUCUCAAGUCACAACAAAGUAUCAAAGCAAAAACUACUUGGUGAAUUAGGAAAUUGACGGAUGACCUGACAUGCUGAGUCUCCGGACAUGAGUCCCUUGGAACUGAAAUGGGAUGAAGAUUUACAGACAGCUUUCAAUGAUCUUUCAACACUUUCACGUGUAUUUUGGGCUAUUAUCUUUCUAAAGAAUAAAGGACAACCCAGCUAUAUUAAAGCUCUGAUAGAAUGGCUUGCCUCUGAAGUAUGAUAUAUCAUGGCUGUUCUAUAUCCUUUAUUUGUUUCUUAGUAUUUUGUUGUAAUUUCUCAUAUAACCUUUAUUUUAUCGAUUGCUGAAAUUUUGCUAGAAUAAUAGUUUUCAAGUCACACCAAUAGUCUAGGCUGUGCAUGCCAGGAUUUAGUCCAAGAUUUUCCGAUUCUGUUCCAAUGAGCAUAAGGACAAAACUUAGACUGCAAAAUUUUUGAAAACUGGAUAAGGAGCCAAUGCUAUAGAGGCAAAAGAUCAUGAGAGCCAUUUUCUGAUUAACAGUAAACACCUGAUACCUCCAAGAUUAUUAUAUUAUACCACCAUAUCCUAUAAUCGGAACUCAUGUUCCUGUAUUUUAUUAGAUCGACUCUGAUUACUUUGUUGUAACUUUGUUCUUUUCAUUCAUGGUUGCUUUUAAGGACUCAGUUGUACUGUCUGACAGGGUUCAUCACAAACGUGAAAAUACUAGGUGGAUUCAAAGUGAAUUUCGAUUAGAAUGUCAAAUUAGCUGGAAUAAAAGAAUCUCGAAAUCAGCUACUCUUUCAGUUUGGCUACUCUGGUCUUAAAUUUGAAAUACACUUUCAAUUCACUUUGAAUUCUUACUGUAAUAAAUAACCCUGUGAAUCUUGAAUCCUGUCAUAGGAUCCUAAAUCCUUAUUUUAUUUUUGAGUUUUAAUACUGGAUUUCUGCCAACUUGCUCCACUUAUCCAGUGAACCUUAUUGAGUGUCUCAGACUGAUCUCAUGUCACUUGACUUGAUCUAAUGCUAAGGAUAUAACUGCCUCCGGGUCUCGAAAUUUAUUUUUCUUUAAGCUGGAGGUUCAACCAGAAGUGGAGUAUGGUUGCCCUGCUUGGUCACUACCUUAAUUUUUGUCUGCAGUCAUCAUUUUUACUUAUAAAAAAAAAAAAAAUCUGCUUCCUGUUGCACCAACCCCUCACCUUCCUUAUACAUUUUCUUUCUUGUAUCAUGUAAUUAUUUCUCGAGUGCUUUUUUUCCUUGUCCAUUUUUGUGCAAAAAAGUGUUGUACAAUCUUAACUGCAAAACUACCCGCAAAAGACAGUUUGAGCAGUAGAUCAUGCUGCUGUUUAUUAGCUGGUUAAGUCGCUGAGGGAGAACUACCUUUACGCUCCUUGGAUGCUGUAUGAGCAGAGCUAUUACAAGACCUCAGAGUCAGACCCCAAAAGCUAAAGUACAAUCCAUCAUAUAGACUUCUAACAGCUGAAAGUCUUUUAGUUCCAAUAACUCUAUUGCUCAAAAACACAUCUAAAAUUAAUGAAAUGACAACCAAAGAUGUAUAGUCCCUUUUCCUAGACUGAAGAUACAGUAUGAGUUUGAAAAUAAAAAAACAGAGAAAAAUACUUUUUUUUUUUUUUUUGCUGCAUUAUGAUUUUCUACCAUGGGCUGCUAUAAAUAUUAUCAGUGCCUUACAAUAUGUACAGAGCUGUCAAAGAAAAGCUACUGUAUAGUAAGUUAAGUGUGAAAAAAAAUAAAACAACUCUUAUACGGAUGAAACCACUGAAGUUCCUGGUAAACUAGGUUUCAUUUACAGCCACCUGUUUAAUUAUUAUUUUUUUUUUAUAUAACUUAAUUUGACAUUAGCUAUAUUAGGUUUAUUAACUAAACUGAGAAAUACAGAGAUUUAAAAACAUGUAUUACAAUUUUUGGGUCAUAAUAAUAGAACUAAAAUUUGCAAUUUUCUUGUCAAUUGUCCAUGGUGUUUCAGUUUAUUGAAUAAGCCUAUUCGAAAGACAUUAUUGCAAAGGUCUUUUCUGCAAUUGUGAUGGCUUUUAGGUUGGCUGUGAAUCAUGGGAAAUGUAAUAAUAUAAUAAUACUUUGCCAUUUUUAUAGUGAUUUUCUCCCUGUGAGGCUCAAAGCACUUUACAAAUAUGCAAACAUAAAGACAAAAAAGUUAGGAGUUUCUCAAGGUCAGAUGAGUGUACUGAAUGCCUUAUAGAAGAGGUUGGUCUUUAGCUUUUUUUGAAAAGUCUGUAAGGAUGGUGCCACUCUGAUUGUGCACGGUAAAGAGUUCCAGAAGGUAGGGGCAGUGUGGCUGAAUGCCCUGGAACCUGAGUCUGUCUUUAUUCUUGACACUGACAGGAGGGAUUUAUUGGCUGACCGAAAUGAACGAGAUGGAAUAUAAGGUGUCAGGAGCUCUUUCAAGUUCAGUAGGCCUUGAUUGCUUAAGGCUUUGAAGGUUAGCAGGCCAAUUUUAAAAUAUGUUUGCCAUUUAAUUGGAAGCCAAUGCAGGGAGAGGAGAACUGGUGUUAUGUGGCAGGAGCGAGUUUGAUUGGUCAGUAGUCUGGCUGCUGCAUUUUGUACAGUCUGAAGGUAAUGGAGUUCCUUUUUUAGGAGGCCCAAGUAAAGUACUUUGUAGUAAUCUAGCCGAGAGGAUACAAAUGCAUGAAUUAAUGUUGGCAUAUCAUCUGGUGGAAUUAAGUGUUGUAUCCUGGCUAUGUUUAAGUAGGCAGAUUUAAUUACGGAGAAAAUCUGCUGUUUAAAUGAUAGUCCAGAGUCAAUCAGCACUGAGAGGUUGCGUACCUUUGAUGAACUAAUGAGUUCAGUGCCUUCAAGCUCCAGGCCAGUUGGGUGAUCAUGGGAUAUUGUUGUUGCCCGGGGUCCCCUCACCAAGAGUAACACUUUGUUUUGACUCAGUUCACUUUAAGCCAACAAGCAUUUAUCCAUUCUAUGAGGUCUGCUAAGCAACUAGGAAGAAGUAAUCACCUUUGUCUCUCACCAUAAGGAGAAAAUGUAGUACUCGGACUAGUGCUGUUUCAGUGCUGUAGUGGCAUCUGAAACCUGACUGGAAAGGAUCAAAGAUGUUCAAGCUUGAUAGAUGGGCCUCCAUUUGAGUUGCCACUACUUUUUCAAUUGUUUUCCCCAGAAAUGGAAGGUUGGAUACUGGUCUGUAAUUAGCCAUCCAGUCUGGGUCUAAUAAAGGUUUCUUUAGGAGAGGUUUUACCACAGCUUCUUUUAGAGAUCUGUUAAGUCUCCAGUUUUUAGUAAAACACUGCACUAUUUUUGUGAGGGCUGGGGCAAAUGUUUCAAUGCAUUCAGAUAUAAGCUGAGUUGGAGCAGGGUCUAAGUCACACGUAGUAGGGUGUAACUUUUGCAUGGUUCUUUUAGUUCCGUUUAUAUUCACAUUUGGAAAAGUAGACCAUAAACUGGGGCAAUCUGGCAUUCCAUUGUAGUAGUUCUAGUGUGUAACUGUUUGGCCUGCCGUGAUAGAGGCUCGAAUUAAGGAAAUCUUGUCUCUGAAGAAGAUUGCAAAUGCUUCACAUUUAUCCUGAGAAAAGUUGGUGGGGAUAUGCAUGCAUGCUGGUUUGCAGAGCCUUUCUACAGUUACCUGGGUCUAUUGUGGGAGAGUGCAAUUUCGUGUGAUAAAAAUAGAUUUUUUUCUGAGUUAUCUUGAAUUGAAAUUCAUUUAAAUGUUUGGUAAGAGCAACUGUAUCCUCUGGACCAUGUGUCCUGUGCCACUUUCUCUCGAGUUUACAGCCUGUUCUCUUCAUUUCUCUGAUGUUGCUAUCAAACCACGGUCCAUUGUUGUGUUGGUGCAAUGCUGUCUAGGGUGUCCCUCAUGGUUUUGUUGUAGAGUCAGACUAAGGAGCUGGGGUCUUCACAGGUGCCCAUUAGUUCACUUAGAUUGACAUGUGAUGUUACAUACAAUGGUGUCACCCCUUUUAAUGAGCAGUGUUUGACCAGGUUCUGAGGCUGGGGUCUGGCUGAUUGUGAUACAAUGGAGAAGUGAAUGGAGUGGUGGUGUUACCAAACAACUAGAUUUAGUUACUGGUGACACUUCUAGUCCAGACUGGAACACUAGAUCAAGUGUAUGACCCUUUCUGUGGGUGGAAGUGGAGAUGAUUUGUGUGAAGCUGAGUGCACUCAUCAAGCUGAGGAGAUCCUGCUCAAGCAGGGAUAGAGUGUCAUCAAUCCAAUGUGUCAUCAAUCCAAGUGUUGAAGUCUCCCACCAUCUAGGGUGUUCAAAGAUUAAAAAGAGAAUGUUACCUGCACUCUGGCAUAAAUCCCUACGUACAUUUAAACAAAAUGGAGGCUCUUUAGUUUUAUUCCAAAGGCCAUUUGAAUAUAAGCUCACCUGCCCCAUAAAGGCAAGCCCCAAAAGGUGAGUCCUACUCUAGCCAUUAGAUUUGCUGAUAUCAGCCAAGAAUCUCCAAUGAGACAGGAAGGUGUAUUUUAUAAACAGGUGAGCUUAUAUUCAAAUGGCCAUUGGAAUAAAACUAAAGAGCCUCCAUUUUGUUUAAAUGUACAUAGGGAUUUAGGCCAGAGCACAGGUAAUGUUCCCUUCGUUUUUACUAUGUAUUUUGAGUUGUUGGAUACUAAGCUACUGCUGCUGUAAGCACGGUGCUUUAUCUUUGUGUUUAAGAGUUUCUGAAGGAAUUUGUUCCCAUCUCCUGGGAGUCUGUAUAUUAACAGAAUAUGGAAUCCUCUACCUAUUGAGAGGCUGGCAGCUACGCAUUCAAAAGAUAGGGGCGCCUGGGAAGACAUGUAGUAGAUAAACAUCUGCAAUGCCAAGGUUAGCUGUUACUGAUAAGUCUUUGCUGGAAUAAGUCCAAGGUUUGCAUACAUGCCUUUGCUAGCAAACAUAGUGCCAAUGUCAAAUGAAAUUAAACAAUGUCCAAUGGGAGGCAAUUGUAGUUGGAGUUUCUAAUUUUGCAUAGUCCCCCAUUUGUUGGGAAAAAAACUGUGUAUUAACAUGAAUACACACAACAUGGAAUUCAUUACUGUCAUUGUAACCUCAUAAAUUGUCAGCCUUGAUUGAUGUAAUAGAUGUGAUUGAAUUCACAAAUGCAAAUUGAUAAUUGACUUUAAGAUCUCUCUAUGGGAACUAAUUAUAGUCUAAUAAAAUGUCCCUUGAUAGAGUAAUAUUUUCAAAGCAAUACUGUAGUGUUAGGAAUACAAAACAUAUUCCAGACGCUAUAGUGUUCCUCUACCUAUGCAGUUAUCCGCUGCCUAUGAGGGUUUGAAAGUUGAGUUUUAAUUACCUUUCUUCCCCCGUUGGGCUGGUCUCACUGCAGCCACUCUGCCUCCCUGGCUGAGAAUAUCAAGAUUGAUGAUCUUAGCCAAUCCAUUAUUUUCACAAUAGGGAAGUACUGGGAGGCUAGUGCGCAUUUGUAGAAAAUCUCUCUAGUAGCAGCAGUUGAAAUGAGGACCACAUUUGACUUGGUUCUCACAGGGAAGCAACUCUAAUAACUCUCAGGAAGACUGCUUCUAGAGGUGUGUUAAACCUUGCAACUGAGAGCUAAAACUAAAUGACCACUGCACCCAGACCACUUCAAUUUUAAUUAAGUGAUCUGGAUUCCUUAUAUGGUCCCUUAAUUUAAAAUAUGAAUUAUUUGGAAAAGCCUUUUGACGUUGCAUUCUUAGCAUGUUAAAUUGCAUAUCUCUUUGCAGAUCUGUUUGCUAUUGUUAUUUUCUUUUCUUCAUAUUACAUUUUAAUAAAUCAACAUAUUGCAACAUAUUGCACACAGUGCAAUAAAUAACCCACCCUAAAAACAUUGUUAUUAAAUAUAAGUAAGUGCCAACUAUACAAGCUUUUUUGUUUGUAUAGUUCAGUUUGUAUCUUAAUGUGGUUUCUAUUUUAUUCGUGGGAGUUUCUAGUAAGUUAGGGGGUUUGUGCAAUGCAGUUUUACAUUUUACUGAGAAUUAAGGGUGUUUUAUGCAGUUUUUCCAGUUUCCAACAUUGCAUCCAAUGUACUUCCGGUGCGAAUGAUCGUAUUGCUAGAACCAUAUGAUGCAACAUUGCUGGAAUCACAUGACACUGACCUGUAUGAUCAUGGUGACAUAGCCUUUAAUCCUGACAGUCAUAUAAUGUGGAACACCUGGAGGAAAGGAAGGACUUUUCUAAUGGACCUUAUAAAUAAAAUGCUUUUUAAAAUGAGAGUUGAAAGUCAUUGUGCUAUUGGAUAGCUUAUUAUUAUUAGGCAUUCAUUUCAGGCAUUCGGCAGUUCAUCAUGUCAUUUGUUUCAGGCAUUCGGCUGUUCGGAAUGUCGUUCGUUUAAAAAAAAUUAACGUGUGUGGUUUUUUUUCUUAAAGAGCAAUGUUUUACAUUGCAUAGUGGACCACAGCAGCACCCAGACCACUUAAUCUUAAAGAAGUGGUCUGGGUUUAGUUAAUAAGUAGUGUUAGUUUAGUAUAUAUACAAUUUACAAAAUUAUAUUUUCACUGCACAGAUAGUGCAGCCAAUCAGGGAGCACUACCAGCAUGAAACACUUCUGCACACUAUAUAAUCCCACCCCUGUGACACCAUCUUUGUGAAGAGUUUAGGAGCAGAGAGUGAGCAGAGUGUGCGAGCAAAGAGAAAACAAUUUGUGUGUGAACAAGCCAGUGAAAGUGUGUUUGAGAGAGAGAGAGCAAAGUGAGAACAAAUGAUGGCUGGUACACAAAAUUAAUCACUGCAGUAAAGUCACAGUGCAGCAGAGAGACACUGGCAAUCAGACUACCUGGCUUUCACAGCCACACACUCUCUUACCCCCCCACCCCCUUCAUAAAAAGAAACAAAAUGCAGAAGAAGAAAAAAGGCAAAACUCUCUCUCUCUCUCUCCCUGGAACACACACACUAAAAAGCAAUGUGGCUCCCUAAGUUUACAACAAGUAAAGUACAAUAAAUUUAAUGUAAUUUAUCUAUCUCAGUCUCUUGUGCUAUCACAACUAGUCUGAUCACAUGAAUGCAAGCCAACACCCUGGCACCCUGAUAUAUUUAUAUAUUAUGCCACCGCAAUGACUCUGUAUGCCUUCAUUGGCCAAGUGUCAGUGACAAAUUCACCAUUAAUUGGCUGUCCUCCAACAUCAAUCACAAAAAUGUGCUAAUUUCAUUGGACAGGGAAUAGUGAAACCGGAUUGGCCAACCAAGCAUUACAUUGCACAAAAUGAAUUAGCUUAUUGGUGAAGAUUCCUGUCAUUAUUCACGUAAUUUUCCCUCCCUCUCUCUUGUUUUGCCACUUUUCAGAAAUCUGAAUCACUUCGGCACUUCGGAGCUUCCGAACUACCGAACUUCAUCACUUCCUAACUUUGGCACUUCAGAACCUCAGCACUUCGGACAUUCAGUAGCAUCCGAAUGUUCGAAUGUCAUGAAAUUUAUAUGAAUGUACAUUCGGAAAGAAACAAAUUGCACAUGUCUAAUAUUUAAUACCACUCUUUUUAGGGUUGGUUAUCUAUUGCAUUGUACACACUUUAGAUGUUGGUUUAUUUGUAUUUUUGGGGAGUAAGGGACCCUUCUUAUUUAGAGCAGCAUGUGCACUUUUAUGUAUGUUUAUGCCAAUUAAUUAUUCAAACAACUAAUACAUAAUCUUUCACAAUUUAUUACAUUUAAAGCCAUGUGAUAUUUUAAGAUAUGCUAUUAAAUAACAUUAACUAAAACACCCUAUCUGCUGGAUGCCUUGGACUGUAUUUUUAAUCUGGCUAAAUGUCCAUCUACUGUGUGUGUCAUCACUUGAAGAACCUAUUUACGCCUUUGACAGCUAACCAAGAUAAUUGUAUAGAUUUACUGGACAAAUCUAGUUAGCUCUAAAACUCUCUAAAGUUUGCUGCAUUCCGAAAAUGAGAUAUACAGUUGUCACAACUCCACUUGUUUAAGAAGGGGGGUAACCAAUAAAACACUCUUCUUCUUUUUUUUAUUUAAAUGUAGGAAGAAUAUGUUUCAUGCGUUACUGUUUCUGUGGACGCCAAGCCAAACAUAUGAGUUUGCCAUAUGCUCUCAGCUGCUGAAGUUGAUUGCAGGUUAAUUCUCGAAUUCGUAUUUACUAAACUAAAUUGUAUUGAAUCAAAAACCAAGUAUCACAUUUUAAACAAAAUUAACUAACCUGAAAACAUUUUUUACCUCAGUUAUCAUGAAAACUUGGCUAUUUUAGCCAUUUUCCUUCCAAUUCUCUUUCCAGUACACCACAAUUUGCUGUUUAGUGCUGACCUUAAAUUUGCAAUUCACUUUGAAUUAUCUCUUUGGUAAAAAAAACAAAAACACAGAGAAUGUUGCUUCAUACAGAUGCACAUUGUUAUGCUGACAUCAAGUAACUUUUUUUUAAUUAUUAUUGUUAUCGCUUUAAGGAUCUUCCUGAAUCUUCCAGUUGUUGCUGGUACAGUUGCCUUAAAUAUAUGACUAAAGAUAGCUUUAGAACUUUGGUAAAUAUUCUUUGCAUCAAGCUUCAACAAGAUAAGUGCUUUUUGAAAUCACUUCAUGUCUUCCUUGACAGAUCUGCAUUUGUUUCAUGUUAGCCCUAAGUAUAAUGUAAUUUCAGCCUUUUUCUUUUAAUCUAAUAAAAGGUUUCACCGUUUAAAAUGUUUUUGUUACACUUGAGUCCACUUCUUUUUGUUUUCUGACUAAAACCAAUGGAUUUUAAAUAUAAUUAUUUCUAAAUCUCUACAGAAAAUUGAAUCUUGGGGGGAAAAAAAACACCUCAAUGUCUGCUCCAAACUCCUGAGAACACAAGUCCAGAUUGCCAAUAAUGAAUUUAUAACACAAGGAUGUUGUUAAAAUGUGACUGGAGUACCAAUCUCCCAAUCUCCCAGUGCAUUUACAUAAUCAUCAAUAGUGAUGUGUAUAGAAUUUAUGAUCAGGCCACAAAUGGCAAUUAAGUUGUCUGCAGAUUUUUUACACUGCACAUUCCUUUUUAUUCUUUUUUUCAUUGCUGCAAGUUUCAUUUUUUUUAUAUACUCUGUGACUCAAACAUAUUCAGAAUUAACUCAUUAAUGACCAAUUACAUUCUAGGAAUGGGAUAGAAAAAAAGGUAAAUUAACAGCUGGUUAGGAAUUGCAGCUUCUGUGAUGUUUUGUCAUCCAGCAUAAUGGGAGGUGCACUUUUUCAACAGCAGAACGUCUACAUAUUUGCUAUAAUGUUUUUUUCUUUGAUCUGGUCAUUAGAAAGUUAAUAUGCAUUUAUGAAUUGUCGGUAUCCAUUCUACACUUCACUCCUUGGGUAAGUACCAUCUGUCCCCCUCCUCCAUCACCUCCUUCUCCAUCACCUCCAUCAAAAAGAUAGGACAUAACGACUCUGACAGCUACUUGAAAAUAACUAAAAUUUAAAUAGUUAAUGCAGGACCUAUAGUAAUGCCUUCUUUGCAAAUGUUCUGUAUUCACAUCCUUCGUAAUUGUCCUGUAUUAAUACAUAUAGCCGUCUUUCUUUUUCCAGAACCCUUAACUCACUGCCUCCAUAAACCAUUCACACAUCUAUUACAAACCUAGUUGGUAUGAUCUGAUGAAUGCCAUAGGAUCUUGAUGUAAAUGCUUGGAGCUCAGUGUGAGCCUAUUUUGUUGAGUCAUCAGCAGAAUCCCGCAGAUCUUUGUAUUCACAUGAGCAUGUAAUGGAAGCAUGCUGUUAAUGGGUUGAGGGACACUGUAUGUUGCUGCUGUGCCAUUAAAUGUAUUGUUUAUACUCUGUCACAUCCUUAAUUUACACUCUGCUUUCUCGCACAGUAACUGAUCUUACAAAUGUAUUCUCGUGUCUCUGCUUUCUGUACCCUUAAAGUUAAGGUAUCAGGUCCAGGAUAAGGAAAUAACAAUAUUCCCAGCAUACAUGACAUUAGACAUAUGGAACCACUAGCCCUCUGGAGGCUGCCUGAACAUCAUAUCAGUGGUGGUCCAAAGCUAUUUUGAAUGUAAGAGGUUGCCUGUUUCCUACCCCAUGGAGGUAGAUCCAUCAAAGUGACUGAGCCAGUAAUUGGAUGACCUCUGCUUGAGCAGUGUGAUAACCUUAAAAUGUGGCCUUUUAGCAGCGCCCAAGGACUCAAGUUUCCUAUGCCAGUUUGAGUCCUCCUGCUUUCAACCUAUCAAUUUGGAUUCAAGCCGUGCUAUAAUUUCUGCCAUUGCAGCAUACGGAGGCUUUUAAUAUAUAUGUCUCAUGGCUUUCUGUCCCUCGACUUGUGGGAAUUGUGUUUUUUUUUUUCAUUUUCCUCCUCUGGGAAAGUGAGAAAUAUGGUGAUGCCAGUUUCAGUGUAUAUCACAUAUAAUUUGUGACCAUGCUCCAUUUCGAAUGGGGAAUAAUGUGUUGAGUUUUUAUUGCAUUUCCCACUCCUUCCCGGUUAACAAUUGCUAAUGUAUAUCCCUGCUGGAAGUGGCUGCUAAAUGUAUGCAAAUAAUAGCAAAUUAUUAUCUUUGCCUGAGGCCUUAUUUAAUAUUGUCUGGAAAUUGCCAAUGACAAUGCAGAAUAAAAGCCAGAGCAAUAUAUAAAACAUAGAUUGUGACAGCAAAUAAGAACCAGUUCUUCAUUCUAGUGUGCUCAUAAUGCAAUUUCAUACUAAGGGGUUUAUUGACUAAACACAACAUUUUUACUGAAUUGAAUUGCAGAAUUUAGGCAAAUGCAGCUGAUUUGGAGAAAUAUUGUAACCUGCCUUUAGUCACAGCUUGGGUUCUUUAGCAUUAUUUUUGCAAUUUGGAUUUCAUUUGAUACAAUUAACUGUUUAGUGACUACAUUAAUUUAGAGGUUUAUUUUAACAAUGAAUACAAAAUGGAUUAAAAAAAAAUCAUAACCAAAUUUGCAGUACUUACACCAAGUUAGGGGAAUUGGGAAAAUAUAGCCAGUUUAGCUACAUUCCUGCCUCCAAUCCGGAAUUUUAGAUUGAAACUGCCUUCAGAUCACACCUGUAAUAGAGGGUGCCUCUUCAAGCCUUUGACUAACCAUCCUUCAAGUAUUACAAACCAGAGAGUUACAAUAUUGCAUGUAAAAAUCAUCAGACAUGUUUAUUUUUGUUAGGCGGUCUUGUGGAGUCUUAUGGUCAAAACCACAAAAUACCACACACAGGCUGUGUUUAUAUUUGUAAACAUAAAUAGCGUCAAAUGCAAACACACCAUUUCAAGUAGGCAUGUAAGUGUGCAAGCAGAUGUACUGCAGAUGAAUAAUCCAAAAUUUAACUGCACCACUACUUGCUGUGAGUUGACACACACACACACACACACUCACACUCACUCACACUCUCUCUCUCUCUGUGCUAAACACAACUAAUUUUGUGUUUCACUGCUGAUAAUAUGUUUGCUAUAAAUUAGAAUUUCUCUCAUUUAAAAUCAUGACAUGUAAAUGGUAGCAUAGAACUAACCUAAGCUUUGUUUAUUUGUUCUUUAUCUCCUUGAAUGUGUUUUUAGCAUCCCAUGAGCAUAAGCAAUGUAGGCUUUGAUUUGUGAAUUGAAAGUCAAAUUACAAAAGUCAUACUGCAACAGACAAGCUGGAACUACAGCCUUGCUGGAGAAUGUUUGCGAGUCAACUAUGGUAGUGCUGAAAGGGUGAAGAUACAAGUAGUGAUAACUACCUGUUAAAAUGCGAAACUAUAAAAAGCUGUACGGGCAAUAAAGAAAAAGUAACCAGUUACUUAAUAAUUGUAACUUGUAACAAAAAUGUGAUUAAAGACAUUCUAAUGUAGCCACAUAUAAUUAUAGAUUUUGGAUGUAGGCUCUUAGAAUACACAGUGUGUGGAUGUUUAUUAAAAUAUGCAUAAAAUGCGUAUUAAAAUGUUUAACAGCUCCAACAAAGUAGAAAAUUGAGCUAGAUUAUUUAAUAAUUCAGUGUGGAAUGCCACUUUAUAACAUUUUAUUUAAGGACUAAUGUAGAAACAAAUAUACUUAUAGUACUACAAUUACAGUAUCAUAAUUUCAGUUUUAUGCAUAAAAAUCAUAUUUACUUCUUUUUUUUUUUUUUUACCACUAGUCCCUCAGACCCCACAGAGCUGUGUUCUCUUGGUGUUUUAGGAUCACACAUUGUUAGUCAAAUAAAUGCACAUUAGGGUGAAAGUUUUAGUAAAAUAUGAGGUUACAUAGGACCAGUUUAUUCUCCACUCCUAACACAUAAGUUAAUUUUUGUUUUGCAUUGCAAUUACUUUCUAUAUUGCUCCAAUACUGGCUCCAACAAGGCUGAAACGAUUGUCUGGGGUUGCUGUAUCUCUCGUGCAGAGAGAACUUGCUGGCAUUUUGGAUCUGGACUGCCCGUAUGGGUGGGACCAGUCUGAUAUGCUUCAGAUAUGUUCUCUCUGUAAUGGCACAAGAUGAGCUAAAACCAGCUUGAGUUCUGAGCAGGGACCCACCGAAGGGCAGGCUAUUUUAGCUGCUGUCCGUUCUCAGAAUACUCUUGCGACCCAUUUUUUGCUCUGGUUUUAACUCUGCAGAAAAAAACACACCUGUAAAUGUCAUCUCCUUCCAUCCUCCCCCACGGUACAGUAGCCUUUGAAGGUCAAACUUCAUGGUUUCAAGCCCAUAGUCAGGAAAGGAGUACAGUAUAGGGAUUCUUUAUGUGUUAUGGCAUUUGUGUAAGCAAAACUAACCUGGUAGUAAAGAGGUUAAUAUAAAUCCAAUGCAUGUGUUCACUUAAAUAUUUUCAAAGAUAAAAGAAAAAUCAUGACAAGCCACAGAAAAUGAUGCCUUCCAUACUUCAGUAAAUAGCUUCUUUUUAAUAGUGAUCGGUGACAGCAGAGAAAAUAAAAUAUAGGUUAUUAUAUACCAAACUGGAUUUAAGGCUUAAGAUUGGUAUUUGGAAUGAUAACUUUACUGUGAUCUUGGACAAGAAAAACUUUUCAUUGUGAAAACCCAGUGGAUGCUUGACAUGACAAAUACCUUUAUUGGAUGAAUUCUCUUUUUCCAAUUAGAUAUUGCCAUCUAUCUACCAGCCUGCAAAACUCUGUAUUGCUAGUUUUUAUACUUCUACCUGUUCAUUUUCAUCACCGAUCAAUGAGUGUUUAUUAAAACAAAUCAUAAGAAUCAUAUAAUUUCUGAUACCCUGAUGACUUUUUGGAUUAAGAUUUACUGGUUGUAUUUUAUAUGAUCCUUCAUGGAUGUGAUUUUUGAUCAAAGUGAACUUUAUCAAGGAAAGAGGUUGCUCUUCUAAGUCAAAGUGCCUGUUAAGAGGCAGCUGACUGGUUUCCUUGGUGUUUGCGUAAAUCAUUAGAAACAUCCUUUCUCCAAAAAUAUUGAACAUUUUAACCUGUAGGCACAAUAAGUAUUGUGUGAGCCUAUAACAAAAAGUACCGUGGUAAAUGUAUACAUGGACCAAUGUUUGUAGAAAGUGUUCCAGAUGAAUAACACUUUUACCACAGUACCCAAUGAGUAAACUAAUCAAUGAUUUGCCAUUGUAAGCUAAGGAAAGAGCGUUCCAUAUUAUAACUGUAGCCAUAGGUAUUUAAAAUAGAUAUGUCUAUUAUUGCUUACAAAUUUAGCAACCCUAGCUGUUUUGUGUAUCAUUUUUCUGCAACCCACCACUCUCCCUGAAAAUGUUUAAAUAAGCAAAGUUGAUCAUUUAUUAUUCAUUUUUUUUUUUGCGUUUUAAAGUUUAAUAUAAAAAUCUGCUAGACCAUGUCAUGUUAUUUUGGUCAUUUUUACCAUUUACAAUGGUUUGUCACCCAGAGAGCCAAGCCUUGACUUAGCUGAGUGGCUUUAACACUAACUUCUAUUCAAUUAUUGACCUCUAGCCUUGCUGUGCUACUGUACACACAAUUCGGCCAUUUCAAUGUUAAUAGAUUUUAUAAAAUGUCAUGUGAACAUGCUUCCAAAAGCAACUUCCCACAAGAUACCCCAUAUUUCAUUAAUGUUGAUGAUAGACAGUAUUUACUAGUUGAGUGAACUACUUAUUCUGCAGUUUUAUUCAUAGCAGAAAUUCCUGUUUACCCAUCCUCCCAUCCAUCCAUCCCUACUUGCAUAAAAGGCUUGCCUAGAAGAGCAUUUAAUGUACACAGAGACAUAUGCAGUGCACUUAAUUAGGACUCUCCAUCAUUACAUCUUCAGUACACCUCUUACUGGUUUUGUGGUCAAUAGCUCAGACUACAUACUGUUUAGCCACUCAUUAAUGUCUCUCAUAAUCAACCACGGUCCUAUUCUUUGUAAUGCACUUAAUUCCAAACUUGUCUAUAACAUGGCGUUUGUUAACUGCAGGGAUCCUCUGCAAUGUGGAACUCUUAAUUCAAAAGGUGCAUAUGUAAAUAUCUGUUGGUGACAAUGACAGAUGGAACUAUAUCAUCAAUGUUUCCACUGGCCACCCUGUGUAGCAUCCCUCAUACCUGGUUUGAUUAAAUGUAAGUUUUGGUACCCUUAUUUUUAAUUUAUGUCAGAUAAUUUUCUGCUGCUUAAAGUUUUCAGCAUCGAGUGUAAUAUACAUAAGAAAGAAAAACAAAGAAUUGUUCAAGCACUCUGUAUUAGAAGAUAAAUGACCAUGUUUUGUAAUGGUUUACCUAGGUCUAAGUUCCUAACCACUUCAUUUAUUUACUAAUACAGUUCACCUGGAUUCAUUCAUAUGAAAUGGUCUAUAUUCUCCCUUGCUGUGCAAAUUUAACCCUGAACUGUAUUUUUUUUGAUCAAGUAACCAUUGAGAUGCGGGUAACCAUUCCAUUAUGUGCUUUCAGUUGGGAACACCCAAAUAGGUUUGUUCCCUACUUUUCAUUGUCUUUUUCUACCACACUACUAACAGCAUUCAUUACAGUAAAUUCAAGACUGUUUUGUUCUGAGUGCAGGAUCUAUUGCCUUUAAGUGCAACUCUGGCCAUAUCGGAUAAGCUGUGGGUUGCUGAAACACUUUUGUUAUAAUUUAAUGUUCAGCGGAAAUGACUUAGUAAUAAUACAUAUGGCUUGCAGCAGAAUGUAUGGAUAUUACAGAAUGUUCUGAACAAAUGUAUGCAUUUUAUUUUUUGUAGCAUUUUUUUUUUAAAGUUCCUAGUCCACACAAGAAUGCUUUGCAGUACUUCUUUGCUAUAUAAUGGAGACAGACAGAUAACUAGCCGCUCUAACCAAUGUGGAAUUUACUCAUUUUGGAUGUCUGUUACGUCUGCAUGAAGAUAGUUAUAGACUGCCUACUGAAAAUAAUCAAGGCUGUCACAUUGAACUUUUUUUAUUAACCCUUUGUCUCUAGUUCCCCUUGUUUGAAAAGGUAUAGGCUACUUGUUAUGGGACACGUUCUCUUUAGAAAUUUUUUGGCAAUGGGUGAAGCUAAUCCUCAGUUCUUCCACAGUUCAUCCUCAGUUGCCAAGGUAAUUUACCCACAAAUCAUCAGCCAAUGAAUCACAUAGAAGGAAAAAAAUGCAAACAUCCUGGGCAGAGGAGAACAAAAUGGAAGAACAGCAAAUAUUGAAAUAUGGCACAAGGAAGAAAAGAUAAUAAAUGUAAAUAAAGGCAGUCAUGAUGAUAUAAGUGGCAAAAGGACAAUUAAAAGAUGAGUGUUUAAGUUCCAGUUAUUUUCUUAGUAUCCCACCGCCCUUUCUAUGAUAGGAAAUGAAUCUCCAUUCAUUGUCUCAAUCAUUAUUUCCUUAUCACAACAUCAUAUUUAGCACUUUAAAUAAUCUACCUGUCUGAUUUCACUAGGGGAAUAUAAAUUGCAAAAAUCAUGGUAACUUACAUGUUUGUGACUGCCUGAGCAAAAUGCUAAAUGCAGUUUGUAUAAUUUGGGUGCCAAGGCUAUUCAUCACUGGUUUAUCACCAUUGUUACAAAAACAUUUGAACUAAGGUUUAAGAAUUAUCAUGCACUGCUCUACCAAUAUAGUUACUUUAGCCAAUCCUAUGUUAUUUAAUGAAGCAUGUGACAGCUAAAGGAAAAGGAAGGUGGGGAGAUGAAAUGUAAUGUGCCCUGAAAAAAAACAUCACAUACAGAAAUGGCAGCGAGAGACAUUUUCAUAAUUAUAUGGUUCGAUCUGGUUGGUUUGAUAAAGCUAAUCAGAUUUAACAAAUGACGCACAGUAAAAAUCUUGCCUGUUCUUGUGUACUAUUGAACACAUUGAUUCAUCACUGUCUGGCUUUUUGUGAAUUCAAUUUAAAAUGCCUACAUUUGUAAAAAAAAAAAAAAAAAAGUCUGUUUUCAUACUUCAAUUGUAUUAACUUCCAGGCAAGCCAAAAUGCCGCCCACUUCUCUUAAUUUGGCUCAGUGGGUUGGGGACCAAAACUCUGCCAUCACAAGCACUGCAAAUUAUAUUUGUUCCAAAUGACUGCCAAAGAGCCAGUCCAGAUGUCCUCAGAGCAGGGGCAUACCUAGAACAUUUUUUUUUUUUAAAUAUAUUGCACAAAUUUGUAAACAUUGUAAAACCCCUGAAAGCCCCAUUCUACAAAACCCCUGUCCUGCCCCUUUCCUAAUAAACCCCUGCCUUGCCCCCCUUCUACAUAACCCCUGUAGUGCCCCUUCUACAAAACCCCUGCAUUCCCCUUCAAAAAUCCCCCGCUCAGCCCCCCUUAUACAAGACCCCUGUCCCAAUACAAAACCUCUGCCCCCUUCUACAAAAUCCCUGCCAACAAUCCUGGCCACACCCUCACACACAGUUACAGACAGACAGUCACGCACACAUAAGCAGUUACAGGCAGACAGUUACACACGCUCAGUCACUGGGAGACAGUCACACACACUCAGGAACAGGCAGACACUCACACACACUCAGUAACCGGCAGGCAGGCACACACACACACACACACACACACACACACAGUGACAUGUACAGGCACACACACUCAGUAACAGGCAGACAGUCACACACAGUUACUGGCAGACAGUCACACACACAUGCAGUAGCAGGCAGACAGUCACACACACACGCUCAGUUACAGGCAGAUAGUCACACACAGUUACAGGCACACAGUCACACACAAUAACAGGCAGACACACACACACACAGGAACAGGCACACACACACUCAGUAACUGGCAGACAGGCACAAACAUACACACACACACACACCCAGUGAUAGGCACACACACACACACACAGUAACAGGCAGACAGUCACACACAGUUACAGGCAGACAGUAACACAAUUACAGUCACACACUGGCAGACAGUCAGUCAGACAGUCACGCAGUCAGGCAGGCAGACAGACAGACAGGCAGACACACAGACAGCUAUUGUGCCUGCUUAGCUUUUUGGGUAUGUAUGUAUUUUAGUGUGUGUUUGGUUAUUUGCACAUGCAUGUCUGUGUAUUUGUAAUUUGUUUAUACAUGUCUGACAGAUUUGUUUACUAAACUCUGAAUUUUAGAAAAUGAUAUAUGAAUUAUAAAACUAAAGCUAAUUAUUAGUUGGAGAAUUAUUUCCUGAUCAGUUUUUCCCCAAAAAUUUUUACAUCUACUUUUUAACUACUAAUCUAGUUAAAAUAAUUACUAGUAGAUUGGAACCUGAUAUUUUGUGCGUUGACAAUGUUGCCUGCUUAGCUUUUUGGGUAUGUAGAUUGUAUCCUAUUUGUCCUGUAUCAAAGUAUUACAUACAAAAUUUAUUAGAAAUGUAAAACUUUCCCAGCCCUUCUCUACUUCCAAGCCCUAAUACAAGAAUCCUACUUUCUCGGUGUUAAAAACUGAAUGAUACAGGCAACUUUUGGAAGAAAGUACUGCAGACAGAUGAAAUGAAAGUGGUACUUUUUGACAUCAAUGAAAAACUUUACAUUUUGUGAAAGCAAUAUACAAAAAAAUCUGACAAAAGAUCGUUAUCAUAACUGUGAAGCAUGGUGGUGCAAGAAUCAGUCCUGUUCAUGGCUGCUUGGCAAUCUCAGAAUCUGGACAUCUCAUUGAGGAAACAAUGAAUUAUGGAUUGUAUCAGAUAUUUCUACAAGAGAAUGCCAGUGUGUCCAUCUGUAAACUGAAACUUAAGUGAAAGGGUUAUGGGGCACAACAUCGGUCCUAACACAACACACAAGCAAAUCUAUAACUGAAAAGCUGAAGCAGAAGAAAUAUCACGUCUUUGAAGGUUCAAAGUCCUUACCUUAAACCAAAUGAAAUGUUGUGGCUUGACCUAAAGGGAGCAGAUCAUGCAAGACAGCCCAGAAAUAACAAUAACUUGAAGCAAUUCUGGAAAGGGUAAUGGUUCAAAGCCAUCCAAACAUGUGUGUGGUAUUUCUCAGCAAGCACUAGAAUGUAUUUCUGCUAGCUGUGACUUGUUACUAAAUCUCAGGAUUCAUGUAUAUUUUCUAUAAAAGACAAUGACUGUUGGAUUGUGUAUUAUUUUAUUAUUUAUAUAGCGCCAUCAAAUUCCGUAGUGUUGAAUUAAGCCUUGAAGAACUUGUAUUUUAUAUUUAUUAAAUCGUAUUCUAUUGUUAGGACUUAAAGCUAUUGUUAGAACCUCGGUUGUUAGUAUAACUAAAAUGAAGAUCAGAUCACAUCAACAAAUGAGCAUAUACCAUCAAAUUAAAUAAUGUUAAGAUGAGAUUCAAACUUAUAUUUGCAUCCGCAAAUUCAUCCUAAUGCCUUGCAGUGUCUGAGUUCUACUUCCUCUUUCAUAAAUAACAAUUGUGCCCAGGGUUAGAGUCACUCAUCUGCCCCUAUACUGGCUAUUUCAUUCUAAACUGGCCCAUCUCUUUAAAAUGUUUUGAGUUUAUUGUCUGUUAUUAUAUUGUCUAAUUAAAAUGAAUUGUACAAUAAAUAAAACAAAAAGACAAUACAAAAUUUUGAUAAACACCGGAGGAGUCGAAGACUAUAUCCCCUUGAAAACAAUGUAGUUGAUAGAAGUGAUAAGAAACAAGAGAUGGAGACUGUAAAGGUAAGAAUUAUGUUAAUACAAAGUGAGAUGAGGGCAUUUACAGGGUAUGUGAGGGUUAGGCUUCCCUGAAUCAAAACGUCAUUAGGGAACUUUUAAAGGAAGGCAAACUUGUAGAAAGUCUGACCGAGAAGAAAGUGCAUUCCAUAUGGUUUGUGCCAGACAAGAAAAGAAGUCCUUUAGUCUAGCAUUCAAAGAGCUGAUAAUAGAGGAUACAAGGAGCAGGUUGUUUUUAGAGUUUAGGGGGUGGGCCAAGGUUCGGACUGGCCAUCGGGCAAACAAGGCAAUUGCCCAGUGGGCCAUGUUGACACAAAACCUGGUUUCUUUAAAAAAAAAAAAAAAAUUCUAAACAAAAAUAGGUUUAUACAACUCCCUUACAUUCAAAAACUUUUAACCCUUCAUUCCAUUUAAAUUCUGAUAUAACUCAACAGUGGCUACUGCUUGCAAAUUCUAAAAAAAAUGCUUAAAAGUGGGGAUUUUUGUAAAGAAUUAUCAAACAUAAAUAAAGAAAAAACAAUAUCCCCACGCUAAGAGUAAACCUAAAACCACACAGUUUUGUACAGGCACAAAUAUCUCAGUUUCACUGGGGAGACUAUAAGUAGCACUCUAUCUGCCACUGGAAUCCAGUGAUAUUUUUGUGUUUAUGUAUGCUUGCUGAGUUUUAUAGAAACACAUUUAGGAUUUUAACAUGAUAAAAUGUGCUACAGAUCGAUUUAUGUAACCUGGCCUUCCAAUCAUUUUUAUUUAUACUAUUUUAUCCCAUUUUCUGUUAUAUACACUAUACACAAUUUCCCCUAUGUGUCAUGGUACGCUGUUUGUCAUUAAUCACCAUAAAUAUAAUUACAUUUAGCAAACCAAUGCCAUUACUUAAUCCAAAUGGUAAAUUUUAUGUAGCAAUGUACAAAGUAGUUAAACUAUAUGAUUAGUUUAGAUUAUACAGGUCAUGACACUUUUAGGACUGGUUCAUAUUAUACAGAGCAUUGCACUACUAGGUCAGGUCCAUAUAAAGGAGGGCAUGCCACUUGCCAAAACUUGUGCAUACUGUAGAGGGCAGCAACUUCCAGGACUAGUGCAUAUUAUAGGGGCAUGCCACUUCCAGUGUAGAAUUUACAGGGCAUGUUGGUUCUAAGAUUGGUGCAGAUUAAACUGGGCAUGUUACUUCUAGGACUGGUGCAUCUUAUGGAGAGCAUACCACUACUAGGUCAGGUCCAUAUAAAAGAAUGGCAUGCUACUUCCAGGUCUGGUAAAUACUAUAGGGGCAUGCCACUUGCAGAACUGGUGCAUAUUAUAUAGGGCAUGCCACUUCUAGAACUGGUGUAGAAUUUACCAGGCAUGUUGUGCUAAGAUUGGUGCAAAUUAAACUGGGCAUGUUACUUCUAGGACUGGUGCAUCUUAUGGAGAGCAUACCACUACUAGGUCAGGUCCAAAUAAAGAAUGGCAUGCCACUUCCAGAACUGGUGCAUAUUAUAUAGGGCAUGCCACUUCUAGAACUGGUGUAGAAUUUACUGGGGGCGUUGGUUUACUAGGAUUGGUGCAGAUUAAACUGGACAUGCCACUUCCAGGACUGGUGCAUCUUAUAGAGAAUAUGCCACUACUAGGUCAGGUCCAUAUAAAGAAUGGCAUGCUACUUCCAGGUCUAGUAAAUACUAUAGGGGCAUGCCACUUCCAGAACUGGUGCAAAUUAUAUAGGGCAUGCCACUUCUAGAACUGGUGUAGAAUGUACUAGGCAUGCCACUUCCAGGACUGGUGCGUAUUUCACAGGUCAUGCCACUUCUAAUACUGGAGCAUAGCAUACAGUGUAUGCCACUGCAAUCACCAGUACAGAUUAUAAAUUGGAUGCCACAUCUUGUCACUGUCACAUUGUAUGCAGGGAAUGACAUGUAUAUAACUUUUGUAGAUUAUACAGAUUAUGCAAAGUCUAGGACUGAUGCACAUAUUUCUCUCUCGUAUACAUACUGAUCUUUAUUAACAGAUUAUUAUUAUUAUUAUUAUGAUAUUUAUAGAGCGCCAUCAAAUUCUGCAGCGCUUUACAAUGGGUGGACGAACAGACAUGUAGUUGUAACCAGACAAAUUGGACACACAGGAACAGAGGGGUUGAGGGCCCUGCUCAAUGAGCUUACAUGCUAGAGGGAGUGGGGUAAAAUGACACAAAAAGGUAAGGAUAGUAUUAGACUAGUGACAGCUGCAGAAGAGGAAUCAGUCAGGAGCUAUUAACAGUUUAAUUGAUACGCUUUUAUGAAGAAGUGGGUUUUUAACGAUUUUUUGAAGGAGUGGAGACUGGGUGAGUAUCUAACGGAGGAGGGAAGCGAGUUCCACAGGAACGGUGCAGCCCUCGAGAAAUCUUAAAGGCGAGCAUCAGAGGUGGGAGUACGGACAGAAGAUAGAAGUAAGUCUUCAGCAGAUCGUAAGGGCCUAGACGGGACAUACUUGUGUAUAAGGGAGGAUAGAUAGGUGGGAGCAGCAUUAUGUAGAGAUUUGAAAGCAAGAACCAGAAUUUUAAAUUGAGCUCUAUAUUUUAUAGGAAGUCAAUGUAGGGACUGACAGAAGGGUGAGGCAUGGGAGGUGCGGGUGGACAGGAAGAUGAGCCUCGCCGCCGCAUUCAUUAUGGACUGUAACGGCGCUAGUUGAGAGAACGUAAGACCACUGAGAAGUGGAUUACAGUAGUCAAGGCGAGAAAGGUCAGUGGAAUGGACCAACACCUUAGUCGCAUCUGACGUUAAGUAGGGGCGGAUGCGCGCAAUGUUUUUGAGAUUGAAAUGACAGGAUUUGCCGAUAGAUUGAACAUGAGGCUUGAAGGAGAGGUUGGAGUCAAAGAGAACACCUAGGCAGCGAGCCUAUCUGGGGGAGCUGAUGGUAGCACCGUUGACUUGGAGGGAGACAGACACCCCAGCUCUACCAUACAGGUACAUUGGCACAUUAUACCACCCUAUUAUCCGACACCUGCAGUAACUUGUGCCAUGCCUUCCUUCAAAAUGAGUGCGGUAAUCUAUCCCCUCUGAUUCCUUCUUGCAUAAUCUUUUACAGUAAUUCAUCCCCCUUCACAUGCUUCCUACACCCACAUACACUAGCUUUUAUUUCCUGCCAUUGUAGAAAACUGUUGGCUCUUCAAGUGCCUAGAAAAUCUAAAAAAAAAAAAAUUCAUAAUAAAAAGAAAGAAAAAAACAUUUUAACACAUUCUGUGCCAAGACCAUGGCUCUAAUCCAUUAAGUUUUUUUUUUUUUGUUUUUUUUUAAAGAAUGUACUUAUUCAAAUACUAUAACCUACCCCUACAGUAUGACUGUCUGACAAAAUUGUCUGAGCACAGUAUGCCAGAUAGAAUUAUGCACCUGGCUUAAAUGGACUAUAUUACAUGAGGUCUAAGGACAGUAAUUAUAAAAAAUGUAUGUUUACCCAGAGUUCACAGCCUGUUACACCCAUUAGCCAUUUGAGAGAUUCGUUUGUACACAUAUAUCAGGAGCAAAUGAAGUUUGCAUUUCUGUUUGUAUGAAUCCUUUGCUAAGGACAAACAAAUCAUGUUUUGUGGCUAUCAGCCUCCUGUUGUUAUUGGGUAUGGCCGUGCAUACUUCAUUCAUACUUUAUAUGCAUGUUUGCAACCACAUACAGUUUCUGUCUAGUGUAUGAAAAGCAGACUGAGCAAGCUGGUUAUAAGAGUUUACUGCUAAAUGGAAUUUAAAAAAAAAGAAAAAACAUGUAUAAAAUAUUAAUCAGCAGUGAGUCUUUCGACUCUCUUUAAAAAGUAAAAGUCCUUCGCCUGUGUUAAAUUAUACAUUUAUUGUUAUAUAGUGUACAAGUACUAACUGAUAUAAAAUUGUAUCUCUCAGGCAACAUAAGCAAGUCUUCCAGAUAUGUUAUAAAUGUUUUCACUGUUUGGAUGUACUGACAAUUUAAAACCUAUUUAUGUGACUAAUUACCUCAAACUACAACGGUAUAUAACUCCAUCCAAAGGGUUGAUAUUAGUUGACACAAAAUGGCUGAAUAUGUCACCUAUUCUAAUUGCAAAAAUCAAAUCUGAGUUUUAACUAAUCCCUACAUUUAGCAUACAAAUGCUGUGACUACUUACAUGACAACAAUGGAUAUCUUUACAGGUAUAAAAUGGAGGGUGUUGAUUUGAAGCUUCAAUUGAUUUUUAAAUGUUUUGAGGCUUUUUAAUUGGCCAUUCUGCUGUUAUUUAAAUAUUACAAAAUAACGUUUUAUUACACAUUCAUCUGAACACCAGUGCCUUUGUGUCCUCUUUGAUUCCAGAAUUCCAGAUCCUAUAAUGUGAAAAUUGGUGACAUGCUUAAAAAUAAGAAGUCUGAAAGACAAAUUAGUCCUGGCUAGGUACUAUGACUGCAGUUGUGAAAGGAUCUUUAGAAAGCAAGGACAUUGUAUAACCUGCAUCAUUACAGCUCUCUGUAGUGAAAAUGGGUGUAAUAAGAAACAAGACUACAACAACAGAAGAGCACCAUGAAAAGGCCUUAAAAUGGUUAAUAAAAAUAAAUAACUGUAAAUAUUAUAAUGUUCUCUAUUUGUAGAGUUGACAAACUUUAACCAUUAGGUGAGUCAGGACAUCUCCCACUUGCAUGGUUACUAGCGAUUUCUUUUGCAGAUACUGUGUAAAUAUCUCAUAUCUUGUACUGGUAUAUCUUGUUUCAUCGUGACCUUGGUUUGUUCUGAUUAUUCUAUUGUCUGCUAUCAAUGCUGACCAUUCAAUUGCUUCACAUUCAAUGACCUUGACUCGAUAGUAUUUUUUGUUAUUUGGCCUUCUUGCAAGUGGGUUCUUCUGUUACUCCAUUGGAUAUUUUUAUCCAACUAUUGCUAAACACCAGAAAUAUACCUUGUCUAUAAAUGGUUGCUAAAAUACUUUGAUGUAGAUUAUAUUUGUUACUGCACAUUUAUUAUUAACUGUUUCGGAAAACACCAUAUACAGUUUUAUUGGGUAAAUUAAGAAUUCAAAGCUGUAUUCAAAGUGUAUCUGAAACUCAAGGCCAGAGUAGCCGAAGUGAAAGCAUGGCUGAGUUUGAGAAUUUUUCUGGUUUGACUAUUUUAACCUUACAUUUAAAAUUCACUUUGAUUUCUCAAUUUAGUAUAUAUGCCUCAUACAUUUAAAAAAGUUAGGCUUUAUCUGCACAUUCAGCAAUUUAACCUUGCUCCAUAAAAAAUGAUUCCUAAAGAGAGUGGCAUUUGUUGUCGUUUCUAAAGUAAUAUAAUAUAAUCCAGUAAAUAUAUUUAGAAAGAUAUAAAGGCAAUUAACAGAUAUUCAGUUAAUAGCCUCUUAUAAGAAUUGCUUUCCAAUUUUCCUUAUUCUUAUCUUUUAUUGCCAUAAAUGCUUCAAAAUGAACAAUAAUUAUGGCAUCCACUAAGCAUUAUUCCAAAAAGGAAAUGUAAUAAAGUUUAAAAAAAAAUACAUUUAUGUUGUUACCAUAGAAACAUAGCAUGUUAACAAGUAUUUAUUCUUGUCACAUUUAAAAUACAAAAACACAUCUAUGCCAAUCACCUUCAUGAGUUUUAUUAAAUCCAGGUAAGUGACAGGAAAACUUCAUUCCACCGCCAGUUUUAGUGACAUUCCCAGAUGCUAUUUUGUUUGCCAAAACAUUGUUUAUGACACUUGGCAGGUUAAGAGAUGCAAAUUUUAAACAUAUUUUCAUAAUUUGGUGGCUGGAUUGUAUUCUGUAUUUAGAACUAAAAUAAGGUAAAUAUGGUGAAAUGUUAGCAUUUUCAAAAGCAGAAGACUACAAUCACAGCUUUAGUGUUUAACUUUAGUCACAAGGGUCUCGCACUUACCAUGGAAACAACAAUUUAUAUUGGUUUAAGUGUAUGAUGAGUCAACCUUCUAUAAAAGAUACAUUUAUUUAUUUGUAUGUUGAGUUUAUUUUAUUUUUUUUGUUCAUACUUUUUCUACUUCAGGUUUGUAAAUAUGGCUUGGUGGUUCAUUAUUGAGUAUAAUUGUCAUCUACGUACUAUGUAACUCAAAAUUCUAGGAAAUUUGUAAAUAUGCAAAAUGUUUUUUGCCAUAUUGUCCUCAUUCUGCCUCAUCAUGUUUUGAAGAGAUCUAUGUGGAGGAUUUUGACAUGUGACAUGUAGCUUUAGGACAUAUCUGUAUUCCUAACACUACAGUCCUGAUGUGGCUGUUUAGUUUAGACGCCUCCAGGUAUUUCAAAUAAAUGAAUGAAUUAAAAGAAAUAAUUAUUCACCUUUUUUCCAGUGCCAAGUCUCUCUUGGCGCUGCCACAACCUACUCCUUCCAUUCUGGAAGCUUGCCGCCAUGAUUAUGAUCCACUCCAAUGCGAGGUGCUUGGCGCCAUGCUCGGGAGAUUCUGUAAUAGAGAAUCGUUAAAUACAAAGAUUCUCUGUGACAGAUCAUGAAGGCACUGCGCAUGCACACGGGAUGUCACAGUAUGUUACCGUAUGAGAGUCAAGAAGUAAGAUUCCCUGCUCUCAAACCCAGAGGGCUUUGAAGCAUGGAUUGUAGCCCUGCUUCCAAGCCUUCUAAUUAGUGAAAUAAAUAGUUUGGGAUGUAAGAGAGAACUUCAUAGAAAUUACAGUGUUUCUUUAAGUGACCAAAAGCUGAAACAGGAGAGCUUAAUUGAAAGAAAUGAAUUCUUUACUACUGAAAAAAUAUUAAACUGUGAUUUUGGUGCCUUUAGACACGACAUUGAAAUUUUAGACUAAAGCAGGGGUAGGUAACUUUUGACACUCUCGAUGUUGUGGACCACAGCUCCCCUGAUGCUGUGCCAGACUUCCAGAGGGCUGCACUGUUCCUAUGGAACUCACUUGCCUCCUCCAUUAGAUGCUCACCCAGUCUUGUUAAAAAAAAAAUCAUUAAAAACCCACUUCUUCAUAAAAUCGUAUCAGUUAAACUGUUAAUAACUCCCAGCUGAUUCCUCUCUAGCAACUGUCAUUAGUCUAAUACUAUCCUUACCUUUUGUGUCACUUUACCCCACCUCCUCUAGCAUGUAAGUUCAUUGAGCAGGGCCCUCAACCCCUAUUUUACUGUGUGUCCAACUUUUCUGGUUACAACUACAUAUUUGUUCGUCCACCCACUGUAAAGCGCUGUGGAAUUUGUUGGCGCUAUGUAAAUAAUAACAGUGUGUCUAAGAUUGCUUAAACUAAAGUAAAAGAGUUAGCAAAAUCCCUGAAUAUCUUAGAAUUGAUAACUUUUUCUAAUUCUGCCUUUUUAGUUCCCAUGUGGCCUACAGUUUGCAAGUAAAUCUUAACACCAUUUUCUCAUUAGUGAACAAAUGAUCAGGUAUGAAAUAGUUAAUCCACCAUUGUCUGAGCAUGUGCAUUGUGUCUGUACCACCCGCUAAGAAUUUUGUGAAAACAUUUAGUGGUUUUAUUUUGUACCAUUAGUAAAAACUGUCAAUUGACUACAUGGUAGCGUAGGAGUUAAAUAUAUUUCUACAAAAAGCUUUUACACAGAUGGCUUUUUUUUACUAGAAAAUUAUUUUAUUUAAUUUGUCAUAGUUUGACUGUUGUAAUGACCACAUUUUAAGAUUCAUCUCAUUUUACCCUGCAUAAAAGUUUUUUUUUGCUUCUGAAAUUGCAAUUUUUAUAGCAAUAAUAGAAUUAUAAAUUGCGUAUUAACCUUAUGGUGCUGAACAACUGAUAUAUUCUAUUCUUUUUGUUCAUUUCUGCCCAGCUUCAAGCAUUUCCCAUUUUGAUUUAGCAGUUUAUCAGUUAUUGAGUGCUGAACAUAUGAUUUUUCCAACUGUGCUAAAUUCAUUGGCUGAAGUAUAUGAAAAUAGUACUUCUAUUCUUUAGAACGUAAUUAUGUAGAAAUAUAGCAUUUUAGUACCCGAUUGUGACAAUUGUCUCCAAAGUACAUUUAAAACUUAAGUUAAUGUUAUAUUAUGUUCUUUCUUCUCACACUUUAUUUUGUCUUGUUAAAAAUAAGGCAUACAUAGGGUUCACAAUUUGGUCUUUUUGUUUCAUUAUAAUGGAUUUGUGAUUAUUUUUUGUAAUAUAUUUAAAAAGUUCAAAGUUAUUUGAUAAUAUCUUCAGUAGAAAUUAGUGCUUUAUGUGAGUAUUUAAUUGUCUUAUUGUUUCUGCGGUGGCAAUUUCUAUGAAUAUAUUUGUAUGAAAACUGGAGGUCCGAAAUGUAUAACCUUUUGGACUGUAUUUCACUUGAUUAUUUGCAAGCCUAUCUUGACUAAUUCUAGGUUAUAUAAAGAUAAUGUAAUGGAAAUAUUAAAGAGAUACUUUAGUGCUAGGAAUAUGAAGCUGUUUGCUGACAGAAUGCUGCUCCGUUCGCUAACAGAAUAGAGCUCUGUUUGCCUUGUCUAUGAAGCUGAAGCGUCAUACCAACGAGGUUAAUGCCAUGUGAUGUGUUUAAGUACUGAGACAUUGUUUUCUCAAAUUUUCUGUUUGACUACCAAAAUGUUCAGGUAAGGAAGCAUUCCACUUCUGAGGUUCCAUUUUAUUUAGAGGUUCACGUUUGCAAAUUUGCAACUUUGAAAUAUAUCUGCAUAGUACACUAGCUAUAAAAUGAUGAUAAUAAUAAUAAUAAUAAUAAAGAAAGGUGGGCUAAUAGAAAAAUGUCUAGUGGUUGCAGAAUUACAAUUUUAAUGAUUUUUGGCAAGGAGUUUGGUUGACUUGGGCCCAAACCAAAGUGCAGUCCCGAAAAAGUCCAGUGUCUGAUUGUGGCACCCUUUCAUAUUUGAUCCCAAACCCUCUGUAAUAGUGGGAGAGAAACAUAACAUUCAGUUACAAAAUGUGUAAUAAUGUCAUUUAAAUGUACCAUAUCUGUGGGGAAUUAUACAGCACUGUGUGGGGUUAUUGCUGUGGGGGCAGGGUAAAAAUGCAGUGGUUGCACGUUUAGUGCUGCAAGUUUGCAGUGAAUGGUGCAAGUAGCUGGUUAAUACAGCAUGUGUGGUGUCAAUGCUUGGUGAGGGGGUAGUGCGGUGUGUGUUGUUAAAAACUCACACAUAAAAUGUCUAUUAAAGGGACACUAUAGUCAGCGGAACAACUACAGCUUAUUGAAUUUGUUCUGGUGAGUAGACCUUCAGGCUUUUUGCUAUAAACACUGUAUUUUCAGAGAAAAUUCAAUGUAUACAUUACAGCCUAGUGAUAACUUCACUGGCCACUUCUCAAAUGGCUGUUAGAGAUCCUUCCUGGGUCAUGGCUGCCUAAAAUGCAUCCAAACAUUCAGUGUCUCCUCCCUCUGCAUGCAGACACUGAACUUUCCUCAUAGAAAUUCAUUGAUUCAAUUCAUCUCUAUGAGGAGAUGCUGAUUGGUCGGGGCUGUGUUUGAAUUGUGCUGGCUCUGCCCCUGAUCUGCCUCUUUGUCAGUCUCAGCCAAUCAUAUGGAGAAGCAUUGUGAUUGGAUCAGGCCACCACUUCUGCUGAUCUCAGCAGACUGCUUGUUUUUCUGAGACAAACAGCAUGCAGAGUUACAGCUUCAGGCUUGAAUACAAGUAAGAUUUUGAAAUAUUAAGGGAGACAUGAGGGGACUAGGCUGGCUAAAUGGUGGUUUUAACCCUGUAGGGUCAAGAAAACAUGUUUGUGUUCUGACCCUAUGAUCCUUUAAUUGUCAAGAUGGGGACUCAAACAGUUCCUUUGUGGUUACACUGACAAUUUGCUUCCUAGUGAACGCACUCAGUACAUUGCAUUACUCUGUAUAAGCUUAGCUUCUGACUUCUUGGCUCCUCAGCAUUUAAUAUUUUUUUCACAUGGGUGCUCCCUCCACUGGGUUGCUGGAAAUCAAUACAUUUUCUCUCUAGUUCAGUGAGUCUUAAAGUUCAGUGGUUUUUAACCUUUUUUUUUUUUUUAUCAAGGACCCAAAUUAUGCAUAUGACAUUAGUUUGCUGACUCAUUCUUCGAUCACAAGAAUAACUUGGUGAGCCUUUCAUUUAUUAUAAUGUAAUGUACACUAAAAUUGCUGUAAGUAUAAGAGAAUUAAAGGAACUCUCUAAUCACCAUGAGAGUUAAAGGAACCCUUCACACACCAUAACCACUGGAGCUGCUGUAGUUUUCAUGGUGCCAGGGGUGCCUAAGCACCCCUAUAUAGUAAGUAAUCAAACAAUUUAAAGGGACACUCACUGCCAAUAAAAAUAAAAACCAUUGUUUAGUAGAUAUAAUCAAAAUAAAAACAUUUGCAUUAAAUUAUGCAUUUUUGCAUUGGGGUAUACCUAAAACAGUUUGCAAAGCCUGCAGUUCUCUUGUCUGCAGCCUUUGCAAACCAUUCCCUUCUUCGCCAGCCCAAACUUUAUGCAGCUGUCCAAUCAUAGACUUCCCAAUGCAGCUCAAUGAUAAGUCUUUGAAAAGCAGGUGCUCAGGGCAAUUUCCUGGCUCUUGAGCUUAGCUCCACUGAGCUAAACAAGACAGGAAGCAUCAGGACAUCCUUCAUAAAAGUGCAAAGUUCUAUUGAAAUCCACACUUCUUAUAAAAUGAAAAGAAAAAAAAUAGGACACACCUUCAUACUUAAAGUACUUCAGCAAGCAAAAGUGCUUUAGAGAUCCAGAGUGUCCCUUUACGAAUGGUUUCACCACUUACCUGGGGUCCACUGGGCCAUUACCGUCACCUCCUCUGCAGCCAGAAGCUCUUCCAAUAAGCAACACACCUGUGCAGGCUGCACUCUUAGGCUGAGAGCACUCAUCUGACACACUUGACCAAUGAGCUUGCCAUGCACUGCAGGGUUUAGCUCAGUGGUGUUCAUGGAAUCUUCCUGCAGGAUGUGUCAACUGGUGCCUGGUGAAGCCCAUGUGAGUUUUUAAGGCAUUCUUAAAUUGUUUGACUGUUUACAAAGGGAAGGACAUCAGGAUAUAAGGACAGUCUGGGCACCAUAACUACUUCAACAAACUUUAGUAGUUAUGGUGGUUUGAGUUUCCAUUUAACAACCUGAUAUGAUGUUCCCAUUCCUAGUAGCUUAGAUCCACUGAAAAUAGCAGGGAGACACAAUUGUGCGUCUUGAGUUGACCCAGGAGUUAAGAACCAUUGCCCUGUUUAGGUAAACUUCUCAUUUAAGCUGUUUAGUUAAGCACAAAAUCAACACUUCUGGCAGGUUGAUACUUAGUAGAGCAAUGCACGCUACAGUCAGUUUUAAAACUGAUUUUGAAUGGCCUGUGAUCUUGUAUCUAAAGACAUCAGUGAACUAAUAAUCAUAAUCCCCUGUGCCCAGCAACUUGCGAAUUUUCUCUUGACAAUCCGUUUAACAUCUCCUGAAAGAUGUAUGACAGAAAAAAAUAUAUGUGGUAAGAGAACAGAAUGAAAAUCCAUCAAAAAGAUAGCGAACCAUUUAAAAUAAGCAGAAAUAUCUGAAGGUUAGGGGCCUUAGCUGGAAUGGCUGAGUGGGUAGUAAGAAGAAAAUCUCUGAAAGUAGUACAUUCACUUUAUCAGUAGCCAAUUUACAAAACUAAAUGAUGAGUGUGCAACAUUGCUUCAGAGAUACUUAAUAAUGUAUGAGAAGAUAUGGGUUCUUGUAACGAUAUCUAUAAAAGGUAAUGAUACAUAACAUCGGAGUAGUAGAUGAUACUUAAAUAGAAUCAGUAAAGCAGUUUUUUUAAAGCUGAACUUAAAGCGUUAAUAUAGCGUUAAUAUUGGUAAUUGGCAAAUAAAGCCAAAUAAGUGCAUAUCCAUUUCUGUACACUUUUAUUAUUAUUUUUUGAAAGUUGUUCUUUUAUGCUGUGAGCAUAUUCCUAACAAUUCAAUUAGAUUUUCUCAUUUUGACCGUCUGUUAGUAUCUAAUGCAAAACAACUGGUACUUGCUCUGUACCCCCUGUGGUUCUGAAAUAGAAAGCUUUGUAUGCUGCUGUGUAAAACUACGAUGCGCUUUGUAAUUUCUGAUAACAAUUUACAGAUAACUAACUUGUUGGAUUCUCAGAACAGCACACAAAAAGUUUGGGAAAGAAAUUAAAAUGACGAAUUCCUGUAAAUCUUCGAUUAGUAUCGUUAGUUUAGCUCACAUUUUUUUCUAUUUUAGAAAAACAAGCAUGUAUAUUUUACAAAGUUAAUAAAUUGUUUGUACAAAUGUAAUCUGCUGACAUUGUACAUCUGCAGCAAUUUGGUAAAGCAUUAUAAAAACAAUGAUACCUAUAAAUAUGUUGAAUUAUUACAGAGGCACUUUAAGGAACACAGACAUUACAGCAAAUUGUAGUGGUUAUGGUGCCAGAAGUCCAUUAGUAAGGAGUCAAAAUUUUUAAAUGAUUUGACACUUACCUGGGACCUAUUUGUGCCUGUGGUAUUCCAGUCUGCUGUUUUGUGACUGAAGAGAAAGUACUCAUUCUGCUUUAGAUAUAUCAGCUUUAUCCCUGUUUGGACUGACAACUGGACUUCCAGCCAACAAAGUAAGUUAAAUUAGGGCUAAAACUGACAUGGGAACUUUCACUUUAGAGACAUCACAGAAGAUUAAAAGCACCACAGACAUCCAAGGUACUAUCAAACCAUUUUUGAAAAAAUGAACUCAUUGCUGGACAGCACUCGUGCAAUCCUGGCACCAAAACCACUACAGUCCUAUGUAGUGUCAUGAUGCUAAGCUUUUCCAUUUAAAAAUUUUUGUUAAAAGAACAUAAUCGUACCCUAAUAAAGUUUGUUAAACAGAAACACUGUUGGAAACGAUGUAUGAAAUAUCCAAAAUACAAUAUCUAAAAUACAAGUCUUUUCUAUUGUUUUAUAUUUUAGAAUGAAAUAAAAACUUUUUGCAAUUUUAAUAUAGUCUAGACCAUCAAGUCUCAUUUACUUUGUCAAUCGCUCCAGAGUUGGUUUCCACCUUUCAGGUAAACAACUUUCUUUGCCUGGGCUCCAUUUUUUUCCUUUGCGUUUCUGUGCACCACAGCAAAGUUUUAUAUAAAUUGUAUGGUGCCAUAGCAGCUGGGGGAGGACAAUACUGAGAUUAUUUUCAUGCUACAAUAUCCUAUAUUAUAUAUAUAUACUUAACCCCUUAAGGACCGGACUGUUGUUGCGAUGUUGUACAUUUGCGAUCAGGCCUCUUUUUACACUUUUGUGGUGUUUGUGUUUAGCUGUAAUUUUCUGCUCUCUCAUUUACUGUUCUCAUACAAAUUAUAUAUUGUUUUUUUCAGGACAAAAAGGGCUUUCUUUAUAUAUCAUGUAAUUUAAUUUAAAAACAAUAAGAAAGAUGAAAAAUUGAAAAUAAUACAUGUUUUUUGACUUUUACUUGAAAAAUCUUUUACCCAUCUACAAAAGCGAAUGAAAAAAACUGCUAAAUAGAUUCAAAAUUUUGUCCUGAGUUUAAAAAUACCCAGUGUUUACGUGCUUUUUUCUUUUUUUUUUGCAAGUUAUAGGGCUAUAGGUACAAGUAGGAUAUUGCGGUUUCAAAACAUACAUUUUUAAAAUGUAUCAAUAGUGACAUUGUAACACUAUUAUCUGUCAUAAAUCUCUGAAUAACACCCCACAUGUACAUAAUUUUUUUAAAGUACACAACCAAGGGUAUUCAAUAUGAGGUAUGUCCAGUCUUUUUUAAGUAGCCACUGUCGAAAACACUGGCCAAAGUUAGCGUUCAUAUUUGUUUGUGUGUGAAAAAAGUAAAAAAAACUGAAUUGAAAUGGUAUGCCAUCAUGGGGGUAAUUCUCAUUCCUGGGCUACCAUACGCUCUCAAAGGCAACGUAACCAACCUGGCCAUUUUCAAUGUAAAAAUAUUUGACCCAUAUAUUUGACCCUGUAACUUUCAAAAACGCUAUAAAACAUGUACAUGGGGGGGUACUGCUAUACUCGGGAGACUUUGCUGAACACAAAUAUUAGUGUUUCAAAACAGGAAAAUGUAUCACAACAAUUAUAUAAUCAGUAAAAGUGGUGUUAGUGUGAAAAAUGCAAAAAAAGUAACUUUUACUGACAAUAUCAUCACUGUGAUAUGUUUUACUGUUUUGAAUAACUAAUAUUUGUGUUCAGCGAAGUCUCCCGAGUAAAACAGUACCCCCCAUGUACAGGUUUUAGGGUGUCAUAGAAAGUUACAGGGUAAAAUAUAGUGCUAGCAAAUUAAAUUCUCUGGACUUUCAGCCUGGGUUGGCAGGCAGGUCCCUCAAAUUGCAAUCAAUAAAAUUACUUAAUUAUGUUAAAAAUAUAUAAAAAUAUUACAUAAAUACGCACAUAGAAUUUAAAUAUAUUUGAAGUCUACAUGUAUAUUUAUAUAAUUAUUUAUGUUAUUUUGUAUAUGGACAUAUGUAUAUUUUGUAUUAUUUUUAUACUAUAUAUAUAUAUAUAUAUAUAUAUAUACACAUAGCUAUAUAUACACAUUAUCAUUCUAAGUGUAUUUUGAUAUAAACAUAUAUAUAUAUAUAUAUAUAUAUAUAUAUAUAUUGUAUAUAUUACUAUCAAAAUACAGUUAGAAUAAAAUUUCAUAUAGAUAUAUAAUUUUUUAAAUUUUUUUAUUAUUUUUACAUGUUUUUAUUUAAUUUAAAUUACUUAUUUGUAUUUUAUUAUAUAUAUAUAUACACUAUAUAUAUAUAUAUAGUUAUUAUAUAUAUUAUAUAUACGUGUGUAAUUUAAUUAUAAGUGUAUUUUUAUAUUAAUAUAUGUAUAUAUUAAUAUAAAAAUACACUGAGUAUGACAUUAUAUAUAUGAUAUAUAGACAUAUUAUAUAGAUAUAAUAUAUGUCUAUAUAUAUAUAUAUAUAUAUAUAUAUAUAUACACAUGUAUAAUUUUUUUUUAUUUAUUAACAUUAACCUUUAUUUUUAAUUUUUUUACACUAGCAGGGAGACUGCCUGUCAGCACAGGCAGUCCCACUGCAUGCAGACACAUGGACACCUAUUGUGACCAUGUGAUCGCUCUGUUGAGCGAUCACAUGGCCCCAGGGGUCCUAAUCCGCCAUGGGGAGACUGGCUGGGCUGCAGGCAGUCUCCCCACACCGGGAGCACCGCUGAUCGCCGCCAGGGAUUAAGUACGAUCGGUUAAGUACAUCUGACCAUAAGGACGGUUCAGGUCGGCAAUGCAAAAAUGCUGAUGACGGUCCUGAACUGUCCUCGGCCCUGAAGGGGUUAAAAGGACACUGUAGUUACUAUAACCAUUUUAUCUCUUUGAAUUAGUUAUAGUUCCUGGAGUCCCUAGCACUGUCCCUCCAUUCUGUUCUAAAACUAUUUUGUAGUUUAACACUAAAUAAGGGUCCCCAGCUACCAAUAGCCUGUCCCCUAACUGAGGUGUGGUUAAGACACAGAGUACACACAUCCUUGCAGUUAUACCCAAUCAUACUGGCAAUGGGAGCUCUGAUUGGCUUAAACCAGUGAGCUGACUCUUUCAGCAAAUCACAGCUGCUCAUUGCUGCUCAUGCUAAUACUUCCCCAUUAGCCAAAACAGCAUAGAGUGGAAGGGUUUCACCACUAUUUGGAAACUAGGAUGGUGGACUGGCAACUGUCACUAGUCUAAUAGUAUCCUUACCUUUUGUGUCACUUUACCCCACUCCCUCUAGCAUGUAAGCUCAUUGAGCAGGGCCCUCAACCCCCUCUGUUCCUGUGUGUCCAACUUGUCUGGCUACUACUACAUGUCUGUUCGUCCACCCAUUGUAAAGCGCCGCAGAAUUUGAUGGUGCUAAACAAAUAUCAUAAUAAUAAUAAUAACAGUGUGCUGUAUUAUAUGUAUUAUAUAAUUCUUAGACUUGGCCAGAUGAGAUCAAGUAUAGUGUGGUUUACCUGGAACCUCUUUUCAGAGCCAGGGUGGGUUGUACUUAUAAAGUCUUUACCCGAAGAGACACUGUUAUCUGUGAGUUAAGCCCUUUGACCUUGGUGAGGUUUAGCGUACCCACCACAUAUGGUAGGGUUAGGAUUUUAGAGGCAACGGAAGCUGAACAGGCUAGAACAACAAACAGCAGCAAGCUCAACGUAAAAGAAAGAUAAUCUGCACUGUAUGUGCACAGUGUUAAUUACAGUAAUAAUUUGGGAAGCAAUGUAUAAGAUGCAAAAUGUGUUAAAGUGUUAAACAGCUCGGAAUAAAAAAAAUACUAAAGAACAAAAACUGUUUUCUUUUAACAGAUGCAUGUAUUAUAAAGCAUUGUCUAUAAUGUAAAUAAGGAUUUGCGUUUUUUCAUAAAUAACAUGGAAAGCAAUUUAUCAUUUUUCAGAAGUGAAUGCGUGUCUCAGAAGUGCUUGCAUAAGGUAUCUUUUUCUGCGCAGGAACGUCACAGUCAUGGUCCAAAAAUAAACCAAACACUAAUGUUACACAUAUCUUGACCCAGAACGUUACCUUUAUCAAAUUUUCUAUGGAAUAAGCAUGUAAGAGUGAACUUCUAUCAAUAGCAUAAACUAUCUCAAUCCCACAGCAAGUUUACGGUCAAUAAAGUAUCAACACUAAACAUUGAUUUUUGGUAGCUAAAAUCAAUGUGGAAAUCCAUGGUCGUAGCAGUAUUUUUCAUAAUUAUUAAACCAAUGUUGGUAUAUUUUUAUGAUGAUGCAGCGGUUAUAACUUUUCAGUGUAUAAAAUAAUGCUGUGAGCAGAUUAUUUUCCUCUUUAAAGCUUUUUCCUACCUAUAACACAACUUCUGUUAUUUGAAGAACAUUUAUAGUUCAUUCAACAUAAUAGGCUGUGUUGCAUUGUUGUGUAGGGAAAAAUGUUUGUGCAUAUCUCAGUUGAAACCAAAAUAAUAGGUUAUCUUUGUUCUACGAUUGUCUAUGCACUUGAAUGUUUUUGUUAUUUUGGGCAAAAUAGGGGAAGAUAUUCUAGGAUUAAAUAAAUAUCUAAAAUAAUGUUAUCUUAUUAUAAUAUGCCAAUCUCACAUAAAAGGUAGCAUGGCAAUCAAUGCUAAUUCAUUAACCUAUGUUUAAACUGGGGAGUCUCUAGAAAUUACAUAGUUAAAUAAAACAAUGAAAAUCACCCAUACUUUAUGCCAACAUUUUUCAUGUAAUGCUCCAUUUUUAAAAAUAUAUGUUACAAACUGAGCAUUUGGAUAGAAAUACUGCAAUGUUUUAGUACUGUAUCUAUUAACUCGUCUUUAUUGUAGGUCAACCAAUUUAGUGUACAAUUAACCUAAAUAAAUCAUCUGGUCUACCUUAAGGCAGUCUCUAUAUUUUGCUGCACAUAUUUGUCUUUGGUACCCUUGUGCAAAUUGUACAUUGAAGUUUUAAUAAGAUUAUAUUGCAAUGUAUUAUAUUAUAUAUAAUAACAACUGUGUUAAUACCAGCUUUGUAGAUCUACAACAUUUGAUCUUUUCAAAUGUUAUAUUGUUUGGGAUUGCAGGAAGUUCAAGUAAUGCAAUGUAUUCUUAGAUGUCUCACCAGAGUGAAUCUUGACUCUAAACAGGUAAAAGGACCACUAAAUGUGCCUAGACCAAUGGUGCCCAAAAGGUAGAUCCCUAGAUGUUGUAGAACUACAACAUCCAUGUUGCUUUUUUUUCUAAAGCAUUAUAAAGGCAUGCAAAGCAUCAUGGGAGUUGUAGUUUUACAACAUCUGGUGAUCUACCUUUUGGAAAUCUCUGGCCUAGACAGUUUCAUCUCGAUGAAGUAAUCUGGCUGCAGUGGCACUGUAUUUUUAACCAGUUUGCCUUUAUUUUCCAGAUGAAUCAAUUUAUAUAGAUGUAGAUUAAAAAGAUUUAGAUUUGAAUGAUUUGGUUUGUUCAUAAACAAACCAAAUUUUUGCACAUUUCUACUACACGGGUAAAAUGGUAAAAUAAUUCUGAAUGGAUUUGUUUGACAAUUACCAGGAAUUUUAUUCUGAAAAAUCGCUUUUCCACAUAUUUAAUUAUAAGUGCUAGGCAUGAUUAAUAGAGCUUCUACCAUAAUUUAAACUCCCUCUGAUCAUAAAUGGCAAAAGAACACAUGUACAGAUAUUAUGUUAAAGGACCACUAUAGUGCCAGGAAAACAUACUCAUUUUCCUGGCACUAUAGUGCCCUGAGGGUACCCCCACCCUCAGGGCCCCCCUCCCACCGGGCUCUAGGGGGUGGAAGGGGCUAAAUUUACCUCUUUCUCCAGUGCCAGGCAGAGAACUCUCCUCUUCUCCUCCUCCAUAUCACCGUCAUCGGCUGAAUGCGCAGGAGCCGCGCGCGCAUUCAGCCAGUCCAUAGGAAAGCAUUCUCAAUGCUUUCCUAUGGACGCUGGCGUCUUCUCACUGUGAAAUUCACAGUGAGAAGCGCGGAAGUGCCUCUAGCAGCUGUCAAUGAGACAGCCACUGGAGGCUGGAUUAACCCUAUUAUAAACAUAGCAGUUUCUCUGAAACUGCUAUGUUUAUAGAAGAAAGGGUUAAUACUAGCUGGACCUGGCACCCAGACCACUUCAUUAAGCUAUAGUGGUCCUUUAAGAAAGUGUGGUGUAUCCAGCAAUAUUCUGUGUGUCUUUCACAGACAGUUUGUAUAUGCCUGCAGCUAUUAAAAGAUAACAUUUUUUUCUUACAAAUUAUAAAAAGUGUGGCUCUUAUAAUCAGUUUUAUUCAUCUAAUAAUUUGCAUUGCUAGACAUUCAUUUUUAGUAGCUUUCACAUGGAUACUGUGUCUUGUUAUGAUUUUGUUCCUUUUUUUUAUUUAUUCAGUGCUCUGAAUAUUGCCUGUUUAUACAUAUGUUGCAGAUAAUGUUUUAUUAUGUAGGUUUGUUGUACUACUGGUGCUGUUUGUUUGUGCCAUAUACCAUGUCUAAGGAAUUAAUUCCAUUCAGCAAUCACUAUCUGUGGCUGUUUAAUUUCCUGUGUUAACUACUAAGGGUUCCAAUCAGGACAUAAAGUGUUUUACCUGGAGGUAUAACCAAUCGAGUGUGUGAGAAUGAGUUCAGUCUAUGUAAUGUCUAUGUAUAAGAUAGCAAGACAACUUAAUAGAGAGAAUGGUGAACACACAGUGUCCCAUUAGGUGUUAAGGUGUUAGAAAGUGAAAAAAAGGAAAACUGAAGGAAAAAGAUAGGUUGUGUGGGAGUGGAAAAGAGUAGAAGGUAAGAACACAGCCAGUGCUUACUGACAUGUCUAUCAAAGAUUGCUAGUGUGGGUGCUGUGAUGGAUUAUGAGUGAGAAAAUGGAGGACUGUGUCUUGCUCUUAUCCAGUAUAUGGGCAGCAAUAAGCAGGUAUAAUAGGAUUAUUCGAUUCAUAUUCACAUUUUUGUUCAGGCCACUAUGCUGACCAGAAAGAAAGAAGCAAAAAUUCACAAACCGAAUAUAAUGCUGACUGGAGAUAAAGACAUAAGCACCAAAGCAUCCAGUGGUAUGGAAUAAUGUAACCAGAGGGAGACCACUAAAUAUCUGAAGUAACAGAAAGUAUCAACACAGAAAUAAACUGUGACUCCAAAUAAUAAUAAAUAUGAACUAGCCUAAGUAAGUGAGGAGAUAAAGUUACUAAACGCCUAAUUCUGCAAUAUACAUAUAGGCUUUAUUAGUCCUGGCCCUUUAAUGCAUAGGGUGUUAGGAAAUCUCCCAUUUGUACCUAAGCACCAGAAAAAGUGCCAAAGGGAGAAAGGUCACUGUCUAAAAGAUUGGCAGCCCUAAUAAUCAAAAGUAGACAGACGGAUAAAGUAAAAUAAAAUAAAGAAAUCCUCUCUCCUUGUGAGACUUACUAGAUAGGCAUAGAAGAAAAAAAUGUAACUCAUAACAAACUCCCAUGCCUAAGUAAGUGAGGAGAUAAAGUGCUAAACACCUAAGUCUGCAAUAUACAUACAGGCUUAAUUAGUCCUGGCCUUUUAAUACAUAGGGUGUUAGUAGAUCUCCCUUAUUUCCUGAGCACCGGUAAAAAUGCUAAAGGGAGAAAAGUUACUGUCUAGAGGAUCAGCAGUGCUAAUAAUCAAAAGUAGGACAGAUAAAGUAAAGUAAAGUAAAGUAGAGAAAGCCUCUCUCCCUGUUAAACUUACUAAAUAGGCAUAGAAGAAAAAAUUUUUAAGGAAAAACUUAAAUCAUAACAAAAACGUGUAUCACACGGUGCAGUGAAGUGCCCAUGGGUGUGCAAGUUAAAAUUGACCCAUAGGAAAGAACCUGACACGCACUUCGGUGCUGUAUAUAUGCACCUUCAUCAGAGUCCCUGGGUCAGUGGGUCAAUUUUUACUUGCACACACAGGAGCACUUCACUGCACUGCACUUUUACACCCAUUUUCACACGGAUCCCAUUUCUUUCUAUUUUUUCUCACUAUGCUGACCAACAUGGCUCCAUGAUAGUACAACUCUAUGGCCAAAAAACGUAGUCCCUUGUAUUCCCAUCUUGAUGUAUGUUUGGGGAACUUCAAUCCCCAGUCCAAAUGACGAAUGAUCAUCAUCAUACCUGUUUUUGGAAAAAGGAGGGUGUGUGUAAAGUUACGGCCUUUAAGAACAAGAUGGUGGUAGGUUAAUUUUCAAUUAGCGCUGGCUUCUGAAAUUACUCCCAACUCGGGGGUAGGAGGGAAGGGCUGGGUAUAAGUAUGGUCUUUAAGAACAAGAUGGUGGUAAGUUAAUUUUCAAUUUGAGAGGGCUACUGAAAUUUUUCCCUACUUAGUGGUAUUGCGGGUGACUGGGUUUGUCAGGAAAGUCCAUGGGUUUUUGGAGGUAAUAAGCUGCAAUGACUGUCAUUCCCACCGAAAAAAAAAAGCAGUAAUCAGUGCAGGGUGGUCAGGGAAGGUAAAGGGAAGCAUUUUAAAGCUUUUUAUCAGGUAGCAUGCUGGGAAUAUUGAGAGCAUUGUGCCUAUGGCAGACGGUGUUCAAUGAGAGCACAUCUGUCUCCAGUGCCAAUCUGACUUUUGCUGUGAGGAAUUUAUUGCUUUUUUUUUUUUUUUAUUACCUGGAUAUUUGGCCUAUAACUUCACACAAAGUUUUGUGCAGAGAAGAUGUAAACCCGUGCUUGGUUUCUGCAGUCUAUAUAUAACUAUAAAGGAGACAAACCUUUAAUUAACCUUUAAUUUCACAUUGAGGCUAUUUAUGAAGCAUGCAAUUCAUAGCAAACAGAUGGAGAAAAUGCUUUGCCUUAGAGAGAAAUCUGUAGCAGGCCUUAGAAUUAGUGUCUCAGUUUUCUCACUAAUUGAUCCCCCUUGAAUUUUAGAAGUUAGAAUUGUAUUAAUAUUCAAAUCACAAAAUUUGCAGAAAUGUUUUAAUUGUUGAAAUAAAUAUAACAUAGCAAAUUAUCUCAUGUUUUGCUUAGUUCAUCUUUUCUGGUGCUGCAAAUCAGCAUUUUAUUUUUAUCUCAAUAUAUUUUGGCUCUGGCCUGCUGAGCAUGAUGAAAAUUACAGUAUCCAUAAGACUGCUGUUGAUUUGCACUAAGUUAAUUAGCGCCACAUCACAGUUUUAGCUGCACGUUAGAUGCAACUUUCUUCUUAAUCCAUCACUUUGGCUGUGAAACUGGGGCUUCUCAAAAAUGCAAACUUCCCAAUGAGCUUAAAGGAACACUCCAGACGGGCCAUUUUAGUCUCAAAUUACCUGUAAAGCUUUGUCCCACCAACCCUUUAGGUUGUGGUUUUCUGUCACAGUCAUGGACAGGAGCUUGCCAGGCAUUUAGGUCAUUCAGACGUGGUUUAUCAUUGGUGGCAAUGAUCAGUGGGAGGUUCCUGAUUGGGCAUGGAAUUGGGAACCUCAGGUAAAGGGGCUGGCAUCUGGUUAUGCACUCCCCACAUUGGUUUUAAGAUGGGCAAACUGUUUUUUUUGUUUUUUUAAAUCAGGUGUUUUAGGUUUAAUAUGUGUUGGAUUAUUGUCCUUGUUAAUACACCUAUUUCAGUCAAAGGUUUUGCAGGACAAUGGUUUUUAAUAAAUUGACUGUUGUCUUUUCAUACUCAUACUUGUUGUUGUGUUUUUCAUUUGUACAAGAAGCUUAGCCCGGGCAUUGAAGGUACUGUGGUCAGUGUAUGGGCUAGAUAAUUAGGGGAGAACUUGCAAAGGCUUCAGGCAAGAGAUAGGUAGGUAGCAGUAAAUACUAGUUAUACAGGGAAGAUGCUAAUUAAACAUUUUUAAUAGACACUUUAUUGUUGUAUCUGCUGUCAUGCCUCAAGAAACGUUUAUAAUUGUGGAGGAGGCUUUGAUGCAACAGAAUACUGCUUGCUCCCUGAGUGACAUAAAGGUGGUUUUGUUUGCCCACUGUCAAUUUUAGGGCAUUUCUGAGACCUUUUGUAGUUAUUUAUGCUAUACUUAAUUGUGUUUCACAUGCUUCAAUGUGAUAUCCCAUACCAAUUCCACUUCAGUUAUAUUGUGUAAAGUUUCCUGAAUACCGGCCAACAUGUGAAUUGCCCAUUCCCAUUCAUUUAACAAAAACGUUCAUGUGGGUUUAAGAUAUCCAUUCAGUUCUAUGAAACAGUACCUGGAUAAUGAAUAAACCAUGACUUGUGCUCCAUGUGUCUACAGGAGCCACAUUUUCACUAAGUGGUUUAUUUGCUAAACAGUCAAUUGCAGAAAAGUAGCAGGCAUGAAAACCUACUAUUUCACAAAAAAUAUAAAAAUUCAAAAAUUUGUUUUAAAUAAAUCGUUAAAAAAAAGAAUAUUUGUUUCUGCUUUCUAUGCCACUAUUUGGAAUUUAUGAUCACAGUUGCAUUCAUCUCCAACUGAAUAGUACCUUCCUCAAAGAUUGAAAUCUUAGAAUUUGGAUGAGAGAAUAAAGCUAAAAUUGUACAUAAUUAAUGAAACCCAGCUCCACGUUCAUACAAAGAAUAUAUUUCAAAUAAUUAGUUAAGGACUCACAGUAGAAAGCAGAACACUGUGUACAUAACAGCCUGACACUGAUCUUCUUAAAUGAUUAGCAAAGACAGCUGAUUAGGGCAUUGCAUUGUUAGUAGCUUGAAAUAAGUACUUAUAGAAGUUAAACUAUAAAGAAUGGGGACAAUGUUUAAAGAACAUUUCUUUUGCACGGUGGAGCAAUCACCAAAGCAAUGCUCCUGCUGAUCUCCAUGUAUAUAUGUUUAAUUUAAUGUGCAUACACUGACAGUAUAAAACCUAUCUGAUCACAAUUUCAGCCCACAUGCUCAGAUUUUCAUUACAAGUAAAAUGUGUGGUGUGCCAAGGAUGAAAACCAGCUUAGAAUUUUGGCAAGCAACAUAUAGAAAUCUUUUUUUAUUACCACAAUAUGGUAUCAACGGUGCUGUUCAUACAUUUUUGAAAUUUUCCAUGUUUUCUCCAAAUAAUAAGUAAAAAGAACAAAAUGAAAUUAACCCUGUGUGCAGGAAUCAUGAAUUCUGCACUCCUAGGUCUAAGGUAUAAAGUUGCAUUAACUAGUUAAAGGGACACUAUAGGCACCCAGACCAUUUCAGCUUAUUGAAAUGGUCUGAGUGCAGUGCCCCUGUUCCCUUAACCCUGCAAUUGUAAUUAUUGGAGUUUUUGGGAAACUGUAAUAAUUACCUUGCAGGGUUAACUCCACCUCUAGUGACACUAGGGAAGUUUAUAAAUUGUAUUAAUUUUUCUUUGCAAUUGGUUAAAUAUGUAUUUUUUUUUUAUAUAUAUUUCAUUGCCUUGUGAAAGGACUUUCUAUACAAUAUUUCAUGUAUUUGCAUUGAUAGCCAAAAUGCCUCCAUGUGUUACUUUUUUGGUAAGUAAACUAGUAGAAAUCCUUAGCUUACACAGUGCAUCCAAUUUUAAAAAUAAAACUAUUUUAAAAGUGCAGGUAUUUGGCUACAUAUUUGGAUUCUCCAAAUGUUACCAAAUAUAUGUGUAGUGGGCAUAAUCUUGUUGCAUAAUUUUUAAUCGGGUUCUGCAUUAAAAAAAGGCUUCAUCCCAUUGGAAGGUGGAUAUCUAUCCCCUUCAUAUUCAUAACUGUUGUGUUGGUGGAAUAGCAGUAGCUGGUCUGUGCACCUGCUAUUGUUACAAUCUAUGGUGGAAGGUGAAGGAGUUAGACUAUUACAUCCCGACCACUUCAAAAUGGGCUACAAGAAUCUAUUUGCUAACUCCACAAGGAAAUAAUAUUGUGUUUUAUGGGCACCUUAGGAAGGUUUGGUAAUUGCUGCCAACUACAACUCAAUACAAAAUUCUGAUCACAAUACUUGUAUUGGGAGAUAGAAAAAUAGCUUCCCCUAUGACACGUCUGAGCAAGGGAUGGAUUUAAAAUUCUUGUGAUUUUGCAAAUAGCUGAAUUUUUAAGACACCAAGUGUGGCGAUUGCACUAUAAACUCUGCCUUAUCAAUUCAAGACACAUACUUAACAAUUAAAUAGUGUUAUCAGUGCAUCCCUUUAAAUUUCAGAUUUAAAUAGGAUUUUCAUGUGGUCAUUGCAAGAUAAGUUGUAGAUGCUAGAGAACAUGUGUGUCUAUGCGCUGAAUCUACAGCAUUUUAGGAGACUGUUACAGAGCGUCUAUUCUUUCUUGCUUUUUCUCUGUGGUUUAUAUAUUAUUCUCUUGACUUUAUCAUCAAUGGAAUCCUGUUAACGUUGCUCAGAUAAAAGGAAAAGCAAUCUGGUCUAAUGCAUGUAAAAUGAUUAGAUAUGUCUCUAUACUUAUUACAAAAAAAAAAAAAUACAAUUGCCACAUUUUAUAGCGGGGAAAACAUUAGUCCGGGCUUGCACACAGAUUAAUCAGAAAACAUUCUUGGUAUAGAACCAUUUUAUCUGGGCAACAUAGAUACUAAUUGACUUUAUCUGAGCAGAAACAGUUGCUCUGCCAGACUCAUUUUGUGUGAUAAUCAUCUGCAAGUCACCUUAGUGUCUCAAAUGUAUCUGUCAAAAAUGUACAGACAAAAAUGCCUGCAUUAUUAACCAUAACCUAAAUUUUUAAUACAUUUGGCUUGCAUUCUUUUGUUUAGUUACACAAUUAAAAUCUAAUUCAAAAAAAAAAAACAUUGAAAAGAAUAUCAGAGCAAUUUGAGAAAAUUCCGAGAAACUAGACUAUUCAGUUUACUCUCGUCAUAAUUUUUCAAUCACACCUGUGAAUCAAUUUGCAUAAGCUACAAAAGCUGGAGUUAUGGUUAUACAUAUGUUCACUGGUAUAGAUGCUAUACAAAUAUAUAAUCCCAAUUUAGAAUCUCUUCCCUUGAGAUGAGAUGAAAUGGGUUAGUUUGUGGGCAGCCAGGGUCCCACUGGCAUUAUAUAAGUGGUCAUACUAUUGGACUUGUCGUGUUUAUUGUGUUAAAAUGGAUUUUAACAGAAUUUAAAUAUUUCUAAGGCUAAUUGUUGAGCAGAAACAAAGCUACAAUGUAACUGAAACUCUGGCUGUUUAAAGGUGGCUUUGGUGUAUAGAUCAUGCCCUUGUAGUUUCACUGCUCAAUUUAGGAGUUAAAUAACUUUGUUUAUACAGCCCUAGUAACACCUUCCUGCAUGUGACUUGCACAGGCUUCAUAAACGCUUCCUGUAAAGAGUCACCUAGUGUUUACACUACCCUUAUUGCAAAUUCUAUAUAGAAUAUCUUUCCUCCUGCUCUGUUAAUAGCUUUCUAGAUCCUACAAGAGCCUCCCAUAUGUAAUAAAGGUUCAAUUUACAGAGCAGGAGAUAAACACUUUUAAAGUAAGUUAAAUUCUGAUUGAAAAUUAAACCAUUUUGGUUUCAUGGAGGCUGUGUCAGUCACAGCCAGGGGAGGCGGUGGCUAGGGCUGCAUAAACAGAAUCAAAAGUGAUUUAACUCCUAAAUGGCAGUGAACUGAGCAAUGAGACUUUAAGAGACAUUAAGCUAAAGUUGUUUUGAUGACUAUAGUGUCCAUUUAAAUGUCUUUGUUUUAAUACAUUCCAUCAGAUUUGUACAUUGUUAUGUUAGAAUGCACAUUGUAGGCAGUGCUCUUGUCAUUUCCAUUUAGGAACUCUAUACUAAUGGUUAAGAAAUGGAUUACACACAAGCAGUUUUGCUACAAAUAUAUUUUAAUCUUGUGUAAGGCUGCAGCUAGCAAUAUUUUCCAUUGUGUAACGGAUGGUGAAAUAAACUAAUUAGUUUGUGAGAGUUGUGUCUUUUUAAGCACUUGUUCAUUUGUUACUGCAGCUGAGCAUGUAAAUCAUGAGUUUCUGUAACAAUUUGCAGAGCAACGCAACGCAUUGGAGAUUAUCUCCAGAUUAUAUGCUAUUAAAGCCAGAACAACAUGAAUGACACCCCUGUGAUAGAUGAUGAUAAAACGUUACCAAUGCUCAGAAUUUGUUGGUGUUGGGUUAGAACUGGGUGAUAAGGCCUGCUUCAGGCUAAAAGUACACUGCCAGAUUUUCUAAAGACUUCCAUUAUUUCCAUCUGUUUCUUUCUUCUUUUGUUUAUGUUCGCUAUUAAUCUUUAAUGGGAGCAAAUGGCUAACAUAGUUUCUUUCCAGGGAGCUUUGAUACAUAGGAACAAACUUGCCACUCUUUAGUUUCUAUGUUUAUUUACGAGGUAUCAAAGCAGGAUGUGGUAUUUAUUUAUUUGAUUUCUUCAUACAGUGAGAGUUGUUUCUGUCUUAUAUUUUUUUCUGAAAUAUAAUAAAAACAAAUAAUUUCAAGACUCACUCUGGAAAACACUAAAAUUAUUUUCAAAUAUGUUAAAGGGACAGUAUAGUCACCAAAACAACUUUAGCUUAAUGAAUCAUUUUUUGUUUAUAGAUCAUGCCCCUGAAGUCUCACUGCUCAAUUUGUUUCCAUUUAGGAGUGACAUUACUUUUGUUUCUGUCCAUGCAGCCCCGGCCACACCUCCCCUAGCUGUGACUGACACAACCUGCAUUAAAAUGGUUUCAUUCAGUAAAAUUAAAUGGCUUUCUUGUUUCAGGGAUGGAUGUGGGUUAAGGCCUUUUAAGUUGCAGUGUUCCAAAAUAAAUGUCCUUCUUGUUGCAGGGAUGUUUCUGGGUAGGGGCCUUUAUAUAUGCAGUGUUCCAUAUUAAAUUAUGUCAUUAGUCAUUAAAUUACAAGUGAAGUGUAGUGAAUUAUAAAGUGUAGUAAAGUAUUAUACAUAUUCUGCAGGAUUCUUAAUUGCCUAAUUACUUAAUGUCAUACAUCUUCUGAGUUCUACAUUCUACAGGGAAACCAAUUUCAUGUGCUGUCCAUCAAUAUGUAUACAUGAUAUGUGUCCCUGAAAAUUAUACUCUCCAAUUGCCAGUUGCCUUUAUUUAUAUUUAUAAUUAUUUCUUCUUUGUGCCAGAUCUCAAUAUCCGCAUGCCUCAUUUUUGUUAUUUUCUGUCCAUGUUUUAAAUGAUGUGUAUGUAAACAUAUUAUAAAAACUCAUCCUUACCUUUAGUAUACGACAGGAUCCUUCAGCCAAAUACAUAUACCUUUGGUCAUACACCCCAUCAAAGAUCAUACACACCAUCAGAAAAAGUAGUCCCUAUGUUUUCUGAAUUAAAAACAACAACAUAUGUCCAAGGAUUUGGAUGUAAAGCUGCCAUGUUUAAAGUUUAAGCCUCCUUAAUGUUUUCUGGUACUCAGAUUGUUAAAAUAAAAUUGCAGACACCAUGAAGCUAUUGUCCAACUCUCAUUACUUUACUCUAAUUCAUGAUGCAUUUUUUAUUAGCUUUUCUUAAAUGAAUAUUCUGAAUUGCAUCCAUUUUAUAAAUGUGUUUUCAUCACAAGGAACACGUUACAAGUGCUGAAGUAAUCAAAAUGCAUUAAUAAUGUUAGCCACUCCUAUAUAUGCACUUUGAACAAAUUAGAGAUCAUAAUAGAUAGAAAUAUUUAAAAGCUAUCCUUUUCCUGGAACUUGAUCAGCUAUAGCACCAUGCUAAGAACUACAAAAGCAUCAGGAGUGGGUAUAAAAGCUGACAAAAAGUACCAAUCCAUCAUCUCUCCUGCUACCUGGUAGUGUUCUUUGACAGUUUAAUGUUCUCUAGUUUAUUUUCUUGAGGUAAAAAUGUUUCAUAUUUUCCAUGGUUAUCCAGAUUACUUGGGUCAUAAACCUUUUUUGUUGGUGGGGCCUGCAAAACAAUGAACAGUUUUGAUGUCACCUACCCCGAACAAUAGACUGAAUAUAAAGGAAAUCAAAUAGCAGGACCACUUUUAUCAGCGGGUAUGUUGGUAUCUACCCCUUUACAAUUAUUCAUAUAGUGCUAAGAUAUUCCAGAGUUCUGUACAAUAGAUAAACAACACAAACACUAAAUUCUAAUAUAACACGAUAGACAUAUUGAAACAGUAAAAAUUAGCUUUCAAUCUCAACAAAAGAGAUGACAACACAAAUGGUGCCUAAGGCUCUGUAUCUCAGACCAAUCUGGUUGGUGUCUUUUUCAUUCGUAAUUUUAGUAUUUAAUUUAAUAUUGGUUAUACUGAAUUAUUCAGGGACAUACAAAAUUGGAGGUAAUAACAUCACACAAAAACGAUGCCUGUGGCAAAUUUUUAGUUCAUGGCAAUGAAGAUGGCAAGGUCAACUUAUAAUAGGCUAGGAUGUGUUUACAUAAAAUCUACCUCACAAGCGUAUUCACAUGAGAUUUCAUAUACGUGGAAUUGGUUUGCAGUCCGGAAAAAGGACAGCAGUUAAUAAAGCCUCAUCCUUAUCAAUUCUCUUUAUUAGAGACAGUCAAAUUAUGCCAAAAACCAAAAAGUUUCACACACAUAGAGUAAUGUGUAAAACCAAGCAAAAUAGAUAAAAAUGCAGUUUAACAUAAAGAUAUUUUUUUAUCUUGAUCUCAAGACAUGGACAUGUUAUGACUCCAGUAAAAGAUCGUUGUUUCUAUGAGUAAAAAAAAAUAAAUUCUCUUGUUCAAAAUAAUUAAUUUGAGGGAAGUUUUUCACAGUAAAUCUUUGUGAAACAAGGCUCCACUUAUCCAUAAACAUUUUAAUAAUUAAACAUUCUUGUCUUUCAUCUUUUUUUAGUCACUAGUCAAGUGGUAAUAAACAAAUUUUCCUCUUUCACCAAGCAGCUAAAUCUUAAGUCUUGAGUUUAAAGGUUGAUUCAGACGCAGACCCAUGCUCAUUGUGCCUGGAGGCGUAUCAUCUACGUGUCACUAACGAGGCCCAAUGGAGGCCAAAAUGAUCAUCUAGAAUUGCUGUAUUUUUUAAUGCAAAGAGAGCCUGCUGGCAUUUCAGGUCUGGACCAGGACUUGCGGGUAGGAUCAAAUGGAUAUGCAGCAGAAUAAGGUUCUCUCUAUUACGGCACAUGUAAGCAAAAACCUUUAUGAGACGUGAACAGGGACUAAUCAAAAGAGGGUAACCAUUUUUUUUGUCCGUUCCCCAUGUUUUUGCUUCAAACAAAUGAUAAUGAGUUUUAGACUGAAACUAUCAACUGUAAUACACAUGCUAUAUAUGUAUUGCUUUUAAUCCAUAUAAAUGAACACCCUUGAUAUUCAGCCAUGAAUCUAUAGGACUAGAACCGCAUACUCUGUAUAUAUGUAAAUACACCACUUUUCUGCAGGCACAGUUCAGCUUCUUAUGAUAAUCUUACUGAUGCUCUGGGCUCCUGCGAGUUUGUUGUUAUGUCUGGAACAGCACAUUUUCUAAAACCUGGAUAUAACUGCUUUUUUCUGAGCUAGAUAACACAGCUUGUGAAAACUGCUAGACCUUGAGGAUAGUGAAAGAUAGAUAGUAUAUGACAAGCAUGCACCCAGUAAUAUAUACCCUGCCUCUGUUUCUGUAUGCCUGUGUCUUCUGCAUUCUACAAGGGUGGCAGAGAGAAAUCUACUUAAGACUGCUGUAUAAAUGCAUAUAGACAGAACCACAUAAUGUACGAACAGCUUCCAAACGCUGAUUAAACUACACAAGGCAUAUAAAAUUUUGUGCUUUGUGUAUUAUUAUUUUGUGUGGUGCCAGAAGCACAUAAUGCCAACCAAAGUGAUUUCUUCAGCGUUCCCCUUAUGUGUUCUUAUUUAUCAUCUCUAGAUUUGUGCUUUCCUGUAAUGAAAUAAAUACAGAUACAAGACAAUAUAUUUUAUUGUAGCCUUUCUAUCUGUUUGUCUACCUAACUGUCUAUUUAUCUGUCAUUUGCUCUACCAGACUUCAAAUCUCUCAAAAUAUAUAUAUAUAUAUAUAUAUGCACAUAUUAUUGUUAAUAAUAACACUAAAUAUGUAGAUAUGUUUAAUGAUACAUUUUAUUUUAUCAUCUCUCUCUAUCUCUCUGUAUAUAUUCUUUUAUAUGUCUACAUUAUCUAUCUAUUUAUCUAUCUCUCUCUCUCUCUCUCUCUAUCUAUCUAUCUAUCUAUAUAUCUAUCUAUCUAUCUAUCUAUCUAUCUAUCUAUCUCUCUAUCUACCUAUCUAUCUCUGUAUCUAUCUAUCUCUGUAUCUAUCUAUCUACAUCAAUCUCACUUUAUGCUAAAUGAAAGUAUGUCGUCAGAUAGUGUUGUGUUUUUUUCAUUCUUAUAAAAAUUACAAGCUAACUGUCAUAUGUAUUGCACUGCCUUGCAUUAGCCUUGCUUGUAAGCCUCUGCUAUGAAUUGGAAAUUGUAUUACUGACCAGAUGGCAUAGUAACAGCAAGCAAUGAAGAUAACCGAGAGGCUUUACAACAGAUGUGAUCUUGCAAACCAUCGGCCAACAGAGGCUGAAAGGUUAACACAGAAAGCAGGGGGGCUGGUUGUUUGAGUUUCAUGCGGCCCCUUUGCUCAAUGAUCUAGAAAGCAUCAUUGUACAGAGCUUUCCUCCAAAGACACAGCUUGUAUACAUGUAUCACUUAUCCGAUCAGGGUCUGUUACAGUGUGAUAUAUCAAAAGCCAGAAUGAAUGAGAAAGGGACAUCCUAAAAUCAUUGGUCUUAUUACUAUGCAGUUAAGGUGUACCGAAAUCCUUUAAACCUAGCCUUAAAUAAUAGCAUUAUAAUGGAUUUGCGUGAAUGUACAAUGAAAACAAGUAUUAAAAUAACUAAUGAAGAACCCUAGACAUACCUUCUUCAGAAAUUCUAAUAUUACACCUGUGUCUGCUACACAGUACUUGAGAAUAUCCAUAAUAUUCUGCAAUGACCUUGUGCUUUUGACAUUCAGCCAGAUCUAAAUGAAUACUAGCUGUGAUAUAUUUCCUACAAGAUUCUCUAUGACAAUUUCUUUAGUAGAGUUAAGAAUCGCAUAAUCUGUGUUCUCCAGACAGAUUAGGUGGAAUGGGAGGCAUUUAGAGAGAUAUUUGCUAUUUUCAAAGUACUUUACGGUAACCCAGAUUCUUUAAACUAUCGCAUUUUAAAACUGGAAGUGCUUUGUGGUGGCAUAUAUAACAAAUGUGCUUUCAACUCUUUGAAUAUUUGCUGCUGCUUAAUAAUUAACCAUGAUCUUAUCUCAGAUAUAAUUUUAGUGUGCUCGCCAAAGAGCUAUACAUAAUGCUGAAUAGGAAUGCUGUGUCUGGUGCUUAGGAUAAGCACUUUUAAAGGGUUAUUUAAAGAUCACAACAAGUCACCGCACUAAGAAGCUUAUAUAGUACAAAUUGCUCUUCGUUGACCACUCAGCAUGCAAGUCAAGAACAUGUAAUUUUUUUCUAGGUUGCUAACAACACCAAUACAAGGUUCUUGAUAUAAGAUUUUUUUUUUUUAAAACAACUUUCAUAUUUUUCACUUGGUGGUUAUGGCUGAUGCAAAUAGUAUUUUUAUAUAAAGCCGGAUUUAAUUCCAUAUAAUUACAUUGUUAGGGUUUCGCAGCAAACAUGGGGGUUCCAAGCUUGAAGAUGUAGUUUCAACAGUAGACAUUUAAAUAUAUUAAUCCAAUGUCUUUUUUUUUUGCAACCGUGUCAAUUUUGAGAUAUGAAUUUACUACUUACAGAAUGCUUCUAGAAGCUGUUUGCACACCUGGCUGGAUAUCAAUUUGCAUCAUUUGCAGUCUGCUGAUAUAUACCUUUGAAACACAAAGACAGUUUGACUGUUUGUGGCAAACAUUUGAAAAAAAAAAAGUGAAUUUGAUCAAACCCACUAGGAUUAAUCUAGCGUUCACGUAUAUAUUUUACAUAUAUUAACCCUUUAAGGACCAAAGGCAGUCUUUGACUGUUCUGAUUUUUUUAAAUUCUAUUCCACAAUAGAAUGCCACUUUCAUUAACUAGGGCUCUAUAAUGCUGUAGAUGGUAAAUAAAAAAAAUUUUUGCAUGCCGAUAUAGGGCUUGUAAGCACUGAGAUGAAAGCAUAAAUUGGUGGCUCUCGAGGGGUUAAUGUUUAAAAACAUAAGAAAUAUUACUUAAAUAUUUGAAAGCAGACUAUAACAGGAGAACAGAAUGUGCACUUAUACCCUAUUCAGCCCUGCAUAUCCUAUUACACUCGCCAUCAUUCCAUUCAUCAGCUGCCGUGUUAUAUGUGUAACUCAACUCUUGCAAUUUGACCAUCUGGCUACAAAGCUACUGUGCAAAUUCACAAUGUUUUUCUAACUUCUAUUAAAGAGUCUAACUCAUUUUUUUUUUUUUUUUUAAUUUGGACUCUCUAGCCUCCAAAAAGAACUUUCUAAUUUAGCUAAAUAAGAGAUCUACUUUAAAGGAACAAUAUAGGCACCCAAACUACUUCAGCUUGUUUAAGUGGUCUGGGUGCAGUGUCCCAUGUGUAUUAACCCUGCAAUAGUAAUUAUUGCAGUUUUUGAUAAACUGUAAUAAUUACAUUACAAGGUUAAUUCCACCUCUAGUGGCUGUCUACAAAACAGUCACUAGAGGGACUUCCAGGUGGUUAGGUGACUUUUGGUCACCUAACUGAUGCUGAAUGUCCCCAUGCUCUGCCUCAAAAAAGAGUCAUGUCAGUCUGGAAUGAAUGAGUCAGGCUAACUGCCAAUCUUCUACAAAACAGCCACUAGAGGGACUUCCAGGUGGUUAGGUGACUUUUGGUCGCCUAACUGAUGCUGAAUGUCCUCACGCUCUGCCUGAGGGCAUCCAACGUCACCCAAAACCCCAUAGAAAAGCAUUAUACAAUACAAGGAUUUCCUAUGAAGGAAGUCCUAAUGUAAUCAUGGCUUUCACAACGCAUUAGUUUCCCUUGAAUAAUUGCUGAAUUGCUCACAUGGAGAUUUAUUCUGAUUGUGCCUGUGAAUUGCAAAAUUUGUGAACAAACUUUUAAUUUAUUGGAAGCUAGUUAAUCUUUUGGAAGCUAUAUGCACAUUUAAACAUUAAUUCUAAAUACACAGUUUAAUUGCAUAGUAUUCAAUUGUCUAUUACAAAAAGAAUGGUAAAAUAUCAGAUGUCUAAACAUAGGAAUUAAGCUUUCUGUCAAAUGCCAAAUUCAGAGGCAGACUCAAAUAUUCCAAUUGGCUACUUUUUAGGCAUAUGGCUGGCUAACAAGCCAAUAAAAACUCUGAGAAGCAAGUCAUUUACACUGGCUACAAGACAAGCUGUUUUAAUUUUAAUGUUUUUUUUUUUUUUUUUUUUUAGGACUGGGGAGGGGAAGACACUUUUCAUGCUCAACCAUGUUUUUAAUAAAUUCAAGCAUUUUCUGUAACUGAACUACAUUAUCCUUACAUCACAGCUGUGUAGGGAUGUACUGAGUUAUGGCAUAUGAAAUUGUUAGUGAAAGGGCUAGGAUUAUAUGAAAUUGUUCAAGGAUUUCCUGGUUUUUGAAAAAGCUGCAGUAGUGUCACAAGCGAGAGAUAUCCACGGGUAUUCUUGUUAUAUUUACUUUUUUUGCAUCUAUAUUGUACAACAUUAUCUCUACAAUGUAAUGAAAAUAAUAACAUAGUGGAGAUGUCUUAAUUAACUGCAUACCUCCUAAUAUAGGGAGGUAUGUAAAUCGGGAUGUGGAGGGCUGGUCUAUCAGGGGCAGUGCCCAGAAGGACACAUCUACCCGCCAUUGGGUGGGCCUACUCAAAAAAGAGUCAUGUCAGUCUGGAAUGAAUGAGUCAGGUUAACUGCCAAUCUUGCAGACUGGCCCACUAUGAUUGAACCUUGCAGAGAGUGCUUUUAAAGCACUCUCUGCAUGAUCCUAGUGCCCCUAGCAUUGCAUGAUGAUGUCUAAUGGAAACAUAGAAUGUGACGGCAGAAAAGCAGAGUCCGGCCCACCUAGUCUGCCCAAUGAUGGGCUUGUGCUACACUUUCUGGGGAAACCAGGGGGAAAACACAGUACCGUAGGAGAAGACCCAGAAUCAGGGACUGUUUCACCAAUAUUGGAACACAUGGGACGCCUGCAACUGAAACUCACCUCCUGAAAGAACCUUUAAACCAGAGUUAUUUAGUAAAGUAUAUAUUGUUAGGAAUUCAACUUGAAUUUCAUAUUUUAGUCCUAAAUAAGUCACAUUUGUAGUUUGACUAUUUUGGCCUAAACGUUUAAAUUCACAUUGAAAUACAUUAAUUCACAUUUAAUUGAGAAAACCUGUAGAAGCUGUUUUUUUUUCUAUUUUAGUUGGUAAACAUUCAACCUUUAACAGAACAUUGAUCAAGGGACCAGAGGUUUUCAAGAGCACACUCUAAACCACAAAUAGACCCUGAGAUAGCAAAAUGUAUUUCCAUAGCAUGACACACAUAAAUCAAUCCGAAUUAUACAGAACAAAAUAUGUAUUUUUAUUUUAUUUUCCUAGAAACAGGUUACUUUUUACUUUUUAUCAUGAACGAGAAGAUGAUCCAACUGCCCAUUUGUAUUAAAAUAUGGUAUGGGUUACAUUGUUCUGAUCUCUGAUUAAAUCUAGGCCAAUUGGUGCCUGUUUAAUUUAUUAAAAUCAUAUUCCUUUUGUAACUCCAAAUAGAAAUGGUUAUUCUAGUGAGGGAAAGAUAGAGCACAGGUAUGUAGGAGAUUAGGUCAGCGGAAUAAAUUUACAAUAUAUUGUAAAUUAGCUAACUUUAAAUAUUGUAAUAUAUUCCAUUGACCUAACCUUGCAGAGAUCUGUGCUUUAUCUCUCCCUGAUGUACAAAGUAAUUCACUUUGAAGGUAUGGACAUUUAUCAGGAUUUUAGACGUUUUGAUGACAUCACUUAGAUUCCCUUUCUAUUUUUUGGCCAGGAGAUAUAUAUGGUUUUCUCACAGUAGUGAUACUGCAUGGCACUAUUCCCAAUAAUUUUCAUGGCUGUUUGAUAUAUUUUAUAUUAAAAAAUUGCCAGUGCUGUUUUCAAACGUACCGCCUGAAUGCAAUGGGGCCUGUAUCAACCAUCUGCACACAGAUCUAUCACUCCGUAAGAACGUUUUAAAUCUCACAAUUUGCAAAUUGGGAUAAAUGAUUGGCCUUACACUUAUAACAAUUAUUUGAAAAUCCCCUUUAGGAUAAAACAUUACUUCUUGCUUUUUGUAUGAAUGACUAGUCAAAUAUAACUUUGUGUAAGUGUAUUUCAGAAGAAGAGGUAUUUUUGGACUUUGCGUUAGCUUUUGUAAGUGUUGCAGACAAACCUGGUAUUAUAUGCAUUUCACUGAGAAGUGGACUGUCUGUAUUGGCUUUUCAUUAAUGUUUGUAGGAAUAGCAGUAAAAUUUUGCAUAUUCACAGGUGCAGCAAUACACUAAUCCUUGCGAAAGCACAUUUACUUUCACAACUCCCAGGUGAUGGGAAUUGACUGGUCCCCAGUCCCCAGCAGUGAUUUACUGGUACACUGAUACACCUUGUUUUUUAUUGGAUGGGUGGACGGGACGGGACUAUUAGGUACUCUGUAAAAAAAAAAAAAUCAAAUAUACUGUAGACAUAGGAUCAAAAUAUAUAUUCUGUAUUUUUUAUUUUUUUAAACAUGCAUUUUUAUCUAAUACACAUUAACAGACACUUACCUGUGGGAUACUUAAAGCAGCUCUGCCACCAUAGAAAAGACUUACAAAUAAAAAUACAAUUUUAUAAAGAUAAAAUCUUCACAAAAUGCUCGUAAAGACUAUAUUGAAGUUUCAUUGAAAUUCCAAUGCAGUCCAAAGACAAAGCACUACGUGACAAAAUUUGACAAAUUGUGCCACUCCUGCCAUCCCUAGCAAUGUCUGUAGGAAGAAGGCAUUAUCUAACUCAUUCCAAGAUAAGAUCUAUGGAGGCUCCUGCAUACUCGCAGUAUUCUCCAUAGAAAUUAUCUUAUACUCUUGGGCAUGUUCGACUACAGUGCUAACAUGGGCUCUUUGCGGAUGAAGUACCAGUAGCUGAAGAAAGAAAAUGGUGGUAAGUAUAACUCAGCUGCACCCGUGGGCCACACAUCCCAAGCAGUGAUGUCACCAUCAGGAGUCUUUGCAAAAAAUGCAAAGACCCCAGAAAAUGGCAGAACUAGUUUAAAUGCCAGAUAUAUAUAUACAUAUAUAUAUAUAUAUAUAUAGAGAGAGAGAGAGAGAGAGAGAGAGAGAGAGAGAUGAAGAUAGAGCAAGAUAUCUUUUUAUAAACUUUUGGGUUCACUUUUCUUUCUUUACAAUCACUAACACCUCCCCCAUGUUCCAUUUUAAACUCUCAGUAGUGUUCGCAUUAUCUACUAGACAGUUCUAAUAACAUAUACCUUCACCGUAUAGAAGAGACAUUGAUGUUGACAGCAUGGAAUGUAAAAUGACAUAUUUCUUUUUACAAUUUUUUUUUAAUUAAUUAAUUCGCUAGGCAACUGUAUUUUAACAUGUCACUGUUCAAGAAGUAAAGUUUUAAAUAAAAUGUUUUUACACUUAUAUUUUAGUUUAUGAAUUGUCAACUUGCAAAUCGAUUGCUGUUUUAUUUAUUUAUUGUGAUUAAUGUAUGUGCAACUGCAAAUAUAUGUAUUUCCUGGCAUGGCAUCUUUGAAUUCCUACACAAACUUCAGGCAUAAAAUAAAAUUUUAUAGUUUUGCUGUUUAACUACAAAGGAUUUUCCCCCUAGAAUACCACGUUCAAUCUAUGUAAUGUGAUUAGAAUAUAUGAGAUGUCAAAAUCAUUUUUGUACUCUUGCCCUCCAUAGCCUGCUCAACUAAAUCAGAAGGCUAUUUAACCACAGCCAUAUAAACCGUUAGUCCUACUUUUUUUUUCUCCCAUCAUAUCUUACACUAUCCAUUUUGGCAGCGUUCCAAUCAUCUCACUGUUAGAGCGACUGUUUGAAGCUGCCACCAUGUUUCUGUCUUAAAACUUGCUUCUCUGGGGUUUCUACCCUUCAUUGACUGACUUGUAUGUUUUUUUAUGAACUGGUUUUUGAGAACAUCAUCUUUUUGUAAAUACUCUUAGUUUGCUAAAAGAUUAAAAAAUAUACAAAAUUACCUCUUUUGUGAAGCGUUUAGAUUAAACACUACUACGUUUAUGUUAUGUGUUAAAAAAACAACACAUUUUUAUAUAAUAUAUCACUUUUUACAUUUUUGCUUUAAGAUAUAACUUGUUUUUUUUCCCACUCACAGAACACUCUGCAUACCUUUUCACAAAAUUGCCUAUUAAGCUUUCAUAAACAAGUUUAUUAUGGUUCUUUUUGAAAUUCUGAAUAAUUUUACUUUAAAGCCUUUUUUGUGUGCACUUAAUAGAGUGGCCUGACAACCUCAUAUUAUUUAACCAUGUCAUUAAGAUAAAGGUUUAUCAUCUAUGGGAAAUGUGGCAAACAGUAGAAUGAAAAAUUUUACCUCUUUUCUUUCAUGUUUAGAGAGAUACUUGGAGAUGAUUGUUUAUGAAGCAUUAAUGAGCAGAACGGUUUAUAAUCAAUGCUUUAUAUUCUUGUAGACAGAGAUUUCAUAAAUUGAUUGGGAACAUUGGCAUUAUUGCGAGAGAGAAAAAAAGUUUUGUAUCAAACUUUAAAUAUUAUGUGGAAGAAAAUAUGAUAUGAAGGAAAACAAUUGUUAUGGUUGGACUGUACUAAUGUAAAAAUGCUGUGAUUUACAGCUGGCUUCAAGGCGUCCUGAUGAAGUAGGAGAUGUCCUAAUUGACGCUUAGUAACUGGGUGACCACCACUUUGCUUUUUGCUGUGUAUUUUGGCUCUUCCUGGAUACCGUACCCACAAAAGUGAACUGAAUGCACUGUACAUCUUGGAAGGAGGAAUUAAUAGUUCAGUAGGGAAUAUUAGUGCCUUCUGCAUAUUACAAUUAUUUGUGCUGUAUAUUUAUGCUUGUGAGUACAGCCAAAUAAACAUAAUACACUAUUGUGGCCCAUUUGCCCUUGUAUUCCAAAUACUUCUUUACUAAGUGACUUGAGGGCUGGCAGCAUUUAUACCUAUAACAACAUGUGUUGGAUGGUAUGUAGAUAUUUUUUUAAAGGUUGGAUGGGCCCAUUGAGGCAUGCCAGUGGCUGAAAGCCCCAAUGAGGAUAGACCAUGCACAAUGAGCUGCUCUGUACAUGAUCCUAGUAACCUGACACAAUUCAGCACAGCAUAAGUGUCUAAUGAAGUGCUUGCAUUGCAUUUGCUGGGGCAUGUUCCCUGGUACCCCCUAUGUGGGCACCAGGUAACCCGUGAUUACGAAAUGGGACCCAUAAAUUGGUUUUGCUCUACCAGAUCUGGACUGUUGGGAGGUAUGAAUUUUAUUGUGACAGGAUACUUUAUAUGCUCUCUCUGUAGCUUUCUAUGUAGAUUACUUCAAGACCCAGUGUGUUCUGUGCAAGACUUUUACAUAAAAGUUACCUAGCUGGUAACUAGCUAUGCAAACUAUUACUCAUUUUUAGCAUAGCUCCUCUACCAUUAUAGGAACACAAUAGUGUCAGUAGUCCUGACACUAUAGGCAUAAACCAUUUAGCCCCCCCCCCCGCCCUCCCCAGUUCCCCACUGUGAAAACGUUAUUAACACUGUGUGGGUCUUGUUGUGACUGGCUUCACCCACGCUCUGCCUCUUUUGCUGAAAUAAUCGAUUCUGAUUAUAUCAGCCAAUCCAAUUCUUUCCCAUAGGAAAGCACUGGGAGGAGAAUGUAUAUGCGUUGCAAAACGCUGUGCAGAAAAACACUGCACUGCACCAGUCAUCAUCUCCUCACAGAGAUGCAAUAAAUCAAUGCAUCUCUGUGAGGAAUUUAAGCAGGAGACGCACAUUGUGCAGCACUGACCCAGGAAGCACUUGUAGUGGCCGUCUAAGUGAUUGCCACUAGAAGAGUUCCAAGGCAACAAUGUAAACACUGCCUUUUCUCUGUAAAAGCAGUGUUUACAUUAAAUGCCUGCAGGGACAUACUAUACACAGCAGAACAACUACAUUAAGCUGUUCUGGUCCCUUUAAACUUGAAGAUGAUGCAAAUCAAAGACUAGGAAAUGUGGCUUUGCUACCAAUAUGAAACACAUGAAGUUCUAUAAGGGAAAUUCUGCUUUGUAGUUCAACCACUGAUCUGUAGUGUUGGAAAACAUUACCCCAGGUGCUGAAAAAUAGAAUAUUGUUACAAAGUAGCAUAUAUUUAAAUAUUCUGGAGUCUGGAGUCCAACUGUUACAUAUCAUGCUAAAUAAAAUGCCUGCCACAGCUCAUAAUAAUUGUGUUUCUACAACAUAUACAAAGUACUAUGCAAUAUAUACAAAUAAGCACAAACUGCAUUGUUAGUCAUUUAGGUUUCCUGCCCACAUUUCUGUAGGUUUCCAUGGUAACAGUCUGCUUUAUUAACAUAGCUUGACAUCUGGAGAAUGUGGGACGGACUGACAAUGACAGUGCUGUGCAUGCUCAUUUGCCUAUUUUUAUGGCAUUUUGUGAGUACUGUGAAAGCACAGUCAUUAAAAGCUGCUGUGUAUAGGAAAAGUAUUUUGUUUGUUAUUGAAAAAGCAUGGUGUGUUUGUUUUUAAACCUACUAAACUUGCGUUGUCGUUGCAUUAAGCACUGAUCAAAGGUCCCAUAUUAUAUGCAUGGAUUGUAUAUAUUCUUUAAUAAGUUUUGUUGAUAUUUAGGGGGUUAAUUUAUAAAAUUGUGAGUUGAUGACCUGAAAACUAAAUGGGAAUAAGUCAAUUCAACGUGAGCUUUUCUACGAAUAUGCAUGAGUAUCCAAGUUGGCAAUGCAGUUGAGUUAUAGAUAUUUUUUUAAGGUACUUGAGACAAUUUUGUUACUUUAAGCCACAUUUCACUUUUUAGUGAAAAAAACCCCAAUUGCUAAAGAAUAUGAGACUGCAAAGCUGAUGUCAGCAUUCACAAUCCAGAUGUUGUCGACUACAUCUCCCUUGAUGCUUUCCAAGCACUAGAGCUUAACCAGCACUAUGGGGGAUGUAGUACGCAACAUCUGGUGUGCUGUAGGUUGCUUACCCCUGGCCCUAAACUAACUUUCAACUAAAUUGGAAAUGAGUCUCUGCAUUAACAUAUGUGACUAUGGAUGGCAAUAAUAGUCUACCACACCCCCUAUGCUCACUGCUUAUCAUUGCUGGCCAAAGUUGGCCAAGUUAAUACUUUGCUUCUGCAUUCGGCAAUUGGAAGGUGCUUGAAAAUCCAAAGGUUUUACCAAACCACUUCAAAACAGUUUGUCCUAAAUCAGAUUAUCUCAGAUUACUCUCUUGGGUCACUAAAUAAUAAACUCUAAAACUAACCCGGAUGUAAAUGCUCUCUUACUAUGUAUUUUUGCUUAUAUAACAUUGUAUACAUUUUGUUUUUCAUUUUUCCAAGAUAGUAUCAUUUCCCUCCUCAGGAAUGCUAUGGUUGCUUCCAGCCAAUACAAGAUAUCAAAGAAAUCAAAUUAAUGAGCAUAUAUAGGUGUGCCAUCAUAUUUGUCCAUGUGUAGUUCCUCCUCUAUUGAAGCCAAGUAGUUCUUAUUGAUUUUGCUAAAGCCUGAGGGGCAAAAUGAAUGUUGUGUUAGAAUGUCAUGUUAGAAUGUCAGGGAGGCAGGGAUUGCUACUAGAAUGGUAAAUCAGAUAGCUUUCUCUCAAAUGUAUUUAGUGCUUAGUAACAAUUUGUAAAUUUAGAAUACUUAUUUUGUUACUUUUUUUACACUUUGCUUGCAAGUAAAUAUAGUGACUAGCUGGUCCCUUAACCCCUUAAGGACCAAACUUCUGGAAUAAAAGGGAAUCAUGACAUGUCACAAGUCAUGUGUCCUUAAGGGGUUAAGGCAGGGGUUCUCAACCCAGUCCUCGGGACCCCCUACCAGUCCAGGAUUUGGGGAUUACCUGGGUGUGUCUAAGGUGUUUCGAAAAAGGAAAAAAAAAACACCUUAGACUCUAAGGUGUUUUUCUUUUUUUCUUUUUCUAAACACCUUAGACACACCCAGGUAAUCCCUAAACCCUGGACUGGUAGGGGGUCCUGAGGACUAACGUUGAGAACCCCUGGGUUAAGGGGUUAAGCCUUUCACUACGCAAAUUAUAUAUGCUUGAUUCCCAAGGUAUGUUCCCAUAUCCCAGAAUCUUGUAUACACAAUUUUACUAAUUGCAAGUGAAAUUUGUUUAUUUCAAAUAAUUUUGUUAGCAAUUGGUACCCUAUCUGCCAUCUGUCCCUGUGAGAGAGAGCUGUUAGAGUGCUUGCUCUCUGCAAUAAGAGGUGCUGUGUUUGGUGCGUUGCGACUGCAUCGGCUGGUGAAAGGAUCUACAGGUCUCCUCAAUGGGCUCUGAGCUUUCUUAUAACUGUGAAUGAGCUACAGGUCACCUCCAUUAUAUGCAGAUCACUGCCAAUACUCCCUACUGGACAUAGACCAAAAGGGAGCAUUCACAGAAGUCUGCACCCAGCCAGAUGUUCGGACUUGCAGCACUGAACUACCAGACCACCAGGGCAGUGUUUAGACCCCAACUGGACUAUCAGGGUUAACCUCUGGACUACCAGGGUAAAUUGCCCCUUCUCUGCCCAAAAAGUAGGCAGCAAAAAAAAUACAUGUCAUAUGGUGUUGAGAUGCUGGACACAUGAACACAACCAUAUUACACAUAUUCAAACCCCCAGAGGCAGUUGCCCACACACAGUCACCCUUACACAUACAGUCAUCCCCAUAAACACUGUCAUUCCACUAUAAAAAACACAAUCAACUCUAUAUACAGUCACCUCAUACACACAGUCACCUCCUCUACACACAAAGUCACUCCCCACACAAACACAGUUACCACGAAACACAAAAUGACCCUUAUACGCACAGUUACAGUCAUGUCAUAAAUACUACAUAUAGGUCCACAAAACCACAAGCAGCUCCUAUACACACAGCACAAUGUAAACAGCUCCCACAAACAUAGACACUUCCAGACACAGAGUUACACAUAUUCACAAAUAUAAAGACACACACACACAUAUAUACAUUCCAGACACAGUCACAGAUACCAAUAUACACAAAUAAACACUUGCAGACACACACACACAUACAAACACACAUACAACAAUAUUUACUGCCAGAGACACAUUUUCAGGCACAUGCACAGGUACACAAUGCCUGACAUGCACACAUGACAGUACACAUUGCCAGAUACACUCAGUCAGAAAUACAUGUAGUGGAUAUUGACCAAAAUAUAAAAAACAUAUUCUGGGGCAUGGUGGCUUCCUUUUAAGGAUAAUGAUAAACAUACUGCUCUGUAUAAGACAAUAUUAACCCCUUAAGAGCCAAUAGCAUUCUCUGCCAUCAUUACAAUCAGGUCUGUUAAGACCCUAGGCAAAUACUGAAUGUGGUAUUAGUAAGCCCUACUACAUCAGUAAGACACUUUGUAUUGGUGUAGUCUUUAAUAAUUGUAAUGUUAUGAUCACAUAGAAUGUCAUUGAUUCUUGAGAGGUUAAUUGUUAGGUAUAUAUUUAUUAGCGUAAUAAUACAAAUGUUGGUGGGAAUACAGAAUGAAGAUAAUGGUCCUCAAUACCAUUGUUUUAAGUGAGACCUGUCUGUUAAAUUUAAAUUGCGUCUGUCAAUGACUCGCUUUCAAAUUCAUAAGACUGUCUCGUAAUACAUGCAAGCUCUGCACAAAGUAACCACGAGCUGUGUUCAUUAUCACUGGGGAAGAAAGAGCCAGAUCAUGAACUGCAAUGCUUAAGGUUCUUUUAUAUCACGUCUGAAUGCAUCGGAACAGACAUGUUGAGUUCUGCCCCAUCAGAAUUGAUAUUCAAACAAAGAUUUUGAUUUUGAACGAGUGAGCUAAUGGAUUUUGACCAGAAAGAGAAGCACAGACCAGGUUAUGAUUACAAGGAUGUGUCAUACAUUGAUCAUUCAGACUAAUUGAGCAGAGUGAGGCAGAACCAAAUUUUGUAAAACUUUAUUCUAGCCUUGUAAUGGAUUCUGUCUAUAUAUUAUCUGCAUUUUGACCAUUUGACCAUUUUAACCUAAGAGAUUAAUGACUGGCACAAGACUGCAUGUUAACAGAUGCUCCAGUAGGCACUAGGCAGAAGGUUUUCCGAAGCCUGUCACUAGCUGUGUACUUCAGAUCAAGGGAAUGUAGUGCAGUUCCGUUUGAAUUGUGACCCUUCGUUUUGAUAAUAUUUUUUUAGUUUUUGUUUGCUGAUAAAGUAGAAACACUCUUUAAAUAGCAUGCAAACAGAUUUUUGUAAUUUCCACUUUUGGAGAAGGGUACACUUUUUUUUUUCUUUUCAAGAUGUUAUAGUGCAAGGAUAGGUAACCAUCAACUCUACAGAUAUUUUGGACAAUAUCUCCUAUAAUGCUCUUACAGCCAUAAUGCUGGCAAAGCAUCAUGGGGGAUUUAGUCUACAACAUCUGGAGAUCUGGAGUUCCAAAAGUUGCCUACCCCUCUUACAAUGUCUCCAAUUUCACAUCAAAGAGAGAGAGAGAGAGAGAGAGAUAGAAAGAGAUAGAGAGAUUGCGGGGUGUCAUGAAUGGCAGAGACUGAGAAUGAGAGGGUGGGUAGUUGAGAAUAGCCAGAACAUGCAAGACCUCACUCUCAGGCUCAUCUUCUGCUGUCUAUGACACACACCCCCAUCCCUAACAACAUGAGUACAUCAAGACUUCUUUUAAGUGUUACACUCUGUCGUAUUGUUUAGUAUUGCAUCAAACCUGAGGAUGGAAAGAUAACUCUCAAAAGCUUGCUGGCCUUUCGGAUAGUCAAUUAAAGAUCAUUGAAUACUUUAAUACUUUGGAUAUUUUGGCAUUAUAUAUAUUGGCAAAGUGUUCCUCUUCUCUUGGGUUCCAGAUUUAUCUCUGUGUGAAGUUGGUCUAAACAUUAAAAUAUGCUUCUCAAUGGGAUGUAGUAUCGUUCAUCAGAAUAUGCAGUAAGCUCUGCUGGAGGUAUACUUACUUCAACAGGUUUCUGAUAUAAAUUUUCCAUAAUGCCCAGUCAACCUUAGACCUGGCUGAACAUCAUGGGACGUAUCUAGAAAUAUUUGGCAUGCCACGAUCAUCCAUCACUGCUCAAUAGGCUGUGAGAAUUUUGGCCACAGAUGAGAAGUUGCUAUUGCAUACAUCUUUAAAUGUAUCCAGUACAGUGAUGAUGUGGGUUUUGUUCCUUGUAAAUGGAUUGAAAAAAAAAAAGUACUGCAAUUCUUCCAUGUGAUAUUUAUACAAAAAAAAAAAAUGCUUUUCCACAAGGCAAAUGAUUUCACAACUAAAGUUUUGUUCUUUUUUUUUCUCCUGGUUUCUAAAUGUCAAAAUGUCAUUUUGAAGCCUGCUUUAAUUCUUUGUAUUAGUAAAUUGUGUGGAGUUUGUAAGAUAUGCAAGAAGAAAGUAAACUAAUUAAAGCAAUUAAGAUAGCUUGUAAGAUAUAGAUAUAAAUUAAUUGACUGCAAUGCAAAGUCUACAAAAUGUUCACUUGUGAAUGCAGCUGAACUGGAUGCUGUAUUAUCUCAACUGAAAUUUACAAUUCCCUUUAUUUGCCCCGCAGGAAGCCAUUUUCUUCAACUAAAUACAAAGUGGCCUUAACAUGUUAAACUUUGUCCUGCUGAUUUAUAACAUUUAAAUUAAUAGUUUAUUUUGUUUUCAUCUCCUACAUCCCUAUAGCAAGUAGAGUAACAACAUGACUUAACGAUGAUAUUUUGUGCAGACGGAAUAAAAUAUUAUUAUUAAAGAAAAGAAUGUUAAAUCAAUAGUGCUGUUUCUUUUUGGAUAAAUUUAAUAAGCAGUGGAAACAAUGGGCAAGAUUAAAGAAGCGCUGUCUUAUUAUGCCUAUUUAUUUGUUUACUCUUGAAUUUAUUUUGAUUUACACUCACAUCAACAUGAUUAACCCCUUAAGAACCAUUAUGUUGCUGUUCUGAAUCUCAAAUAGCUUUUGUCAGCAUGACGUACCUUAUAUACUAAACUUCAGCAGCUCUUAAAGUGGCCCUGUCAUGUUUUCUUCUUUUGUCUGUUUGUUUAUUUGUUUUUUGUCCCCUGUAUACACCCUAACCCCUAGCAUCAGCACGUAUUUAUAAUUAUUUUUAUUAUUUCUUUGUGCUAUGCUUGUGAUCUCAAUAUCUGGGUUCAGCCAUUUUGUUCUCCUCUGCCUAGGAUGUCUGCAGUUUUGUGGGACUGAUUUUACUAAUGGAUUGUAGGUAAAUGUGAAUGCCAACUCUAACAAAACCUUGCUUAAGUUCCAUGCAUGCUAAGGUUUUGAGAAUAUUACUGCUGUACAUAAGGAAAAGUAGUCGCUAUCUUUAUAAAUUUUAUGAAAACCAGAGCGCACAACAAAAACCCCAUGCCUAAUAUUGUGUAGUUCACCCUUGUGUUGCCAAAACAAAGCUCUGAUGUGUCAAGACCUGGAUUCUACAAGACCUCUGAAUGUGUCCUGUGGUAUCUUCACCCAGAUAUUAGCAGCAGAACCUUUAAGUCCUGUAGGUUGCAGGGUGGGACCUCCAUGUUUCAGAUUUUGUUGGUUUUUGUUUUGUGGUGUGUCAGUCAUAAUCCUUCUGAAAGAGGCCACUGCCAUCAGGGAACCCUUUUACCAUGAAGGGUUAUACGUAGUCUGCAACAAUCUCUGGGUAGGUGAUACAUGUGAAAGUAACAUCCACAUGAAUGCUAGGACCCAAGGUUUCCCAGCAGAUUAUUGUCCAGAGCAAAACACUGCCUCUGCCAGCCUCCCUUCUUCCCAUAGUGCAUCCAGCUGCCAUCUCUUCCUCAGAUAAAUCACAUACACACCUUCGGUUAUCCACCUAAUCUAAAAAAAUAAGAUUCAUCAGACCAGGCAACCUUCUUCCAUUGCUCCAUUGUCUAGUUCUGACACUCACAUACCCACUGAAGGGGCUAUCUUCGGUGGACAGUGGUCAUCUUGGGCACUCUGAAUGAUCUGCGGCUACACAGCCCCAUACACAGCAAACUCUGAUGCACGGUGUAUUCUGACACAUUUCUAUCAUUGCCAGCAUUAAGCUUUUCAGCAAUUUGAACUACUGUAAAUCUUCUGUGUGAUCGGACUAGAUAUGUUAAUGUUUUUUUUUUUUUUUUUUAACAUGUUAUAGUUAAAAUCUAUGUCAUUUACAAAAAUAAGAGCUUUUACAGUACAUAAAAAUAGAUUACAGAAAUUUACAAACACCUUAAAUACCUGCCUUGUUUUAAAUGAAGGACUAACACAUCACUAACUCAUCUUAAAGUAGUGUUGAUAUUAACUUGGGUAAUUAAGAUCAAUUUAAAGUUUGUUCCUUUGGUUUUAGCCUUUGACAAAACGUUAAAUGAUUAUCCAAUUGUAAAAUAAAUGUUCAAAGGAAUCAUAAUCAGAGCAAGUGAGUUUCUUAAGUGAACCAGGGGUGACCUGACUUCUGCCCAUAGGGCAUUUGUCACACUGUGACAAGUCAUCUCAAUGAUUAAUUGAAUAGUAGCUGUGUAGUUGAUAGAUCUUUGUGAUUGCAUCAAAGAACUAUUAAUCAUUUUCAUGAGUUACUUUAAUAUCUAUCUAUAUAUCUUUUUUUUUUUUUUUAGAGAUGUAAAGGUUAAACCUAAAAUCUCAGAGACUUUCCCCAAUCCAUGUAUGCACUGAUCGUAUUAUGUAUAAACCUCUAAAUGUUUUUUUUUUAAUUUUUUUACUUGCAUGUUAUAAGUUAAAAUCUGUACUUCAAUGCAGAUGACAAAUGGAGAUUAAGAGGUCAAUGCAAUUAAGUCACUUCAUUGAAUAUUUGAAAUAGUCUAUUUAAAGUGACUGAAAAAAAAAAUAUUGUACCCUUGGGACCAGUGAAACAAGUCAUGAUUUGGUUCAUUGUUCAUUGUUCUGUACAGUUUAUCAGAGUUCUUAGCAGUAUGUAACUAAGAAGCACUUAUUGAGUACUCAGUAUUAAAUAUCUACUGAUAAUAAUAGUUUGGCAAAUGAACUAGCAGAGGACAAGAAGUCUAAUGUGUAUGUAUUGGUAGCAUACAUGAAUGCCACUUCCUAAUGCUACCCCCCAAACAUCCAAUGUUAUAACCUCACCUCUCCAUAGUCACAAAGAAUGCAUUUGAACCAAGGCUAUGAAGCCACUUAAUUCUGUGUGGCUUAACCACUCAGAUUAAUAAUGAUGCUCCUUAAAUAAGCAUUAUGUGAUGCAGAGUAGAUGGAACAGCCUUUAUGCUAUGCGGAGUCAAUGGAAAUGACCUUAGAAAGAGAAGUCUUAAUUAGUUUAUUACGCACUGGUAAGACAUUACACAGUUCAGUACCCAAGAGCCCAAUUUCAGUACCAAAGGACCAAUGCAACAAAUACUGUUUAAAGGUAUACAAAUAUAAAGGUAUACAGCGUUAGAAAUAUAAAUAUUCCCUUGUCCCCAUGAUUUCACUUACAUUUUCUCCCUUGCAACACCAGUCUCCUCGAAGAAGCUCUAUCUCUUUGUCUUGGACAAUCGAGAUUGAUGAUCUCAGUCAAUCCAAUGCUUUCCAAUAGGAAAGCAGUGCGAGGCUAGUGCAAAUGCGCGGCAAAACACUGCACUAUGACAAGCAGAUGGUCACUCUGAAAACAUCUGAUUGAUAUAGUGGAGUAUUACUGUACCCACCUGCUGAAUGUAGCAUACUGUAACUUUAAAAAAAAAAACCAAAAAAACAGUUUCUUAUAAGGAGUCUUUGGAGUUAGAUGCAAACUUUAACAAAGCAUGUAGAUGAAUUGAAAUGAUGUAGAGCAGAACUGUCACAAUCGCAGAAGAGUAAAGCAGAAAGCUAUUAUGUAGAGAACAAAGAUAUGUAGUCGAGGAAAAUAAUAUCUUAACAUCAAAUAGGUCAUAGAACACUUUAGAUCUUGCUUCUUGGUUACAUAUUUAUGGGGGUGUUAGACUAUUUUCUUGCUUUAUAAUCAAUGAAAUGAUAGAGAAAAGAAUGUAUCAAAUGCAUGUUUUAUAAAAUAUAUAUAUAUAUAUAUAAUAACUAAAAAUUGUGCAAAAAUAAUUUUUACUUUUAUUGUGAUUCCUAGAGUUACAUGUUCUGAUCCCUGAUUAAAGUACCUAAUCGUGUUUUGUAGGCUUACAUCAUGGUGUAAUUUCAGGGGCAGGUUGGACUUGUUUCUAAUUGAGGCAUCAGGGCUAAUCAUUACAUCUAGAGGCUUUGCUAGAGGCUUCUAGAUGCCCCACUUUGUUGAGUGGCUUCUUCUGCAGUGUCUUCUUCUAGGCUUUGCUAGAGGCUUCUAGAUGCCCCACUUUGUUGAGUUUGUGCAGUGGCUUCUUGGACAGAGAGUGGAACCGUGUUAAUAAUAGGUUUAGUAGAUAUCUGGCUGUUUCUUCCAAUACGGUGUUUGGGUGCAACACACAACCGUCGUACUAGCAUGUCCCAUCGUAAAAUAUACUGUGUCAAACUUAGAUGUAUAUUACUAGCUUAUUAGUAUUGGUAAAGAAUUGGGCUGUAUUAGCUAUAGAAAUGCAUAAGACAAGUAAUAUGUAAUACAUCUAUUGAGUUGUAACUUUCUAGGGCCCUUAGGCUUCUUUUCAACUGAGAACACCUAAAGAGUACUGAGUUCACCAUUCUUAAUCUCCUAAUAACCAAUAAGGUUACCAUGUUAAUACUACUUAUCUCCAGAAAUAUUGGUCUAAAAUAUUCUCCAACUCAAAAUACCCACCCAAAAAUAUGAAAUGUUUAUGUUAAUUUUGUACAAUAAACAGUUUAGUGAAAUGCUUUCAAAGGAGCUGGAAAGUGAUCAGAGGUGCUAUGAUUUUUUUUUCGCCUGUAAAAUAAGAAUUAUAUUGAAGGGCAAUUAUUGGUUUCCAGUUGUUAAAUGUAUUUACAACUUAAGGCUUAUCUGUGUUUAAAAAGUUUAAAAAAGUUUUGUUUUUUUUCAUUACUAUGCCAAAGUAAAUGCAAGGCUAACACAGAUUUACACCAGGAGGUUGUAGUGAGAUGAACAGGAACUUGAGUGUAACACAAUGUAACAAGUUCUAAAACAGGUUUGAAGGAAUUGCAGAAUUAUUUUAGGAAAUUAUAAUUUUUUUCACAUUUAUAAAGAUCAAAGUAAGUAUCAGACAAAUAAAAGGCGACCAAGUUAAGUCAUUCAAAAUAAUCCAUAUUCUAUAAAAUAAGAAAUAUGUUUAAGGCAACAGUAUGUGACAACUAAAUGCAUUCAUUAUACACACAUUAAACUUAUCUUUCUCAAUUCUUGAUUGAUCUAUAGUAUUAUUUGGUUAAAACUGUGGUUAAAGCAAUCCUAUCAUGACGCCAGUGACAUAUUUUCCAGGUAUAGAUAUAUUUUACUUUAAGGUAUCUAAUGCUUCCUAUCAUAUUAUUUAUUUAAUUAUAACAUAUUUUACCAGGAAGGAUAUAUUGAGAUUUCGCUCAUUUUCAAGUAUGUCCUGGGGCCACAAACACUGCAUUGCUACUAUAGGGUACAAUAUAAUAUUACAAAAUAUAAUACACUAUAUAUAUAUAUAUAUAUAUAUAUAUAUAUAGUGUAUUAUAUUAUGUAUAGUGUGUAUAUAUAUAUAUAUAUAUAUAUAUAUAUAUAUAUAUAUAUAUACACACACACACACAUAUAUACAUUUAACAGACAAUAGGUAAUAAAUAUAUUCAACCAUGACAGGUGCAUUUUGUAUUGAGGUAUGUUACCCUAGAUCUCUUAAAGGAUUUUAGAUUGAAGAAUGAAGAUUUGGCUGUGUUCGUGAGGUUAUUUGUGGUGCCCUGUAUGACAAGGAGAAUUGAGCUACUUUAUUUUUGUAUUGCGUUAUGUUAAAUAAAGUGCUGGCACAUGAUCAGAGUUUAUAGGAGGUGGGAAUGACUGGGGGGAGCAUUCUACUCAGGUAGGGUGGGAGCUUCAAAGAAAAGCUCUAAUGCACAAGGCUGAAAAGAUGAAGAGUGCAUCCUAGGACCGUUCAGUAGAUGGGCUGAGCUUUCUAAAGACUGGGGUGAUGUUAAUAAAUAACUACUUAUCUGAUUUUAUAUUGCUAAAGGGAUAAAGAAAGUGUAAAGUGUAUAUUCUGCUGGAUCUGCCAAAAGUUGAAUCUGGUGGUGGAUCUGCCAAUUAUCAAACCAGAAAGUUAGGUCUCAAGCUUGAAAAACUUACCAUUCAUUUGGGAGCCCAGAUUCUUAGUUCUAAAGAAAUAACAUAUUAAUAUCCAAUUGUAUGGACACAAUUCUUGGAAAAACCUUUUUAAGCUUCCACUGGAUUUCAUCAGACAUAAAUAUUGUUAUUAGAAUAAAAUAUGCCUAUUCUGUUAGCCAGAAUUUAGUCUCUGAAAUAGAAUUGCUAAUGCCAUGAAUCUACACAAUUGCAUAUAUUUUUAAAAUACUUUUCCACAUUCUUUUUUAAUUAUUUAGAACAUUAAAAAUGUGUUACCUGCAUACAACAAUGUUUUUUUAUAUUAGAGAUUUUUAUAAUCACAUCAUGUAUUGACAUGAAAAAUGAAUUGGAACGUUAAGAAAUAAUAAAUCUUUCUGAUCAAUGGGAACAAAAUAGAUAAAACCACACAUUUAUAGAUUCAAAUGUUCUUAUAAACACUGGAUUUAACGUAUAAAGUUAGAAAGUAUUAAGUUAAAUCAGACAUCAUACAUUAUAUAUAAAACUCACUUUGAGAUAACAUUAUCAGAGAUUGGAAAGGUCAAAAUUUGUGAAACAGCCCAAAAUUAACUAGUAUGAUAGCUCAGUGGUUAGUACAUCUGUUCAGUUUCAGCUCCAGGCAGGACACCUAUCUCUCUUUUAAUUAUUGAUAAUAAAAAAAUAAUAAUUUCAGCUCCCAUGAGAAUUCCCAAAGAAUUCUUCCUAUGGCAAUUUUCCCAGACCGUGAUGAAACUUGGAGAGAAAUGUGAAAUGGUUAGCAUUUUAAUUCCAAAACAUACUAAUUUCUCCAUCCUGUGGAAAUUACUGCUUAAGUGUUUUUGAUGUACAUGUUUCUUACCCUAGAGAAUGUGAGAUAAUAAAAUUGUCAACAUAUCAUUUUUUUUUAAUUAGUGUAUGUGUAUCGUAACUAAACUGGUAAAUGUGAUGAAUUGAGAAGGAAAUUGCAGUCCAAAUUAGCCAAAAUGGAAUAUUGUCCAACUAUUUUUCUAAUUUUGCUAUAUUGGCACAAAAUGUGCAGUUUUCUUGUCAAUUCGUCUACAUUCUCUGUUUAGUAAAUAAUAAACCCCUUAAUGUUCAUAUAGGGUGAACAUUUCAUAUAGAGUAGAUUUGCAUUUCAAGUCAUCAAUUAUAAUGAUGAACUGAUUACAUAUUUACAAUUUAAUCAUUUUGUCAUUGACUUGUUUACUUAUAUAGGUCUUUUAAAAAUUUUUUUUUAAUAACAUAUAUUCUUAAAUGGAAGAUGAACAAGCAUUGUAGAGGCAUGUUAUAUUUAUAUUUAAACAUGCCAUGUAAUAACUCUUGGUGUCAAAAAUUAAAAAAAAAUACUUUUGUUGUGAAGUACUUAAUAAACAUUGGGUUUAAGCAUUAGAGUCUAUUAAAAGUAAGAUAACCAACUAAACUGAUCCAGUAACUCUGGAAGAUCCUAAGUGACAUUUAGAACACAUGAACUUUGUUUACAUCACAGGAAGGGUUCAGGAUUCACAAUGACAAGUCAAUGUCUGAUGUAAAUGUCAAAGCCUUAAAGGGACACUAUAUAUAUAGGCACCCAGACCACUUCAGCUUACUGAAGUGGUCUGGGUACAGUGUACCUAUCGCACUUAGUGCUGCAAUGUAAAACAUUGCAAUUCCAGAGAACGGCAAUGUUUACAUUACAGCACUAAGUCUGCCUCCAGUGCCUGUCUACCAGGCAGCCACUAGAGGCGCUUCCUGGAUGUUAACAGAUGUUUGGUCCAGUAACUGACGCUGGAUGUCCUCACACUGUGAAUGAGGACAUCCAGCCACAGCUAUUUCCCAAUAGGAAAGCAUUGAUUCAAUUAUUUCCUAUGGGGCAGCCUAAUGCGCACGUGGCACUUGCAGGGAUCAGGUAAGUAAAUAAAGGGUUUUGAUCCCUUUAUUUACCAUGGUGUGAAGGGGGGGGGGGGACGGGACGCGAGUGAGGGGGAAGGCAGAGGGAGCUUUAGUGACAAGAAUACAGCUUUGUAUUCCUGGCACUAUAGUAUCGCUUUUAUUUACAAGAAGGGGGAACACGCAAACUAAACAUAACCCAUGUUAAAGUGAUUGAGCAAAGGAUUGAAGCAGGAAUUGCUAGAGAGCUUAAGUAGAGCAAUAAUAUUGGAUUGCUGACCUUUGUUUGAAGGGCAGAUUUGCUAAAAUUCCCUGUGAAGGAACUACUGGUUUAGGGAUGCAAAUAUAUCUCUGUGCUCAUUGCAUUAAUGGCUGUUAUGUCCAAGAGAAUUAACUGAAAACUUGUACUUCUUGUGCAUCCACUGUAAGAUGACAGUGAUGCAAAGUGACUUGCAGGGAAGCCAUAAUUUCAUGCAUCGAGCGACUUACAUUGGGUAGUAUAAAACACUGUCAUAUGUACAGGAAAAAACAAAGCUUGUUCUCUUUUCCUAAAGUUUAACUGGGAGCCUUCUUUUUCCUUGGUUAAGGAGGAAUAGUCACAUACAUAUCAAUGCAUAGAACAUAGAAACAUAGAAUGUGACGGCAGAUAAGAACCUGAUUUUGUUAAAUACCUUCACUUCAUUGUGUUUUGUAUGUUGUGAACAGAAAUGCCACAAAAACAUUAACAAGAAACUUUAAUCAGAUAUACAUCCCUUACAGAAUAUGAUGAAUUUUAUUAAUUUUUAUUUAUUUUUAUUCAUUAGGAUUAAUAAUUGAAAUAGCUUCAUGGUGUGACUGACAGUUCAUGUUGACAGAUAAAAGUAGUCAGUUUCUGCCAUACGACUCAUUCACUUUGAAACAUCUUUAGUCAAUAUGAACUAUUCCUAAAAUCUUUCUUAUUAAUAGUGUGCCAAAGUUGCCACUGAAAUAAACAAACAUGAAUAAAUGCAAUAAUUAAAUCCUAUGUAAUCACCUUUCUCUAACACAUUUGGGACUUUAUUGAAACUUCCCUUUUCCUUCAUCCUGAUUUCCACUCACCUGUGCUUCCGUGCCUUAGACUAUAUACCUGUGUUACUGUGCCAAAGUUUGUAAUUGUGUUUGCAAUUUCUUGUACGUCACAAGAGGUUCCUUGCACGUCCAUUACUUGUGUUAGUAGGAGAGUGUACAACUGUAGAGUUAUUCACUUAAAUGAGAACUGGUUGAGAAUUGACAAGAAUAUUUAAACUAUUAUGAGGACCUUCCAAGUUUGUUAUUUACAAUUUUCCCAAUUUACCAUUUAGUGCAUAAACUUGUCUGAAAUUUUCACUAAACUUUGAGACAUAGUGAAUGAAAAUCCAAAAUGGCUUAGCUGUUUUAUCCUAAUUUUUGAAGUUCCUAUUUCAAUUUAUUACAAUAUGAAGUCCACUGAAUAGUCCAGUGAGUGUCUUUGUUAUAAUUCAAUUCAUAUGGGUAAGUGCACAACCAACCAUCCUAAAAUGUGCAAUAUAAUUAAUCAUUAUCAAAAAAUGCAGUCCGAUCCACUGGGUUAUAUGUUGCUUAUUGUUGCUCCAUCACUGAUAGCAACUCAUAUCUUUUUACUGUGGGCCAGACAUUGUAGAAAAAAACAUAAAUCAUCUGUCGGAAUAUACAGUGCCUUGAUUACACUGUGUCUAAGCAUACACAGUAAGCAGAAUGGGUGCUUUUUGUACAUUUUGUCUGCGUGAACAGAUGGUGUGUUCUGCCUGUUUGUAAGUAGUUCUUCUUGUUUAGGGUUGUUAUGUUUUGUUUGUUUUUGGCUGAGAAAGCUUUCCGACUUCCAAUAAGAUUGCUCUCAUGAUGGUUCUGGCUCAUUGUCUAUAGCAGUGAUGGCUAAACAUGGCACCCCUGAUAUUCAUGAGCAACAUUUGUCAUGUUCCUUAGUCAGCUUUUAUUUACUUAUGAGGUGUUAGAGCUUAUUUAAAUAAAGAGCAAAAAAAUUAGCUAUUAGGUGUUUUUUUCUCUCAUUUGCUAAUGUAGACUGACUGAAAAUCAGACACCGGAGGUGCCAUGGGGAUCCAGAAUGCUUCUUUAUCCUACCACAAAUCUAAUACUGAUAUUUACAACUUUAUUAUCAGUUAAAUCUUGCCCUCAGUAUUAUCUAGAGUAGAUUAUAUGUUGGAUUUUCAAUAUGGAAGAAAAUUGGCAAUUUAUAACUGAAGGAUGCUGAGUUUCUUUUUGUCGAUAAGUCUUUCUGUAAGAAAUAACCGUUUCUCUUUAUGUUAUUUAUAUGUGAAAGCAUUUAAUAAUAUUUUAUUUGUGGCUUUAUUUAUAUUUUUCAGUACAGCAUAGAAAACCAACACGGAGUGCCAUUUCUCUACUUCUGACAGAGAUUAAAAUGUUUUAAGCAUUAAUUUAUUUAAAAUAAAUGACAUUGUUGCACUCGUGAGCUUAAAAUAUGCUCUGCGAAUAGAAACAAGUUGCAAAUUAUUACUUAAUUUAUUGAAAAUAGAUUAAUUAGCAUAUGAAUAGAUAUAUUAAUAUUCACAGCACAACUGUCCUUACUUUACAUUUUAAUUUUUCAGAGAUCUGUAUGACUAGCAAAAUAUAUGCACUCACUAUUAUACGGAUAUACUGCACAUAAUUCAAGUGUCCUAGUUUAGGGAGGACAGUCCCUGUUUGGAAGUCAACAUGUCCAUUUUUGUCCAUAUGAAUUGUUGGCAGUAAACAAUUGGCCACGGCAAUUGUGUUGUGUGUCCUGGUCCUGUGUUGAACCAAGGAUUUAAUUGGCUUGAUUGAUGACUAGCCCUUGCCUGCAAGUCUACAUUUUUCUAUACAUGUAUGAUAAAAUGCAUAGCAGGGGUAAGUAUGACAAUUAUGACACAAUUGAUUAUUUAAAGGGUUACCGGCCACAUUUUCCCGGUAAUAGGGCAAAUUAUUUUGCAACACUUUGCCCUGUUACAUUGAUCUCUGCUGAGCACUGAAGGUCCUUCCUCUUCUGAUGACGUGCAUCUGGCUUCUACAGAAACUGGAUGCAGAGGCCAUCUCCAUUCAUUGGCUGAGAGUAUAAACUUUAUACUCUAUGAAUGCAAUUCUGUGCAUGGAAAUAUAUCCGGCCCAAAAUAUUGCUCCUGGUUUGUUGAUGAUGUCCCAGUGACCAGAUACACUUCCAACAGCAGAGGAGUUAAACUCUAUUUAUGCAGCACUUCAAAGCAAAACGCUACACAUACAGACUCCAGGCAUCAUACCCAAUUUAAAUCACUGAAGUGAUCAUAGUACUCUGAGUAACCCAUUAAUAUUUCUCAUCUGUUACAUGUUCUGCAGUCCACUUUUGCAUUAGUUGCACUGAUAUCCUAUUAUUUAAAUUAGCAUGAAAUCUCCAAUUUUCAACAAAUAAUUAUUAAACUAUAACAUUUUAAUUGAUCAGAGUUCCAUUUCAGAUUACCAAGUAGUUGUUGUUGAUUAGGUUAUUGUAGGUAUUUGGGUUUGUCAAUAAUACACACUAAGUUAUUAAACCCAAACAAAAAUUACAAGUAUAUAUGGCGCUAACUCUAAAAUAUCCCCCUUUAAAAUAGCAGCACCUCAUCAGUAUAUUCAGCUCUAGUUACACUAAACAGAAAAUAUCAAACAAAAAAUAAAGUGUGCUGUGCCUUUAAAAUCAUGCCAUCAAAUCUGUGUACAGAUUGUAAUUGUGUUUAGCAGCAAAGUGCUUAUUCAAUAUUGUGCAAAUAACUCAUCAACUAGUGCAAUAUUCUUAAAGUGCAAUUGCCAUUCACAUAUAUGUACACUAUAUAUACACUAAUACACUAUAAAAAUAUUAUAAAACAAAGAGCAGGUAAGAAACUGCUCAGGCUAUAUGUGUUUUCAUUAUAUAUCCGGCUAUAUCUGCAAACACACGCAACUUGACAAUCUUUAUUCAUUAAAAUCACUUACGCACGUCUGAAGACUUUCCCUCUCACCAGUCCCACGGAUGAACCCGCAUAAAAGUCAGAAGUAAUACCAGUUGCCGGCACUUCUGGAUUCCUGGGCUAUAGCGGUGGGCGAAGUCUGAUGACGCACUCAAUUACGUGUUGACAUAACUACGCAUGGCGUGAUGACGCGUUUCGCCACUCCUAGCUUCCUCAGAUCAUGUCCCUCGGUCUGUGUCCAUCACUAUUUAAGGCCACCCUGUGGUCAUACCUCACUUGAAAGUCUGGUAUUCAAAGCUUAUGAUUGGUUAAAAUGUCCAAAACCUACUCAUGCAUAUUUGAGUCCCAUUUGCUGAAUCUAAUUCCACAAAGCAAAUAGGGAAAAGUCAGUUGAAGGCACAGUACAUAAAUAUAAAUCAAAACAAAUUAAAUUUUAUACAUCAUAAGAAGGAGAGAUAAAAAAGAGAUAAAAAGGAGAUGAUUUAAAAUAAGACCUAUAAAAAUUAUAAUAAUUAUUUAAGAGUUAUAGACACAAAAGCUAUAAAAAAUUAAAAAGAUCAAACUCAAUAUAAGAAAUAUAAGAUAUGUUAUGAGCAACAUAGUGCCUCAGAACAUAUUAAAACAUGUUAUAACAUGGACCCUAGUGGGUUAACAUUCCUCGGCAUACAAAAUGUAAAGAAAGCUUGGAGGGGUGGCAACUAUAUUCACAAUAUUGGUAAUGAGGAAAUGAAGUUACAUAGUUACAUAGUUACAUAGUUACAUAGCUGAAAAGAGACUUGCGUCCAUCAAGUUCAGCCUACCUCACAUUUGUUUUUUGCUGUUGAUCCAAAAGAAGGCAAAAAAACCCAGUUUGAAGCACAAUUUUGCAACAAACUAGGAAAAAAAUUCCUUCUUGACCCCAGAAUGGCAGUCAGAUUUAUCCUUGGAUCAAGCAGUUAUUACUCUACAUUGAAAGAUUAUAUCCUUGAAUAUUCUGUUUUUGCAAGUAUGCAUCUAGUAGCUGUUUGAACAUCUGUAUGGACUCUGAUAAAACCACUUCUUCAGGCAGAGAAUUCCACAUCCUGAUUGUUCUUACAGUAAAAAAACCUUUCCUUUGCCUUAGACAAAAUCUUCUUUCUUCCAGUCUAAACGCAUGGCCUCGUGUCCUAUGUAAAGUCCGGUUUGUGAAUAGAUUUCCACACAAUGGUUUGUAUUGGCCACGAAUAUAUUUGUAUAAUGUUAUCAUAUCCCCUCUCAGGCGACGUUUUUCUAAACUAAAUAGGUUUAAAUUUGUUAACCUUUCUUCAUAGCUGAUAUGUUCCAUUCCUUUUAUUAAUUUUGUAGCCCGCCUCUGCACUUUUUCUAGUGCCAUAAUAUCCUUCUUUAGAACAGGUGCCCAAAAUUGCACAGCAUAUUCAAUAUGGGGUCUUACCAGUGAUUUAUAAAGAGGCAAAAUUAUAUUCUUGUCCCGAGAAUGAAUGCCCUUUUUCAUGCAUGACAAUACCUUACUGGCCUUGGCCACUGCUGAUUGACAUUGCACAUUGUUGCAUAGUUUGUUGUCUAUAACAAUUCCCAAGUCCUUUUCAUGUGUUGUUAUCCCUAAUUAGCUUCCAUUAAGGGUAUACGUUGCUUGUGUAUUCUUUACGCCGAAGUGCAUAACUUUGCAUUUUUCAACAUUAAAUUUCAUCUGCCAUUUGAGUGCCCAGUCCCCCAGUCUAUCUAAGUCCCUCUGCAGCAAAGUAAUAUCUUGCUCACAUUGUAUUGUUUUACAAAGUUUGGUGUCAUCUGCAAACACUGAAACAUGACUUUCAAUGCGGUCUUCAAGAUCAUUUAUAAACAUGUUAAAUAGAAGGGGUCCCAGAACAGACCCCUGAGGGACACCACUUGCCACCUCUGUCCAGCUUGAAAAUUUACCAUUAAUGACAACUCUUUGUACUCUGUUUUUAAGCCAAUGUUCUAUUCCCAAGAACAAGCAUUUUCAUCUAGACCAAUUUCCUUGAGUUUGAACACUAAUCUAUUGUGUGGAACUGUAUCAAAUGCUUUGGCAAAAUCCAAAUAGAUCACAUCCACUGCAACACCCUGAUCUAUACUUCUACUUACUUCUUCGUAGAACGCAAUCAAGUUAGUUUGACAUGACCUGUGCUUCAUAAAACCGUGCUGAUUUUUGCUGAUAACCAUGUUCUUCUCAAAGGAAUUCUUGAAUAUUAUCCCUUAAUAACCUUUCAAAUAUUUUACCAGCCACAGAAGUUAAACUCACAGGUCUAUAAUUUCCAGGCAAGGAUUUUGAACCCUUUUUGAAUAUAGGAACCACAUCUGCCUUCCUCCAAUCCUCCGGAACACUUCCUGAAAGAAAAGAAUCUUGAAAGAUUAAAACAGAGGUUCACUUAUUUCUGCACUUAGUUCCUUAAGUACACGUGGAUGGAUACCGUCAGGCCCUGGAGCUUUGUUUAUAUUAACUUUCUUUAGUUGCUGCAGCACCUUUUCUUGAGUUAACCAAUUACAAUUAUUCUGCAAGUUUUUAGUAGCAAUCAUUUGCACAUCUAUUGCCAUGGGAUCUUCCUUAAUAUAUACGGAGGAGUAAUAGUUAUUUAAAAUUCCUGCCUUUUCCUGGUCUUCAUUAAUUAACACCCCCGUUUCAGUUUUUAGUGUACCUACACUUUCAUUUUGUUUUUUUUUAGAAUUUAUGUACUUAAAAAAUGCUUUGGGGUUGUUUUUGCUCUCUUCAGCUAUCAUUAUUUCAUUUUGAAGUUUAGCAAGUCUAAUUGCCUUUUUGCACGCAUUAUUUGCAUCCUUAUAUCUUUUAUAAGAUGCAUCUGAUUUGUCAAAUUUAAAUGCUUUAAAUGCCCUUCUCUUAGUUGUAAUCUCUUUUUUUACUUCUCUACUAAGCCACAUUGGUUUUAAUUUGUUUCUUUUAUAUUUAUUUCUCAACGGUACAUACUGAGAAAUGUACCUUAGUAAUAUUUGUUGGAAGAUGAUCCAUUUAUCCUCAGUGUUCUUUUCACUAAAGAGUUUAUGCCAGUCAAUAUAUUGUAAAGCUUCCCUUAACUUAUUGAAAUUGGCCUUUUUAAAAUUAUAUGUUUUAGUAUUCCCCAUGUGCUUUUGUUUUUUUGAGUUUAUUUCAAAGGACACUAUAUUGUGAUCACUAUUUCCCAAGUGCUCACCUACUUGAAUGUUGGUCAAAAGAUCAACGUUGUUUGUUAAAACCAGGUCCAGACAAGCAUCCAUUCUAGUUGGUGCUUGCACAAGUUGUGACAUGAAGGUGUCAUUUAACAAGUUUAAAAACCUAAUUCCCUUUGCUGAGGCACUAGUCCCUCUGUCCCAAUUUAUAUCCGGGUAAUUAAAAUCUCCAAUAAUUAAAGUGUUACCCAGAUUUGCAGCUUUCUCAAUUUGCUCAAACAGCUGUUGUUCCUCGUCAAUAUUAACAUUAGGUGGUUUAUAACAUAUCCCAACCAAUAGUUGGUUUCCCUUCUUUUCCCCAAGUAGAUAUUUACCCAUAAAGCUUCCACAUUAUCCCCCUCGCAUUCCAUUUGUUUAACAUUUGGCUUUAAAUCAUGUUUGACAUACAAACAUACCCCACCACCCUUCUUGUUUUUCCUAUCCUUCCUAAAUAACGUGUACCCAUUUAAGUUAGCUGCCCAGUCAUGUGUCUCAUCCCACCAUGUUUCAGUUAUGCCUAUUAUAUCAUAUUGUUUAGUGUAUGCUAAUGCCUCUAGUUCCCCAUUUUGUUAUUUAGGCUCCUUGCAUUAGUAAGCAUACAUUUAAUAUUAUGCAUCACUUGUAUAUUUUGUGAAUUUUCAACAUUACACAGCUUCUCUGUUCUGAGCUUGCCCCUCCCCCCGUUUCCACCCUCCUUAUACUGUGCUAAAGCCCAUCUACUUUCUGUCCUAUCUCCAUUUUGUAGAUUGCUAUGACCCUCCCCCCCUACUACUAGUUCAAAAUCUCCUCCAACCUUCUAGCCAUCCUAUCCCCCAGCACUGCAGACCCUCUCCCGUUUAGGUGCAAUCCAUCACUACUAUAAAGGUUGUACCCAAUCGCAAAGUCGGCCCAGUGCUCUAAAAACCCAAAACCCUCCUUCCUGCACCAAGACUUAAGCCACGCAUUGACCUCUCUAAUCUCCCGCUGCCUUUCCACUGUAGCGCGUGGCACAGGUAAUAUCUCAGAGAAUACCACCUUGGAGGUCCUUUUCUUAAGUUUGCUACCUAAUUCCCUGAAAUCAUUCUUUAGGACCUUCCAUCUUCUUACUUUGUCAUUGGUACCAACAUGGACCAUGACUGCUGGGUCAGCCCCAGCCCCUCCCAAUAAUCCAUCCACUCUGUCAGCAACAUGCCGGACCCGAGCACCCGGGAGACAGCAAACUGUCUGGUUGAGCCGAUCAGAGCGACAGAUUGCCCUAUCUGCUCUCCUAAUGAUAGAGUCCCCUACCACCACAACCUGUCUUGCCUUCCUUACAUUUUGAUCCCCAUCCGUACUAGGGGGGCUGUUAGCUCGGCUGUUAGAAGUAACAGCUUCCUCUAAUACAGCUACUCCUGAGCUGAUGCUCCCAACAUCUUCCCUCAAACGGGCAAAUCUGCUAGGUUGCACCAAAUCAGGACUAGCUAGCCCUUUCCUCUUCCCUCCCCCCCUGCUUCCUCGCCCCACUGUCACCCAGCUACAUGCCUGUUCCCCAUCUGUCUUAUCAACCCCCUCUCCACUACCUGUCCCCACUAAACUCUGCUCAGUGAGCAGUAGACUCCUCUCAAGAUUGUCAAUCUCCCUCAAUGUUGCGAUUUGCUUCUCGAGAUCUCCAAUCUGAGCUUCCAGAGAAGCCACUCGCACACAACCAUCACAGAGGUAUGGACCCUGGACGGGUACAUCCAGGCAGCCAUACAUGCAGCAAGAUGUGCAUUGAGUUAAACCAGCAAUCUUGCCAACACUCAUUUCCCCUUUAAACAGUAAAUAAAAACAAUUACCUUGUUAGUUUAAACCCCUUGUUAGUUUGAACUCCUGGUUUUCUAACUCCUACUUGAAAGAGUCUACUUAAUAGAUGCUGCUUUCAAAUAAUGUGAGCAAGCUCAGUGAGUUAGGGGUGUGCCUUUAUGGGGAUACAAAUCCCACACAGGUGCAAACAAUGAACACUCCCCCAAUCAAUCAAGCAGCAGCACAAAAAAAGGGGGGGGAAACCAGAACACAAAAAAAAAAGUAAAUGUAAAAAACAAAUUUUUUUUAUUUUUUUUUAAACCUUACCAACUUUAAAGAUUAAACAAAAAUAAAAUACAAAACACUCUCCACAGUAUACAAACCACUCUCCACAGUAUACAAACCACUCCAAGUAACUCCUGGUUUUCUAACUCCUACUUGAAAGAGUCUAGUGGGUUACUAGAUUAAAUAUGUUAACCACCGUGUGGACUGAAUAUUGAGUUAUUCACUAAGAUUUGUGGAUAAAAUAGAUAAAAAGAGAUUUAAAAAAAUCAAACCCUGCUCCUUUUUAGCUAAGCUUUUUUGAUAAAAAAUGUUGAAUUUUCUGAAAAUUUACUUUUUAGUGAAUUACCAUCUUCUCGAUGAUGUCCACUACAUGCAUGCUUUCUCCACAUUGCAUGUCUUUUGUCCAUUUGACACCCACAUCCAUGUGGUUUUAUGCAGGAUCAUUAGAAAAUGAAUUAACAUAGAAAGCCAGGCUGUCCCUUGUCACUGUAAUUGAAAGAGGAAAAAGCAAACAAAAAGGCCAAAACAAACAGAAGUCACUUAUAGCUAACUUUUAUAACUUUUAUUUAACCAUCGGAAUGUGCAAUUAACUCGGCCAUAACAAGGACCUCUAAGGACAAAUAACUGUUUGUUUUGACAGUUUGACAGCUGCGGUAACGUACGCGCCUUACCUCCUUCACUGGAGUAGAAUGAAUUAGAAUGCCAUGAUCCCAUGAACUUCUAUUUGCAGCUCCAACACUGAGGCUUUUCAGUGAGAAGCCUCUGACUGGAGUAUUACCCUGCUCUGUGAAAAAGGGGAGUACUUGCAGAGGCUGCAGAUAAUGGUCUAUUUGGGAUUUGCAUAUUGAUUAAUGUUUAAGUUAUUUACUUUUUGCAAUGGAUUGUUCUUUUAAGGACCAGAUGGCAAUGACAGCAAAAUGUGGGAUGUUCAACCUUAAAGGGUUCAUUGAUUAAAAUAAUAACACAGUGCAUUUUGGUAAAUGCAUCAACUGUAUUACCUAUUCAAGCCUUUGGAUUACAGUUUUCAUCCCUUUCAGGGUAAAUGACCAUUUUAAAAUGUAACACCAUCUUAAAUUUAGUCAUUUAUCUUUAACAGUUAUUCUUCUAAAUGUGAUUAAACAGUGUCUCAUUGAGCUUGCAAGUGAAUGUGUGUGUGUUUGUGUGUGUAUCAUCCUAACUUUCCUUUUACACCAGUUCAAAUUAAUUUACAGUGCUAGUUGGAUUUUAUUGAUCUUCAAUAAUUUAAUAAUUUAAUGCUACCCAUCAAUAAUUAUUGUUUUAGCAUUUAUUACCUGCUACUUGAAAUCCAAUAUAUAUGAUGGAUGUUUCUUUAGCAGGCAAAGAUUAACUUAGGUCAUCUUAACGUUGCAUUACUUUAAAGAAGAACUGUGAUUUAUCUUUUUCCAAUUACCUGUUUUAUUAUUUUUGUCUCCCAAACCACUCCCUCAUUUGUGUUCUCUUACCUUUACCAAUCCAUCACUUAUUGGACAAGUGUCCCCAUAAAACUACAGAUAAUGAAAAAAUAAUAUCAGAUAUCCAAGUCAUUGCAAAACAAAGUAGACUGACAUGUUCAAUUUUGUAACAUUUAGACUUCAGGCAAGUAAGGAUUGUUGAAAAGGAAAUCCCUUUUCUGUUAAAAUUAUGAUAAUAUUAUUCCUCAUUAAUCUUCACAGUGUUUUAUUUCAGGAAAUAAAGAGUUUCUUGAAUUGUCUAUUGUGAAUUUAAAUACAUUUUGGUAUUCAGUGCCAUCGACUAAGUCCAGAAUUAAAAACUCUGAUCCUUCAGGAGCUUCAAUACAAUUUAGCAUAGGACUACCAACGUUAAUUACGGCAUUAAUUUCAAGUUAAAGCACAAAACACAUCAUCACUAUAAUCCCUUCUGUCCUAAUCAAUAAUGUAAUUACAAUGUAGUGGAGAAUGUCUGCCCCCAUCCUCAACCAUAGACACAAGGUCCAAAUACUAAUAUAUUGGUAUACUAAUAUUCUUUUUAGCAAUACAUAAUUUUUGGGAUAUAUCACUAUAGUAGGGCCCUCUUGGUCAUCUGUAUUUAUGACCCAUAUAGGGGGCAUAAAGUGUGUAAAAUAUUCCAUUUGAUAUAAUCAGGGGGUUAUAAAAAGAAUAAUAUAUAUAAAUGUUAACAUUUAUAAUAUGUCAUACAUUAGGUAUUAUGAGGCACAGUUUUGCUCAAAAAAGAAGGAGAAAUUGUCCCAAUUUUUUUAACGAAUACCAGGUUGAUUAAAAAAUGAUGUAAUUCAAAUGGUAACAUAACACACCAAAUUGACUUGAUCUGUGCUGGCAGUGAGGAGGUUCAUUGUCUUAAUUCAUUGACAAGAGGCUCUAUGAUGCUUUCAUAAAUCAAAGGGUUAAUCAGCAGGAUGUGAGCAUUAUUUCAAAGUCCAAAGAAAGCCGCACAGGGGCAGGGGCGUACCUAGAGCAUUUGGCACCCGGGGCGGAUCCUGUGCUUGGCACCCCCUCGACCCCCCCACCCCCAAAAAAAAAAAACCUGUAAAAAAUGUUAAAGGUUUUCUUUUUUUUUUUUACAAUUUGUAAACUUUGCAAAACCGCUGUCAGCCCCUCCUACAAAACCCUUGUCCUGCUCCACCCCCUCCUACAAAACCCCUGUUCUGCCCCCUUCUACAAAUCCUGUACUGCCCCAUCUACAAAACCCCUGCAACCCCCUUCCACAAAUCCCCUGCUUAUCCCCCCUUAUUAAGACUUCUGUCCCAAUACAAAACCCCUGCCCCCUUCUACAAAAUCCCUGCAGCCCCACACACACAUUUACAGGCAGACAGUCACACACUCAGUUACAGGCAGACAGUCACAUGCACACAGACACACAUGCAGUCACAGACAGUCAUACAUACAUUGACACACACACAUGACAGCAGCAGACAGUCACAUGUACACAGUCACAGACAGUCACACACGGUUACAGGCAACAUCAAACAGUCACAGGCAGACAGUCACACAUACAUAGUCACAUGCAGUCACACACACAGUUAUAGGCAGACAGUUACACACACAGUCAGUUACAGGUAGCCACACACAGUCAUAGCCAGGCACAUACAGGCAGACACACACACACACACACACACACAGUUACAGGCACACAGUCACAUGCAUACAGUCACAUAUACAGUCACAGACAGUCAUGCACACGGUUACAGGCAGACAGUCACAUAUACAUUGACACACACACACGACAGCAGCAGACAGUCACAUGCACACAGUCACAGACAGAUAUUCACACACGGUUACAGGCAACAUCAAACAGUCACAGGCAGACAGUCAGGCAGACAAUUACACACACAGUCAGUUACAGGUAGUCACACAUAGUCAUAGCCAGACAGUCACGCACACAGUUACAGUCACAUAUAUAGUCAGUCACAGUCACAGGCAGAGAGUUACACACACACACACACACACACACACACUUACAGACAGACACACACACACAGUUACAGGCAGACAGUCACACACACACACACACACAAACACACACAAAGUUACAGGCAGACAGUUAUACACACACACACACACACACAGUUACAGGCAGACAGUUACACACACACACAUACACACACACACAGUUACAGGCAGACAGUUACACACAGACAGUCUCUCUCUCACACACACACACACAGUCACACACACAGACACACACUCUUACUUACAGACAGUGGGCUGGAGGAGGACUGGAUUCCCUUCUCUGAAGCCUGUGGAGAAGCAGAGAUUCCAUCUUGCUGCACCUCCUAACAGCAGCGGGUAAGGGCCAUAUUGAGCCCCGCCCCUGCUGCCGGUUUAGCUCCGCCCCCACUUUUCCGCCGUGUGGCCAGUUCAGCAGCUGUUUGCUUGUGUGAGCUGUACUGGCCGCAUGUCACCAUAACUACCAUGGGGCACUGUGCGGCCAUACAGCUCACACAGCCCCCUCCAGCACCCAGACACAGGGUCAUUGCACCCCACACCCUGGUGGCACCCGGGGCGGACCGCUCCUCCGCCCCCCCCUUAGUCUGCCACUGCACAGGGGAUACAUUCCUAUUUAAGGGUUUAGUACAUUGAAACUCUAUUUAAAAUCUUCAGGAGAUAUUGAGUGGUCUGAUAUAAGAAGGAAUUUAAGAAAUUCUGAGGAACAUGAGAUGAACUUGGAGAUUAAAUCAAUAUGUAUGAACUUUUUAGUCGAUAGGAAAAUGGCUAUGCUAGAUAGGGCAAUUGGUUCUUUUCUGCUGUCAAAUUGUAUGUUUCUAAAUAUGUAUUGCUAAGUGGAAAUGUGUCUUCAUUCUAAACCAGCUGAUUUUCAUUACUGUGUUCUCAUGCUCAUUUUAGAAGUCUCUAAACAGUGGAUUAUAAAAGCAGCUGCAGGUUAUACUUGGAUAGAAAAAAUAGUGUCAUCUUGCUUCACUGAUGGGAAGAUCAUUAUUCCCCUUUUUAUUUAUUGAACUCAUAAGCAGAAGCUGAAUUGGAAUGUGAAAUUAUCUUCAAGUCAUUAACGAGAUCAAUGCUUUUUAGAUUGGGAUUGAUAUAAAUACAUGAUUCAUUCAGGUCAGAAUUACUUAAUCCAUAGCAGUUAAAAAAAAAAUCUGUUUUCUACUUUAAAUUUGAAAGAGUUUCACCUAAGACAUUGAUUUUAAAGUGAUACAAACACAAGACAUUCAGCUUCUCCAUCAACGUCUUGAUAUCUUGUGAGAUGUUUUUUCAGUCAGUAUGUAUUGAAUUAUAAUAGACAUAUUUACUGCACAAAUUAUAACUUAUUAUUUUACUGAGAUCUGAAAGACCCCAAUGAAUAAAACAAUUUAAUGAAUAUGCUAAAUUGUUUUUUUUUUUCUGUUUAUCAUAGAGACAUUGGGCAUUUUAAAUAGAGUCCUGUCUAAAAGAUAUCAUAAAAGCUAUUCAUCAUUCAUCACUACUGAAAAACCCAUUGUCCAGUCCUUCCCUGUCAAUCAGUUCUUAGCAUAAGCCUCUUUGACACCAUAGAUGUCUAUACCGAUAAUUAUUUUAUAAGUGAGGGGUAACAAUUCUUCUUAGUGCAAUGUGUACAUUUUUUUUAACUUCCAUCCUAGCAAAUGGGUGUAUUAUGAAAGAUACACUUUAAUUAGCUAAAUUUAGUUAAUCUUUUCUUAUUUUGCUAAAAUAAAUUUAGGUAGUGUAAGUACAGGGUUUGACGGGACGCGUUAAAUAUUCUUCACCACAAUUUAAUGCUACAAAUAUAAUUAUGUGUCAUUCAGGUUGCCUUUUGAAGAUUCAUGUUUAUUUUUUUUUAUGCUGGUGUGAUAUUAUCUUUGCUAUUUUAUCCUGAUGGACCUAUAUGGUAGCCUACCUGUCUAGAAAUGCCAUAAUGAUAAACAUUUUGAACAGAAAGAAACGUGUUUCCAAAGAUUGAGCAUGUAUUAAAAACAGAAAAUAAUUUACAAACCCAACUUUACACAACUUUAUGAUUCAUGACUAUUUAAGAAAGUAAAUAGUACAGUGUGAGAAUUGAUAAAUGUAUAUUUUAAUGAAAACACUUUUUUUUGCUCAACCGAGCCUUUGUUCUCUCCAAUUUGAUAACAAAUUCUUGUUAUUCAUGCGCACAGUGUGCGGAAUAACUUUAGUUUCGAAAACCUGCCAUGUUAUUUAAAAGGACUGACAGUGACUGACAAGAUGAGAAGGAUGCCUGUUCAGGGCAGUUUGACCUUCAAGUUAAGGCUGCGACGGCUGACCUUCGGAGCAUAAAAUGGAGAAAACACAAAAGCUGUGCCAUCGAAUAUUAAUAUCUCACCGGAUUCCAAUUGUAUGAACCUAAAAAUGAAACUCUGUGUUCCAUUCUCUCUUUAACUUAAUUUAUGAUGGUGUAAGAGUCUUUGUCAUGGUUAAAAUGCAAGAAUAAUUUUAGUUACAAUAUCAUAGGCAUUUCAAUUUUUAUGUAAUCACACUUUAGUUAUAGCAAUGCUAUUUAUAUUAUUUUACUAUUAUUAUUAAAGUAAUAUAAAAAAAAAAAAACUAUCAUCAAUUAUUUUCUUUCUCUUUUUUAAAAGUUUAUUACAUUUACCGAAACUUAAUGAUUUCAUAAAAUAAAUUAUAUUGGUUUAUUUUUAUUAGAAAAGUUCACUUUUUUUAUCUGGCUGAGCGGGCAUGUUGGGUCAGAUUCUAUUGUUAUCUGACCAACUGCUGCUCAUCCUAACAUGUUUGCUGCUGCAGUUUCACAAAUAACAAUUACAUAUAUUAAUAUUUAUAUAAAUAUUCGUCUAUGAUUGAUUAGAAUUUAAGUAAUGCAAAUUUAAUACAAAUGAUAUAUAACUCAAUAUAGGUCAGUGUUAAUAUUCCAAUUCAUGACAUUUUAUAUCAUUCCUCGGAUAUCGAGUGCAAAACAUAUUGUCAAGGUUUUAAUUAAUCCAAACUCUUAGUGAAUACAUGGCUAAUCAUUUUAAAUGUAUGCAAUCUACUGAGAAUUUAGCAGAAGUGGUUCCCAAGGUGGUAACGUGUGAGUUCAUUAUAAUCAUAAUGAGUAUAGCCAAUGUCGACAUUUUAUAAUGGGUGGAAAAUUAUGCAUCAGGGAACAAAAUGUUGAAUAGAGUAAAAUUUUGCAUGGGCAAAAAAAAUAACUAAAUGAAGAAUUUGAAAGUAACCGGGAGUAAAUUAGACAUCUCCUUCAUGGGUAAUUGUAACGGUAAUCUUGGUCUCCAGUUCUAAAAAUGACGGGUCAUUUCUGUAAUAGAUCAUACAUAUACUGCAUCUGCAAUUGUAUAAAUGCACAUAUGGUGAUGUUUAAUCUCAAAUACUCUUUUGUAAAUGUGAAUUUUACUGUAAAAGGAUGAUAAUUAUGGUUAGCAAUCUGUUUAUUGUAACAGUUUCAUGAAAUGUAUGUGUGCACAAUGUACAUUGUUUUUACAUGUAUAGUUAUGUAUGCUUUCUAUAUAGUAUUAUAAAACAUUCACAAUAUAAAGGGUAGGGCACUUAUUUAGUAGCUGCUAUAAUCCACAUUUUAAAGUCAAUGGUAGACCAAUAUCAUACAAGUACAUUUUAUACUGCAUAAGGUCCUUAUAGUGAGACUUGUUGAUCACUUAUAAUUAUUGUUACAUGGCUAAAAUUAUAAUACAAAUUUAUGAAGGCAUCACUGAGUCUAAUUAAAAGGGACACUAUAGGCACCCAGACCACUUCAGCUCAUACUGGGUCCCUGUCCCCCUUUAGAGGUUUAGAGAAACUGCAAUAUUUAUACUGCAGUACUAAGACAGCCUCUAGUAACUGUCUACCAGGAGUUUACCGGACUCUAGAUAGCCUAUGUGAAAAGUGUACAGAAGGAUCAGAGCUUAAAAACUUAAAUAAAGGCAGCACACCUAAAGGAUAGGGCUGCCUCACAGGCCCUAUAGGUAUAUAGGUAUAAGGAAGGAGAGAAAGGUGGUACAACAGAGAUAAUAUAUAAAAUGAAAUAUAAGCCAGUAGUACUAUAGAAAUAAACAAUGACAUAUAAUACAGAGAGAGAACAAUAAAAAUAAUAGGUAUAUAAAGAUUAAAUUUCAUAUAUAUAUAUAUAUAUAUAUAUAUAUAUAUAUAUAUAUAUAUAUAUAUAUAUAUACGGGAAAAGAGAGAAAAGAAUAAGGGUGCGCCUAAAACAAGUAAAAAUAGUAAAAUGAGAAUAGCAGCAAUAACAAAAAAUUCGGAAAAAUGUCCAAAUAAUAUAAAAAAUGGGAUAACCACGGUACCUAAUAGUCCAAAUAUAAAAUGUCCAAAUGCGCAAAUGGUGGUCCUAAUAGUCCAUCAGAAGGGUAUGUAGCGUCCCGGAUAAGUAUAAAUAUGCGGGGAGAACAGAAGAGAGAGAAAAACUCCAAUGGUGUAGUAUAAAAACAGAAUAUGAAUAUAUAGUAAAUAUUUGUGGAACUACUCACAAUCUUCAGAGCUUAAAUCCAGCUCUGGUAUGGAUAGCGUGAAGUGGAAUAAUCCCCACUCAAGGAUAUGUGGUGCUCCUCUUUGGUCCUUUGGUGGAAGGAUGGAGUUCAACUCGGGAUAAAAAUAAUAAAAAAUAUAUAGUGCUCACUGUGUGGUCGGUGGAACAAUAAAAAUGAAAUAAAAUAUACUCACGGUAUAUAGAGCAGACGUACUGCUCGGUGAAUGGCGUAUGGGUGGUAUAAUCCCCACCUUAAGGAUUCUUUGGUAGUCCAAUAUGGUCUAAAUCGAUGGUAGUUAGGUCUGGAUAAAAUGAACUUACAUAGAAUAAAAUAAUAAAUAAUAUGAUAUAAAAGUGAAAAAGGAAUGUGGCACACCAGUGUAUAAUAGCCAGAUAUUCCUUUAAUGACACUUUGAUUUUAAAAAAGAAAGUUUCUAUACGCGUUUCGCCACAAAGGCUUCAUCAAGUAGAAACAGUAUAAAAAAGAAAGGAAACAGACCUAACAUACAGUACUUAUAUAGGAAACAUUGAAAUACACAAUAAUUUUAAAAUUCCCGCCAAAAUGACGUCACCAAUCGUCAUGGGAGGGAAUACAAUGCAAUAUAUAAAAAGAAUAGAAUAUACUAUAAUAUAAAUAUAAAUUUCAAUGUAAUAAAUAAUGUAAAACAUAUUUGGUGUAAAAACAAUUGAAAACGAGUGCAUUAAAUACAAGAAAUCAAAUGAAUAAACAUGUCACGUGACGCGGAAGUGAAUAAAGCCGUGUCACGUGAUAGUAAAUGGACCGCACGCGUCAUCCAGCAAUGGAACGCACAUGCAGUCUUUACAGAAGACAGCUACCAGGCAUAACCUUAUUAGUAAGAAAAGUAUCAUAACAAGCUGUGUGGUGCCGGUGGUUACGCUGGUAGUGCAUCCGCAUAGGACCAUACACUUCACAAGUUCGAAACCCGACAGGGGCUGACACAUAUAUUUGAGACAACAAAUAAACAUGAAUAUAUUAAUAGCAAAAUAAAACAUUAUUAUGAAUAGAAUAUACAAAUAGAAGAUUAGUAUAAUUAAAUGAACUAGGAAUGUAUAUUGAGACAACAGAUGAAAGUGAAUAUAUUGACAACAGGAUAAAACUUAACUUUGAGUAAUAUAUGCAAGUAAAAGGUAAGUAUAAUAAAAUGGACAGGAGGAGAAAAAAAAAAAAGCUAUUAAAAGGGAAUAAUAAAUGUAUUUUGUUAUAAAAAAAUAUAUGUUUAUUAUAGAAAAUUAAAAAGAUCGAAUUCUAUAUUAAGACCUAAUGGGAUGAUGGUCCCUGAUUUCUAUAUAUAUAUAUAUACGUCUAUGAUUGAUUAGAAUUGAAGUAAUGCAAAUUUAAUAUAAUAUAUAUAAACAGUCCAAAAAGAGAGAGUCCAGUAAACCCUUCGGAUGAGAUAACAAUCACAGUUCUAUCUGAGGUAGAGACGUUAAUGGAGUAGUGGGAUCGAGGGGUUCAUGGGAUCUGUAUGAAAGAGGAAAGAAUAUCUAAAAGUGCAAUAAAAGCCGAAUAGGUAGCAGAUGAUAAGAGUUCGAUAUUGUCCUACUCACGGUUUUGAGAGCUAAAAAUUAGCUCUAGUAUAACAGCGUACAGUGGUAUAAUUCCCACUUAUGGGAUAUACGUGAGGGAGUGUUGUAAGUAGGUAUCUCAUCAGAUGGGGACCAUAUGCAAUAUAUAAAACAACAAUAGUGCUCACUGUGAUAAAACCAGGAGAGUGUAUAAAAAUACCAAAUGGUUACUCACAUUUAAUUGGGCAGAUGCACUGCUCAAUAAUAGGGCGUAAGUGGUAUAAUCCUCACCAAGGAUGCUUUGGAGUAGUAUCUCUCUGGAACAAGUAAAACUCAGAUGCCAAGUAGUAAAAUAAUAAAAAUUAAAAAAAAAAAAGAUAAAAUGGCUAACUCACAACAAAGUGGCCAAAAUACCUUUAUUAAAAUACAGUUAGUUAAAAUUUCCACUACGCGUUUCUCCCCAUAGGGCUUUCUCAAGUGGAUAGCCUAACUGACGCUUGACAUCCUCACACUCUUUAUGAGUACAUCCAACAUCAGAGUAACUCUCCAUAGGAAAGCAUUGUUCAAUGCUUUUCUAUGGCAGAUUUACUCUGAUGUUCACUUUGUUUAUGCAGCUCUUGUCACACCUACUUGCAUGUGACUUGCACAGUCUUCCUAAACACUUCCUGUAAAGAGUCAUUUAAUAUUUAAACUUUCUUUAAUUAUUAUCUCCUGCUCUGUUAAUAGCUUGCUAGACCCUGCAGGAGCCUCCUGUGUGUGAUUAAAGUUCAAUUUACAGAGCAAAGAUAACAACUUAAACAUUUUUCUUCAUGCAGUCUGUGUCAAUCACAACCAGGGGAGGUGUGCCUAGGGAUGCAUAAACAGAAACAAAGUGUUAUAAGUCCUGAAUGGCAGAGAAUUGAGCAGUGAGACUACAGGGGCUUGAUCUAUAUACCAACACUGUUUCAUUAAGCUUAAGUUGUUUUGGCGACUAUAGUGUCCCUUUAAGCGAAUAUCAGUGAUAAAUUACUUCCAUUGCAGCUGAAAAGCUUACUAACAUCAUAUUUGCUCCCUGAAAAAAAGCUUUUCUUUAUAACUCUGAAAUAUAUUUUAUUAUUCAAUUUUUGGGAACCUGAAUGUCUUUAUUUCACCUCUAGUAAGAUACUGCUCUACCUUUUGUAACCUUCAGGUUAUUGACUGGAUUUAAACAGCAUAAAUAAAAAAAUAAAUGGUAUUCUAAAACUUUGGGCUGCUAGUUUAUAUGACAGCAAACUUUACAAAGUUUUUGCAUGCAAGGUUACCUGUAAGAUAUAUCAUUUACAGGGUUAUUCACUAAAGUGAGAAUUCAAAGGGAUAUUUUUAAUGACUAUCUUAUUCAUUUCAAUGAGUUUCAAGGUCUAUCGCACUUCAAAAUUCAAUCAACCAUAGCUUUAUGGAUGUGUAUGCAUGACUUACUUCCAAAUGCAGAAACCAUGCUCAAAUAUAAUGACUCUAAAAGGACAAAUAACUUGGAAUAAAAUGUUUAAAUUUUUGUUUGUCCAAAUAGCACCCUGUAUAUAAUAAUUACGUUAUUUCACUUUAGACGGUAUGUUUUAGUGCUAGAAAUAUAAAAAUGCAGUAAAUAAAUCACAUGGCAAUGAAAGCAUAGCAGAUGAGAUAAAUGACAAAUCAAUAUUAUCCAUUUUACAAUAAAAUAAGAAAAUAUCUUCAAUCCUUAACAAACUAUGAUUAGGUCACUAUGUAAAAAUCUGUAUUUUUAAUUUUGAAAUUAGUUUACUGUGUCACAAAAAAUACAUUUCAUAUAAAUUAAUUGUAACACAACAAUAACAUUUAAAAAAUGCAGAAAUAAACUAGUGAAAUAAAAGAAAGUACAGUUAAUUGGGUAGUUGUGUUGUCCCUGAGGUUUAAUUAAAGCAGAAAAUAUACUUUUUUGGUAUGUUUGUAUUUGUCUGAUAUGUAUACUUGUGUCAUUUCAAGUUUGUUUACCUCUAUCAUUCUGCUUGUCUGUUAAUUUAUCUGCCUGUGUCUGCUGAUUUGUCUGCCUGUCUAUGAAACAAGACAGGGCCAAGUAAAUUUAAAGUUAAAGGCACACUAUAGUCAUCAAAAAUAACUUUCGCUUAAUGAAGAGGUUUUAGUGUAUAUAUCAUGCCUCUGAAGUUUUGCUGCUCAAUUCUCUAACAUUUAGGAGCUAAAUCACAUUUGUUUCUGAUUCUGCAGCUCUAGCCACACCUCCUCUGACUGUGACUGACACAACCUACAUGAAAACAAAAUGGUUACUUUGAAAUUUGUUAUCUCCUGCUCUGUAAAUUGAACUUUAAUCACACACAGAAGGCUCCUGCUGGGUCUAGAACACUCUUAACAGUGCAGGAGAUAAGACAUUCUAAAUUAAAUAGAAUUUGCAAUAAAGGAAGUGUAAACAUUAAAUGACUCUUUAUAGGAAGUGUUUAGGAAGGCUGUGUAAGUUACAUGCAGGGAGGUAUAGCUAGGGCUGCUUAACUCCUAUAUGGUAGAGAAUUGUGCUGUGAGACUGCGGGGGCGUGAUCUAUACACCAAAACUGCUUUAAAUUCAGAAUUGUUGAGAUGGAUUGGGGCAGAGCUUGGCAUGAAUUAACUAUUUGCUCAUGUAUUGAGCACCUGCUAGAAAUGAUGGUACUUUAAAAUAGUAACUUGCUAAUUACAUCUUCUUUCUAACAAAUAUGAUAAUUUAGCAAAAUGUGACCCACGAGUUGAAAACUGACUUGCAAAAUUUAGAUAAAAAAAGGCAAAUUGGAAAAAUCGCAAACUCAGCUGAUUUAAAUUUUACAUUUAGUUUUUAACUUUUGUUAGUUUUUUUACAAUUCACUGUACAUUUCAUAGAACCAUUUUUUAAAUUAAUUAUUUAUUAGUUUAUUUUUGUUGUAGUUAGCCCAGUACUGUUCAUGAUCACUUGACUUGCCUUUAGUAUUUCCUUAUAGUUAUCCUGACUUUAAUGAAGCUUAAUUAAACAAAUGCUUGAUAACUCUUUAAUACACAUGCAAUUUGACAUUGCAAUAAUUAUGUAUGGUUUCCUGACUACAUUGCCUCAGUAUGCAAAUUCAAAUUUAGAGGAAAAUUCUUAAAGGGAAACUCCAGUGCCAGAAAAACAAUCCGUUUUCCAGGCACUGCAGGUCCCCUCUCCCUCCCACCUCCCACUCCCCGGUUGCUGAAGGGGUGAAAACCCCUUCAGUAACUUACCUGAGGCAGCAACAAUGUCCCUCGUUGCUGCUUCCUCCUCCCCCGCCGCUCCUCCUUCUGACUGCGACGGCUGGUGGGCGAGAUUGAUCCUGCCCACCGCCUGGGUAGACCUAAUGCGCUUUAGCGCUCCCCACAGGAAAGCAUUGAAAAUGCAUUUCAAUGCUUUCCUAUGGGGAAAUGAGCGACGCUGGAGGUCCUCACACAGCGUGAGGACGUCCAGCGAUGCUCUAGCACAGAUUUCCUGUGCUAGAAACCAGGAAGUGCCCUUUAGUUGCUGUCUAGUAGAGGUGGAGUUAACCCUGCAAGGUAAUUAUUGCAGUUUAUAAAAAACUGCAAUAAUUACACUUGCAGGGUUAAGAGUAGUGGGAGUUGGCACCCAGACCACUCCAAUGGGCAGAAGUGGUCUGGGUGCCUGGAGUGUCCCUUUAAGGCUGGUAAAUGGGAACCAACUUGCAAAAAUAUCUCAAUGUGGCUAGCUUUAACAGUUUAAUUCGGCUGUUUCAACUUUAAUACUAGAGGUCUGUCACCUUAAUUUACUGUUUAUUGAAUAAACUCCAACAUGACACUAAACCUAUCUCCUUUGCAAAAACAUAUAUAUGCAAGGCAGCUUGUUUUGCAUACAGUUUAGCACAUAAAGCUCAAUCUAUUUAGCCAUAAAGUCACGCUGAACUAGGACUGCUUUUCACUAUGCAAAUAUAUAUACAGUAUCUCCCAAAAGUGAGUACAUCCCUCACAUUUUUGUAAAUAUUUUAUUAUAUCUUUUCAUGUGACAACACUGAAAAAAUGAUACUCUGCCACAAUGUAAAGUAGUAAGCCUGUAUAACAGUGUAAAUUUGCUGUCCCUUUUAAAUAACUCAACACAUAGCCAUUAAUGUCAAAACAGUUUGCAACAAAAGUGAGUACUCCCCUAAGUGGAAAUGUUCAAAUUGGGCCCACCAUUAUUUUCCAGCAUUGCCUUAACCCACAUGAGCAUGGAGUUCACCAGAACUUCACAGGUUGCCACUGGAGUCCUCUUAAACUCCUCCAUGACGACAUGACGGGAUCAUGCUUUGCUCCAGUAUGUCACAGUAUAUGUUAGCAUUCAUUCAUGGUUCCCUCAAUGAACUGUAUCUCCCCAAUGCUGUCAGCACUCAUGCAGGCCCAGACCAUGAUACUUCCACCACCAUGCCUGACUGUAGGCAAGACACACUUGUCUUUGUACUUUUCACCUGGUUGCCACCACACAUGCUUGACAUCAUCUGAACCAAAUAAGUUUAUCUUGGUCUCAUCAGACCACAGGACAUAGUUCCAGUAAUCGAUGUCCUUAGUUUGCUUGUCUUCAGCAAACUGUUUGUGGGUUUUCUUGUGCAUCAUCUUUAGAAGAGGCUUCCUUCUGGGAUGACAGCCAUGCAGACCAAGUUGAUGCAGUGCUGGCAGCACUCAUACAUCUAUUUCCCAAAGACAACCCCUAGAUAUGGCGUGGAGCAGGUGCACUCAGUUUCAGGGUCUUGGCAAUCUUCUUGUAGCCUAGGCCAAUUUUAUGUAGAGUAACAAUAUUUUUUUUCAGAUCUUCAGUGAGUUCUUUGCCAUGAUUUGCCAUGUUGAACUUCCAGUGAUCAGUAUGAGACAGUGUAAGAGCGAUAACACUCAAUUUAACACACCUGCUCCCCAUUCACACCUAUAGCAAGUGAUAGAAAAACCUUUACAAAUGCUUAAUGAAACAAGGAGGUUAUUGAGGAUCCCACUUGAAUAAGUUUACAAUCUAGAGGAGGUGAAAUAUAAAACCACAAAAGAGGGAAUAAGAUUGUCAGGCUAGUGUGUAGGACAGCAGUAGUAAGGUGAGAGAAUUAGCUGGAGUGAGGAAUCAUCAAUUAUGUUAGGCAAGGCAAAGUGAGUUAAUGUAAAUACCCAUAGAUAGUUUGCUUAAAAUGAUGAGUUUUAAAGGAACUCAGUAAAGGAUUGAAGACCAGGAGAAAGAGUAAAUGAGGAAGGCAUGGUGUUCCAUUGGAAUAGAGAUUUCAUUGAGAAAUACUGUAGGAAGGAAGAAUUAGUAGUACAGGUGUGAACAUAUAAAAGGAGAUGUUAAGCACAUUAGUGAGUUUUAGUAUUUGGAAUUGAAUUAUAAAGUGUGCAGGAAGCAAAUACAGUGAUUGGCGAAGAGAAGCUCUGAAAGAGGAGUGACUAGAAAGGAAAAUUAACUCCACACUGGUAUUCAUUAAGAACUACAGAGAGGGUUCUGGAAACACCAGCUAGGAGAGGGUGACAGUAAACAAUGCAGAAUAUUAUAAAGUUGUAAAACUUCCCCUUAGUAGCAUCUUGUGUAUGAAAAAAGGCAAAUGUUUAAAGGGAAAAAAAGACAGGAUUUGGUGACAGCGGAGGUAAAGAGUAGCAAAAGUGAGGCCAAACUCAAAGGUAACAACAAGACAGUGUGCAUGCAAGGAUUAGGAUUAGUGUACCAUCAAUUUGCAGAAAGAGCAACACAGGAUUAUAAAAUGUUUAAAAUAAUAAAAAAAUUUGUUUAGUUUAGUUUAAAAUAUUAAGUUUAAAGGGACACUCCACUGCCAAUAUACAAAGAAAAAGAAAAAACAAUGUUUAGUAGAAAGCAUGUAUGCAUUUAAUUAUGAAUGCCUUAUCUGAGGUAUAUCUAAAACAGUUCUCCCCUUCUAACCCCACCCAGACUUUCUGUGGUUGUCCAAUUUUAGACUUCACAAUGCAGCUCAAUAAGAUGUUUUUGCAACGUUCUGAGCAAUUUCUGCCUCUGGAGUUUAGCUCCACUGAGGUAACCAAACCAGUUAGUAAUAUGACCAGUUGUCUGACUGACAGUGAGGCUGUGCAAUUAUACUAGUGAAAAAAGUCAUAGUCAUAUAACUGGUACUGGAAUCCAAAAGAACGAAUAUGUUUACCAAGAGAGGCAGUAGAGGGAAAAAGGAAGACCAAGGUGAAAUCUUUGAGGGACUCCUUGAGAUCGGUUGAAAUAUUGCAAAGCCCAAGCUGGGGUAAAACAAUUAGGCACAGAUUCCUGGUUUUACAUUCUAGUGGUGUAUUUAAAGAGUUGCAUUCCCAGAAAUUCCAUCAGGUUACUACAAUUAUUGUAUCAUUACUUACAACAAGACCGCGGUAGCAAAGUGGUUAAAAUAAAACAGAAUCUUGCAUGUACAAAGUGUUAUUUCCUUAAUGUCAAGAACUGCAUUAUUUUAUAAUUAUUCAGCUCUUCAAAAACCCUAAUAUGUUUGCCUUUAAUUUGUAUUUUAAUAGGUGAGAUGAAAAGGGAUAUACAAUGCAAUCUGUAAAACAAACACAAAAAAUCUUUUUAAUUGUUUGCCUGUUUUGUAAGUCUAUUUUUACUUCUUUAACAAGCAUCCAAUUUCUUGUUUUCAUUGAGAUUUUGAACCACCAGUAUUAUGACUCAAGCUUUUGUUUGCACAAGAUUAGAUUACUGCAAUUCUUUGUUUACAAUUUUAGUCAGUCUAGCAUAAAAGACUAUAGCUUUGGUUUUAACCCUAAUUCAGUGAAGCUUUUAUUGGAUACGUUUGAAUUCUGUUAGGUUUUGUGUCUUAUCACAAUAGGUGCGUUUUUUUUGUCUUCAAGAUGAUUCAUGUUAGUUUUACACUGUCCUCCUUUGUAAGAACAAUAAAGAAGUGUGAUUCUCUGUUGUUUUAUCAAAUUGAGUAAAUGUCUGUAAUAAGUGGGAAAAAAAAAGACCUGAAUGUUUUUUCCAAAACAUGAUUUUCAUGCUAUAAAUAUUAAUAUGAGUGGUAAUAGCAGCUUGUUGAUCCAAUAAGAAAUCGGAUUGCUGCUUUGAUGUCAAGAAGGAAUUCCUCUUUUUUUGGAUUUGCAGCAGAAACAAGUAUUUAUUUGGGGUGCAGGGGCGGCGGGGGGGAGGGGGUGUAAAGGGGGGUUGAUGGACUCAUUCUAUGUUUGUGUGUGUAUGUGAUUGUGUGUCUGUGAUUGUAUGUGUGUGGGUCAGUGAUUUUGUUGUGUAUCUCUGUGUAUGUGUUUAGUAGAUAGCUCCCUUAUUUCCUGUCCUUAAAUAUUGCAAUCCCACAUAAGGAUAACAAAUAAGGGAUUUAACUACUAAACAACUGAAAAGAAGAAAAGGGCAUUUUUUUAAUCCUUUAGCUGUUUAGUAGCUCAUUCCCUGAAUUGGUGCCCGUAUGUGAGAUUUCCAUAUUUAAAGAUACCAAAUGAGGGUGUUGUUUAGCAGAUAGCACCAUAUUUGGUGUCCUUAAAUAUGGCAAUCCCACAAAGGAUAGCAAAUAGAGGAGUUAUCUGCUAAACAAAGAUUGAAAUUAAGAGGUGUCAGCCAGCCCACAACAAGAAAUCUGGGUGGCUAAUGUGAAUUGUAUGCAAAUGUGUAGUCAGAUGCCAAAAUGCAGAACACAGCAUGCUGGCAUCAGACAGCCAAUGGCAGCAUAUUACCCCAUCCCCUAGUGAGAAGUUUUACUGCUCCCCCUCCCCCUCCUGUUUUGACUGUGGUAUCUUAUGUGCCCCCCCAUAUAUAUUGUUCCUACAGUCGCCACGAUGUCUGCAUGUGUGUCAAUGUGUAUCUGUGUGUGACUGUGUUUGUGUGUAUAUGUAUCUGCAUGUGUGUAUGUCCAUGUAUGUGCAUAUGUGCAGACAUCUAAAAAUCUCGCCAACACUACACACAAACACACUCAAGCAUUUCAAGGUGAACACUACAUACAAAUCCCACCAUUAUAUAUAACCAUACCACUGCAUUCAAAUACCACACAACACACAAAUGCAUGCUUGCAUUCAAACGCCAACACUACAUACAAACACACUGCUACAUUCACUCACAUAUACUCCAUACAAAAACAUGCAUACAUUCAAACACACAAACACUGCUUAGUGCUAAAUACAUUAAAAAACUAUUUGGUUGUUUUUAUAUUUAAAGUUAUGGGGGGGGUAGGCAAGGGGGGUUGCCAAAAAUAGGACCUGCCCCGGGUGCCAAAAGCUCUAGGUACGCCCCUGCUAGGGCAGUCAAAUAUAUUAUGCCAACUGUUGAUCGCCAAGAUCUUGGAAGCUCCACUACACUAGCCUUUCUUGUUCAUUCCACAAUAUAAAGCUUGAAGGGCAUUUAACUCUCCUGUAACUGUGUAGUAAGCUAUACAAUUAUGCAAAUCAUGCCCAAAUCACAGUUCCUACAAUAUGAGCAUUUUGAUUGGUGUUUAAUUACAUUUCAAAAUAUCCUUGUGAGAUCAUAUUUAAAGGGGGAAUGUCACUUCUCUAGAAUUAAUAUUAUUGAACAAAACAGUGAAAAUCACUUUACACUUGUGCUAACCAUAAGUAAUGCUCUGUUUUCUUUUAAAUAUAUAUUAAGAUUGACAGCAAAUUACAUCACAAUCUAGUUCAGACAUGACAAAGACAGGACAAUCAUUGUAAAUGAAGAGGAGAAGUAGAAACGUUGUUUCAUUUCUGAUUUCUGAUGGAGGUGCACAGCUGUAGGAUACACAGGUGUAGAUUUCUACAUUUAAUUUUAUUUUUCACACCUCACACAUAUAUAUUAGUUAAACAUAAUGAAAAUUAAACAUUAUAUUAUGUGAUAGUUCCCCUUUAAAUAUUUUGUUUUAGUUAAAUGAUAUUAAAACACUUUAAGGCUGAUUACAACUAUUUUUGUCAAUUUUGGCUGCCUACCCAGUUUCUUGGGGGGUUUUUUAAUAUAAAUUUUUACAUGAAUAUAAGUUUUUUGAAGUUCCAAAUAUUAACUAAUAUCAAUAUCCCUUUUUCCUAACUUUGUUAAUUUUAAAACGUGUUUUUUUUUUCUCGUUUCAUCUUUUACAAUUCAAAUAUAUUUUGGAAAUCAUGAAACCACAGUGUGUGUGAAAAUGAUGUUCAUUGGGCUGAUAAUGAUAUUCAGAUAUUGUUUACUUUAACAGAUUUCACCCGUCCUUUUAAAGCAACAUACUGCACUGCGUACCAUUGGGGAAUACAUCCAAGGCUUAUUAAAACAAGAAUUCAAAUUCUCUUAUUUAUAAUGCAUCAACUUUGCAUCUAUUUAAAUAUUUUAAAUACAUUUUUUAUCAUACAUCUAAAAGAAUUAUUUUAUUGGAGUGCCUUUUGCAUUAAUAUAUUUUAAAUUAAUUCACAGAACCCGUCUCAGAUCAGAUUUGUUGUUCUGCAGUUUAGACCAGUCAUGCCCGUUCUUGCCAUUCCAGAUGUUAAGAAUUCUGGGAAAUAUAUUCUAAUAACAUCUGCACAGCCACACUUGAAUGGUCCUGCUAUAGUGGAUCAUAUAGCAUUACUGGAGAAUGCUGUCCAUUCUACACGUUGAUAUAUUCACAACCAUUAUAAUUAAGCAAAACAAUCUUUCACUGCCUUUGCAUUUUAUGCAUCUGUUAUAGACAUUGGGAUUGUCAAGUAAAGUACCCCUCUCCAUAACUCUGCAAACACUUAGAAAAGUCAUUACCAUUAUCCCAUUUCAGUAUAUGUGAUAAUGAAAAAAUGGAACAUAGAGAGGAAAUAUUGAAUGCUGCAUCGUUCGGAUAGAAUUUGUCUUAAUAAUGUUUUUUUGUAGAAAUUAGCUCUUUCUGCUUGUCCUAGCAAUUCUCAAACUCCCAGAACAAAAAUGCAGAACUACCAUCGUAAUAAAAAAACACAUCAAUAUAUUUGCUAUAAAUUACAUUUCUUAAUAAAUCCAUUUCUUGGUCGGAUUAUGUUUUAACAUGGAAUUAUUUGUUUUUCUUAAUACAUGUAAUUAUGCAGUAUACAAAAUAUAAAUACAUUUUCAUUCCCUUGGUGAUCAUUUUUCUUUAAAUUUGGUUGGCUUAGUAGUUGUAAUGAUGAUUAUGAAGCUAUCAUUACCUCAAGUCCAAUUCUCUGCUAGACCCGCUUUAGUCUGGUUUCCAUGCUAAGCACUCUGUAGAAAAGGCACUGACCAAAGUAUCCAAUGAUCUACUCGCUGCAAAAUCUCGUGUUCACUACUCUAUCCUAUUUCUCCUUGACCUUUCUGUGGCUUUUGACACUGUUGAUCUUCAACAGCUUCUUCUCAUCUGCCGCAAUAUCGGUCUACAAGAUAUUGCUCUCUCCUGGUGCUCCUCCUACCUCUCACAGCGCUCUUUCAGUGUUUCUUUCUCUGGCUCUACUUCUUCUCCACAACUCCUCUCUGUUGGUGUCCCCUAAGGUUAAGUCCUUUGUCCCCUUCUGUUCUCCAUCUAUACUGCCUCCCUUGGUAAACUCCCUUGGUAAACUCCCUUGGGAAACCCUUUGGCUUCCAAUAUCAUUUCAAUGCGGAUGACACGCAAGUCUAUCUGUCCUCUCCUGAUCUCUCCCUGUCCCUCUUGACUAGUGUCUCUGACUGCCUCUCUGCUAUUUCUAAAUGGAUGGCUGCCCACUUCCUUAAACUCAACUUGACCAAAACUGAAAUUCUGAUCUUUCCUCCCUCAAGUGUUGCUACUCCUGUGUCUAUUUCACCUCCAAGUCAACGGUGCUCGCUGCCUAGGUGUUCUCUUUGACUCCAACCUUUCCUUCACGCUUCAUGUUCAGUCUAUCACCAAAUCCUGCCGAUUCCAUCUCAAAAACAUUGCCGCAUCCGACCCUACUUAACACCAGAUGUGACUAAGGUGCUGGUCCAUUCCACUGUCCUUUCUCAUCUUGGCUACUGUAAUCUGCUUCCCAGUGGUCUUACGUGCUCCCAACUUGCACCGUUACAGUCCAUAAUGAAUGCGGCGGUGAGGCUCAUCUUCCUGUCCGCCUGCACCGCCCAUUCCUCACCCUUCUGUCAGUCCCUAUAUUGGCUUCCUGUAAGUAGUGAUGUCGCGAACCCGAAAUUUUCGGUUCGCGAACGGCGAACGCGAACUUCCGCAAAUGUUCGCGAACCGGCGAACCGCCCGAAACGCCAUUGACUUCAAUGGGGAGGCGAAUUUUAAAACACACAGGGACUCUUUCUGGCCACAAUAGGGAUGGAAAAGUUGUUUCAAGGGGACUAACACCUGGACUGUGGCAUGCCGGAGGGGGAUCCAUGGCAAAACUCCCAUGGAAAAUUACACAGUUGAUACAGAGUCUGGUUUUAAUCCAUAAAGGGCAGAAAUCACCUAACAUUCCUAAAUCACAAUCAAUAUGGAUUGACACCUGACAUAUGACAUAUUGACACCUUGACAUAUGGAUUGACACCUGUCCUCAGAGCCCCUGAUGCACGCGGACACAGAGCAGAAUAGAGACUGGUCCCCCUACAUAGGGUCAUUGGCAGAUAUGGAUUGACACCUGUCCUAAGGAUCCCUGAUACACACUGACACAGAGCAGAAUAGGGACUGUUCCCCCUACAUCGGGUCACUUGGCAGAUAUGGAUUGACACCUGUCCUAAGGUUCCCUGGUACACACUGACACAGAGCAGAAUAGGGACUGGUCCCCCUACAUCGGGUCACUUGGCAGAUAUGGAUUGACACCUUGUUACAAACUGCUAUUUGUAACGGGCCCUUUAAAUGGCAAAUUGCCCUGCUUCCCUGGGUUGUGGAGAAGCCUAUUUGCCAGCCUCCUCCCGCAUGACUAUGGCCCCUGGGAGAUUGUGAAAAUGUAUGCACUUUUAUUUGGUGUGUAUGGCCCUUUAAGACUGUCGGUGGGCAUAUUGGGGCUUAUGGACUCUUUAUGUGACUGGUGCUGGCCCUUUAAACACCUUUUUUGGGACAUCAGGAAGAUUGGGACACUGCCCCUUUAAGGCCGUGUCCCCAGACUUGUUGGGGACACGGCCCCUUUAAGACGGUGUCCCCUGUGUCCCCAGACCGGGUGCAAACCCUUUGUGCCUGCCUUGCUAUUUUCCACUUGGUUCAGUAAAUGGGAAAUUAUUUCAGCUGCAGAGACUAAGUCCCAUUCGGCGAUGGGACUUAGUCUUUUUUUCAGCCGUUUUUUUCAGCCUUAUUUCAGCUGCAGAGACUAAGUCCCAUUCGGCGAUGGGACUUAGUCGUUUUUUCAGCCUGAAAUAGACCGACCUCACAGCCAAAUCUAUGGAACUGUUUUGGGCAGGAAAAUAUGCUUACUGUGUUCGGUCAUAAAGGGACCUCCAGCUAACUUUUGCAACCCUGGAUGGAUUUGGCUGAUUUUUGGUUAUGUUUAUGUUUUAAGUGUGCUGAUUCCAAAUAUGUAAUUUAUAUGAAGAUGGGAUGUGUAGUUUUAAGAAGGUUACAGGGGUAUGGCUAAAAACUGUAUUUUUACUGCCUGUGUUUUAAUUAUGUUAAUCUCUUCCCAAACGUCAUUUCGUUCAAAGUGGAGAGAAUGUUAAAAAAAUAUAUUUUUGUUCGGAGUGUGAGAAAUGCUUUUCAGCCGCUUCUAAUCUUAAGCAUCAUUUGAGGAGCCAUACAGGAGAGAAACCUUAUUUGUGGUGUGUUUAGUAUUGUUCUGAUCAGUUUAAUACCUUCCGCGUCUCCUAUCAGUGGGCGUGUAUAUGGCAGCCAUUUUAGGAACCGUACACCUGGGACCCGAGCAAGGUCACCUCGUUCAACAGGCGACAACAUUUGUCCCUGGAAAACUAUCCUGGACAUUCUGUACAAUUUGUAUGGAUAUAGCAGUGAUUUCUGUAACAGGGAGAUGGAAGAAGAUGCUUGGUCGGUCCUCUUAAUUCAAAUUUGGGGCACUGCGCGGUCAAGCUAAUGUGCCACCAGAUAGGAGUGGUGUGUUUAGUAUUGUUCUGAUCAGUUUUAUACCUNNNNNNNNNNNNNNNNNNNNNNNNNNNNNNNNNNNNNNNNNNNNNNNNNNNNNNNNNNNNNNNNNNNNNNNNNNNNNNNNNNNNNNNNNNNNNNNNNNNNUAUCGUAGGGUAACAAGUGUGUAUGUUAACUCUUUGCACAAUAAAAAUAAAGAAUUUAAAAAAAUAAUAAUAAUAAUACUCCCAGUAAUGUGUCUGAGUGUAUAACAGAGCUCCACAGCAAUAAUACUCCCAGUAAUGUGUCUGAGAAUUAAUAUAUAACAGAGCCCACAGUAAUAAUACUCCCAGUAAUGUGUCUGAUUGUAUAACAGAGCUCCACAGCAAUAAUACUCCCAGUAAUGUAUCUGAGUGUAUAACAGAGCUCCACAGCAAUAAUACUCCCAGUAAUGUGUCUGAGUGUAUAACAGAGCUCCACAGCAAUAAUACUCCCAGUAAUGUGUCUGAGUGUAUAACAGAGCUCCUCAGCAAUAAUACUCCCAGUAAUGUGUCUGAGUGUAUAACAGAGCCCCGCAGUAAUAAUACUCCCAGUAAUGUGUCUGAGUGUAUAACAGAGCUCUGCAGCAAUAAUACUCCCAGUAAUGUGUCUGGGUGUAUAACAGAGCUCCACAGCAAUAAUACUCCCUGUAAUGUGUCUGAGUGUAUAACAGAGCUCCACAGCAAUAAUACUCCCAGUAAUGUGUCUGAGUGUAUAACAGGGCUCCACAGCAAUAAUACUCCCACUAAUGUUUCUGAGUCUAUAACAGAGCUCCACAGCAUUAAUACUCCCAGUAAUGUGUCUGAGUGUAUAACAGAGCUUCACAGCAAUAAUACUCCCAGUAAUGUGUCUGAGUGUAUAACAGAGCUCCACAGCAAUAAUACUCCCAGUAAUCAGUGGCGUACACAUGACCCAUGGGGCCCCGGUGCGAAAAUUGAUCUGUGGCCCCCCCCCNNNNNNNNNNNNNNNNNNNNNNNNNNNNNNNNNNNNNNNNNNNNNNNNNNNNNNNNNNNNNNNNNNNNNNNNNNNNNNNNNNNNNNNNNNNNNNNNNNNNAUCAAAUAUGUUGUGGUUUAGUGAUACCUAAAAUAAUUCAGUUAGGAAUUUAAGGCAAUUAUCUUAUCUAAUACAUAAUUACUUUUAUCUUCCAAAUAUGCCAAUUAAAAAAGGUUAGAACCUAUAAUCAAAUAAUAUCCAAUAGACAUAUGUAUUUACUGCUGCAAAACCUUUUAGAUAGUAUUAGGAAAGGCCCAAUUAACCCUAGGCUCGCAGGCAGGGAAUAACUGAAGGCAAGCAGGUCAAUAAAGUGAAAUAGCAUGCAGCAUAUAAUAGAGUAUGUAACAAUACUUGUGAAAGCUUUUCAACUACUCAGUUAUUAAGCAAUUAAGACCAUAAAAAAAUUCCAAAGAAAAUAAUAUACAUAAGGCCAUUAAAGAACUCAAUGGGUGGGAAAAAUCUAAAAGAGUCUCAAGAAAACAGUAUAGACUCAAGACAAUGUCCUGAGAAGAACUUCAUCACCCUGGAGGUGAUAACUGGCUGAUGCGCAAGCAAAACUAAAUUUCAGGCUAUCCAAGAAUCAGUUAACUGCACCUCAACAGUGUUUAGCACUCCAUUUUAUUGGGUCCCUACAUAGCUGCAAUGCUUCAACCUCAUCAAAGAUUUUUGUAAAGUUCUUUGAUGCUUGACAAAGACACCUGACAAUGGCAAGUGACAGUAACAAUUUAUUUGUCUACUGUAGAAAAACCCAUGUUCAUCUUGGGUGUGCAAUCUUUUAGGAAACUAUAUUAAUAGUGGCACUCUCUCUUGCUUCAUAGUCUUGUACAUGUUGUACAAGCACUCAUAGGAGGCACUGGUUAACCUCUUCCCAACCAUUAUUUAUUUAAAGAAACGCUGCAUUUUAUUUAAAUGACAAAUGUGAUGCACAGCUAGCAUAUUAAUGUAGGAUAAAGGGUUAUUUGUGUAUAGAUUGCUGUUAAUACAUCAUUUAGAAUCUAUAGAAAUAUGGAGUUAUAGAAAGGAGCUCAGAGAGAAAUGUGUAUAAAACCCAAUGUCACACAAAGGGGAACGGCAAUUGAGGAUUUAUGACUAAAAUCCCCUUUUUCCAUUUCUUAAGAUGCCCCCCAAUUUUUUUUGCAUGAGUAUACCAUUAUUGGGAAUAGAAGAGGUUAAAUAGAUACCCCAAGCACCAUAACACUACAGCUCAUUGCAGUGGUUAUAGUGCCAAAUGUCUGCAGAUCUGUUUAAAGGUUAGUGACAAGUAUAAGCUGAAAGGGCUGGGAGGCAGGUUAGCCACGUACAACCAAUUAUAGUUUGGAAUCAUUUGCAUUUAAUAUUUACGAAGGGUAAUUUCCUCAUGAGCAGUGGGACUGGACAAGAGAACAGUGUUUGUAGACACGUAGCACCAUGACCAACACCAGCUACAAAUAACUGUAGUGGUUAUGGUGCUCAGAAUGCCCCCUUAACAAGGACUGCUGGCCCUAAGAAUUAUGAAGUGAACAUUAAGUAAAUUGAAGCAAAUAAAGAAUGUGUCCUGCUGCCUUAGCUAAAACUCACAUUUAAAUAGCCUAACAGAACAUAUUUUAUGUAAAGUUUUAACUUGAUAAUUUUGUAUACAUUUAAAAGUGAUGUUUCUGUUUUUUUAUUUCAGUUUCAGUUUGUAGUCCUUUCCUCUUUAGAAUGCAUUUGUUUAAUGAUCUCAGAAAAUGACCCUAUAGAUUUAUAGAUGUAAAUUAACCCCUUAAGGACACAUGACAUGUGUGACAUGUCAUGAUUCCCUUUUAUUCCAGAAGUUUGGUCCUUAAGGGGUUAACAAGAGACAUCAACAGGUAGCAUAAGUGUAGUAAGUGUUAAUGAACAUGAUGCAGAGGCAAAUCAGCUCCAGGUGUAAAUUUGACUUCUUCUUGGCAAGAUUAAAGAUCAAUAAAAGUGGUAUUACCCCCGCCCCCACCCAAAAAAAUAAAAUAAAAAAACAAACAAGAAUGAAAAUCUCUUGCACAUAACUAACAUAGACAAGUUCUAAGCUAGAGAAAGUGUCAGAUAACAAAGCUAUACAAUAUAUACUUAAAACAGAUAUAAAAAUAGGGCUGAACAGGUCUUAACCCAAAAUUGUAAAGCUAUCCAAAAUCAUUGUCAAAUACUCCAUGCCAUGACAAAAGUAUAUCAUAUGCGUAAUACAGUGAUGUACAGAAAAUAUUGUUACAUAACAAACAAUAAAUACAAACUAAUGAUGAUCAGGCAAUAUGUACUGCUCUCGAAAAACAAUUUUAAUUAGUAUUUAAUUAGUAAUUGCAAUUUAAAACUCAUACACCUAAACAGAAUAAAAGUGUAGCUGUGAUACAUACACAUUCAAACUCUAUUAAAUGGCUAAGACAGAUAACAGCAAAGGAGAAAUUGUUAAUGAGUGUAACUAUGUCCAAUUAGUGUAUGUGCGCUUGUAGCCCGAUGUGAAUGGAUUUCUAAUAUACUUACAAUGGGAUGAUUUACUCUGCUGUAUUUAUAAUCUGACAUAUGCAAAUUUGACACAUAAAUUUAGGAUCUGUCAAUCACUGAUUCAACACAAGCGUAGCCCAAAUUCAGCGAAUUUAUACUUUGCAGUUAUUGAGACUAGGUGAAGGAUAUAUUACUGUCUAUAGUUAGCUGCACAUAAAAUGAGUUUGUUUGAAGUGGAUAAUUUGGUUGCUUAUUAUUCUUUAAAGGAACUUGUGCAUUACAUAACCAAUUUACGUUCCAAUAGGAAAUAGUGUCAUCAAUAUAUUUUGUUAGCACUGAUGGGAGUAAAUGUGUUGAGAUAUAAGUACACUUCUUUUGUAUUUAUUAGAUAUUUGGAUUUAGUCCUUAUCAGUGGCAGCUGGUAAAGAUUAAAGCUGGUCUGGUACUGCCCCUCAACCCAGUCUUUCUGGACUCUGCCCACUUAAUCCCACCAAGUGCCAUCUUCUGUUAUCAAUAAAAAGGCAUCAUGACAGAUAUUUCUUUUUAACACACACCUAAAAGUAUUCCCUACAAUGCAAUUACAUUUGUUUUUUUGUUUUUUUUUCAACAAAAACUGGGGGUUUAAAAUUUUUCAUACAUACAACUAUGUAAUGCAUAUGUUGUUUUUAAUAGACAUUGUGUAAUAUUGGAAAUGUAGGCUAAAAAAAGCAGAUCUGGGACAUUCCUCAAAACCUUUUUUUUUUAGUUUAUAUAUUGCAAUGGGAAUUUCAUUGCAACACAAUUCAUUAAGGGUUAUUCAAUCAAAUGGAAAUUUGCCAGGUAUUCAAAGUAAAUUUUAAACUUGUCUAAAAUAGUCAAUAGGAAAGUAGUUCGUUCAGCAGUUUACCGGACAUUUGCCAGAGUCCCUUUGAUGUUUGUUCAUAUUCGUGAUUCGAUCAAUGCUUUUCGUCUUCUUUCGAGACUCUCUCAACAGAUCUUGACAAAGUUUUGACAGAAGAUGAGCCGCAGUGAGCAAAUCGCCAAUUUGGUGGACAAACUCAAAGGGAAUCUGCUGAAUUUGAUGUGAAUUGAUGAGCUAACUUUUAUCCUUCCAGCCCAUUGUAACGAAAGUUUAUGAACCUUAUGAACGUCUGAGACUGCUUAUAGAAAGAUUCUCCAAAUUUACAGCAUUAACCUUGCCAAAACGAAGUGCCCCCCUAGUUGACAAUGCAAAUAUAGCACAAUUUUUUUGUGUCUGUCUUGCCUUUUUUGUAUUUUUUUCACAUUGUAUUAAAUACUACACUAUAAGCCCCCUUUUCCCCAUGUUUAUCUCUUGUUGUAUGAUUUACCGUACAUAUUUACCGUAUUUUUCGCUCCAUAAGACGCACUUUUUUCCCCCUCAAAAGUGAGGGGAAAUGUCUGUGCGUCUUAUGGAGCGAAUGUGAAGAUUUACUUACCUGUCUUGGAGCGUGGGCCGGCUUCACAGCGCGCUCCGCGGUCCAGGAACUUCUAUUUCAGGUUCCGGUUUCCGGCGGGACUAAAAGGAAGUGCACACUCAGUGUGCACACUUCCUUUCAGUCCCGCCGGAAACCGGAACCUGAAAUAGAAGUUCCUGGACCGCGGAGCGCGCUGUGAAGCCGGCCCACUCUCCAAGACAGGUAAGUAAUUAUGGGACAAUGGGAGGGGAGACACUAUGGGAGAAAGGGGAGGGGGACACUAUGGGAGAAAGGGAGGGGGAGACACUAUGGGAGAAGGGGAGGGGGAGACACUAUGGGAGAAGGGGAGGAGGACACUAUGGGUCAAGGGGAGGGGGGCACUAUGGGAGAAAGGGAGGGGGACACUAUGGGAGAAGGGGAGGGGGAGACACUAUGGGAGAAGGGGAGGGACACUAUGGGAGAAGAGGAGGGGAGGGGGAGACAUUAUGGGAGAAGGGAGGGACACUAUGGGAGAAGGGGAGGGGGGACACUAUGGGAGGGAAAGUGCACUAUGGAACAAUGGGAGGGGGGACACUAUGGGAUCAGAACACUAAUGGACAAGGGUAGGAGGGGUUAAAGAACACUAUGGGACAGAGGAAAGGGGGGUUAAAGAUCAUUAUGGGACAGGGGAGAAAAAAAAAUAUUCUGAACAAACUGUCCCAUAGUAAGAAACACUAUGGAACAGUUUGUUCAGAAUAUUUUUUUUUUCUGGGUUUCCUCCUCUAAAAACUAGGUGCGUCUUAUGGUGAGGUGCGUCUUAUGGAGCGAAAAAUACGGUAAUAUCUAAGAGUGCUUUGAUCUGAAUGUACAAGCCUUUUUCAAUGUCAUGUUUUAUCACACUAUUUCACACUUUAUGUGUUUACACAGCGCACUUUACUACUUGCGCCAAAGAUUAUUUUUUUACCAUGUAGUAUUGUGCAUCACUGUUUUACCUUAAUUGGUAGUUUGUGAGAUAAAUACUUAAUAAUAGUGUGAUGUGGCCAUAUUACAAAGAAAUAGCAACAAUUGUAUAUUCAAGCAUAAAAUGCUAUUAAAACUAAAUAAAAUCCCAUUAAUUUAUAAAAUCUAUAACAGCCUUUGUUUGUCCCACACAGACCACUGUUUGCAAUUGACAUUUUUGUUGACUGCAACAAAACCUUUUUAACAACAAUAAAUCAGAAGAGGACAUAUUUUAGCAGUGAUUGGUACUCUUACAUGAUGUAUACAUUGUGUUAUUGACUAAAAGGACACAAACAAUAUGAACUACUUUGCUCCAAGUAUGGGUUUUACUGUUCUGCAUUUUUAAAAUGUUUUCUGUAGAGACAUGCAGUUUUGUUACAGGGUGACCAUAAGGGCUAGAGCCGCAGUAGGCAAUGAUCAGCACUCUAUCUGUUGUGUAGCGGACUACAUCUACCCAGGGCCAGAUUAAGAGCCCAGUGGGCCUGGUGCUGACAAUUAUGACGGGCCUAAUUACAGAAUCGUAUCGACCAAAAACAGUAAAACACUCCCAAGCAUCAUGUAUCUGAUGGAGAUGGUGCUGGAGAGAAAGAAAACAGCAGCUAUAAGAAAACACAUACCCUAGGCUAAUCUCUCACUAAUUUAUGUUUUCAUCUUUCCAUAAAUAAAUCCAUAACGCCUAACAGCAGUGUCCAGUCAAGCAGGAAGUCAAUGGGCACGGUAAAAGGGUGUGCCACUGACACAAAUCACGUAACCUGCCAAAAGGGGCGAACAUGCCCAAAAAGAGGAUAUGUCUGCCCAAAGAAUUAGAAGGCCAGCCUGGUAUGAAUGCAUGUCAGGCUGCCUGCCAAUCAUGCAGCUGGCCAACUAAAAGACAGCACCCUGAGCUUGGCAUAAAUGCAUCUAAUGAUGCGCUCGCUCAACGCUUUCUAAGGACUGUCCCCUAGCACUCGCUGGUCCACUUGUCUCCUUACCUUCUUACUAGCAGGCAGAAGCUCCUGGUAUAUAGUCUGGGACAGAGAAAAGCUGUAUGUAGUGAGUGUAGAAGAAAGUGAACAUGCCACAGUGUUAGAGAGACCAAAGUCAGCAUUACCUUAAAGGAUCACUAUAGGGUCAGGAACACAAACAUGAAUUCAUGACCCUAUUGUGUUAACACCACCAUCUAGCCCUCCUGGGCCCCUCAUGCCUCCAUGAAUAUAGCAAAAUCUUACUGUAUUCAAGCCUGAAGCUGUAACUGUGCAUGCUGUUAGACUCAGAAAAACAAGCAGUCUGCUGGCAUCAUUAGAAGUGGUGGCCUAAUCCAAUCACAGUGCUUCCCCAUAGGAUUGGCUGAGACUGACAAAGAGGUAGAUCAGGGGCAGAGCCAACUUGAUUCAAAAACAGCCCUGCCAAUCAGCAUCUCCUCAUAGAGAUGAAUUGAAUCAAUUAAUCUCUAUGAGGAAAGUUCAGUGUCUGCAUGCAGAGGGAGGAGACGCUGAAUGUUUGGAUGCAUUUUAGGCAGCCAUGACCUAGGAAGGAUCUCUAACAGCCAUCUAAGGAGUGGCCAGUGAAGUUAUCACUAGGCUGUAAUGUAAAAACUGCAUUUUCUCUGAAAAGACAGUGUUUACAGCAAAAAGCCUGACGGUAAUGAUUCUACUCACCAGAACAAAUUCAAUAAGCUGUAGUUGUUCUGGUGACUCUAGUGUCCCUUUAACUAUAUCCAUUGUCAGCCAGUCCACGCAAGUUUUGUUCCCAUACAUCCCUCUUAAGUUUCCAUACUUAAGUAAGAGUAUGUGAAAUGUAGUUAGGGUUGCCACCUUUCUUGGAAAAACAUACCUUCCUUGCUAAUUUGCAUAAUUAAAUAUGUAUGGGUGACAUCACAUGAUGUAAAUCACAAGGAGUGACAUAAGAGAAAAUGCAGUAAAAUCACCAAAAAACUACUUAGUUUGAUUCUGCUGUAUAGAUGGAUUCCUCCCAGUGGCCCCAUGUCUCCCAGUGCCCCCAUGUGUCGAUUACUCCAGGUCUCAGUGUUCCUAUGUAUCAUUGUCUCAGUGCCCCAUAUUUCCCAGUGUCCCCUAGUGUCGUGUCCCCAGGUCUCCCAGUGAUCCUAUGUAUCACAGUGUCUCAAUGCCCCAUGUAUCCCUGUGUCCCCAUGUAUCCCAGGGUCCCCAUGUCACUAGGAAGAUGGGAAGACCUGGGGACACGGGGAGACCUAGGGACACAGAGACACCAGUGACACUGGGAGACUAGGGGACUAUGGCUGGGACGCAUGGGGACACUGGGAAAAUAGGGGACACUUGAAGACAUGGGGACACAGACACUAGAGACACUGGCUGAGGGACAUGGGGACAUUGAGACAUGGGGGCACUGGGAGACAUGGAGACAAGGAGACAACAGGGACACUAGCUUGGAGACAUGGGGACAUUGUGACACUCGAGGCACUGAGAGACAUGGAGGCACUAGGAUACUUUGGGACAGUGAGACACUGGCAGACUGGGGGCACUGCGAAACUAGGGGGCACUGAGACACCAGGGACACUGGCUGGGAGACAUGGGGACACUGUGUCCCCAUGUGUCUGUGCCAUAAUGUCUCCCAGUGUCCCUUAGUAUCUCAGUAUAUGUCUCCUUGCAGCCUUUCCCCCCCCAUCCCUUACUUCCCUGAGCUGUAGUCUGUCUCUGCAGGGUGGGAGUUGCUGCCUGGACUCUGUGUAGCUGCACCCCUGCAGAUCAGUGAGUAUAGAUAGGCAGGGAGGGAUAUGCUGGAACUUCCUAUCCCUGCAUGUCGCCACACACAGCGACCCCUACUGGCCAGUGCUGGUAUUGCAGAGUAAUCUCUUGUUUAUAUUGAGAAAAAUACCAGCAUUUGUAUUGCCAGUAUCACUAUACUAUACUAUACUAUGCAAUAUUGGCACCAGCCAGGCAGCCUCAAAUACUGGCUGUGCCAAUAAAAUAAAAGCCAGGUGGAAUCCCUAAGAGUAGUGUGUGGGGGAAAAAAAUGUUAAAAAAAAAAAAAUAUAUAUUUUUUUUUUUAUAAAUCAAUGGGCCUAUUCCAUGGGCCUGGGCCUGGGCCUGGAGCUGCAGCUCCAUCAGCCCCUAUGUUAAUCCGGCCCUGCAUCUACCCUGAUGCUUUGCCAGCAUUAUGACUGUAAAGGAGAUGUAGUCCAAAACAUCUGGAGUGCCAAAGGUUGCCUACUCACAGGAUGAAGCACUGAUUAUGGGCCUGUAAAGCCUUGCAUACAAUAUUAUGAUUGAGUCCUAGAUCCUUUGAUUACCAGCUUUCUGCCACCAAGAUCAUAGUUACAUAGUUACAUGACAAGAGGCUUUAGAAAUACCAAAUUAUUAAUUCAGUAGAGGGGCAGUGAGUGGCAAAGACAUGAGGUACCAGUCCAUGGGGAACAUGAAAUGUAAGGCUUUCCCUAGAGUGUUUCCUCCCCCUUUGCCCUUUACUUCCUCCAGAAUGCCUACAAUGGCCCCCUAUGGCACAAUUUGCCUGCCUAACAGCACAAGUCAUUUAUAGACAUAGCAAGCAUCUUCACCACCAUUUCAGAUCAGGGUUGUUGUUGUUUUUAUAUUUGUAUAUAUAUAUUGUUUGCUUAUCUAUCAGCUGUGCUGUACAAAAUGCCAGUACUUUUUAUUUUCAACUCUUUCAUCAGUUAAUUGACCACCUCUCUCAAUGCAUUAGAGCACCAGGAGCUGUAGCAGUCAUACAUAUUUUACCACUGCUUAGUUACAAUUCUGCUUUUGCAGUCUGGAUUGUGGUUAAGGUUGCCAUCUUUAUUGGAAAAAAAAUAGCAGCCAUACGAAUUUGCAUAAUUAUACACUAUAUGCAUGACAUCACAGGGCAUGGCAUCACAGGGAGGAGCAUAAGAGAAAAAAUAAAAUACAUUCAAACAGAAAAGUUUCAUAAAUCACUACAAAACUAGUUUAUAUUAUUUAUAUUGAAAAGCAGGUGCAACUUUUUGACCAACAUCCGAUUGUAAACAGGGUGAAGUUGGAAUAUCCUGUGUAUUAAAAAGUUUCAAUAGAAUGUUUAUGUCAAAAGUGGAUAUGUUUCUUGGGGUGAAAACUUAACUGUGACUCACUGUUUACUUUCUGUAAACCUCAAUAAAAAUCACAAUUGAAUAAAAACAAAAAUUACUUACCACAUAUAGCCAGCUAAAUUAUUACUCACAACUAUCCAAGGACAACAACAUGACCACAACAACAGUCACCCACAUAACACACAAACAAAACACAAACAUCACAGUCAUCCACAUAACACACAGGCAAAGCACACAUAUCACAGCCACCAACAUAACACACAGACAAAUCACAAACAUCAAUUUAAAUUGUAAAAAUUACUGAGAGUUUUAUAAAUAUUGAUCCUUUAUUAAUUAAAAAAAACACACAUACACAAUUACACCUUCAAAGACACACUUACAUACAUGUACACACUCAGAAACACACACAUUACAUUCCUACAAAAAACAAACACACACAAUUAGACCAUCAGAAACACACACACAUUCAUACAUUUACACCCUCAUAAAAAAGAAUACACACAGUUACCUCCUCAAAAACACACACGCAAGCACAUACCUUUUUGGGAAUGCAGUCAGUGGGUAAGUUACACUCAGUGGUGUAUUUUGGAUAUGUGCUGCCCUAGGCAUGUAAAAACCCAGGCACCCCUUACUCCAUCUAAAUUUUCCCCACCUCUACCUAUCUAAGACAAACAUACAGUUUGACUGACAGGCACACACUCUCAGAUUCACAUACAGUUACAAAAAAAUAAGCCCUGUGCUCAUUCCCAUCACUCCUGGGCAGCAGCAACUACACACUCUCAGAUUCACAUACAGUGGCAUACGUUCACUGACCGACACACACUGGCAGACACAUACGUUCACUGACCGACACACACUGGCAGACGCACACGUUCACUGACAGACACACACACUCACUCGGACACACAAUGAGAGACAUGCACACAUUCACUGACAUACACACACACAUUCACUGACAGACACCCCCACACAAACCCCCCCACUCACUGACAGACACACACACACACACACAUUCACUGACACACCCUGAUACCGACACAUUCAAACACUUACAAAGUAUUAUAGAUAUUUUAAAAAUAUUAAUUUUCUAUCUACCCAGCCUCCUUACCUGGGAGAGUUGGAGUGGAUUCUUCCCCCUGGGUUCAAUGGAGCUGGCUGCUGGGCUACUAUUCUGGUGGCUGGCUGGGCUAGCUGGCUGCUGCUCUGGCUGGGCUGGCUGGGCGGCAGGGCGUGAAGGUUUUCAGUUGAGGUAGCGAGGGAGCUGUAAUCCUCCUGCUCAGCUCCCCCGCGCACUGCUCAGUGGAUGCCGGGAGCCGGGUGAUGCCAUAUCCUGGCUCCCAGCACCAUUGCGGGGCGCGAGGCAGCUGAGCAGGAAGAGUUCAGAGGGCUCCCAUGUGCUGUGACCACCUCCCCCUCGGCCACACUGGGAGCAUUUUAAAGCCUUGGGGGUCUUUGAGGUGGCCAGCUGGCCAGCUCUUGGGCCCCCCAUGAAAGAGGCUAAGAGGGCAUCUGCCAUGGCACUUUGGGUGCAGCUUUAUUUGCCACCCCCCCCCCCUUAUAGUACCUUUGGUGCUUCUGUUGUGUUUUCCAAGCCUCUUCAAUAUACUAAUUGAGUGUCUUUUUAUCUCAGACACAUGCUGAGUACAUUAUCUAUUAAACAAUUUUUAAUAUAAUAAUCCUUUCCUCAAGUUUUGAAAGGCAAUCAAUGGUUUUAAAAUGAAAUAUAUCUAAAUAAAAUUAGAUAAACUCCUCACUACCUAAUUACAUGACAGAAUCCUUCAGCCAUAUACAUGCACCUUGGCUCAGACAGUGUUUGAACUCUGUGUACUUUUGAUAAAACGAUGAAGAUAUAAGCUCAGCCUUUUCUCGAGUUUUGUCAACUUUGAACUUGACUAUAAAAGAAAGUAGUAACAACUUUAUUGUAUGAUACAUUAUGAUUGUGUUCCAACAUAGGCCUUGAUUUGAUUAAUUAAGCAUCCGUAAUUUUCUGUUAGAAAAAUACUUCAGAUGCUUUAUCUACAGAGGUCACCACUAAAGUCUAUGGGAAUUUGUGUAGAUAAAUCAUGUAAUCAUGGAAUCCUUUCUGAUGCAUUUUGAAACCAAUUCAAUUGAGGUCAUUGUCAGUUUAAGUAUUUCAUAAAGAUUUCUUUCUUUGAAAUUCUCAGAAGUGAUAUAUAGCCUUGACAGCGUGCUUUCUUCUAUGAAAUUCUCAGAAGUGAUAUAUAGCUUUGACAGCGAGAUUUUAAUAAUUGUGAAAUUUGAUUUAAAAAAAAUUGAGAAUUUUAUAUGGUACCUCUCAUUCAAUCUUUUGAAAGAUAACAGGCAACCAAUGUAGCAGUGUUAUCAGUGCCUAGCAUAAAUGGGGCUGAUGUAGAGCAAGCAUGUCAAAUUCAAAGGCUAGCACGGGCUAGCAAAGGUUUUUGUGGGCCGCAAAAAAAAAAUACCUUAAAUUUUCAUAGAAACUUAGAUUUUUUUGAAAGUACAGUAUAAAAAUAAAAACAGCAUCCCCCCUCUUACUAAAGCCCAGCACCCCCCUCUACUAAAUCCUUGUUUAAAAAAACAACAAUAUUAGCCAACAAGCAGACACUACAAUCAUUGCUGCUGCCAGUAUGCGACUCCAGAGUCCAGCCUCUGGUAUACCCCCAAUGGUGCCGUCUGCACCCUGUACCAAAGCCAUUCCUUGCGCUACUCCUUGAAACCCUGUGAAGGUGGAGCAUGUUGACAUCACAUCGGAAUGUGAUGUGGCGUUGCAUGCCUCCAUGCACCUCGAGGUUCUCCACUGUCCAACUGUGGCCAUCGCAACACUUACCAACACACACUCACUGACAGACACACACACACUGACAGACACACACUUACUGACAGAGACACACACACACUUACUGACAGACACACACACUCACUCUCUGACAGACACACACUGAUUGACAGACACACACACACUCACACAUUGACAGACACACACUUACUGACAGAGACACACACACACUUACUGACAGACACACACACUCACUCUCUGACAGACAUACACACUCACUGACAGACACACAUACUCACUCUCUGAGAGACACACACUCACUGACUGACAGACACAAACACACACUGACAUACACACACUCACUCUCUGACAGAUACACACACUCACUGACUGACUGACUGACAGACACAUACACACUCACUGACUGACAGACACACAUACACUGACAGACAGACACACACACACACACACACUUACAGACACACACACUCUCUGACAGACAGACAGACACACACACUCACUCACUGACUGACAGACACACACACUCUCUGACAGACACACACACACACACACACUGACAGUAACACACACACUCACACACACAUUUACACAUUCUUGCACACACUCACAUCAUUUUAUUUAUUGUUCCCUACCUUUGGGAGCUGGUGUGGGACCUCUCCCUGGGUCCAGUGGGGAUCUUCUCUCGGGAGGUCUCCAUUUCUGCUCCUGACUGCUCCCUCAUGCAUGCAGUUUAGUGAUGACAGGUGCAGGAAUGACAUCAUAUUCAAACGCCUGGCAUCACUACAGAGGGAGCGCGCAAGGGAGCAGUGAGGAGCAGGAAGACUGAGCUCCCUGCCACCAGCGUUCUCUCCUCCCCAGCCGGUUAAAUUUUAGCAGUGUAGGCACCUGCAAUGUGGGGAGAGCAGGUGCCUAGUCUGCCUUAGUAAGCAUGUCAAACUAGUGGGCCGCAUGCGGCUCAUGGGCCACGAGUUUGACAUGCUUGAUGUAGAGGUAAAGAAAAAGGGAGUUUGUCGAAAAUGUGUGUGAAUCUGUGUAUGAAUUUAAUGGUGAAAUCUAUCAAAUAUGUGCAACCAAGUAUAAAAUCAGCCCUUUUAAUCCUUUGAGUGCCAGGGAUAUGACCAGCAUGCUGCAAAAGAACUUGAAGGGUUAAUUGUCGUUAUUUCAGCACACGCCAAAGCCAACAUCCAAUUUUUUAUUCACAUUCUUAAUCUUUUUACCUAUUUUUUGUGUCAUGUAGAAAUUUUAGAAACAAAAAAAAUACACUGACACUUAGUAAUUUCAUCAAUGCUGAAACUUUUAAUCUAUAGUCUAUACAGUAACAUUGUCCAUCACACUUUGUGCUAGUCUGGUUAAUUGUAUAGUUGUUACUAAUAUGGAUUUUGGACAAAUAGUACAAUAUUUCAGGAGGUUUUUCAUAUUUGCUACCUUUAUAAACAUAUACUAUAUACUGUAGUAUAUUUAGUUCUAGACUAUAGCUAACCACACCAAAAUAUGAUGCAACAUAAGAUAGCUCAGAAAAAAGAAAAAAAAACUCCCAACUUCAGCUAAAUUUUGUAUGGAUUUUUCAUCUGCUUAAUUUUAUGCAGAAUUUUAAAUGGAUUUUUCAUCUGCUUUAUUUUAUCAUGAAUUUAGUUAGUUCCCAACUCACCAAAAUACACUGUUUAGUAAUUAGUCCAUUAAACGUGUAUAAAACUAUUUGUGGUUUUGCAAGAUAUCGCUCUGGUAUUAGUUAACCUAAUCAGAUGUUGCUGGAAACUGAGCAGCUGAAAUUGUAUUUAGUUAAUGUCAUGGUUUUUUUUUUUUUACUAAAUAUGAUACAUUUGACACUAGUGAAUUUCACUAUUCUAAACAUAAUAUUAAUGGAAUAUAUGAAACUGUCACACAUUUAUGCAGAAAAUGUCACAAAGUGCUUGAAAAUAAUUGGAUGCUUAUUUUUAUUUUGAAUCAUCUUAUGCUUUUCAUUUCAUCUCAGAAAUGACGCUUUACGAUCUUAUAUAACAGAAUUAAGACCAUGGAUAAUAAGACAAUAAAAUGUUACUGUUUUAAAAAAUAAAAAUGCAUGCACUGAAUUUAUAAAUUAUUAAUAUACUGCAUUAUAUUUGUUUUAUUUUAGGAAGCCAGGCUUUUAUUUUUACGGGAUAUAUUACUCUCUUGGGAUAUUUCUCUAUGUAUGGCUUUGCAAAUCAAAGCUCUGCCUGUUAUGUUUGUUUUCAAGCAGUUCCUGAAUUGUGAUUAAGAAAGGUGGACAUGAAAGAUAGCCAAGGAUACUUAGUCCAGUGUCUGACCUAAAUCCAUCUGGGUAUACAAUAACUAGAGUACAUAAUGAAUAUCUGAGAGAGAUCAAGUCAUAUUGCUAGGUAUAAAGAAUCCCUGGAGGACUUAGAUGUAUGACAGUUUGUCUACAAGAAGUAGCCAAUCAGAACUGUGCUGCGAAGUGUGUAAGGACAUUAUAAGCUGUUAUUACAAUAGAGAAAUUACCAGACCACCAUAUAAAUAGACACUCCAGGCAAGAACUUACCCCCAAAUGUAAUGAAUAUAUAUAUAUAUAUAUAUAUAUAUAUAUAUAUAUAUAUAUAUAUAUAUAUAUAUAUAUAUAUAUAUAUAUAUAUAUAUAAUGCAUUAAAAAUGCAAUGAAAUAAAAAAUAUUAACAAAAGAUAAUUACCUAACAUAAUUAUAAUAAUAAUUACCUUCAUAAUUAUUACAACAUUCUAUAGUAUUUGCAACUUCUGCUGUGAGACUGUCCAAAAACAGGAAGUAGCUGAAAAUGAUCGUUUAAUCCUGCCCCGGAUAGCAAGGACUCACAUGAAAUGCACACAGUGCAUGUAUGUCUGAGGUCAAUCUGAAGUUGUCAGACAGAAGUGAAAGAAAAGGAGUACUGGAAACUAAGUCUUUACUUGACUAACCCUUAUACAGACCAUUUUUAAUAAAUAUAUACUAUAAUAUAAUUUUAUAACAUGAUUUUAAUAUAUGUUAUAAAAGAAAAAUAUGAAAUAUGAAUAAUUAAACAGUUUUUGUGCAUAUAUCAUGCCAUUGCAGUCUCACUUUGUUUAUGUAGCCCUAGGCACACCUCCCUGCAUGUGACUUGCACAGCCUUCCUAAACAUUUCCUGUAUAAAGUCAGCUAAUGUUUACACUUACUUUAUUGCAAAAUAUGUUUAAUUUAGGAUUUCUUAUCUCACACUCUAUCAACAGCUUGCUAUACUCUGCAGCAGACUCCUGUAUGUAAUUAAAGUUCAAUUUACAGAGCAUGAGAUAAAAAUAUCUAAAGUGAGUUAACAUUGGAUUGAAAAUUAAGCAAUUUUGUUUUGGUGCAGACUGUCAGUAAAGGUAUGGUGAGGGCUACAUAAACAGAAACUAAAGUGAUUUAAAAAAAAUCAGGGGCAUGAUCUAUAAACAAAAACUGCUUCAUAAAGCUAAAGUUGUUUAGUGGACUAUAGUGUUCCUUUAAAAUGAUAACAGAUGGAUUAACUUUAAGAAGUCUAAAUUAAAAUGAUCAAUUAUUUGUAUUUGUUUGUGAAAAUCAUCAGAUUAUUUGUUUUGUACAUAACUCCUAAGGCAAGGCAGUCCAUUUUCAGGAUGCCGUCCCACUGCCUAUAUUUAUUGUCUGAACAACAGGAAAGUGCAGUAAAAGCUCAUCAAUAAAGUACUCUGUGUGUAGGCUAGAAAUGUGCGAUUUGUUUCAUUCCGAAUUUACAUUUGUCCAAAUUUCAUGCCAUUCGGACAUUCGGAUGCUUACGAAUGGCGGAAGUGACAAAGUUCAGUAAUUUGGAAGUGCCGAAGCUCCAAAGCGCCGAAUUUCCGAAGUGAUUUGGAUUCUUGAAAAGUGGCAAAAGAAGAGAGAGGGAUGGAAAAUUAUGUGAAUGAUGACAGGAAUCUUGACCAAUAAACUAAUUCCUUUUGUGCAAUGGCGUUAUAUUUGGAUGUUUACAAAUGUCCGAAGUGCUGAAGUUCUGAAGCACCGAAGUUCCAAAGUGACGACGUUUGGCAGUUCUGAAAUGCCAAACCAAACCGAAUAACACUGGUCCGAAUUGCCGAAGCAGAAAUUUUUUUUUACUUACCUGAAUUUCCGAACCAAAUUAUUUGCCCAUGCACAUCCCUAGUAUGGGUUGUCCUCUGUGGCCACCAAGAGAGGCUGCCAGUCAGCCUGGUGUGCACAGUCAUUACUAUACCCCCCACCCAAUGCUUCUGCUUGCUGCAUCAAAGACCAAUUCUGGAGCAAAUUGUAAGGUAAGUAGGUCUGUUUGACCAACAUUUUGUUUCGCCGUGCAUCAAAAACCAUACCUUCAUACACUUUUACACAUCAAGAAGGAAAUGGUUAAUAAUUAUAUGGUAUGUAUCUUGCACAGUUAUGCCUCACAUAUAUUCUGCUCACUGCCAAAACAAAUAAUUUUUUAUAACAAACCAUUCCUUUAAUUAUCAUUUUAUUAUGUUAUGAUUUAUUGCUGACCAAAUGUUUUCUUCUCCACUGUGAAAAUGUAAGUUCUAAAAGGAAAUUUAUUAUUGUGUUUCCAGAAAUAAUGAUGACCUGAUGUAAAUGAAAAUGAAUAAAUAAUAUCGUCCUGCUGUUAGACAUAAAUAAUGUGAAUUUCAUUAAAUCUUCAAUUUCAUUUAUGUUUUUUUUUUAAGACAAUUUUACGUAUUCCCAUAAAAUGUUGUAUUUCCUUCAAAUUUGUGAUUCAAUGAUAGCAUUGAGAACAAAAUACAAUAGUUUUUUAUCUGCACAAUCAUAUUGUUGUCAGUUUGUCCGCAAUAAUGUUCACAGUCGGUGGUUCAAAUUUAGCAAGCAGUAUUUUAUCAGCCUUGUCCAUUCUUAUAACAGAUCGAUAUUUGUAUCUUUCAAAGUCAUGUUUCUGUUUAAUGAAAGAACAUAUGCAGUAGAUAUGUAAUGCAAACAGAUAUACAAUGUUUUCUUUGGAACCAUAUUUAGCCCAUAGAACUAUGUGUAUCUACCUUUGGCAAACUCCAUAUUUGCUCCUGAUGCUUGCUGGACAUGCUACAAAAAUUUCUGUUCUGUUGUUCUGGGUGAUGAUUAGAGUUACCCUGUAGAUAACUAGUUAUGUGAUGGCAGUCACCAUCACUUGGGAGUGAAGACGGAUACUUUAUGUAGGUCCUCAGAUUGCUGCUAUAUUUUAGUUGCCCUGUGCCCAUUAUAGGUACAAGGUGUGUAAUGUAUUUAUUUAUUAGUUAUCCUCCUCCCUCCCCAUUUCCUUGUUGUUUUCUGAGAAGGGCAUUGUCCCAUUGUUCCAGAGCACCCUUUCAUCUGCUGUAUAGUAUUAUAUGUGUUUUAAGGAGUUUUAUUGUACUAUGGGAGAUAAUUGUGUUAGCGUGUCUGUGUGUAUAAAAGGUAAAACAGAAGGGAAGAUAAUUAGUUUAUUAUACAAUGGCUAUUGUGAUAUGGGUCUUGGUGACAGGCAGGUAAUUCAGUAAUGGAAAAUUAACCUAAUUAAGUCCUAGACACCAAGACUCCUGGGAGUGACUGGUAUUGUUUUGUUUGAGGAUCCCUUGUUGUGAUUACGCCUAUAUAUACCUGUGUUGUGUUGAAUAAAAUCAAUUCUACUUCACUCUUCACUAAGUCUUGACUAAUGUUUGGGUGAGACUGCUAUACAGCUAUAUCACUGUAUACUGAUCAUAGGUGGAAAAGCUCUAGAAAUACCCCAGUCAAGUUGCAGUGACUGGAGCAUAAGCAUUCCAGAUUUUCACUUCUCUGUGGGCAUAGGGUGAUUAAAACCUAAGAGCAAUCUGGGGAUCUACAUAAGGUGUCCAUCUUCAGCCCCCAGUGAUUGAAACUACCAUCACAAGAUCUAUAUGUAUGCUAUAAUCAGGGCUGCCAUUAGAAAUUAUGCAUCCUUUUGCACAGCUCAAGUCCUGGGGCUGUCCAGAGGGCUGCCUGAGUCCACCCCUUAUUUAACCAACAUUCCACAGGGCUUGGGGGAAAGGGAUUACAGGGACACAGUGUUAAAGCAAAGCUAGUGGGACAUGGUGACAAAAUGCUAGGUCUAUAGGGCAUUAGGGGAAAAGAACAAUAAAGGGCUAGGCUGAAAGUGAUUGAGCAGUACAGAGUGACACAUGGCAGGGGCUCGAGCCCUACUUGUAGGUUACUCUGUGCACUGAUAAGGGACAGAAUGACACAGAGCUAAAGGGACACGGGGGAGAGUAUAUUCAAAUGUUUAACUGCCCCUCUAUUUAUCCUCUUUUGGUGCUGCCAGAUGGAUGAGGAGGCUUUCCAGGGCUUAAGGUAGGCUGUCCAAGGUAUAGAUAUGCUUUUCAAUUAGCUGGCUGACUUACCAAGGCUAUAGGGAGCUGAAAACUGUGUCUGGGAGACUUGCAAUCUAGUGAGUCAGGCUGCUGCCAAGACUGCUGGGGAUUCUAGUAAGAGGACAACAGAAGUAGCUGCCUCCUGAUAUAAUGGAGGAGCUGGCAGAUUUUGCUCCCAUGUCACAGCCCUGCAGUAACUGAAGGAAGCUGAGGAUAUAGCAGUGGGCGUUUCAGGUAUUUUAGAAAUUCCCCAGACCUAUUAUUCAUGUCAUCUAUAACCCCAAUGAGAACACUAGAAAUGAUGAUCCCUGAAUAGAACCUAAAAAACUGGGUAGGAGCAGGUAUCAACUGGCUAGAGGAUUGACUCCAAGUGGACGCUUCCUUCCUUCCGAUGAAUUUCAACAAAGAUUUGGCAUUUCACGCAAAGAAUUUUAUAUUUUUCUGCAAAUUAGACAUCUUCUACAAAUCAAGUUAAAUUGCAUUCUACUCCUAUCUAAAUAUACUUCAACAAUAGUAAAAUUGUGUAAUGCAAAUCUGAGAGCCAGGAAAGGAUAGUUGCAGUGUUAUGGUUUUUUGAUUGACUGCAAUGUUCCUGAUAAAUUGCUGUUUAUGGUUGCCUGGGAAAAAGAUAUGAAUAAAAUAUUGCCUUAACAAGAGUGGAGAAAAGCCUUGUUAACUCUAUUGGGCAGUUCACAUUGCACUAAUCAUCUUAAUUUAUUCCCAAAUUUUUUAUACCUUUGGUAUUCGGUCCCUAAAAGAAUAUCCCAAAUCUUGAUGAGCUAUGUAUGGUGGUCUUGUCCAAUCCUGAGAAAAAACAAAUGUGAACAUGUCUGUUGAGCUAGAGGUAUUGCUUUUAUAUGUAUUCCCAGAUUAUACAGGAGCUGGAAUAAAGAAACUAAUCUUUACAUAUUUAUUUUAGCCAAAAGAUUACUAGCUCGAAAUCGGAAGUGUAAACAUAUUCCAACAAUGGAAGAUGUGAGUAAGCUAAUCAUGUACAAUUUAAAAAUGGAAAGACUAGUUGAUUAAAAUUUGGGAAAGUUGAGACAAUACAAUGAGAUGUAGAUUUAUGGGUGACUCCUAAAUAACUUGAAGAAAGGCAAUAUACCAAUAUGAUCUUCUCAUCUACCUGUCUUUAAUCUGGGGUUCAUUUUCCUUCUUUUUUCCUUCUUCCCAAAGUUUAAUAAAUGAGAGAAGAAGGGGAACAGAAAAAGGAUGGAGGAAAUAAUCUAGAAUGUUUAGAUGUACAGGUAUACUAUAUAAAGUGUCUGGUUUUGUAAAAACGAAAUAUGUCUUAAAUUACCAUGGACAAUUUGUAAUUUUCUACUCUUCUCGUUGUGUAAAUGUUUAUUGAUAUAUUUUUUUGUGGAGAGGUGAGUUAGGUGUGUGGGGGGGAUUUAUUGUUGAUUAGAAAUUCUUGAUAAAUAAAGUAUUAGAAAAAACAAAUUCAAGUCCCAGUCAGUUACUGGAAAUGUGGAUUUUUGCACCCAUCCUGCUUUAUCGCUUUAUCGCACCAGUGCUGCCUUAUGGAAAAGUUGGCUGUGCCCAUGGCCCACUUAACCUGUCAUUAACAAGUAUGUGAUUUAGUAUGUCAUUGCAAAGGAAACUGUGGCAUGAGCAAGUUAGUAUAUGCUUAUGCUUUAUUAAGAGAUGGAGAUUCACAAUACUUCCUUCUAUCAAGUUCAUAGUUUGCCAAAAUGAGGUAAGUACAUAUAUUACAUGGAAUGGCUGAACUCUGGUGGGAAUUUUCUUUUUUGCAAUAAUAUAACUGCAAUGCCCAGCAUUUCUCCAAGUUAAUAUAAAAUUCUGUGUUCUUUUUUUAUUGUGAAAUCACGCUAGCCACAAUUUAGAUCCCCCCGUUUUGUUUUUAAACCAAGCCAUGAUCCCAAAACACAUACAGCACAUUUAAAAGGUUAAUAUACAAUACCAUGUGAUCAAGAUAGACAAUACGACAACCCUCCUCCAUUAAAAUGAUUAAAGUUGCUAAGUGACGAUUGUGAUUUUUGAUAUAAGCAAAUAAAUCUGGCUAUUGGAUAUAUAUAGAAUGUCACGGCAGAUAAGAACCAUUCAGCCCAUCUAGUCUGCCCAAUUUCUUUUAAAUACUUCCAUUAGUCCCUGGCCUUAUCUUAUAGUUAGAGUAGCCUUAUGCAUAUCUCAUGCAUAUAUUUUUGCCAUAGAACAAAAAAACCUUAAUGAAUAUAAUUAUUUUUUUAAUACAAAAUUGCUAUUAUUUAUUUCACUUUGCAUAAGUUAAAAGAAUACAUUGUGUAAUAAGAAAACAUGGCAAGCAUUAUGGUUGUAUAGGGUGAAGUCUAAUUUAUAUUGGGCUUAUUAAUGUGAAAUGGAAAAUCUUAUAAAAAUAAUAAUGUUCGUUUUUACAGUAGGUGGGGUUAAGGCUGCUUGCGGGUAUAAAGCUUUCAGUGAACCCUUUAUAUCUGACUAUACACAUGUAUUAGAUGGCUUAAGAUAUCUACAACCAAUACUCUGAGUAUAAUAACAAUAUAUAUGUCCCAUUAGUAUAGAUAUAGAUUUUUAUGUGUGUUUGUUUUCUUAGCUUAUAACUCAAUUUCUGUCUGUUUCUAGUCUUGUACUUUAAGUUUAGUUUGAUUUGGCUUGCUUGUAUGCUGAGACACCUAAUAAUUACCUAAUAAAUCAGUCUAUUUAUAUUCAGUGAAGACUGCAGACUAAUUCUGCCUAAUCAUGCACCAGCUGCCAUAGUUCUUGUGAAAGGCCCAGGAGGGGUAAUUUAGACAGCCAAGACUUGCUUUGCUGACUUCAGGGGAAAGUAUUGUUGUAGAUUAAAGGAGGGGUUAGGGGGUUCAAAACCUGACUUUAAUCUAAAAUUAAAAACGCAUCACUGUCACAGUGUAAAACUGCUUGAUUUUUAUUUAUUUAUAUAUAUUUUUGUGACAAGUCCAGAUUUUACUCAUAAUAUUGCAACAAUAACUUUAUUUAGCAUGGUAUUAAAACACAUUACUUUUUUUUUCCACUGAAUUAAAAAGUUAUUAAUAUUUACACACAUAGUGACAAAAAAAUCUGCAUCACUAGAUGAAAUCAUGAAGGGAAACAAAAAACCUAAUUUGUAUAGACAAACCAAGACAGUAGGUUUUGAGAGACUUGCAUACAAGCUAACAAUCUAAAGGGAAACUUGUAACGUACCUCCCAAUUAUCCUUACUUAACAAAAUUACUCACAAUAAUGUGUCUUUUUACUACAAUAAAUGUGUUUAGAAAUCAAUCUGUGGGGCGGAGCCAAGAAACAAAACCGAAUGGAUGCAUGUUGUUACAACUCUGCACCAAAUGGCUAAUUUUACACAAAUGCCGAGACCCCAAAGACGCCCAUGGGCACCUCAAAUGGAUCCCCAGGCAGGCAACAGCACCAUGGGUUGAAUUACUAAGAAGCCAAAUCCUGAUAAAAUGAGGAUGAGCAUGAAUAUAGGGGAUCUUUGGCGAUAGGCUAACAGUGCCCUCGAUCCCAAAAUGGCCACCUUCACUGACAAUGGCUGGGACAUCUCAGAGGAUUUCUCAAUAGGGGCAGCGAAGGAACAGCUACCGGCACAGUCGACCCCCAGGCCGCCUCCUUCCUCAUCAGACUCAUCCCCGGUCACGACAGCGGUCCUAAAGGAAUUGCUAGUGGGUCUCCAACGCACAAUCCAGGCUAAUAUGGCCCAAAUACACCCAGACCUGCAUGGCCUAACGAGCUGACUGGGAGCACUAGACCAAAACAUCCACCAAAAUGUGCAGCACACGGCGCUUCUCCAACAAGUGGUAGACGAACUACGACAACAAGCCAACCCCCAAAAGGUUUGCUGCAGUGGAGGAUCAAAGGUGAAGUUUAAACAUAAAAAUAAGGGGAAUACCCGAAGAGGUACCUGACAUAGAACUGCCACAUGUGGUGAGAAGACUCCUGAUGGCACUCCUACCACCCAGACAGGCAAAGGCAGUGGAAACGGAGGGGGUGUUCCGCUUAGCGAAGUCAGCCAAAGCACCAUCCUCGAUGCCUAGAGAUCUGCUGAUCUGAUUUCAAAGAAGCAGAGACAGGCUGGCUGUUAUGAACGCAGUACAGCACCACUCUCCAUACUCAUUCGAGAGCAUGACACUCUCAAUCUACGUGGACCUGGCACUCCAGCCCUUCACGUCUGCACUUCGAUCAACCUACAUCAAAUACAGGUGGAGGUCACCCCGCUCGUUACAAGUACACGACAACAACACCAUCUACCCCAUCCAAGAUCUUUAAGGCAUCAAGAGGCUCCUAAACACCUUGGGUCUCCCACCAAACUCUCUACCACUGGGCCCCAACCCAGGCUUGGAAUCCUGCCACAGAAACUCCAUUCGCCCCCCCCAGAGGCCUACGAUGGAUACAUAUGCAGUGGUUACCACAUGAAGCAACCCAGACAUUCCUCUUUCAAACCGCUGUUUUAAUUUGUUAAUAGUCCAACUUUUUAUAUUGCUCUGGUAUGCCUAUUGCAACACACAGGGAUGAGGGAGUCAGACUUAUGGUAUAUUGCUCAGAACUGUAUACAGACGGGAAUUCACCAAAAACCUGUCCAAAGAAAUAUAGUAGUGGGAAUAACACCCUAAGCUUGGGGUGAUCAAGCAAUUCAGGAAGAAGGUGCAGCAAGUGUGCAUGGUGUGUAUGUCUUUAAAUCUGCUAGAAGCAGAAUAAAUUAAAUAUACACCAAAUAUUAUACUUUGUAGAAAAAGAUGUAAACCACAAAACAAUCUUAAUCAAGAAGGAUACGGACGCAGUCUUUGAUCCAGCAGUAGGAGCCUUAUCUCUACCGAAAACUACUCAUGAUCUGGGGACCGACUGGCCCAUAGCAUCCAUCUCUCAGAGUGAGGUCCGAGACACACGCUAACCUCACCGGCAGCCAACACUAGAGAGAUUGUUUUGUUACAAACUAUACGCAUCAAUCCUAGCCGGUCCCUGUGGCUAACCCAGAAUACGGAAUACUAUUCUGCUGGUAAUAUUCUUGCAUACCGUUCCUGGCUUGUAUUUUUAGUAUUUUUUAUAUAUUUUGUUAAUAAACUUGUUGUUACUUUUAUCCACUUUUUUCUAUCCAUUUCUUCUAAGUGAUUUUUUAGCGAUACCUAAUUUUUAUUUCAUUACAGAAAACAGUUCCAUAUACUGUAUUUCUAUUCUAUGUGGUUUAUAUCUUUUUCUACAAAGUAUAAUAUUUGGUGUAUAUUUCAUUUUUUCUGCUUUUAGCAUAUUUAAAGACAUACACACCAUACACACUUGCUGCACCUUCUUCCUGAAUUGUUUGAUCUAUCUUAUUGAUUUUAUUAUUGGCACUAUCACAUCUUAAUCCUAAUUUUACUAUAACCACAGUACUAGUGACAUUAUAUUCAAAAGCCAUUUUGGUUAACCAGCUCCUGGAACAAUUACACCAAGCUUAGGGUGUUAUUCCCACUACUAUAGUCUGACUUUUUAGUUUAUCAUGUUAAAGGUUUUCAACUGUUUCUUACACACCAUAUAUCAGCUAGCUAGGUUUAAUUGCACAGUACCACAAAGCAGUCAGACACUUUAUGAGGCCUGUCGGUAUGCUGAAACCUGUCCACACCCCCAUCUCAAUCUAUGGGCCCCGGGCUCUGCAUUAUUCCAGGCAGAAUUGUUGCACUCCCCCCCCCCACCCUUGCUGAGGGCUAAUCCUCCUGAACGGGUAUUCCCUAUAAUUUAAAACUAACCAAGUCUCUAUGGCGCCAGCAGCCCACCCACUAAGUAAACCACCCAACUUUUACUGAUUAAACUACCCAGCUACUACUGAUACAGUCAACCAUAAAAUUAUUCCACUAUACCUCACUGAUAAGAAUUCCCUAUAACUCGAUCUCUUAGUAAACCAAUAAGGUGCCGGUAGCCCACCUACUGACCACAUGCCAGUUCAAACUAGUUAAAUAUUCAACUAGUACUAGCUUUGGUCCACACAGCCUCCUGUGUAACCUUAAGGGAGACACCUCAAUAUAGACACACUUAGACCACUUACCUAGGCUACGACUUCACACAUAUGUCUUGACUAUCUCUUAAAUGUACUGAAAUUGUUUUGUGUUGUUUUCUCGUUAUUCUUUUUAGUUUAUUAACUAUGCUGAAUACGUGGUUUAACAUGUGAUCUCAUCUAUGCAAACUACGUCUUCUUGUUUGAAAAAAAAAAAAUGAGGCAUGAUCCCUACUGUUGCCCUAAAGGGCAUGCUCUGUGCUGUAGUACUCUACAGUAUUAUGCCAAUGUGCCUGUUAUGCAAGCUAAAACUAAAAAAAUAAAGCAUUAUAAAAAUAAAAAAUAAAUUUAAAAAUCAGUCUUUGGGGUUAUAUAUGAAAAAUAUAAACUUUAGUCACACCUCACCUGAUUAGAGAGGAUUGAAGAUACUGAGUUUCAGAACAUUGAAUUGACUUCCUUUCAAUUUUAAAAUGCUUGACUGGUAAAACUCGAACCUUCAGCCUUUUAAUGUGUCAUAUGCAGACUCGAGAGAUAUACACUUGCAUUUUUUUGUUUAUUUGGGUAACAGACCAUCUGGGAAUGUUCAUUUAAAUAACUGUUUCCAGAUGGAAUGACAGAAACACAGCCUAUUCACUAAGCUUUUUCUCAAGUUGAUAAAAGCCUGAUAAUAACUACUUAGCGUCACUAACAAUUCUACUUUAUGCAUUGUAAACAGUGAUUUGUCCAAAAUCAAACAUCAUUUUUAUUUCUUUGAAAAUGGUUAAUAUUAAUAUUUUUUUGUGCUUACAAAAAUAUACUGUAGUAAAAAAAAAACUUGUCGAGAACACCUACAGAGAGCAAUUUCAAGAUAGAACAAAUCAGUAAACAAUUACUACAAGUAACAAUGAUUGUUUUUUUCACUAUGAUUCAUUUCAGCAAUAACAUAUAGGUUUCCUGUAAUCUUUCAACUUUCUAGUAAUGGAUUCUUAUUGUUACUCGCCUGCUUUAAAGGGCGACUAAGAAUCAUAGCCACUACAGCCUGCUGGAGUGUUUAUGGUGCCAGAAGUCCUCCUGGUGCCAUCCUAAUCUGAUAUUGAGAGAUUUGACACUAAACUGGGUACUCUAGGCAGCUGAGUUCUGUCCCUUGUUCACAAAUGUCACUAAUGUGACAUUCCCUUAUACAUUACACAUAUCCAUUUUGUCCAUAUUUCAAGAAAAUUCAUUCUGAACUCGUUUUCAACUCUUUUUAUUCAAGAACAAUGAUCAAACCCACUUCUUCUCAUUGUCUCACAAAUCAUGCUACCACUUCAUAUAUAGUUUCUUUACAAACAAAUAUAUUUUUUGUUGCAUAUUUAGAUUGUUUUAUCAGUGUUCCUAUUGUAUGUAUUUUGAUAUUGCCGUUGAUAAACAUAUUUAUCAUAUAUCAUAUCUAUGAUUGUUUAUCAUUGCAUUGUUUGAAAUAGUUCCAGCUUUACUACAAGUUUUUUUUCCCAAUAUGUGUGUUAUUAAACAGAUAUUCUUGUGUGCCUGGAAUUCAAGACUAUUGAGAAUAUUAAUAUGCAAAAGGUUAUCCAAUUAUUAUUUGCCCUGCUGUUUUCUGGCAGAUUGUUAAUGCUGGGAUGUGAUACAACACUCAGAAUGUGAAAGGUCGGCAUCUUUGUGACUAACUGUUGUGAGAUGACACACCUGUCAUCUUUGUAGAUUUAUUGUUGUGUGAAUGUAAUAUAAGAAAGAAAAAUAAAGAAAAAGAUUUGGCAGAUAUAUAAAAAUAAAUAGUCAAGGCAAACAGUGAGAUUUGUACCAGAUGGAAAGCCUAUUAAACAUCCUUUAUUAUUCUGUUUGAUUGGGUUUUGACUAAAAUAUGUUGGUAUUUCUAAUGUUUUUUUCUUAAGGAUACAAUCUUUUUUUCCAAAAGGGAUUUACUGCUAUAGAUUAAAGUCAUGGUUGCGAAACACCAGUCAUAAAUUAAAUAGAAUGGUAUAUACAUGCCUACCAGGUGCCAGCUCUAAGUUAUAAAAGAAAAAAAAAUACAAGGAUAAAUCAUAAUUGCAAAUUUGGUGGUGCAUAGAGUACCAUGAUUCAACUCUCAGCUCUGAAUGUGGCUUAGAACAGCGGCAUUCUCUGUAGCUCUAAGCCUGCUCAUAAAAUAAGUAUUCUCAGUUGCCUGUGUAAAUUUUGUUCGCGUUGUGUGUGCAACAUGUGGACAACUUAGACUUAACUCUCUCUUCGUCUAGGGCUGAGAGCCAACCAGCGAAUCACGCAUGCACAUUCUGUGAAAAAUGCCUAUGGUUUGCUCACUAAACUGAUAGCAGCUGCUGUGUGGAUGCUGUCAACUUACAAAAAAGAACGGUUUACUGAAUUGUUCUCAGGGAUAAACUUCUUAUCACAUAAACUCCUGUUUUGCAGGGAAUUAUAGGAAGAGUAUUUUUGUGAUGAGAGAUGAUCUACUUGUAGCACCUAAAUGUUUAUUUCAGCACAUUUGUAACUCUAACAUUAUAGUGUGCCUUGUAUUUUGAUCUUUCAGGAGUUUAGCAGAUAACUCCCUAAAUUGGUACCUUUACAUUGGGUCUCCAUAAUUAAGGAUACCAAAUUAGGGAGCUGUCUACUAAACAACUGUAACAGCAAAAUUAAGAAAGGGAUUUUAUUUAUUUCCCCUUUCAGCAGUUUAACAGAUAACUUCCUAAUUUGCUAUGCUUCUGUGGGAUUGUCAUAUUAAACCCCUUAGCGACCAGACCGCUUUUCAAUUUUCUUACCGUUAGGGACCAGGGCUAUUUUUACAUUUUGUGCGAUGUUUGUGUUUAGCUGUAAUUUUCCUCUUACUCAUUUACUGUACCCACACAUAUUAUAUACAGUUUUUCUCACCAUUAAAUGGUCUUUCUAAAGAUACCAUUAUUUUCAUCAUAUCAUAUAAUUUACUAUAAAAAAGUAUAUAAUAUGAUGAAAAAAUUUAAAAAACACUUUUUCCAACUUUGACCCCCAAAAUCUGUUAUGCAUCUACAACCGCCAAAUAACACAGAUGAUAAAUAGUUUCAAAAUGUUGUCCUGGGUUUUUUUUUUGCAAGUUAUAGGGCAAUAAGUACAAGUAGCACUUUGCCAUUUCCAAAUAAUAAUUUUUUUCAAAAUCAAUGCAAAUUACAUUGUAACACUGAUAUCUGUCAGGAAUCCUUGAAUAACCCUUCACAUUUAUAUAUUUUUAAAAAAAGACAACCUAGGGUAUUAAAUUUGGUUUUUUUUUACUCUUUUUAUGCACCCAUUUUACCACCAAUUUAUGCCAAAUUAAAAAAAAAAAAUCAGUGUAGGUGAUGUAUAGGUGUGUCGGGUUCUCUGGGAGCUAAAAGACCUUAUUUGGAGGGUGCGCAUUCCAGUUUUCCAACUUGUAAUUUUUACAGCUGGUCAUCAUGCAUUCAUGUCCUAUUUGGGACAUUUUUGAAGCCGGCCAAUGUAAUUUACCCACAUCAAACCAUAUAUUUUUUUAAAGUAGACAAUCCAGAGUAUUCAACACAGGGUAUGCCCAGUCUUUUUUAGUAGCCACUUAGUCACAAACACUGGCCAAAGCUAGCAUUUCUUUUUGUCUGUGUGUUAAAAAUGCAAAAAAAUUGGCCAGUGUUUGUGACUAAGUGGCUACUAAAAAGACUGAACAUUUGCAAUUCCUUGGGUUGUCUUCUUUUGCAAAUGGUAUGCCAUCAUGGGGGCAAUUCACAUUCUUGGGCUACCAUAUGCUCUCAAAUGCAAUAUAACCAAUCUGGCAAAUUAAAAAAAAAUAACUUUAAAAAAAAAAACACUAUAAAACCUGUACAUGAGGGGUUCUGUUAUACUCGGGAGACUUCGCUGAACAUAAAUAUUAGUGUUUCAAAACAGUAAAAAGUAUCACAAAAAUGAUUUCAUCAGUGAAAGUGCUGUUUGUGUGUGAAAAAUGCAAAAAAGUCACUUUCACUGACAAUAUCAUUGCUGUGAUAUGUUUUACUGUUUUGUUUGAAAUAUUUUUAUUGGUGUCAUAUCAUAAGCUUGGUUAACAAUCUUUCUUUACUGUAGUGUAUAGUCGCCUUCGCAGAGGCGUGGUUCUCAUUACAUUAACCGUAGCAGUUGGUUGCCUGCGCAGAGGCGGGUUAAUCUUAUCAUUAGCAUUAUAAUCAUUUGACGUAUAUUGCAGGUUGUUGGCACCUAAACAUGUGCGUAUAUUGUGUUCGGAGAUUGUGGUGGGUAUUCUGGUAUGUGGUUGUGCCUCGUUUUAUAUUUGUUGCGCUCAGUGGGACCCUACUUGUUUUGCGUGUGUUAGAGGUUUUUCGUCUUCUUGAUGUGUCUGUUGGGAUCUGCGUGUAUUGGUGCAUUUGGGUCGUUCUUUAGGUUGCGUGUGGUUGAUCUUCACAUGGAGGUGUGGUGUGAUUGCGUGUGGCGUAUUGGGUGUCUGGGGUGUUGUCUCUUAUUUGGCAUCUUUCCCACCUGCCCCAGCAGUAGCCCCGCCCAUCUUGGCUUUUCAUCUUGCUUAUUGUCUUGGAUUUUGCGAGUAUGCUGGGGUCUAGUGGGUGGCACAGUAUCUCACAUGUCUAGUAGUUUUGUGUCCUUGAGUUGUAGGUGCUUAGCGCCAUGGGUUGGGUUGUUUCUAUUACUUCGGUCUUGCGUGUGAUCUACGUGUUAAACCGUUGUGUUAGUGUGUAUGUCUGUUUUGACGUUUUUGGGCCGUUGUAUUGGCCUUUUCCGUAUGUGUCUAUGUUGGAUGUUCGGCGGGUUGUUUGUGUUGUACAGUCGUGUCUUGUUCGGUAUUUACUUGUCAUCUUGUCUCUACGUUUUGCGUGUCCUUGUGGCUUGUUCGUAGGUUGGGUGGGGUUCCAGUCUUGGGAAGUUGUUUGCGAUGUUUGGUCUCUCGUUCUGUCCUCUGGUGUCUGCGUUGAGUGGGGUUGGCUAUGUUAUGUGGGUAACGUUGUGGCGUGUAACCGUAUUUGUAUUGUGUGUGGUCUUCUUCUCUUAUCACGGUGUUAUGGUCUUCUCUUGCGUCUGUGGUCAUCUGUUUGGGUAUGUUAUUGUGUGUGGGUCUGUUGUUCUCUCUCUCCCUCCUCUUGCGGGCGUUAUGGUGUGAGGUGACCAAGUACUCCAAUAAUACGCAAGGACCGUUAAACUGCAACCAUUAACAAAAGUUCACACUUUAAAAAUAUUUAAUAUAGCUGACAAAAUAAACACUUUGAUCCGUAAAAGGACACUAUAGUCAUCAAAACAAUUUAGCUUAUCAAAGCUUUUUUGUGUAUAGAUCAUGACUCUGAAGUUUUACUGCUCAAUUCACUGCCAUUUAGGAGUUAAAUCACUUUUGUUUCUGUUUAUGCAGCCUUAGCCACACAUCCUGUGACUGAUACAGCCUGAAUGAAAACAAUAUGAUUUAAUGUUCAAUCUUACUUACCAUAACUUACUGUAAAAGUUGUAUUUCCUGCUCUGUAAAUUGAACUUUAUUUACAUACAGGAGGGUUUUGCAGGGUCUAGCACGCUAUUAACAGAGCAGGAGAUACAUUCUAUAUUAAACUGAAUUUGCAAAAAAGGAAGUGUUAACAUUAGAUUACUCUUUGCAGGAAGUGUUUAGUCACGUGCAGGGAGGCAUGUCUAGGACCGCAUAAACAAAGUGAUUUAACUCCUUAAUGGCAGUGAAUUGAGCAGCAAGACUGCAGGGCAUGCACACCCCUACACACCAAAACUGCUUCAUUAAGCUAAAGUUGUUUUGGUGACUAUAGUGUCCCUUUAACUGUAAAGUAAAACUGAGAUAUUUUUAUAUGACAUGUACAUGUUAAAGCCUGAUACAUUCACAGUACUUGAGAACUAGAAUUGAGGACUUUUCUGUCGAAGAGAAUAUUGACUGCAGGAAAUAUGCAAGCUAUUAUGCACUGUCUUUGAAUUACAUAAUUAUGAUCUAGCAGAGCAAGACCUUAACUCAAAAUCACUUACUAUAGCUCCACAGGAAGUAGGGAUGUCAAGCAUUCAGAGUGCUGUUGGAUGUAUACCCCCAGCGGAGGAAGAGUUGCCUCUUGGGAAAAAAUAUUGUAAGAGCAACAAAGUCGAGAGAAAUAAGGGAUGGGAAUAUAGAAUACAGUUCAGGUUGAAAGGGACAAGCUAAGAUUUAAACUCUAAUAACUGGAGAAUGAACCGAAAUUAAAGAAGUCUACAACCUCUUUCUUUAAUAAGAUGAUUCUCUAAAUAUUAAUGCAAUCUAAAUACAUUUCCAUGCUAUAUUUUGUAUUGUAGAAAUAAUAUGGAAGCAAAAAUAUGCAAAACAUAAUUCCAAGAUUUUUGCAUUGUUGCUUGUACAAUAUAGAGGUCACAGAGAGUGUUUCUUGUAUUAUAGGUAAUAUACAGAUAUUGGCAAUUAAGCCUCUGAAAAUAGAGUAUUCAUGGAUGCUGUUUAUAAUGAAGACACAUACACAUGUUACAUAAAACAAAUGAUCAUAAUGAAAUAAUUCACAAGCAUAUUAAGGAAAUGUUGCACAAAGGACAAUAUGAGCUAUGAACAUUAUUAAAUCAUUCCAAGAACAUUUUUUACAUUAAUGAUCUACUGUGACAUACAUUACAUGCAUUAGUUGCUAGAGGUUAAUGCAAAGAUAGAAUAUGCAAUUUUCUCUCCAAACAAUACAUUGUUGCUAGGUAGAUAUAUGUGGAUUAAUCUUGUUUGGUUGUGUUCAGUAUUGUUCGAUUACUUUUCAUGAUGAUUUUAAAGAAAAAUUUUACUUAUAUCACGAUCAGAAAAAAAUAGCAGUCUGAUAUGAAGUUAGGUUGAACUAUAUACUUUCUGUACAAAUAGAUCUUGGAAGGUUGGUAAACAGUAAACUACAAAAUUUGUUUUUGCUGAUGAUUUGCGUUGACAGAGGGAACUGGUGUGUUUACAGUGAUCAACCACAACAUCAAAACCACUUGCCUAAUAUUGUACAGGUCCUCCUGCCAAAACACCUCUGAUGCAUUGAGUCAUGGUCUCCACAAGAUCUCUGAAUGUGUCCUGUGGUAUGUGACAUCAAGCAGUAAUUCCUUUCAGUCUUGCAAGUUGCGAAGUGGGGCCUCCUAGUAUUAGAUUUGUUGUUCCAGCACAUCCCACAAAUGCUCAAUUAGAUUGAGAUCUGGGGAAUUUAGAGGUCAAGGCAAAACAUUGAACUCUUUGUCAUGUUCCUCAAACCAUUCCUGAAUACCUUUUGCAGUGUGGCAAGGUUCUUUAUCCUGCUGAAAGAGGCUACUGCUAGAAGAAAAUUGCCCAGAGCAUACCACUGCUUCCACUGGCCUUCCUUGUUCGCAUAGUGUAUUCUGCUGUCAUCUUUUUCCCAGGUAAAUAACAUACACCCUGUCAUCCACCUGAUCUAAAAGGAAAGAAAUUACCACUCUACCCAACCCCAGACCCUUUCUAGAUACCCACUUCCUGUUUAACCACUCACUGCGAGACACAUAAAUACCUUAGAAUAAGGUACACAAAGCUACCGGGCCUACCCUUUUUACUCAAAGGUCCGCUUUUACACUUCCGAUAGUGUAUUGCAGAUAUACCAAAAACUUGUUACACAGUGUUAUUCCUUACCUACCCACUUGUAUUAUUGUUGCAUGUUAUCUGUGUUCUCAGAAUACGACUUGGAGCACCAAGAACUCACACCCCAGGGUGACGCUUUACCUGUUCGACUCUGAAUCUGAACAACACAGCGACCAGACAAAUAGACCCGGACCUGACCCAGAUAGGUGACAUAUUCAACUCAUACGGACUGAACCUAAGACCUAAAGUGUGGUAAAGUAGAUAAGACAUCCCAGACCUACAGUGAAACAGCACAACAAUACCCACACAUAAUAUAAUUGGAAAAACCAAUAGGAUUAGAGAUAGGAGACACUCACAUUAGUCAUCUUUUCUACUAUAACUAAUUAGAUAGUCCCAACCUCUUUAAGUUAAUGUGCUCCAACUUCCCAAGAAUAACAUCUUACAUAACCAUUCAUACACAAAACGCAAGAGGUUUAAACAUCCCUGAAAAAAGAUCGAUAGCCCUAGCAGACUUCCGAAUACAUAAAGCACAGAUUGUCUUUAUACAAAACACACUUUCGAAAAAAAUUCUCCCCUCAAACUACAAAACAAAGAUUAUCCACUAGGCUACUUUAGCCACUACACUGAGGCUAAGGCUAGGGGGGUGGCGAUACUUAUUGCAUUACACACACAAUUCACAUUUCAAGAACAACAGGUAGAUGUUUUGGGUAGAUUCAUCUUCGUAAAAGGAAAAAUAGACAACACCCCGAUCACCUUAGCGAAUGUCUACCUACCAAACAAGAAACAAAACCAAACUCUUAAAAAAAUCCUACAUAAGCUUUCGAUCUUCCAAGAGGGGAUUCUCUUUAUAGAGGAUGACCUCAAUAGCACACUUGAUGGAAAUCUAGACACCACAUCCUCCUCACAAGAGUACUAAUCACAAACUUGUACACAAAUCAAAAACACCCUAUACGAAGCCCAACUGUACAACGGUUGGAGAGCCACACACCCCACGAAAAAAGAUUACUCCUUUUAUUCCACCUCCACCUGCACAUAUUCACAUAUCAACACCAUUUUACUGCAGCACAGAUUUCUAUCCCUGAUAAACUCGGCAGGGUAUGGUCCGAUCACUUGGUCGUAUCAUGCCCCGCUGACACUGACCCUCUCGUUGCCAACUUUUUUUUAACCCUUCUGCUCGGUGGAAACGUAACAACUUGAUACUAAACAACAGAGAAAUCCUCGGUAGGUUGCGAGAGACAGCAACUAAUUACUUUAAAGAAAACCAUCCACAGAAGAGAUUUUAGAGUCCCUGAAACCAAGGGUUAAACACACUCUCCCACCCAAUGAGACGGCAUUUCUUGAUGGUCCUAUUACGUUAGAAGAAUUCCACAGUACUGUUAAAUCCCUCCCGCUGGGGAAAAGCCCGGGACCUGACGGGUACACAGGGAGGUAUUACAAAGAGAUGUUGCAAAUCCUUGCCCAACCGUUUAUAGAUGCAUACAACUCACAAAAUAUCUUAUCUCUCAUACCCUAAUCGGCCCUAGAAGCUACAAUCACAAUUAUCCCAAAACCAGGAAAGGACACUACCGAAUGCGGUAGUUAUAGGCCAAUCUCUCUCAUAAAUAUAGAUGUGAAAAUCCUAACUAAAAUAAUUGCCACUAGACUUAAAUCAUUUAUGCCUAGACUUAUCCAUCAAGACCAAGCGGGCUUUGUUUUGGGCAGAGAAGCCAAAAAUAACACUACCAAAAUUAUCAAUCUUUUCCAUUGGGCCCACACGCACAAGAUUCACAGCACCCUAUUGGCCAUUGACGCUGAAAAAGCAUUCGAUAGAGUUAAUUGGACACUCCUAAAACACAUAAUGCAAUACCUGGGCUUUGGCCUGAGGUGGCAAGAAUGGCUGAACGCGAUUUACUUGAAACCCACAGCCAGAUUGCGAAUUAAUGGUCAAUUAUCCCAUCCAGUAACUAUCUCAAAUGGUACGAGACAGGGUUGUCCCCUUUUGCCACUCCUCUUUAUAUUAGUCUUGGAACCUUUCCUCCAGGGAAUUAGAGAUAAUAAACUCAUACAAGGACUAAAAAUCAACAAACAGGAAUAUAUGAUCACGGCCUUUGCUUAUAACCUCCUCUUUAGUGUAUCAAUCCCACUUACAACUAUUCCCUCCAUCUUAUUGGAAAUGGAGGCUUAUAGCAAAAUCUCCUACUUCCAAGCUAAUCUAACUAAGUGUGACCUCCUGCCAAUUUAUACUACAAACACUCUUGAAACUCAACUUCGAACCGGCUUUAACUUCAACUGGGCUACCAAGUAGAUCAAAUAUUUAGGGAUUCACAUCCCAACUAAACUAGCCUCCAUCUUUCCCCCGCUGGUGGAAUCCAUCACCAGAGACCUCCACAUAUGGCAUAAUCCAUGUUUUGGUUGGCUAUGCCAGAUUAACAUAAUAAAAAUGAACAUCCUACCCCGCAUAUUAUAUCUUCUGCAGACAAUCCCAGUCAAGAUCCCAAUUAAAUUCUUCAACACGAUUAGAUCAUUACUCACGAAAUACGUAUGAGCCCACACACCUUCCCGCCUAGCUUACCCAACACUGACUAAACACAAGGAGCAAAAGGGAUUAAAUCUACUGGAUAUAGACAUGUACCACAAAGCAAAACACCUGCAAAGAAUUUAUGAAUGGACAAAAACCACAGACACACAAUAGUGUGUAAACCUGGAAAACACCUUCAUAGAAUCUUCACUAAGCACAUACCCCUGGCUCCAACAGUGCAUCCAAUACACACGACAUACCGGCAACCACCCAACAAUCAACACAACACUGAAUAUCUGGUACAAACUGAGGGAAAAGACAAAUAUAUCGCCAUUUCCAUCCCCACUUUACCCCCUCUCACAUAAUCCAUACUUCCACCAAGGAACUACAGGGAAAAUAUACGGCAUACAAUACAAUGGUCCUUCUCUGGAACUGAGAGACGUAAUUAGAGAAGGCAAGAUAAAAAACUUGCCCGAACUCACUUCAUCAGACACCCACACAGGGAUCCAACUCUUAUACCACAACCAAAAAAAACACUUUAUUAAAUCCAAGAAACUAAUCCCGAAGGGAGACAGACCUUUAACUAAAUUUUAACUAUUUUGCACCUCACAUCCACUAACAAAAAAUACAUUAUCCACAAUGUACUCUACAAUAAGGAAAACACAAAUGCAACCCCCCACCCCGGGAUACACGAUAAAGUGGUCAGACAAACUGAACAUUAACUAUACUCCACAACAAUGGCACAACAUUUUUAUAGAUGCCCAUAAAUCUUCCACCUCAUUGUACGCACAGGAAUGCAACUUCAAAUGUUUAGCCCGCUGGCACAUUACGCCAGAAAAAAUACACAAGAUAUACAACACAUCAUUAGACCUAUGCUGGAGAUGCAACCACACAAAAGCCCACCAUGCACACAUCUGGUGGCAAUGCCUGACGAUUUCCAAAUACUGGAACAGGAUACACACCAUUACACAAUAAAUUUUUCACAAAACCCUCUCCUGCUCACCCGACAACUACAUUUUUCUUCUAUCCCCCAAGGGGCUCACAAAAACUGAGAUAGCCUUAUUUAAUCAUAUUGCCAUGACAGCCUCCCAGCUGAUACCCAAACACUGGAAACAACCUAAGCCUCCCCAAAUUAGAGAAUGGAUAGCGAGAGUAGAAAACAUUAAACAAAUGGAAGAAAUGACACUCGCAAAACAAGGGAAGUAUGGGAAAUUUGUGAUUACCUGGGAGCCAUGGAACAACUUCACAAAACACAAGUCACACUCACACACACGGUCCAAAGUCCUUUGAAAUCCAUUUCACAGCGGUAACCGUUUAGAUCGAAAUUCCACCUCGUAGGGGAUGGAACAUAUAAGAGACGAGUUUGUUGACAGAUAAAAUUACCUGACUUCUAGAGAACCGAACCGCCUAUACACCUUCCCCAGCUUCAACCGUCAUCACCUAAAUUCCAUACACAUGAGUCUUGGUCCUCCAAACAGUUACUGUAACAACUGUCCUUGGUUAUGUCAAUUUACCUCACCUGUUGUGAAAUUUUCACAUGUUACAUUUAUAACUGAAACUAUUUUAUUGUUUAUAAACAACCAUGUAAAAAUAUAACAAAGCUGAAAGCAACAAUUUCACUUGCCACUAAGUUUACUAUGUUAAAUAAUCUGCAUAGCGCUAUCUUCUCAUUCCAAGAUGUACCAACGCAACUGUUAUAUUGUAUUGUAUAAGACUGCAAAAUACCUACGCUGUACUCUUGCAUUACCAAUGCUGUAAACACACAUAGGAAAACUAAUAAAAAAUUUAAAUUUAAAAAAAAAAAAAAAUCACCACUCAAUUACCCACAAGACUUGCCAUUUUGGACAUGCUCUGAUCCUGUAAUUUAGCCAUCACUGUUUGACCUUUGUCAAAAUCACUCAAAUUUUUUCUCUUGCCUGUUUUUCCUGCUCCAAUACUGGAAAUUUAACAACUGACUGUUCACUUGCUGCCUAAUUUAUCUCACCAGUUGACAGGUGCCAUCGUAGCGAUAUAAUCAAUGUUUUUUACUUCACUUGAUAGUGGUUUUAAUGUUGUGGCUGAUCAGUAUAUUGGUACAGAGGUUUCAAUUUUUUUAUAAUUACAUUUUCAUUCAUAAAUUGGAGUACAAAACACAAAAAUACAUUUGCAUUUUUAAAAUCAGCUUUUGUAUUCAUAUCCAAUAUUAUUGGGGGUUACUGCUUUAGUUUUAGACAAAGAUUAAGGGAAAAAACAAGCUAUAUAUAUAUAUAUAUAUAUAUAUAUAUAUAUAUAUAUAUAUAUUUAUUUAUUUAUUUUUAAGCUCUUCAUUUGAAGCUGAUAAUUUAGCAGACCAAAUUUGGGAAAAUAUGAAUUGACCAGUUUGACUGAUAUUCCUAACUUUUACUUUCAGUUGCAGUAUUGAAAAAACAAGAAACAUGUAAAUGCAAGACCUGCACUGGAUUACCCGUUAGCUGACCAAGGCAGCCGCCUAAUGCCCAGGCAAGCCCUCAUUGAGCUAGUAUGGAGAUAAAAACAUCUCCCCGAAUCGCCCUGUGCUCACUCAGUUCAUUAAAGGAGCAUUGUGGUAUGCUCCAAUAUCAGGUACAGACCACUUUAUGGUCUUGUAGUCUCCUUGUAGCUUUUCAAUUACUCAGAGCAUAUGCAUUUACUUUUCAUUAUUUUCUAUUAUGGAAAGAAUUCUAAAAGCACCAUAACAUGCUCAUUGCAUGGUUUAUGACUCAAGGAGAUGUAUAGUUUCACCCCUUAACCCAGAGUCAUUUGAGGACUUCUGCUUUCCUCUGUCUAUGUACUUGCAUGGUAUGUGAUCUCCAGGCUGAAACAUGCUGUAAAGUUUCCACUUACUCUAAAAGACUUCUCAAGUUGGCAUGAGGAAUCGGAGCUGUGCCAAUUUUAAUACGUGUGGUUCAGCCUAUAGCUCCAUUUAUUAAUGCAUAAACCAAUGCCAAUUAAACUAUUAAAUGAGCUGAUUAUGGUCAUUUUGAAAGUAUUAUUGGCUUACACAGCAGUUUAUUUCAUGAGUGGAACUGUUGCAGAAUGAUGGACUAUACAGCCUAGAAAAAUUUGCUUAGCGUUCCUAUUUAAGAAAGCCCUCGGGCUUUGAAGCAAAUGCAGGAACUUCAUGAGUGAAUAUCUUUUUAUUUUUACGUGUGUGAUAUUGCAGGUAUCUUUAUUUAGUGAGAGAUAUAAUAUAUUAAAACCAGAUUAUAAAGACAACACCCGUUGCUCAUGUAUCUAUCGAUAAAGGAUACAUUAGAAACUCUGUUCUUCUUAGGACAGCUGGAAUGGAUCAUUAUUAGUGACCAUGGAGAGAUAACAUCUACAAGCUCUCAUGUACUUUCUUUUCCACUUUUUAAUUUUCACAAACAGAAUAUUUUGUCUCUUUCUUGUCCUUCCAAUCCAAUGACAUAAAGUGAUGGUGUAUGAUGUCAUUUUGUAGCACUUGCAAUUAAUUAAUGUGGCAAAUAAGGCUUACAAUGAAGCUGAACAAUUGAUACUGGUGUACCAAAGGCAGAUAUAUUAUCAGAUAUCAAAUGUGUUUGAAUGGUUAAGAAGAUUUUAAAUUGUUGGGUAAUAGCCUCUUGAUCCACAGAUAAAUCUAAUUGCCAUUCUGGGGUCAAGAAGUAAUUUUUUCCUAGUUUGUUGCAAAAUUGUGAGUGCUUCAAACUUGAUUUUUUUUUUUGCCCUCUUUUAGAUCAACAGUAAAAAACAGACGUGAGAAAGGCUCAACUUGAUGGACACAUGUCUGUUUUCAGCCUAUGUAUCUAUGUAAGAGAGAUUCCAUAUUACAUCCAUACAGUUGUUAAUGCAUUAUCGAGGGAAACAUGGCAAAUGGUUUAUCAGUUUAGCAAAACUCAAUAUUGAGAUAAUUUGACAUUUCUCAUGUAUUUUUAUGCAGAAAAAAGCUAAUAAUUAAUAUGUAAAAUUAAAUCAUCCACAUUUAGCAACUGACUCUAUGCCAGAAUGUGAUUAUACACAAUCAACAUUUGUUAGCUAUAGAAAUAAUCAGCAUUCCACUGUGUUAUAGUUGCAACAAAAAAAAAAAAUACAUAUAGAUUUCAUUAGUAACGUGGAAUGCAAAAAUCAAUUAUUUUCUAUUUUUAUUUUAUUAAUAUUGCUUUAUUAGGCUGCUGGAAUAUAUGUUGAUUUGUUGAUAGAGACAGUAAACUGAAAUAACUGAUGAUUUAAAGAAGCACAAGUAACAUAUUUUGAUUAGUUUUAUUUAUUUGUAACUCAACUGUUAAAUAAAUUGUCAGUGCACUUCAAUUUAGUCCAAUGACUUUUUUUUAGUAGAAAGUAUUGUGAAAUGCCAAGUGUUAGGGAAUUCCUUCCUUUUUUAAGGUAAAGGUUAUUCUUUCAAAAUUAUGUUAGCCCAAUACAAAAUGUAUUAAAAUAUACUAUGAUUAUCUAUCGCGUUAAUAGUAGAUGGGUUUUGAGAGAGACCAAUGAUCCCCUUAAGCAGUAUUUCAACAUCUGACUGUUAAAUUGCAGCUAAAUAAAGGACUGAUGGAUAUAAAGUAGUAUGAACAAAGGCUGUGGGUGACUAGGCUUUCAUGCUAUAAUUUUCUAAGAUUCUAGAUAGCAUGUUAUGUCAUAUAUUGUCAAAGGAAUCCUGAGGAAUAAACUACAUAAAAAAAAAAAAAAAAGAAAUGUAGGCAGUCAAAUGUAUUCCAGAAAUGCCCAUUCUUGGCCUACAGCUAUUUGUUUUACUAUGUUUGUAGAAAAUAUUUGCCAGCUAAUGGGUGCAAAGGAAUAUGAGAAAUGUCAAAUAAUGUCCAACAAGGGUUUAAGUAUCAUGUUGAACAAUCAUGAUUUCGAUCAACAUUUUGUCGACAUGCUUAUGACAGGUUCAAUUUAGCAUGAUCUUAUGUCAUACAUAUCCAGACAUAUUUAGUGUUAAGGCUGUUGAAGUAACAUCCAUGAGUCCUAUUUCAUGCUUCUAUUUUUACUCAUUCUGACAAACUCUGGAGUGACCAUAGCUUGUCUUUGUUAUUUACAUCAACACAUUUUAUAAUUAACAUUAUGGUAAAAAAAAGUACUUGGGGGUAUAUGGAUUAUGGUGAUAUAUUUCCAUGGUUCCUCACAGAUGGAAGUGGCAUAGCUUUAAUUCCUAACCCAUAAAAAGAGAAGAGAGUCUCGGUGCACAAAGACUAUCCCAAGCAGGCUUUAUUGAAAAUAAAAAGACAACGCUUCGACUCAACAAGUGAGUCUUUAGCAAGCCAUUAAGCAUUUCUCAAUGUACACUUACUUCUAUAAUACAAAAUAAAUUACCCACUGCAUUGCUCCCAUAUCCAGAAUGUUGUAAUGGAUGGUAGCAAUCACAUUAGAUGCAUUCAAAACAUCUAGCGUCAUUUCAAUUCCGACUUACUCUUCAUCUUUCCAGCCUUGUGCAUAAGAGCUUUUCUGGGGAGCACACACCCUACUUGACUAAAAUCCUCUCCCCAGCUGCUCCCACCUCCUACAACCUCUGAUCCCAAACCAGCAUGAUAUUUAGCAUACCACAAUGCAAAAAUAAAGUGGCUCGAUCCUCCUUUUCCUACAGAGCACCACAAUUAUGGAAUAACCUCAGGAACACAGUCAAAUCUUCAUUCAAUCUAAAAUAUUGUAAAAGAUAUAUGGCAACAUAGCUCAAUAUAGUAAGUACCUGUCAUGGUUGACUAUAUUUAUUACCUGUUAUGUGUUAAAUUUAUAUAUGUGUUUAUGUAUAUAUAUUGUUUGCAUAUUGUAUUUUUUUUGUACAUUGUAUUCUAUUGUAACAAUGCAAUGUUUUGUGGACCCAGGACAUACUUGAAAACAAGAGAAAUCUCAAUGUAUCCUUCCUUGUAAAAUAUUUUAUAAAUAAAUAAAUAUUAAAGAUGUUUAUAUAUACAUGCAAAGACAUGUGUGGAUAUUAUAGAGGUUUACAUUGAAUUAUGGUAGAUGUUUGGAAAACAUCUGAAAUCAUUUCCACUAUAUACUACAGCAUUCUGGAUGUGGAAGUUGUGAGUAUUUGUCAUUUAUUUUUGCAAUAUAUUUUUAUAUAAUUGUAUGGUGAGUAAUCUUUUAUGGCUUGUUGAGUUGAAAUGUUGCCAUUUUGUUUUCAGUAAAGUCUGUUUUGAAUGAUCCUUGUGUAUCUGGACUUCUUUCAAUAUUUAUGAUAAAUAACAUUAUGGGCUGAACUCUCCUAGCAGAGUAACGGUUUACCCUGCUUGCCAGAUAACAAUGUUUCCAUUUACUUCAAUGCAGGAAUUGCUGUUCAGUUAGCAUCGUAAAACCUAACUCUGUUUAGAGAAUACAGCCCUACAUGUAAGACUUAUUGCAUUGUGAUAAUAGAGGUAGAUAGUGAUAUAGACAGAUAAGAACUCAUUUCCUGUUCAAGUCUGUUUUUGCACUAAAACCUUGUUAUUUGUUCUUUGGAAUGGUCUUAGAAAUGAUAGACAUAUCUAUACUGAUACCCUAGAUACCCUGUGAGCUGCAUUUGAUGAUGUGCAGUGUCCUCAUGGACAUCAAAUGUCACAAACUGAUCAUACUCGGUGUUUGCAGUGGGAACACUUCAAGUAGCAGUCAGGAAAAUAGCCACUAAAUGCAUGUUUAACCCUGCAAUGAAAACAUUGUUUUUCCUUGCAGAUCUAAAAUGGCAGAACACUGCACCAUUGAGAUGAAGUAGUCUGGGUGCCGUUAGUGGUCCUUAAAUUAACUUUCACAUUUAACAUGGGAUGCAAAUCCAAGCACAUCCUAUUUAGUUUAGGAACAUGUAGCUUAUUUACAUGUCCUGUUGUGUAUAUUCAAGAUUUUUAUAUUAAAAAAAAUGCCAGAGUUUAAAAUGUGCCAAUGGAAUAAUUGUGCCAAUUAAUUAAAUAACGUUGUUUUCAAAAUUAUGUUCCAAAGCACCAGGAGCGUUUUCUUUAAUUUAAAAGUAUAUUUUCUGUUGCAGAAGUGCUUGAGGUACUGGCUUAUUCCUUUUUAAGUGUCAUACCUGUUGAAAGAAUUGAUCUCCUUUUUGGAAUGGUUUUGAGCCCCUGCUGUACAAAAUAAUGAACUCCUAGCUUUUCUAAAGCAAAAAUGAGUGAGAUAAAGGUAUCACAAGAUGUAAUUGAUGGUCUCUCUUCAUUGCGCAGUUAAAAAAGAAGUGGUUGAGUACGGGUUUAAAGGAGCAGCAAAGCUAUGUUUUUAUCCAUGGGAUCAGUGAAUCUAAUCAUUAUUUACUUCACUACUCUAGACUUUGAGUUUUGAGCAGUUUUUCACAUUAAACCACUUUCUGUGUUCCAAGCACUCAUGCAAAACUCUCAUUGAAAAGCUUGCAUGAGAGUCCAUCAUUAAAGAGCAAGCACUGUGAGUUACUUCACCUCCAUCCCAUAGUCAUAAUCAUUGCAUUAUUCACAUAGAAAGCUUUAGUGUACAUUAAAUGCUACUCACGGUUGGAACUGGACAAUGGGGUCAACAGGUCCUCUACGUGGAAGAUAUAUAUAAAUAUAUAAAUAUAUAAAUAUAUAUAUAAUUUAUUAUACAUAUGGUAGGACUCAGAGCCCUGAAUUUCAAAUAUACCCGUAUAUAUACACAAACCUAAUGCUCCAUCACAUCUAAUGCACACCUCAAUUUUAGAAAUCUGGAAGCUGAAAAAUGUUUUUGCUAACGAAUGUAAUGCGCAUAGAUACUACUAUACAACAUUGUGCAAGAAUGAAAAUGUUUAUUAACCAUAUACCAUAGUAACAUUGAUGGUAUUUCAAUUUUUAGUGUUAAGUAGAUUCUUUCUUUUGCCCUCUUUUCAGGAACAAAAUUUGCCUGUGUGAAUUUGCCCGGAAUGAAAUUCGCCUGUGUGAAUUCACCAGUUUGGAUUCACCAGUUUUAAUUCACCCGUGUGAAUUUGCCAGAAAAUGUUGAAUUUUGCCCCGAAUGUAAUGCGUCAUCGAAUCUAAUGCACAUUAACAUUUUGGAAACUUUAUUUUCCAAAAAAGUUGCGCAUUAGAUUUGAAUAAAUACAGCAUAUAUUAAUGUGUGUAUAUUAAAGACAUUCAGAUAUAUAUAUUAAAUUCAGUUUUCAGCAAAUAAAUCAUAGUGUUCGAAGAUUAUGUUAAAAUUAUUCACUUUGAUUCUCCUCGUGCUACAAGAUCAAAAGUUAUCACACUCUGCAUCACUACAGUACAAAUUCUUAAAAGUACUCAUCUUAUGUCACUUACAGAUGUCUGUCGCGAUCAGGUCUGUCUGUCUGACUGCCAUAGACAUGAUCUGUAAACAACUUGACUGAAUACGUCUGGUGAUUUCUAUUGGAGUGGUGGCAAGUGUGAUAACAUUGGGUUCUAUAGUCCUACAAGUUUAAUGAAAGUGUGUGAUUUUAACAUAUUCUUCAGACACUUUGCUUUAUUUACCAAACAUUCCAUUUCCAACACACUCAUAAUGAUAUGUUCAGCAUUAUACUGUGGCAGACACCCAGCCAAUCCAAGAGAUGUAGAUUUAUUUUUAAGAAAGGGAAACAAACAGCAAAUAUAUAACAUUUUAAUGUAAAAUACAUAUAGCUGUGAAAAUGUUGUACAAUUGUACAAUAUCUUGUAAAAUUGUUUUGAUUUAUGGCUACGUGAUUAAAAAUAAUUUUGCUUCACUAUCACUUUAAUUGUGUUAUGUGGCCGCAUAUCAUGAUAGAAAGUGAUGUAAUUAUCAAGCAAUACAUCUAAUGAUUCAUCGUACACAGUGCUUUAAAACAGCUACCGUUUGCUUUUGACCUUAAGUGUUCCACUUAUUUCCUAGAUAAUUGAAUGUUCUGCUUGUAUUUUUCCUUUGGCAAAAAAUCUCAGAUUCAUGCCCAUUAUAAUGUUCUCCCGUGAAAACAGAUAAUAUAUUCUCCUUACUUCAAACUAAAAAAAAUACAGCAUUUCAUAUUGAUUUCAGGUAUGUUUACAUUUAAAAAGAUGUGCAUAUGUUUUUAAUAAAAUCCAUUGAGAUAAUAUAUAUAAGCUUAUGCAAAUGCAAUUUUGAAUACACAUAUCUGGAUGUAAACCUAAGGAAGAAAAUUGUGCUGCUAGUGUAAUUUAAUUAUUAGGUUUUCUAUUGAUUUAAAAUCUUUAGAUUGUUGUGAAUAACAAAAGGAUUAUAUAAAUUUACAAUUACAAACUCUGUAUGUUAGGCUAUGUUAUUUCCAUGCCCAUAGAUCCAGAGUUCAGAAACCUCUAGAGAACGCUUGUGGCAAAUCCGGAGAUGAAAACCCAUAUUCCUCUUCUACUAUCAAGGAAAUUCACCAAAAAAGAAAAAUAAGAUUUUUUUUUAAUGUACAUUUAUAUUGUACAUUGAUAGUAUGAUUGGUACAACUGUACAUCUUAAUAUAGGUCAUUAUAUAUCAUGACAACAUGAAGAAUAAAUGCACUGUGUGCUUUUUUAUUAUUUAUUUUUUGUAAUAUUUUUAGCUUGACCUUAAACAUAAAACCAGAAAUGAAGUUGGAAUGAAUUCUGUAGCUGACUAUCUGUCUGUAACUGUUACUAUAGAGAACAGGUCUGGUCGGUCAUUUUCAUCUCUGUUAUCUCCACAGAUACACAUUUAGGAAAAUGUUACAGUAUCAAAUUGCAGAAGGUUUUAAUAAACUGCAUUAGAAAUGAUGAAUAUAUCUGAUUAUAGGAUGUUGACUUUGUGUAACUUCCCGAAAAAUAAAACUAUAGCUGAAUAUUUUCAUUAUUUUUCAUCAGUUAUUGAAACAUUUUCUCAGAGAUGAAAUGGAUUACAGCAAUAAUUAAUCUGUCUUGAUGGAAGAUAAAGAAGAGUCUUCAUACAUCAUUAUAUGGCCACAAAUGUCUUUUCCAUCAAUGACCUGGCCAACACUGCUCUGUUUUCGGAUGCAGUUGAAGUGCAAUAUGCGAAUUGGUGCUGGUUAGGUAUAUUAUUAUUUCAUGGAUGCCGGCAGGUACCUCUUUGGGUGAGUCAACUAGCUUUGGCCCCAGAUCUCAAACCUGUAUGCGUGUUAACAGAAGAGGUGUGAACAUGUUUCAACUUUGAAGUCAGGCAAGGUUCAUUUUCCAAGUAUACAUUUUGGUCGUUACUCCUGCCACAGGCAGUCAGUGAUUCCUGUUGAUUCCUUCCAAAACCCCAUCAUACCUUCCAUAAAACCUCAUAUGACUGUGUCUUCAAUGUGGAUGAUUGUUGAUAACUGAACAAUGUGAUUUUAUAACUAGUUAUUUAAAAAAUGUCUUAUAUAAUGAAUGUCCCACUGAAGAAAUGAUAGCAGGGCUGCAUGGGGCUUCCGAAACUAAAUAAGCAGGACAUUCAUGCUAGCAUAAAGUCUAUGGAAACCAGAUUGUCAGUAUUGCGAAGAUUAACAUUUAGCACCUAAUUGGUUAAACUAACAUAAACACAUAAGAGUCAGACUAAGCACCAACACUCUGGGCACAGAACCAGACAUAUAGUGUUUUGGGGGCAUAUAUAAUGCUACUGAAGUAUUAAGGCUCAAUUCUCUGCUAUAUCAAACCACUUUAUUUCUAAAACCCUUGCCAAUCCUCUACUGGCGGUGACUCACUCAGCCUCCAAACACAGUACCUGAAAAAACAUGUUCAUUUGGAACAUACAUGUAGAGUGUGUAAGCUUUAGAAUUUCUUAAAUACUUCUAUGCUAAUUACAUGUAGUACAAAUGGAGCCUCCUGUAUGAGAUCAAAUAAAAUUAUAUUUAAAAAAAUCAAAAGAUCACAUGGAUAAACAAGAAUUGUUUUUGAAUUGUGUGCACUAGCAAAGAAGCUGACUUUGGACAUAAUUUCCAACAAGUGGUUCUGCACACACUAGGCAGAAGAAUAUUUCAAUAGUGCGUCACAGACUUUGAUGUCUACAGUACAUACCCCAUGCAUGUAGUAUAUGGAAUUGAAAUAUGUCUGGGCACUCAAAGGGUUAAAUACAAAGGCCGCUUUUUAUUGAAACAGAGGCAACCUGUAGGCCCAAGUCAGAGCCUUUCUCAGUCCUCUGACUGAUUCCAAAAUGUUGCCUCUGUUUUAUUAAAAAUCUGCCUUUGGACUUAUCCCAUUGAGUGCCCGGACAGCUUUUAAUUCUAUACACUAUAUUCCAGCAUAAUGUGAUUUUAUGAAAUAUCUAGUAUUUUAUUAUUUAAUAUUACUGUUAUUUUUUUUAAUUUGUAUUUUCAUCUCUGUAUUUUUAUAGCUUUCAAAUAUCCUUAUUAUGUACAAAAUGCUUCUCUAUGAAAAUGUAUGACUGAAACACUGCCUAGUACAAUCAAGAGGUGGGUUUGGAUUUCAGGGACUGAGAAAAAUUAUUUUGAAUAACAAACAAAUGCACGAUUUUUAUUUUGACUGUCUUAUUCGAGCGAAUUCAAAUAUGCAUUUUAAACCCAGACUUUUACUUUGAGAAUUAAUGCUGGUAUUAAAUCAGGUUGAGGUGUGGAUGUACAGGGAAAACCACUGAAAGGAGAGCACCAAUAAAAGUGCGAGCUGCAGAGAUUUAAUGAGCUACACUUGUAAAAUUAUGUUUUUCUCAAUCUUUUAGAUUGCAAAUAUUCCAAUUAAAGAGGUAGGAAUUGUUUAUGGGAAAAAUGCUUGAUCAAAAGUAAACAGGUUUGUUACACUUCAAAUCAUUAAACAUUCCUGAAACUUUGUCUGAGAGAAAGUUAGAGAGAUUUGUUCAACUUACAAAAGCAUAAGACAUUUUCAACAUUCAUUUUGUUUUAUUAUUUUGUUACGGCUCAUGUUGAUUUGCAAAAUAACUUAAGUCUGACAAAAUGAGGAAAGACUGCAGUAUUAUUUUGGCAUGUUCUACUUUUCAAAACGAACCUAUCCAAGCAGUUCAUAUUAAUAUUUAGAUGUUGCCAAGCCUUGGAGUACAAAAAUAAAUUCACUACAAGUAAUUAAAGUAGAUGUAAGAUUGGAAAGGUCAUUAGUGUUGGCAAAUGAAGAGAUUUAUGGAGCUCAAGUUACCACCUGUUCCUCCUUUUGGGGACUGUAAAAUAAAUAGCUGCUUAGCCGCCCUUAGAUGAAUCUCCUUACAAAGAGAGUCCCCUUAAUGCUCAUGUAAAUUCUUUUGUUUAAAAUACUGGAACAUUGAAAUUAAUCACCAGUUUUGCUAAUGAUAUUUCCCUGAAUAGAUUUUCUAGCACAAGAAAUGCAGACCUGAGUCGCUAUAUUAAUUCCUCAAGCCAAUUGUAAUAAUGUUAAUCAAAGAUGUUCAAAUCUGAUCAAAUCCUCAUACAUACCAGUUGAUCCUUUUAAAGUUGAACGAAAGCUUUUUAUGUCUAAUUAAGGCCUUACAUUGACUAAACGGACUCUCAUAUUACUUUUAUUGGUCUUCUAAUAUCCCCAUGGAGUUAUCUAGAUGUGUCUACCAUCAGAAAGCAGAGAAAAUAUGACACAUAUUUCUUAUUCAGUCAAUAUCUAGUUGUGUGCAGUUUGAAAUAAUGACUUGAUUCCUAGUAUCUAUUUUACCUUUAAAUAAGGUCUUCUCACUCGGCAUACAUUUGAGCUGUUCUGAGAAAACGACCAUACAUUUUAAUAUUAUUUGGAAUGAUUUUCCAAUUCUUAUUAUAAUGAACAAGCUGGAAAUAGAGUCCUUUGUGUAUUUACUUACAAACUGCAGAUGUCCAUAGUCACGACACUUAGACAUUCCUUUUUUUGUUCAGAUUCCAUCCAGGACACUCUAUUAACCAGUAAGGAUCCAGCAACAUCUACGUCUAUAGUCUUUUUUUACUCUGUGUAAAAAGUGCAUACAAAUAUAAAUAAAAGCACUAUCUCUGAUCAACUGUACUAGGAAAAAAUGAUGUUGAUAAAUUGUGCACAUGCCCCUAUUACUCUACAUGAAAAUAAAUAGGGGGUCUAAAAUGAUCCCUCUGUUACCUUACAACACAAGUAGAGUUGAGAAUCUUGAUAAUACCAUGCAAUGCAAAGAGAGGUUAAUCAUUAAAUGUGGGGGUCCUUUAUUGUUCUAAUAAAUAAUACAGAGGCUUAAUCUACCACUUUAUACUUACUCAAAGGAUUGUGGUAUUAAUAAAGAGUUACUAAUAAAAUGAGGAGGUCCCCAAGAGAUUCUACUAACAGAAAGCCAUCGCAUGUUUCUAAUUAUUUUUAACCUGGGUUUGUUAUGUUUUUAACACAUAUACUGAAUGUUGGGUAUACAGACAGUUAGCGCAUUUGUUCCCAACAUUUACUUGACAAAGGCACACUUUAAAAAGCCCAAGGUGUAUCUACUUAUUUUUAACUGGAACAAUAUUUAUAAACAUAAUAUUUACUAUAUUCACAGUCUCACUGAGAUAUGGAAUAUACACACUGAAUGACUAUUCACUAAACUCAAAAGCCUAAUGAAUCAGAUAUACUUUAUUUAGCACAUAAAACCCAUGUUCUGCAGAACUAUUGAAAACCUUUGAUCUCGCCUAUUUAUUUUUGUAUUUAUUCAUUUAUUUGUUUAGUUGUUUAUUUGUGAGGUAGCUUAUGAGUUAAUACCUGACAAGUUCACCACCAGUUUGGAAAUAGUGCAGGGGGAACAAUUCCGUUCAAAAUAAGCUAAGCAUAAUUAUUAUUAUUUUUUUUUAGUUUAACUGAUACAAAAUAUGCGUUAAAUCACUGGACGUACGUUUAAUAAAAUCUUUAUACAUGCUUUCCAAGGUGAAAGAAAGUAUGGUAGCCAGAUAAAUGCAUCCUGAACUUGAUGAUGGAUGAACUCUGGAUUCAGAUUUAUAGUACUAAGGCUCGCAUUUAUAUUUUACGUAAGGGAUUUUCAAUGUUAAGGGCAAGGUUUAGUUAUAUUAAGCAGUAAAAUGACGAUGGCUUGAAAAAGGCAAACUGUGAGAACAGAUUUCCCCUUUCUGUGAUUGUAACUAGAGCUGUGCACAGGGCUGGCUCAAGACAUUGUGCUGCCUGGAUCCAAAGAUGAAAUGCUGCCAAACUGCCCCGCACCAAAAGCCUGGCAACAUCCCUUAUGUUAUGCAGUGUGUGUAGUGACUGCAAUGUCUGUUUGUGUAGUGGAUGCAUUUUGUGUGUAUAAUGUAUGCAGUGUAUGUAAUGAAUGCUUUAUGCAUGUGUGUGUGUAGUGGAUGCAGUGUAAGUGUGUCCUGGAUGCUGUAUGUUUUUGUGUUGUGGAUGUAGUGUGUAUUGUAUGCAGUGUGUGUGUGUUGAGUACAUUGUGUGUGUGGAAGUGGAUGCAGUGUCUGUGUUUUUGUAGUGUAUGCAGAAGGCUUUUGUAGUGUAUGCAGAAGGAGUGGGGGGGCAGGGUGUGGAGAGGGCAGGGUGUUGGGGACAGGGUUUAAGGGUGCAUGCUGGGGCCAAGGGGUUUGAGAGAAGGAUGUGCAUUAUCAGGGUGUGGGGGGGGGCAGGCUGUAGAGGGACAGGGUGUGGGGGUGCAUGCUGGGGACAAGGGUUGUGGGAGAAGGCUUUGGGGGUAGCAGAGUGUGGGGGUGCAUACUUGGGGCAGGGUGUAUAGGAAAAGCUGUGGGGCUGUGGGGGACAAGCCUCCCCACCAUCACAUACCUUUUCCCUGGUGGUCCAGAGGGAUCGCUCUCCAGUCCGCAGCUCCGCCGGGUGUGAGCUACAGACCACGUGUUCGAGUUCUCGCUAGCUCCGAUCAGAGUAUUGCCGUGGUAUCCCGCAGCAACACUCUGGGAGCUCGCGAGAUCUCCAUCGCAUAGUCUGCAGCUCACACCUGGUGGUGCUGCAGACUGGUGGCUCUCCCCAGGCAGACUGAGUGGAAGGGCCCCGGCGGCAUACUGGGCAAGCUGCCUGGCCCCCUCCUGGUGUCAGGUCGGGGACAGGUCAGUCUGCCCUGAUGAUUAGAGUGCAUACAUAUAUGAAGCAGAGGUGGCCAGGCCCCUAACAGCCGGGAGAGAGGGAGGGGGCAAAAUGCUGCCCCUGUUAAAGUGCAGCCUGGAGCCAUGACUCCAGUCCAUCCUGUGGACGGGCUGGCCCUGGCUGUGCAUAAUGUUUCUCCUUUUUAACACUCUGCAGUACAUGCCUGAUUAGGCUAGUGCAAGCAAAGACUAAAGAGAGAGUAAAAUGCAUUCACUCUCCACCAAGCAUCAUAAGCACUGCAACCAGGGAUAUAGUGAUAUAGUGAUCCAUUUCCCUGAGUAAUAGAGCAAAGCAUUUAGUAACUGUUUGCCCUUUUACCUGUGUCCCUGUCGGUUCCAAGACUCCUCUCCUCCUCUGUGACAUUCUUCCAGCUUCUGCAGAGCUACAGAAGAAGAAAUCAACACAGUCUUUGCUCAUUGGCUGAGAGCAUCAACUGACUGCUUUCACCUAAUGAAUGGCACAUUAUGUAAAACAAUUAGCACAGAAAAACUCUAGUCAUGGACUUGAUGAUGGCACCCUAUCAUCGCUGCCGGACGUGGACUUACACCUCCGACAGCUGAGGGGUUAAACUCAGUAUAUGCAGCAUUUUCACAGCGAGACACUGCACAUACAAACUCCAGGCACCAUGGCUACUUCAAAAUCACUGUCAUAGGAGUUACAUAAUGUAUAAUUAGUUAAUUUAACACGUAUUUAAUGACUGUUUUGGGCUGAUGUACACAACAAUUCCAAAUUAUUUUUAUAUCCCUUUUUGCUCAUUCAUAAGUUUCUUCUAGUUUACCCACACAAAGCAUAGAUUGUUUGUUUGUAAAGACAUACACAGAAAACAAAUUCCAGAAACUUCACAAACUAUAAUAUAAUACAUUUGUAAUAUUGGUAUUUAUUGUUUGUGAAAUGCGUCCUUUUUUCCCCAUACCGGCCUCUCAUUGCCAUCUCGACACUGAGCCUUUCUAUGUGAGAAGACUUGUAAUGUUCUCUCCUCUAGAGAUGAAACCUUUGCUGCACCAUGGACCGGCAUUGAUGGUAAUAAAGUCAGCUGAGAGUAAAUCUGUCACUUUCAAAACCUGCCCAGUCUCCUGUUUAUGCCUACGGGAAUUUGGCUGAAGACUGGGUAAAAUCUUAUCGCCAGCCUAUGAAGCAGAGCUUUUCGAUCAGUAUCAUGAACUUUAAAUAAACGAUGUCCAAAACUAGAGUAUUUGUGUCAAAGUCAUGUCCAGAAGAGAAAUUCUUCCCAUUUUCAACCAUCUGCUCAAGCAAAGGUGCCAGUGAUGUAUUUUACUGUGUAAUCCCCAGCUGCUGACACUUCUUUUCAUGAGAUUAGCUACUGAACCUUUCAGUUUCCUGAAGCACUGUUUUAUGCCUAAUCAAGACCAGUCCCUAUUACAUGCUGUUUAGGUUUUAAAUAGUGUAACUUAGUGUGCUUAUACUGAUUGCUUUAUUUACAGAAAAUGUGUUUUGUUUAGAGUUUUUUUUUUUAUUGACUUGCAAACAUGUCUAUCAGUUGUUCAUGUACAAUAAUAAAAACAGCAUACAUUAAUGUAAUCUAAAUAGUUCUGCAUGAUCUUAGAAUGAACUGAGUAAUAUUUAAUGGAAGUACCAGUCAGUGGCGUGCAUACUGCGGUCGCAUCUGCGACCGGGCCCGUCACUCCAGGGGGCCCAGCGCCCUGCGGACCCCUGCGACUGGGUAUGCGCCGCUAUCUUUUGUGACCCCGACCUGUGAUGCAAACCACCGGGGCCGCCGUCCAAGGGGUCCUUCGGGUGGCCCAUGCUGUUAGGACAACCUGAUGGAGAUGGAUUGUGAGGGGGCUCUGUCAGCGCUGUGGCGCUUUAACAGCACAACCGGGCCCCCUGUGAUGAGAUCACACGCUGGGAGGAAGUGACUGUACGUCACUCCUCCGAGCCAACACACAGAGCCCGCGCGGGAGGAAGCAGAGGGAGUCAGAGUAGGAACUCUGACUCCCAUCAACCUGAGCCACCACUGGACCCCAGUGUGCACAUGUUUAAUGUUGGCAUUAAAAUGCAUUGCAAUACAUGUGUGUCAGAGAAAAUUAAAAUGACAGCAUACAGCAAUCCUAUACACGCUUCAUUUGAUAUUUCGUUUUUUUAUUUAACAAAAUUUUAUAAAACAUUAAAAGGAAAAGUUUUUCAACAUUUGGUGCUUUUUAUGAAACUUUUGGAUUUCAAAACAGCAUGAGAAUGGAUAGUAAAUAUAUGGAGUAGCUUACCAGUGGAAGAAGUAACAGUUAAAGGAACACUGUAGGCUCUAUAAACAUUCCAUGUCAUUGAGUAAGAUUUAGUUCCUGGAAUUCACUGGCAAUGUCCCUGUUUUUUAACAGUUCAAAUAAGGGUCCCUGGUUGCUCACAGCUUGACACCCACUGAUGGUUUAGCUAAGACAGAAAUAUCUUAUUAAUAAUGUGCCUUUUGUGAUUUUGGCUAGACUUAUCCAAGGUGCUCUGUUACUCAUUGUAAGUUAAACUCUAUUGAAAAUUGAAAUAACAAAUAAUUAAAGAAGCGUUGUUGCUUAGUCUUUAUUAUAACUAUGAAAGGAAGAGAGUUAUGGGAACCCCUUCAUCACUGUUUAAAACAGAUGUGUACAUUGGGGAAAAAAUAAAUAAGUGACCCCAAGUCUUUCUCAAGUACCUUUUAUUAAAAAUAAGUCUAAUAAACUUAUGUUUGUAGCACAUGUGGUAAUAAUAUUUAAAGGGUUAAAGUACAAAACAGAGAAAGCUAUGUGUUUUUUGUUUUUUUCAAAAAUAAAUUAUGCACAAAGUAGAGUGUUUCAUGUUUCCCUAGCAAUUUUCAGAUUUCAGAUUCCCUUAGGUCGAGCAGCAUAUCAACACACCUUCAGUGAACUACAUAUAUAAAAUAUUGCUCAUGGUUAUUAAGCUGGUGCUUGUUGAUUUAGUAUUUAUUAGUCUUAUAGGGAGAUUAUCCAUUAGUGAGCCUUGAGCUUCGAUUGACUUAUCAUUUAUUUUCUUUUUUACAGUCCCCUCUUCCUGUGGUGUGACCACGCUGAGCAGGUUAAAUGCUGUCUUGUGAAGCAUAGAAACUGCACAGCUCAUAUAUUAGGACUGGAUACUGUAUUUCACAUAAUGAAGAAUCCAAUCCACUAGAAUUAUAUUUGAGAUGUUUUAUACUGAUUCCAUUCACAAGUUUAUGUAAAAAAAAAAAUACCCUUAGCUUUCAUCAUUUUUCAAGUACAACCUGAGGUCUGGAUGGGGAGGUAAAAUAAAUAAAUAUUAAACCAUGUAUAGUCUAGAAGAAGAAAACAUAUGUUUAGAUUAAAUAAAAGCUGAGGUAAUAGCAUGUUAUAUUUUCCAAAUUAAAUUAUGUGCUCUACUAAAAACAAAGGAUUUGCCCUGUUCCCAUGAAAUGCUCUUCAUCUAACAUCUCCCAUUUAUAAUGUUAAGACAUUUGGUGUGAUUUCAUUUCAGUAAUAAUUAAUUUAAUAAUAAUAAUAAUAACUACUAUUAUUAUUAUUAUUAUUAUUUUACCUCAAAUGUGACAUAAAAGAAUGAAGCUACUGAAUGAAGAUACUGUGAUUGUGAAAUAUUCUACCAUCACAUUUCAAUGCUUUAAAUAUAUUUGCCAGUAAUUAUCCAGUUUUAGUUAUACUUGAUAAAUAUGCAUGUAGGCUUCUUGAUUUAUAUUAAAAAUGAAAUUGUAAUAUAGUUCUUGACUGGACCCCAGAGAUAUCAUUUAUUUACUCAUAUCAGGGAUAACCAUUUUAUGAACUUUGAAGUUUAAAGACUGAGUAGAACUUAAGGCCCGGUGUUCUCAUAUAUUAUAACUUUAUUUGUCUACUAACUCAUUUUCAUCUUACAAUUGAUCCAACAUGGUCUGAAUAUGGUCUUUUUUUUUAGUAAAACAGACAUUCCCUGCUCAGAUAAAGGUUUCGUGUAAGGUAGUCCACAAGAGGCUCAUUUCAAUAAAACAAUUUUAGUCCUUCAUUUCCAAUUAAGAAAUCCUGAAUAAUUGUUGAUAGGUUAACGCAAUGAUGGUAUACUUAUUUACAAUAUUGUUUUUGUUGUUGCUGUGGCUUGAUGGUUAUCAUGAGUCUAUCCAUUUUGCAUGUGUAAUGCGUAGCAUUUUGAAUAAAAAAGGUCCCACUGUAAACAAUUCCCAUUGUGCUCAUUUAAACGGAGGCAUAUGGUGCUAGACAUAACUGUUUAUUUUCAUAUAAUCACCCAGAUGAAACAACAUAAAAUAUGCUAUUAUAUACUCUUUUUGCGGUCCAUAUAUUCAGUGGAUUUUGAAUGUUGCUAGUGGGUCUCCUAAUUUAUUUUCAAAUAAAUACAGUAACUAUAUCGACUUACAAUAUAUGUGAUAACAUUCAGAAUACUCAUCAACAAAACAUUUUUUUUGUCAUUUGUAAAUCCGUUUCUUUUUGUUGUAUGCACUGAGACCAUUCUAUCUCAUUCUGAGUAAUUGAACGAAUGAAUACAAAUGCUUUCUUAUUCAUUGACUAUGUCUAUUUUUGAAGCUUUAAUAUGAGCUGCUCAUAAUAGAAAAUUGAUAUUUUGAACUUCAGUGAAACUGGAAUAUAGUUCUUGACUGGACCCCAGAGAUCUAAUUUAUUUACUUGCAUAUGCUGAUGAGCAUUUUGCUUAUGAUACAGUAAAAGCAUAAUUUAACAUUUAUACUAAAAUGGGUACUUACAGAAAAUUUCACAAAUGUGAUUGUAUGAAAGAAAGAGUAGAUUAAAUAUCUGGGAUUUUACAAUAGAUCAUACAUAAAUAUAAUCAAACCGUUUUAUAGUACUUAGCUAUUUUGGUCAUUAGCAAAUGACAUUCACUAAAGAUUGUUCAAGUUUAAUAGAUAUCCAUACCACAUGUCCUCUAGAGAAAUCAUGCUCAUUCUCAUCUAAAUCCCUUCUUAAUUUUGCAUCAUUUCUACAGAACCAAACAUAUUGUCCUCAGAGCUUAAUAUUUUGCCUUUGUCAUAAAAUAAGACGACCAUGGUCAUUUAGUAAAAGGCCUUGUAACUGGUGAUAGUUGAAACUUCCUGGCCAAGAUGAAAAAUCUAGCAUUGGUUGCAUCCCACAGUUUCUUAUGUGAAAAUAUUAUAAAAAUGUAAUAUUAUUUUUUUUUGGGGGGGAGGGGGUAUUUGUAUUUCAUUAUUUAUAAUUUGUUUAUUAUUUACUAAAAAAAACACCUUUGCAUAAUUUUGAACAUCUAUGUAUAGUGAUUUGGAUAUUUUUUAAAAAAAACUCCAAUGUAAGUUGCAAAGAUACACAUAUUUUAAAAAGUUUAGGGCUUUAUACAGAAAGUUUUUUUUAAAUAAAAUAUGUACUAUAAUUUGAAUGUCACCUUUUGGAAUGGGAGCUAUCUAUCUAUCUGUCUGUCUGUGAAAUGCCUGUCUGUCUGUCUAUCUAUCUAUCAUUUUUGCCCAACUCUGUCUCCUGGCAUCAUUCAUUUUCUAUGUAUGCCUUUGCCAGCACCUUGUGAUAGUACAGCUCCAAAUUUGUGACCUACCCAUUUAACUUUUUUACACUUAGAAUAUUGAUGAUGUGUCUCUUUCGGAAUUUAAUUUUAUGUAUUAAUGCAUAUAAUUUGAAAAAGUGGAAGCCCUAGAGCAUAUCACAUGGUGUUUUUCAUGAUUCACUUUUGCAGUGCUCAGUACUGUAAAAGCAUGGGGUGCAGCUGUGCAACCGUUGGCACUUUCCCCAAGGCAGUAGCAAGAGAUUAGAGGCAUAGGGUUUUUUUCGUGGACUGUAACUUCAAUCAAUCAAAACCAUCAAGUUUUUCUGGCCAAGACUCAUAUAACAGUGCUAAACAUCUUGCAGGUAGGUAUCCUCAUAAGUCUACCUUUCACUCUCUUCCUUCUAACCCAAAAUUCUCAACAAAAAAAGUCUUCAAUCAUUCCACCCUGGAUCUUUUCAGUCCUCUAAAUCUAACCCUAAAUCCCCCAGUCUGUUCUGCUGACAUUACUUUUCAUAGUGCAACAUACUCUGUAUGUACUCUACACUACGGGGAUACAGGAUGAGAGGUUAUAUCUCAAUGUCUGCCACUUAAUCAUAUCAUCCUAGGCUGUUCAUUCACUGCUAUGUGUGAUCAAGAAAGGGUUGAUUUAAGUAGACAAGACUGAAGUCUUUCCAGACAUCAAAAUCUCCAACUAAUUAUAGGAAUACACCUUUGUGGGAUAUGAACACAUAGUAACGGAUACAGUUGUCAACCAGCUUUUAAAAGUACUACUUGACUGCCUCAAGAAGGAAACUGAGAAUUGUACUUUCUCUGCAAAAACACUCUGUGUCUUGGUGACUUUGGUAACUUUGUUGACAAUAUUUACUUUGUACUAUGCAUCUCUGUUUUUUAUGCAUCUUUAUUCCCUUGUUUCUACUGCAAUAAACAUUGAUUGAAAACAAAAACACACAACUUUCAUUAUAUUAUAGUAAUCAUAGCUCACUGUAAAAAAAUAACAGUUCUCUGCUUGCAUGUAAACUACUCAGCUGAAGAAAAGUGUGAUGUCACACCAGCGAUAUGCCUACAUCAGAAAUAUCAAGUAAUUUUCUUGACAUUUUCCAUAGUGCUUAAUGUUAGUAGGAGUGGAUACAUUGUCUUGUUCAGCUCAUUUGCAAUGUUCACCUAUAAAGGGGACAUUAAUGACUUCAAUCUUCCCUUUCUCUUAUUUUUUCUUCUUCUUUCCUUCUUUCAGAAUCUGUUCUUCUUUUCUUAAUUUUUGAUCUCUUUCUCUUUAAGACAUAAUAUAAAGUAGGGACUACUUUGUCUAAUGUAUUUUCUUACAAUUGACAAUCUUGACAAAGGGUGGAGCUUAAGACAUAAGGCAAGCUCCUCUUCUUUUUUCAAGAUGGUGGAGUUUGCCUUAAGCGCCCCUCUUCGUCAAGUGUAAUACAAUUUAGUCCCUACUUUUUCUUAAGUUUUAAAGAGAAAUAGGUCAGAAAUAAAUAAAAAGAAGAACAGACUGUGAAAGAGGAAGAGAAGAAGAAACAAUAGGGGAAAGGUAAGUUUGAGGUGACACAGCGACUUUUAGGUUUAGUUUUUACAUAUUCUGGAAUGCUUUACAAUUUUAAAAUAUAGAAUAUAAAAUAAUACAUAAUUGACAAACAACUUAAUGUGAGACAUGAGGCAAGACGUGAACAGGUUCCUGCUCAAACAAGUUUUUCAAUCACAUUCGAUAAUUGCAAGCCGUGGCACCCAAGAUGCUUUUGAACUACAUUCCCAUGAUACUCAGCUAAACUGAUAACUUGCUGGGUAUCAUGGGAAAUAAAUUUGUGGUGCUACGCUUAAAUAUCACUGGUCUAGUUGUUGGAGACUAUCAUACAGUAUAAUAGCUUUGCUGAAAAAAAUCUUUAGAUUUCCUAAAAAUACACAAUGUAUUUGGCUGCUCUAACCUUUUACAAAAGUUCAAUAAAUACACAAUAACUGCAGGAAGAAUUAGGAGACAAUUAAACUCUUUUUCCAAAUGCAGGAGAUAUGUUAAAUAUCUAAAUUGACAGGGCAAGUAGCUACAUGAAAAAAAAAAUGAUAUUAAAACCAACUUGUUAGUAAAAUAAUAAUUUGUAAUUUGUAUAGAGGGGUUUAUUUUACGUUAUAGAGUUUGAAUUGCAAACUCUACACUACCAAACUUAACAUACUAAUUAUUCCUUCAAGAUUAGUGGUUUCUCAUUUGUGAUGACUGAUCUAACAUUGCAUAAAAUAAGCAUUGAUUUAUGAUGAUUUUUAGUGCACUGUGUGUGUAUUGUGUUUGCACAUUGAAAUUUUCUUUUUUUCUUAAAGAAACUAGUUUUUGAUUCUUAACAUUGGAGUUUGCUGUCUCUUUUUUCUUGGCUGCGAGGACCAAUUAUUUUAAAUUUCUUCUGUAGAUAGAGCAGCUGAGGAUAUUUUAUUGCACCAUGCCAAACUAUUUUGUGCAUAACAACACAUUUUGCAUUGACAGACCUGUCAAGUCUCACUGAUGUUCAGAAUCUCACUGAGUUUGAGUCAGUGUCACUAUUUUUUUAUCUUCAGCUGCCUCAUACACUUCGGUAAAGUUUCACUGACAGAAAUUGGUACUUUUCCGUUAAAUCUUGUGUUUUGUUUUUUAUCUCAAACACAGCUUGCAAACUUUAUUGAUUUCACUAGUGUAGUUAUACUUGCACUUAAUACAAUAUGUUUUCUUUGCUUUAGAGUAGAUCAAAUUUUGUUCAUAUCAUUCUCAAAGAGAUUCUUUUUAGUUUAUACAUGUUUCCCAAUAGUGUUUAAGAGAAAGAAAAUUCCAAAAAAAGAUCACCUAGGGUGAAACUCAUAGUUCCUAGGAAGUAAUCUAACCGUACUUAAAAACAGUUUAAUCUAAAAAAAAUGGGAUCUUGAGUUAUACAUGCAGCAAGUGGUCAGAUCGCUCAACCUGGGGACGCAAAGCAGCCAGCCUCAUGUAAAGGUUAAAAUCACUGAACUUCAUUCCUAUCUUGUAUUCCCUCGUAGGUAUACAUUGAAAGAGGGGAAGGGAAGGGGGAAAGAUUAUUGCACAUUUUGUAUCUAGCUGACAUUUUAUCAAUGACAAAACUAGAGUGAAAAACUUACAAACAAACACAUUUAAAAACAAAGUAAAUUGAUGGACACGUCUACAAAAACAUCAAAAAAUGAAUAGUAAAUACAUCAUUAAAGAUAAUGGUCAUAUGGCUAGUACAUAGAGUAGUGAUCAGGGAGAUAUGAGACUGGAUAGGCUAGUAAUUAGACUUUGGUUAUUGGGGAAAAAAAAUCAGCAACUAAUGUUCAGACUCCAAUAUGUGAAAAGGCCAAACUUGAUAGGAGAAUUGUUUAUUAUCUAUGGUUAGCAUUUAUAUUUUUUCUUUUCUUUUGUUAUUCCUCCUCUUCUUUUUUUCUUUUUCUUUCUUUUUAUCUUUUAUUUCUCUCUUUAUUUUGGUUUUCUCUGCUGAAACGAUUCACUUUCUAAAACCACAUUACGUAUCUCCUCUGAAUAUUUCAUUUGAAAGAGAAAAAGUCUACAGGGGUUCCUUCGGCUUUUGUAUGUUGAGUAUGAGACGCUAUUAUGUUAGCUUUUUUGAAUAGGAUUAUUACAAAUGUCUUUGAAGUGUAAGUCACUUUUAAAAAGCAACUGAUCUCGCUUAUUUAUAGCCUUCACAGAUAGCUUACCAUAUGAAAGAGGGAAGCAUUAAACUGGAAAGAAAGUUACAUGGUGUGAAAAUAUAUCGACUGUAACCAAAUCACCUGUUACACUUUUGGAUAUUACUAAGAAACAAAAAGAAGGGAUUCAUUAUCUCAACAACUGUGAAUUGGAAACUUACUUGAAAAAUGCAAGCCUCAAUAGCUAAAAUAUAAUAAACAACUCCAAAUUAAAUAUAUAUAUUUUUCUAUUUUUUUUUAGACUGUUUUGCCGGACAGCUUACGUACAACUCUUUUCUUUAAUUGAUUUAAACUCUGUAUUGAAUGGAAAUCACGAAUAAUGUGUUAAACAGACUUGCAUGUUCUUGAAACCACUCUGCUUUAUAUAUUUGUACCGUAGAGCUAAAGAAUAUGGACAAUAUAACUCAUUCUCUAAAUCCAAGGGCAUUAGUUGGAUGAAUAGUGGACUUAUAAUAUUAGGAAGAGAACAGUAUUGGAAAAUAAACCAUUCUGAGUCUCUGUGCCGCAAUACUGCAAUGGGAAAAAAAGAAUGUAUACGCUUUGGGCAUUACUCUUCUUGUGUCUGUAACAAUGCCCACAGAAGUCAUUGUUUACAAAGUAAUUGACAGUAAAAGUUUAUAGGGCAAUAAAAGUUUAAUUUAGAGUGAACAACAAUGCUCUUUGUUAACUGAUAGGACUCCUGUUUAGAUUGUCUGUGCCCUACGAAGAUUCUGAGAGAACUAGAAAGAGCAGAUAUUGUAUAUCACAUGUGAUAACGACUGAAAUAAAUGUCUGUUAUUAGUCGAAUCUGCAAGGCCUCAUAGCUCUUUAUUUAUUUAGAUUGCAAUAUUUAAUAUUUAAUGCACUGAUCUAAAGCCUAAUGCAUUGAUCUAAAACCUCCUCUAAGGAAUAUCUAUUUAUGUUCUUUUUUUUUAUUCUCUUAUUCUUUUGAUGUAUGAGCAGGAGCAAAAUGUGUGUUAAUGUUUUUUUUUGGUUUUUUUUCGUGCUAUUUCAUCCAUAUGUGACAUUUAGUUAUUAAUUUAUAAACCUAUUUAUAAACAAGGAUCAGAGUUUAAAAAUUCACAGAGUUUUAAAGAUCACAAAAAACAUGUUAACUUAUCACUAAUCAUACUCACUCACACACAUCUAUUGAUUGUGCACUCAAGACUUAAGAUACUUUAGGUAAUAAGAAUACACACAUGUAUUGUUUUUUUGUAUAUAAUAUAGAACAAAGGACACUACACUGCUUAAAUAAAAAUAAAGAAAGAAACAAUGUUUAGUACAUAUACCCCUGAAGAAUAUGUGCAUGCAUUUAAUUAUGUUUUUUUUUUUAUUGGGUGUAAAUCUAACCGCUUGUAGAUCUCCUGUCUGAAUCCCUUUCAAGCUCUAUGCUUCUAACUAUUGAGGCUGCAAUCACAGACUUCCAAAUGCAGCGUAAAGAGAUGUCUUUGCAAGGCAGAAGCCCUGGGCAAUUGCUGCCGAUUGAGUUUAGCUCCACUGAGCAAAACAAACCAGGAAGUAACAGGACCUGUUGUUGGAUUGACAGCCAGGGAUGUGUAGCUAGUUUAGUUUAAAAAAAAAAAGAAAAUUUCUCUUCAAAUCAGUACUUUUUGUAAAAUGACAAAAAUAGGACAAACACAUAACACAUUUACACAUAAAGCACUUCAACAAGCUAAAGUGCUUUAGCGGUCUGGAGUGCCCCUUUAAUGAAUCCUUAAUUCACUCUAUAUGGACAGUCUGGAGUCAUGAUUAUCAAUGUUUUUUGUUGUGGCACCUCACAUGAGUCUGAGCCUUUGCUUAGUAUUAGGGAUUGGAUGAUCUUCCUAUUUAAUUCUUCAAAAAAACAUGCAUACACUCACUCAGCGACCCACUCUACUGUGUUAAUCACCUCAUUUAUACUCAGUAUUCCACAAACACAGAUAUACAAUGAAAUCCAUUAACAUGUAUUGAGAAAUAGUAAAUUUGUAGCUCUGUAGGUUUGGCCAGUAUUCAUGUUUAACAUUGUGACCCCAGGGUGAACAACCUAAUGUGAUAGUUAAUUUCUGCAUUAAGUAGCAGCUGAAAUAACAGUAGGCUCUGAAAAGAACAUGUUUUUGACAAUGGUUCCAUCAAAAAUGAGGAAAGGUGGCAUCCAUAGAACAUUAUUGAGAAUCUAAAAUGGUGUGGUAUAAAUUCUCCAUACUUUGUGCAAUAUUCUAAUAAUUUAUGAGUCUCUGUUGAAGCAUGAAUAUAUUUAAAUCGUAUGUGACAAUGAAAGCAUAAUGACAGUAUAAGUAAAAGAGCCACCAAAAGGUCUUUAUAUUUAUACAUAGAUUAUCUUGUGACAGAUUUUCUCUAAUUGCUAAUUACCUUCAUCUCAGUAAACACUGUUUAUGCACUUUCUGGGGUGAAUAACACAUCUGAAAUAAAUUUAAAAAAAACAUUCUUACCAUCACUACACCUCCUUAAUACAGCAACGUUGUCCUUCCCAUAAUGCUUUGGGUGCCCUCAUAAUUGGGAAUCUAGUGGAAAAUUUUAUAUGUAUGCUUGACAUGCUUGACAUUUUAUUGUGCAAUACUUUAUAUGCACAUGUACUAUACACACAGCAUUUCUAGGGCUUCGUAAAUUAGAAACAAAACUCAAAAAUAGCAGUUAAUUGAGCAGUGAAACUGCAGGCCCAUAAUCUAUAUAAGGCAUUGGCAACAUUCGGCACUCCAGAUGUUUUGGACUACACCUCCCAUGACACUUGGCCAGAAUUAUGAGUGUCUACCCCCCCUUCCCUCUCUUUCUCCCCAUUUUAAAUUCACUCAACUUGUUUAUCCAAACCCAUUUCUGUAAAAAUUGCAGUUAUUUAUUGGCCCUGAGGUUCUCCUCAUCUCUUCCUUGACCAUUUUGCUGCCUGGCUUCCUUACUUUCUCUCAAGUAAUAUCCCAUCCCUAAUUCUAGGGGAUUUCAACAUUCCCAUUAACCCACCCUUGUCCUCAGUAGCCUCAAAACUUAUUUCAAUCACCUCCUCCUUUGGGCUAUCGCAAUGGGCUAAUUCUCCCAAACAUAUAGCUGGCAAUACCCUGAAUCUUAUUUUUGCAAAUGCAUGCACAGUUGCCAAUCUCUGUAAUACUUCAUUUCCUCUAUCAGACCACCUCCUCCUAUCAUUUGUUCUCGAGUUCCUCCACACCCAAUACCCUCAACCUAAGUCCCCGCAACUCCGGAGGAAUCUGAAUUCUCUUCAGCUGAUUUACAUUCCAAACUCUCAUCCAUCCCUAACUGUCCCUCUCUGGUUACCUCCUCAUAUAUUGCUACCCUCACCUCUGCCCUUGACGCUGCAGCCUCACUCCAAACACGCUCCUUAAGGAGGGCGCGCAUCCAACCAAAUAAACCCGCUAUCUGAAAAGAUGCUCCUGUUCAGCUGAGCGCUGCUGGAGGAAGUCUCGCACCUUGUCAGACUUUCUACACUAUAAAUUUGUCUUGUGCUCAUACAGUGCAGCCCUCACCCUUGCUAAACAGUCCUACUUUUCUUUUCUCAUUAGUUCAUGCUCCCAAAAUCCUAGGCAUCUCUUUAAUACUUUUAACUCUCUUCUCCGCCAUGCUGUGCCCACCCCACAAACUAAUCUUUCAGCUGAUGGAUUUGCAUGUUACUUUACUUAAAAGAUUAAAAAGUUAAGGAAUGAAUUCUCACCCCUUCUCCCCUCUCUAGCUCAACCUCACUUGGACCAUACCAUCCCUACCCUCCAAGACUUCCCUCCAGCUACUGAACAGGAGGUGGCAGCGCUUUUCCUCUCCUUUCGUCCCACCACCUGUCCGCUUGAUCCAGUACCUUCCCACCUCAUCAGAGCUCUCACCCCUUGUCUUGUACCAUCUUUAACACACAUCCUAAACUGCUCACUUUCAUCUGGUGUUGUCCCAGCUCCCCUUAAACAUGCUACUGUUGUAUCUGUCCUCAGAAAGCCAUCUCUUGACCCUACCUCCCCUUCCAACUAUCGUCCCAUAUCCUUGCUCCAUUUCUCUUCAAAGCUUUUGGAAAGACUUGUCUUCCCAACUCCAAUUCCAAUUCCAACUUUUUCCUUGACCCUCUUCAGACUGGAUUCUGCCCACUCCACAGAGACUGUUCUGAUUAGAGUUACAAAUGUUCUAGUUACAGCUAAAUCCAAAGGCCACUACUCCAGACUAAUUCUUCUUUACCUCUCUGCUGCCUUUGACACUGUUGAUCAUGUCCUCCUUAUCCAAAUUCUUCAAUCUCUUGGUCUCUGUGACACAGCCCUCUCAUGGUUCUCCUCCUAUCUCUCCCAACACUCCUUUAGUGUCUCUUUUUCCAGCAGCACCUCUUCUCCUCAUCCAGUCUCAGUCGGAGUCAUUACUUGGUCCCCUUUUGUUCUCUGUCUAUACUGCCUCUCUUGGCAAACUCAUUAAUUCAUUUGGAUUCCACUACCACCCUGUACGCUGACAACACCCAGAUAUCUCUCUCUUUCCCUGACCUCUCCCCUGCUGCCAUUCAACGUGUCACCGAUUGCCUUUCUUCUAUCUUUGAUUGGAUGUCCUCCCGCUUUCUGAAACCCAAUCUCUCUAAAAUUGAGUUUCCUUUUUUUUCCUCCUCAUAAUACCGAUCCUCCUCCUUCACUCUCUUUGCAGGUUUACGGUACCUACCUCACCCCAUCCUUUCAAGCUCACUGUCUUGGUGUAACUGGCUUCACCUUUGCGCCUCAUGUCCAGUCUGUUGCUAAAACCUGUCGAUUCCAACUUAAAAACAUUGCCUGCAUAUGCCCCUUUCUUACGCAAGAUGCUGCCAAGGAGCUUGUUCAUGCUCUAGUAAUUGAUUACUGUCAUUCUCUCCUAAUUGGUCUCCACAGAAGUCGUACUGCCCCCCUACAAUCUGUGGUGAAUGCUGCUGCCAGGCUGAUCUUUCUCUCCUGUCGCUCCUCUCACACCUCAACCCUCUGUCGAACCUUACACUGGCUUCCUGUCUCCUACAGGUGCCAAUUUAAAAUACUAUCCCUUACCUAUAACGUUUUAAGCAACUCUAGCCCCUCUUACAUUUCUUCACUGAUUCAUAAGUAUGCCCCCUCCUGGUCUCUCUGCUCUACUGGUGACCUUCUCCUUCCUGCUGCUUGCAUCCUUACUGGAAAUUCACACCUGCAAGACUUCUCAUGGGCAGCUCAUUUCCUUUGCAACAGCCUGCCUACCCCUGUUAGACUCUCUCCUAGUCUUCAAUUCUUUAAGAAGUCCCUCAAAACCCAUCUUUUCAGGAAUGCUUAUUGCCUCCAAGAGUAACUUUUAUCUCUCAAACCUUCCUCUCGCUCUCUCCUAUAGGGCCACACUAUACUCUCACCUCCAGCUCUUUCCCACCAUGCCUAUUUGCUGUCUCUCUCAAUACCCUUCCUAUUGUGUUUUUAUACCCCACCUCCUCUUGCCUGUAAGCUUGUUUGAGCAGGGUCUUAAACUACCUAUUGUUCCUGUUACUUUGUUAUUGUCUUAUUUGGUAAAUUCCCCUUUCAUUCUAAAGCACUGCGGAAUAAGCUGGCGCUAUAUAAAUACCAAUAAUAAUAAUAAUAAGAGCAUUAUGGGGGAUGUAGUGCACAACAUCUGGAGUGCCACACGUUGCCUAUCCCUGCUCUAUAUAUGAAAACUGAUUCAUUAAGCUAAAGUUGUUUUGGUCUCUUUAAAUAGUAAUAGAAAUUACAACACAUAUGUAAUACAGAAAUGAUAAAUAAUCAUUUUUUUCCUGAAAUUUAGAAUUUACAUCUGCUGGUGUUGUUACAAUACACAUGUUAAAUGACAGUGGACAAAAAGUUCACAGUAAUGAUAUUUAAGUUAAUCUGCAUAAAAUGGGUACUUUCUUCCACAAUAGAAACAGCUGUAUAUACAGGUACGAUACUUUAGUCUUGGAAAGAUCUACCUAAAUUCAAGUCAGGGAGAAAGAAGAGGUGAGAGUGGAGAAGCAGGUUUUUUUAACUGCGCUUCCAACACAUUAUCUUCAGUUUAUUUCUCAACGUCUGAUAUCUAGCUGUGGUUUGGAGAUGACUAUACAUCAUUCCACCAUUAUACUGCCUAUGUGGAGUAUAUAUUUAUCUCAUCUUGCCUUUUUGUACUGUUGGGAUUUUACAAGAACUGUUUUAUGGACUGGCAUUGCUUGCUGUCCUUGGAAAAAGGUUUCUGUUGCUGGCUUUAUGUCUAUGUUAUCUCUGAUCAUACAUACGCUGUCUUUCAUUUGGCAUUUCAAGCUACAAUCCUUCUAUAAAAAGCUGUUUACAAAGCUGAACUGCUGCUUUACUUGCAAGAAAUAUUCUGUUUAAACACAUGAUUUUGUGGAUUAAUAAAAAAAAUAGUUUGAAUGUUAUAUUACUUUCAAAGCAUUGCCUUCUGAAUACACAUUUAUCUAGUGACUGCACUUCGACCUUGAUCAAUGCCUCUAUUAAUCGCUAUUUACACUAUCCUCACUUAUAAUGUGAUUUAAGUUGUCCCUCAAGUUACUGUAUAAAAUUAAAACCUUGUGUACUAAUGUUUGAUAUAAAAUUUCCGGAGUUGCAGUCUUUAAUCCUUCCUCACAUGAAAAUUUAAGUUCUAAAUCUGGCUUGUCAUAAGCAGAGUAUAGCUUAAUCUUCUUAGAAGCUCUUACGAUGUGUUCAAAGCUUUUCUGGCUUUUUCUGGCAAUGCCCCGGAGACAGUACACCAACAUAUUAUUGCAUAAAGACAACAUACAGUUCAAGUACUGUCUGUGUGCUCUAAAAAGCAAUCUAAAGACUCCUGUACAUGUUUAUUGGCACACAAUACUGGAAGUAGAGGUUCAAGGCAAAGAUGUAGGUUACAUACAUUUCAAACAUUUGCAUAUUUUUAAAAUUGGUUUAUUUAGAUCUCACCUCAUUCGUGUGAAAUAUCUUUGUGUAUAAAAUAUGCGACAGAUAUAGUGUAAAUUUGCAACAAGUACAGAGAAUGUACAAUUAGAAAUGCUUCUUUUUUUUAAAUGUCACUGAUCCAAUAUAUUUGCAUGCAUUCCUUUGUUCCAUUUUCAUAUUAUCACUUUUUAACAAAACUGUUUCACAGCCCUGCUUCCCAUCUCCUCAGUGAAUAGUGAGAAGAAUACAUAUGCAAGUUAUAUUGAAGGAUUUCAUGAGGAUCUGGAGCCCUGCAGCGUUCUAGUGCCUUAAACAUAAUACAAACACUUCUAAUGAUGUGCUCAUGCUCUGAAUGUUCGAAACAUGUUUUCUGGUGUCCUCAAACUUGGGACAUGACCCACAAAUCUGGACUGUCCCGCCAAAAAAUUUGAACGGUUGUGAAGCAUGCUUAUGCUUCAUAUUCCACAAGACCCUCAUGAAACAUAUAGUUCCCUCCAAGCCCACCUAUAAUUCCCAAAACCUCUCAUGCAACAUAUUCUCUCCCCCAAAACCCUCAGCCACAUAUAUGUCCCCCAAAGCUUUUGAUGGCACAUAUCCUUCCCUCAAGCACCUUUUUCUGCAUAUUCUGUCCUCCCCCUCAUGUCAUAUAAUCUGGUCCCAAGCCACUCACACUUCCUUCCUCAGCACCUCUCAAGCAAAGCAGGGAAUUUGGGAACAACAAAACACCACAAAAAACUUCAGACUGAGGGCUUCUCAGGAGUCUACUUAGGGCUCUAGCCAGCAUGAUCGCCCCAACAAUGCUCUUGGCCUAAGUUUUGCAAUCCCCCCUUUCAAAACGUAAUUUAAUCACCAUGACAGUUUUAUGGCCUCUGAGUUAUUUGGCCUUAAAUUUGUCAUUUCCAUUUCCACAAUUCUCCAUAUAGAGGACAGACCCCUCUGAAAUCAGUGGUAUUUUACGUCUGCUCCCCAGUGUACUUGGUUACUUGAUGCUGUUGAAGCACGGAACUGUUAUUUACAUCUUUAAUUACACAGUGAAUGCUAUUGUCGCUAGUUAUUCCAGGCAGCUCCCAGAGCAACUGGGUGCACAAUGUCAAAUAUUGUUUCGUGGCAUUACUGCACUUGUAUCAUCUAAUGGCGCAGAAGUAUAAUGUGUCAGCAGAUGCUUCUGGUAGAACUCUGUCUGAAACACAAUGAAAUAUAGUUAUAAUAAAGAGGUGCAGUUUCCUAGUUAAAACCUGUAUCUACUGCAAUAAAACUGCAUGCGAAAGAUUAACCAUUUGGCGCAAGGAUUCUACAUUUUUCUUGCUUUUGCAUUUCACAAAAAAAAAAAAGGAUUAAACUCGAGGCGUUCUGUUUUGAGUAAUGCAAUGUAAAGUAGGUACAGUAUUAAGAUCGCGACUAUAGAGAUGAUAUGCAAACCCUGCAAAGGUUCGUGGGAAAAGAAUAAUGGCCUCUUGUUGGCUGCCUCACUGGUUUUGACAGCCGUCUGAAUUACUUGAGCCAGGCACCUGCUUGUUUGAUGUACAGACUGGAGCUUGGAAGGGAUCAGUUAAAUACUGCUUUUUGUACAGGCUAUUAAAUUGCAGACAGAGGGAACACAAGCAAUCUGCUUGGAAUCUAACUUGCUGAGCCCUGUUAGGGAAGCUGAGAAUACAGUGAUUGACAGCAUUUUAGUAAACUAGAGGUCUAAUUCAAACUCUCAUAAACAAAACUUUGGUUGUCUUGGGACUGGCAAGCAUUAGUUUAUAUUCCCUAUUCGAUAAAGUGGGAAAGAGAUCUGUUUCUCUCAGAGUAAUAUUGUUAGAGGUUUGCACAAUACAGGAAGGGUUGCCUGACAGUUCAUCAAACAGAGAUUUCCCUAGGUUUUAGGCAGCCCACUGGUAAACCAUAGUGUAAGAUUGGCUAGGUUAUUUAAACCCCUUGAAUAAUCCUUAAAGGUACACCACAUAUAUAAAAAAAAACACACACAAUACCUUGCUCCCUGGCAAUACAAUGGCUAAAGAGUAUAUGUCCCAGAUACAAUUAACAUGUGAAAGUAUUGAGAAAGAUUACACAUUUUGUGCCUAACUUUAAUCUCAUGGAAACUAAGACUUUUUUUUUUUUUUUUUUACAAAUGUUAUUAUAUCAUAAAAUGUUUUCUAGCUAUUAGGAGAGCGGAAGGCAUUUUGUCUGAACUAGUUUGAUAGCAUAUUUUAAUGAUGUGAAAUGCAGCUAUGCUUUUUGCAUAUAUUGUCUGUAAUAAAAUGCUUUAUGUAACUGGAGGCAAACACUAUCCAUUUCAUGUAAUGCUAUUUGCUUUUGUAAAACACAACUCGUUAAAUCAUGGUUGGGGAAAGUUGCUGUUUUUCUUAUUUGGUGAUAAACACUAUUAUUUAUUGAAUGACCAUCAUGCAAGCAAGUGCCAUUAAUUAAACUAAUUGAUGCUUUGUGGUUUGUAACCUCAGAGACAUAUUUAGAGUUAUGUGUAAAGAGCUGAAGGAAGCUUGACUCACAAUGAAUAAUUGGUAUACUGUGCACCUGACACUAUAGAAGUGUGUGUGUGUGUGUGUGUGUCUGUGUGUGUAACGUUUUAUAUAUUUUAGUAAUGGAAAGAAUGGUCAUAAGCACCAGUGGUGAUGCUGGCCACUUGAAAAUCCACAAACAUUCCCUCCAGUCUGUGAUUUACUGGCAGAUUUUGGUGGUCUUCACCACACUUUACUAAUAAGUAUGCGUUUGUUUUUUUUGUUUUCCUUCAAAGUGUUAUAGUAAUUCAAUCUCUAUAAGACUACAUUCUCAUCAGCACAAUGAAACUGUAGUGGUUAGGGUGUCUGAAUCGCUCUUGAACCCUCCCAGUGUAAGUUAUCAAUAUCUAUCUAGCAAUGGUUGGAUCUCAUGGUUUCUCAUGUGAAAAAAAAUCACAGAACUGUAUUUUUUUAUUUUUUAUUUUUUUUUAUGGGUGGGGUAUUUGUAUUUCCUUUUUUACAUUUUUUUAUUUACAAAAAAAAGAAACCGUUUACAUGUCCUGCUCGAAGGUUUUGUAUUCUCAUGAUGCUUUGAGAAGGUAAACAAAUAUUAUUAACAAACCACAGUUAGUAAAUUAAAUUAAACACACAGUGCUGUGUGUCGAUAUAAAUGAGCAUAAUAUUCUGAAAGCACAGCUCACUUCAGACUAAGCAUUGGGGAUAUUUUUUUUUAACUGAAGUGCCAAUUAAAAAAUAUAGAUCUUUCUGAUUUAUGUAAUCAAAAUUAAAUGAAAGCUGGCAACAAUUUAAUUGGUAUAAAUUGAGUGAUUGUGAGUAGAAGGUAGCAAUACUUAGAAAUAUACCCUGCUUGUUCAGCUAUCAAACCACUGGAAAUAAGGAUGGGUUUUAUUUGAAAUUCAUGCACUACAUCUGCAUUUAGUACGUGAAAUUUUAAUUCAUAUAAAUACAUGCAUCAUAGGUAUCAAAAUCUUUCAUUAAAGAUUUAAAUAAUACUUUACAAUGUAAAAAAAAAAAAUCAGACCACCUACUCUCUUGUCCAUAAACUUGCAAAAUGUUCAUAUCUCAUUAUUAUAUGGCUUAUUUAACAUCAUAUAUGCUUAGUUGUUUUAAAAUGCCAAUUAAUACUAUGCAGUCUAAGAGUCCGCAAUACUGUCUAUAAAUUAUUGAUACCAUGGCCCCUUCCUGUUUUUUCCCUAUUCAUUAUUAGUCUGUGUAAUGUGGAUAAUUUAUAAAGUACUUGGUCUUUAGGCCAUAUUGCUUACCAAAGCGUACUCUUCCCUACCCUUUACCUUGGUUUGGCAACAUAAUACAGAGAAGGCCAUCUUAAUAUAGCCCUAAUCUUGUCCCUUUCACCUUGGCUGUAUAAUGCGUCAUUUAGGAAAGACUCAAGUUAUUUAUAAUUCUCUCGUUCAUAAAAUAACCAUCUGCCAGUAACCCUGGCACAGAGGGUACCCUUUCUUUUCCUAAUGUUAGUUAAAGUAUCUGUUAACCCCUUAAGGACACAUGACGGAAAUAUUCCGUCACAAUUCCCUUUUAUUCCAGAAGUUGUGUCCGUAAAAUACUUUUAAAGUAAGCAAUCUUCCCUUAGCAAAAUAUCAUGGGCAUUAUUAAACGGUGCUAGAUUAGUGCAGUGUGAAAUGAUUUCUCAUAGGGUAAGGGUUAAAGUUUAGGUUAGACAUAAUCACCUGAAUCACAGGACAAUUUAUGUAAAGGGUUAAAUGGGAUUUAUAUAUGGGGCUAGCCAAAGUGCAAGUAAAGAUAUAUAGUUCUUUACAUAGAUUUUUAAUUGGCAAUUUGUCAUUAUAUUCUACAUUUGGCACAGAAACUUAUAUUAAAUCAGCAGGUAAUACCUAAAUGGGUCAUUUUGUUUUGCCAUCUCUCUGUUGAGCUCUAGCCUUUAUUAUAGUCACAUGGAAUGACAGGUAAUGCUAACUAAACAAGCUGCAUUUUAUAAGUGCCCUUCAGUGUGAUCACUUUCAAUGAGUAUAGUAAAUAUUUCUCAGUAUUAACACUUUUUGUUCUGUUGCUUGUGCUGAAAUUAUUAUCAUUGACUAUGGCAACCCUUCAUCAAAUUCAGUGUUUCAGCAUGUCACAGACAUAGUGUCAUAAUCAGCAGCACGUCACAACAGUAUCCAUUCUGUUCUUUAGGAAAGAAUGGGGCAGCAAAGGGCUGUGAUAGGUAUAUAUACAGAGACCCAGAUAUUUAUAUUAUUAGUCAUGUAUUCAGGGUCUGACAGCACUGACCUAUUUCUGUGUAAAUAGUUGCAUAGUAUAUAUGAUCCACAUUGAGAUGUAGAAUAUAACUGAAAAUAAUGCAGUGUGUUUGGGAACAUACAUUGCCAAACAUACACUAACAGCAUAUGGCUGGCAUUAAUCUCAUAAUCUAAUAAAUAUUAUGCUGUUCUAAUUAGAGUCAUUUUUAAAAGUUAUAUUUAUUCUAAAUUUAUGAGGAUUACUGUAUAAUCAGGUCAGGUGCAAUGAUUUUUGCUGCCCUACGCAAAAAAAAUUGAUGCCUCCCAUAUGUCCUGCCCACCAUGUGACAUCACAAUGCCCCGCGCAUAUGCUCUGCCGUAUGGGCCAACGCUAGUUCUGCACAAAGUGUCUUUUAUCUAAAAAUGUUGUGUGUUUACAUUAAAAAGCCUGCAGGCACAGGCUAUAGACACCAGAAAAACUGUAUUAAGUUGUAGUGCUUCUGGUGACUACAGUGGCCCUUUAAUGUGAGGUAAAUUAGAGAUUAGUGCCACUAAUAAUAUAUUGGAUUGCCUACUUACCACCAGAUGAGGACAAGAGGAUAAUGGGCUCAGCCUGCAGUCUGGCUCCACAGGUCUGGUGUAAAAGAGGCUUUCUGGAGACUGUUUGUAACAUUGCUCACAACAAUUAAUAAACAGUAAACAGCUCCAUUUUUUGGGGCCCCUUAGACAGCUCAAGGUCUGCCCCCCCAAGUCCUGACCGUGAGUGUGCCUACAAGGCCCACUCAUAAAUCCACCUGCAUGGCCCAACCAAGAGUUCUCUCACAGGGAGUGUAGUGUAUGUGUGUAAGGGAUGUGUUAUGUGUUAUUGUAGAAGAUGUGUGUUCUUAUGGAAAGUAGUGUAUAGGGAUACCAAUUUGUGAGAGGGAUGUAGUUUGUGUAUAGGGGAUGCAGUGUGUGUUUGUGUGUAAUGAAUGCAUUGCAUGUUUCUGGGGGGGUGUGUGUAAGGAAUUCAAGGUGUGUUUCUGUGUAUGUAAUUUAAUGCAGUGUGUGUGUCUGUAAGGGGUGCAUUGAGUGUGUGUAAGAGAUGCAUGUUGUUUCUGUGUGUGUAAGAGAAUCAGUGUGUGUGCGCAUAAGGGAUGCAUUGUGUGUUUCAGUGUGUCUGUGUGUGAGUAGGGAAGCAUUGUAUGUUUCUGUGUGUGUGGUGUGUGUAGGGAUGCAUUGUGUGUGUGUGUAGUGUAAAAGAGAGGGUUUGUGGGGUAGGGUUGAGAGGGGAGCAGCUCUUUAUUUUUUUUAAUUUUUUUAUAGUGAUCUCCCCUUCCCUCCUGUCCAUCAGUGUUCUACCCUCCUGUUCCUUAGUUCUCUCCCUUGGCCCCCUGUCCCUCUGCAGUCCCCCCUUGGUGGUCUUCUCACUCCCCCCUCAGUGGUCCUCCCUCUCCCCCCUUAGUGGUCUUCCUCUCCCCUUACCCCCUUAGUGGUCCUCCCUCUCCCCCCUCUCUCAAACCCCUUAGUGGUCCUUCCCCUUUCCCCCCCCUCAGUGGUCCUUCCCCCCUCAGUGGUUCUUCCCCUCCUUACCACCUUAGGUAGCAGGGCCGGGCGGCACGUACCACGGUACAGAAUCUUCUGUUUCCUUUAACCGGCCAUCGGCGGACUGAAGGGAAGCGCUCACUGAGUGACCGACAGGAGGGAGCACUGUGCGCUUCCCUCCUUCCGGUCACUCAAAUCUGGCGCCCCCCUGGGCCGGUGCGCCCUAAGCGACUGCCUAAGUUGCCCAUAGGAUGCACCGGCCCUGUGUAUAAUUACUAAUAAUGUAUACCCUUCAAUUAUUUCUGUAACACUUUGCGGAACAAAUGUAUUUUCUGGCUUUCUGUAGCAUUUUCGGUUUUUUUUGUAUUCUAAAAAUCUAUUAUUUAGAAAACAAUAUUUUCAUCUGAUUGUGUGAUCUAUCUCUGUUAUUAAUAAUAUUAUUACACAUCCCCCUUAACUCCUUAAGGACGGAGCCAAAUGUACACGUUGUGAACGAAACAAAAUGUAAACAAAACCUGGCAUUUGCGCUACAUGUCUGUCCAACCGUAAUUCACCUCUUUCAUAUUAAAGGCACCCACCAUUAUUAUAUAUCAUUUUAUUCAGGGGAAACAGGGCUUUCAUUUAAUAUCAAAUAUUUAGCUAUGAAACAUAAUUUAAUAUGAAAAAAAUGGGAGACAAUAACAUUUCUUUUGAUUUUUUUAGUUCUACAUGACAUUUUAACGGUCAAUGUCAUAAUACUGUUUGCUUUUAAUGAAAUAAAAUACACAUAUUUGUAUUCAGCAAAGUCUCACGUGUAAAACAGUACCCCCUAUGUACAGGUUUUAUGGCGUUUUGGGAAGUUACAGGGUCAAAUAUAGCACGUUACAUUUGAAAUUGAAAUUCGCCAGAUUGGUUACAUUGCCUUUGGGACUUUAUAGUAGUCCAGGAAUGAAAUUUACACCCAUAAUGGCAUACCAUUUGCAAUAGUAGACAACCUAAGGUAUUGCAAAUGGGGUAUAUCCAGUCUUUUUUAGUAGCCAUUUGGUCACAAACAUUGGCCAAAGUUAGCGUUAGUAUUUGUGUGUGAAAAAUGCAAAAAACGCCAAUUUUGGCCAGUGUUUGUGACUAAGUGGCUACUAAAAAAGACUGGACAUACCCCGUUUGCAAUACUUUGGGUUGUCUACUAUUGCAAAUGAUAUGCCAUCAUAGGGGUAAUUUUCAUUCUUGGGCUAUCAUAGGGUCUCAAAGGCAACGCACACAAUCUGGCAAAUUUUAAUGUGAAAAAACUGAAACACAAGCCUUAUAUUUGACGCUGUAACUUUUGAAAACACCAUAAAACCUGUACAUGAGGGGUACUGUUGUACUCGGGAGACUUCACUGAACACAAAUAUUUGUAUUUCAAAACAGUAAAAAGUAUUGCAGCAAUAAUAUCGUCCGUGUAAGUGCCGUUUGUGCGUGAAAAAUGCAAAAAUCUUCACUUUUACUGGCGAUAUCAUUGUUGUAAUACAUUUUACUGUUUUGAAACACUAAUAUUUGUGUUCAGCGAAGUCCCUCGAGUAGAACAGUACCCCCCAUGUACAGGUUUUAUGGUGUUUUGGAAAGUUAUAGGGUUAAAUACAGUGCUAGCAAAUUAAAUUCCCUUUACUUUCGGCAUGGGUUGUCAGGCAGGUCCCGCUAAUUGUAAUUAAUUAAGAUACCCAAUUACGUAAAAAUAUUACAUAAAUAUAUAUGUAGAAUUAAUAUAUGUGUAUAUAUAUAUAUAUAUAUACGUAUGUGAAUAUAUAUGUAUAUAUAUAUAUAUAUAAUUUUUUUAAAUUAUUUUUAUUUAUAUAUAGGUAUAUAUAUAGUGAUAUAUACAUUUAUAUUUAUGUAUAUAGAUAUACAUAUAUAUAUAUAUAUAUUAUUUCGUUCUAUGUGUAUUUUGAUAUAAAUAUAUAUAUAUAUAUAUAUAUAUAUUAAUAUCACAAUACAGUUAGAACGAAAUAACACACAUCUAUAUAUUUUUUAAUUAUUUCUUUAUUAUUUUUUAAUUUUAUUUUUUAACGUAUUUACAUAUUUAAUUUUUUUAUAUUAUAUAUAAAUAUAUAUAUAACAAUAAUUAUAUAUAUAUUUAAUCAGUAUUAGUCUACGUGUAAUUUGAUAUUAAUAUAUAUAUAUAUAUAAUUAUAUAUAUAUUAAUAGUAAAAUACACCUAGACAGUGUACGUGUAUGUAUGUAUGUGUGUAUAUAUACUUAGAUCAUAUAUACAUAUGUAUAUAUAUAUGUAUAUAUGAUCUAAGUAUAUAUUAUUAUUUUUUUACACUAUUUAAUUUAUUUGAUUUUAUUUCCAGCCAGCAGGGGGACCACCUGUUAUUACAAGCAGCCCCCCUGCUGGCAAUGCUGCAGCCAGCUAUCCCGGCCAUGUGAUUUUGAGGUACUCGCAAGGACCUCACUCUCACAUGGCCGGGGGGAGCUGCAGGAGGAAGAUCUGCUGCGGGGGGCUCCCUGGGAGUCCCCCCAACCGCGAUCGCCGGCGACCGGGUAAGUACAGAAAGACCGGAAGGCGUACUUUUACGCCCGGUGUUGUUUAGAGCCGCCUAUAAUAGGGCGUAAUAGUACGCCCUCCGGUCUUAAGGGGUUAAUCUACCUUUACUCUUUUAAAAAGUUCUUACUGGGGAAAAGUAUAACUUGUUGUCAUGUGGCAGUACAGUUGUUUGAAGAUAAAGUAAUAAUACUCUUUAAAGUAAAUAGCAGUUCAUCUUGUCUGUUUGAGACUUUUUUACAUGUUAAAGUGGCGUGGGUCGUCUUGAUGUACUAGAUAUCAUUUGUAAUAACUUCUCAUUUCUAGAAUGUUAGGCAUUCUUGCAUAUGUCAGUACCAGUUUUCAACGUAAAGAUUAAUUAAAUUACUGGAGGCAUUUUAAAGAAGUGAUAGCAGAAAAAAAACUCUCUCUGCCUCUAUAACCCAAUAUGGUUCACUUUCUUGGAUCAGAUGUUUUUUUGUGUUUUUUUUCUAAGCUAUGGCUUUGGUUAAAUUAAGUUUGUCCAUCUCGGUACCAUUGAUUUGAAGCUCUUUACUAUAGUGCACAAGGUUAAGGUGUAAAAAUAGACAUUUUUAGAACUGGAGAUUAUGAUAAGAUGCAUGAACCAAUAAAGUUUGUUGAUAGAAAUCUUCACAAUAGAACAUGUUUGCCGAUAGGUAUUGACAUUUGUAUAAAUCAGCUUUAUGCAAGUUUAAAUGUGAACAUUAACUAUUGUGACUUGUGUGUAUAUAUGCAUUAUGUGCUUUGAUAAGAUUUCGUAAAAUAUUACUUCAUCUAAGUGCACUGAUAAUUUAGAGAGUUUUAUAAGUUAUACCCUCUGGACAUGGAAACAUCUAGAUAAUUACAUUGAUUUUACAGUUAUCUUGGAUUUAUCUUUGAUUGAGGGCUUAUAGCUGCUGUGACUGGAAUAGAGUUCAUUCAGCUAUAUCUGCCCAAGUCUUUUCUCGGCAUUUAGAAAAAGUGCCAAAUUGGUGUAGCAAAAUUCAGGCACCGAACGGGAGCUGAAUUUUAAGUUAGGGCAAUCAUCACACCUAUAUCUACAGUGCAGGAAAACGCUACCUUGAAUUGUUCCAUUUUAAAUGCACCUAUUAUAAUCAAUACUUAUUCACGAGAUAAUAGAAAAUCUGUUAAUGUUAUAAAAUAUUUUAGCUGAUGAAAAUUGGAAUAGGCUAUAGAUUUAAUGAUAAUGAAAGAAUAAUUAUGAAUCAUAAUACUUACAAAUUUCAAAAUUUCUUCAAGCAAAAUUACUCAUUGAACAUAUUAGAUGUUCAACAAUGCAUUCAGUUUGUUUGUUCCCUAUAAUAAUUAUGCAUUAUAAAAUGGGCUUAUGGCUAUAGUUUCAAAGUAGCGAUGGAGAUCUCUUUGGGACUCAAUGUGUGUGGUCCAUUUUUAACAGAGGAUGAGUCGAAAGUAAAAAACCUGGCAUUACACAUAUAUUGACCCUAUCUGAACUGGGUAUUUGAACAUCUUACAAGAAUUCUUAUAUCUAUAUUCCCAAAGAGCUAUGUACAGCAAUAAGUCACAAACAGUAUGUGAUAGCGUAUAGUGAUGGUCAGUCAUAGCCUUUGAGCUUCUGAUACUGAUACUAAUCUUAACAUGGAAGAGAACAUUCCACUUGAAUGGAGCUUAUUAUCCAUGUACCUAAAUAAAUAGAAAUGAUCUAUGAAUAUUGGUUAAGAAAAAUCCACAUUAUAUUGCAGGCCUUAUAACCACAUUUAUACUUUACUGAAAUGUUUGAAUCGAAGACAAAAUUAAAAAUAAUCUAAGAUUUAUAAUUUUAAAUUCUGGAAUUAUCAUUCAAGACAAUAAAUCUUGGUAUAUCACAUGGUUUCCUAAAGUGUUGGUAUAUCACAUGGUUUCUCUUUUGUCAUCUUUGAAUACCAGUCAACACAAUGGUACCUCUUGCUGUAUCUUAAAUUUGUCUGCAUGUCUCUUAAAUUCUCCAUAGAUUCAUAUAACCAUGUUUUUAAUAAAUGAUAAGCUAUACACUAUGGGAUUUGUCUAGUAAAUAGGGAAUUGCUAAUUGCUAAUUAAUAGGAAAUUAUAAAGUCAGUAUAAAUGAACUAGAAAAAAUUAUCUAGUUUUAGUUUUGAUAAAAAAUGUGCAAUCCCCCUCCUUUUGCUUUGAUUCUGGGUUUAAUGAAUAUAAACAGGAAGCAAAUUCUCUUCACGAGUUUUUCGAUGUGUGUUGUUAUGACCUAUUUUGUCGUUUGUCCUGUGUAUUCUUUCCCGAUGGGCUGCCAGAAGUGGAGGAUCCAGGGGGGGCAACAGAGCAAUUGCCCCCCCUGAGAUUCUCCCCUGCCGGUUAAGGCAGGGCUGGCAUUGUCCAAGUGCCAGCCCUGCAAUGUGCCUGCAGACCGGGGAGGGAGAUCAGAGGGCACUAUGCUGGCAGCCGGCAGGGGAGGGAGAGGGAGAGGGAGGAGAGAGGACCCGGGAGCUCAGCCUGCAGCUCCUCCGGGUCCUACUCUCGCGAGCACAGAGCGUUGCCACGGAGCGAGCUGCGGGCUAGAGUUCACUCUUACCACUGGAACCACCAGGGAAUACCCAUGGACCACCAGGGAUCCAGAAAUGUCCCCCCUCCUCCCUUAGUAAAGGUAAGAAGGGAGGGGGGACAUAUAUUAAUAUUAUUAAAUAAAAAUAAAAAUAAACAUUAUUUAAAAGCCUCCCUACCCUCCUCCCCCAAUGCACACACUGCCCCACACACACACACUGCACACCCAUAGACACCUUGCCCCACACACACUGCCCCACACAUACAUACAGUGCCCCACACACAUACCACUGCUCCUAUUCCCUAUAUCCCAGCAGACCCCAGGUAAGUUGUCAAACUGUUCUUAAAUGGUUUGACUACUUACCCUGGGAUGGGAUCUUGGCACUACUGGCACCAUAACUACUACACUGAGCUGUAGUAGUUAUUGUGCCUGGAUUAUUUCUUUAAAUAAUCUACAAGUGCCCCUCCCGAGAUCAGGCUCUGGAUCCGCCACUGGUUGCCAGUAUUGCCUUUAUUGAGUUUAUUAUCUGAUUAUGAGACAUUCCUCAUAGGAAACUAUUACUUCUGUAACAUGUAGUGCAAUAUGACCACUUUGGACAUUUUUUAAAUUUUAUUUUAUUACUUAUAAGCUUCUAAAACUCUAAUUAUUGGUCUUGAACAUAUCUAUGUAAUCAUACAUUUAUGUAUAUUUAUCAUCUGAAUGACAAGCAAAUUACACUGAGUAGGUUGCAAGCUACAGGAAAAAUAUGGUGCAUUUUAAGUUCUAAAUAUAGAAGGCAAUCAUAUAUUUCCUUAUCUAGCUGUCCAAUUAUCAUUUGAAAUUGAGUGAUUCAGUCGCUGUACACCUUCAGCCUGUUGACCCAUGUAAGUUGUUGAAAACGGAAUACGAUCAAACAAAAAGCCAAGUUUAUUAUGUGAACUUUGAUAAAUAAUUUUAUGACUGCAUGCUGUCUUUACACCUGUUUUGCUUUGUUUACCAGCCCACGGCCCUGUUGCUUGGUCCUGACACUCAGCAAGAAGGGCAAUAUAAUCUGUUAACUCAAUAUACAUAAAUAAUUACUUAGAAUGUUGAAACUGUGUUAAUAACGAACACUUUUUAUUAAUCUACAUUAUAUCAUUUUGUUUAUGCUUUGCAUAUCUAUAAUGUUUUGGUCACAGUUGCUUAUAAUUAGCCCUUCCUCACUGAUCAGUGCAGUAAAAUACACUGACAUCUAUAAAUAAAUAAUCAUAAUAAUUCUUACAUUAAAUACAGUGAUAGCAGUUCAUAGUCUAUAAGCAUCAAGCAAUGCAGAACCACACAGAGUGAUAAAGGUGCAGUAUCAGCUAAUUUAUUAAAGCAUAUAUAAUGAAAACCCACAGGACAAGAACAUUGCUGCUUCGCUGCUUACUCUUGGGAAUGCUAGCAAAUUAGAGUUUAACUCAUUUUCUUACAUUCUGCACUGAAUUACAUUGUCGGGAACAAAUAUAAUUCUUACAGGAUCAGGGGUAUGGAACCUUUGGCACUUCAGCAUUAUGGGAGAUGUAGUCCACACAUUUGGAGUGAUGAAGGUUGCCAACAACUGCACUUAACAGUGGUUUAUGGAGAAUUUGUGUGUUAUUAAUAUAAAUUUUACACAAUUUUAAAAAAUAAUUUUAAACAAGAACAAUGUUUCUUUUACCCAGACUGAUUUCUAAACAUAUUUAUUGUACUAUAAACUAUGUACUAUAAAAUAUAAAUUAUUGUAUGUUAUACAAUCAGACACACACAAAAUAUGUAGCUUCUUGAAAAGAGGGACAUAGAGAUUUGGCCCCAAAAUAUAGACUGUCCCUCCUAAGUAGGGACGCGUGUGAGGUAUGAUUCUGUCUCUAUAUAAUUUGUCUAUAGAGGAAGUCACAUUCACAUGCCAUUAUUGAACUGUGUUGUACAGUAACAGUAAAUUACAUAUAGAAACGUUUCAAUUAAGAAAAGAUUUUUUACGUCAAAACUUUCCACUUACAUUUUUUUUAUUUCAAUAAAACUUAAAUUUUUUAUAGUACAUACAGUAUAUAUUCCUUACAAAACAUUUCAAUAUUUCUCAUGUCACUCCAAAUAUACUUUACCAUUUAAAUCAAACAUGUCAACACUCUCAGUGUCAUUAGAAAAAGCCACUUUACACAUCAAAUAGGUAGAAAAACAAGUAAGGCUUACAGAUCCAGGAUAGUGAAAAUGAAAAGAAUAUUUGAAAAUAUAGUCAAUUUGCACAAAACACAGAACUAUGAUAAUAAACAAAUAGUCCUUUUACAAAACAACUGAAAACUGUAUUCACACUGUAUUUCAAAAAUCAUAAUUGCAUUUCUACAGUACAAACAUCAUCAUCCUAGUGAUUGAUUGCAGUUUACUAAGGAUAUAGUCGGAACUGGACUUUUAGCGCAAACAUUUGUAAAAUCACCCCAAAAUUUGUGGGAUCGCAGACAAAUUUGAACCCCCUAUACUGAACACAGUUAUUAAAUGUUUGGAGCAGAACAAGAUAGAAAUUAGGGGAACUAGAUACUAUCUACCCAAGAUGAAUCUAUGUAAACCACGGAAUACUCAGUGAGUAAUGCAAUGCAAAGUACAGGAAGAGUUCCACAAUGUUCUUUAACUUAAUAUCUAUUACUGAUUCAAUAUUUCUUUCACAUGUCUCUAAAUUGUGAUUAUCACGUUGAUACUUAAGUUCGAAGUGACUCAGGUGUGGGAAAAUGUGAUACAAUAACUAAAAGCUAAAAUGUUGCCUACUCAAAUUACCACAAGUCACAGAGGUGACAAAUGUAUAAGACUAAGGAGGCUUUGCCUCUGGGGUUCAACACUUUAUCCUGGGUUUUCUCAGCAGGGUAUGGGUAAACUGUGGUUACUGAAUUGAGAUUCCUCCAUUAAAAUCUAUGGGACAAUUUCUAUUCAGUAAGAGGAGUAGACCCUUCUCAAGAAAAUCAAAAGAAUGUAGCCCUGUAAGAGAAUGUCAACAGUCAGUGCUUGUUGUACAUCAUCUAUCCCGCAGGUCGGGUAUUCACUGAUCUUCCUGAAGGUCAUAAGAUAGAUUCAUUGUAGUUGAUAAUAAAAAUCAGACAUCUAGUAGCGGUGGGAAGCUAAAGGCAUGAUAUAAGUACAUUAAUAUUAGAAAAUGUAUUUAAAAAUCUAACCAUCAAGAUUCAUAAAUUACAACCCAAACGACAAGCUUUUGAGGCAGGAUGGAUUGCUAUAUUAUGAUUACCUCCGUUUCCUCAUACAGAGAGCUGGAGUGCAAGCACUUGCUUAUUACCAUGAAUACCAAAAUGCUCUUACUAAUUAUAAAGGUUGCUUAGGAUACAGCUUGUAAAAAUUAACUUACAAUAUUUCAAUUUAGAUGCUGAGAACAGCUUUCCCCUCGAUUAUUUAAUCAUUGCACCAGUUUCUCCUUGUGUUUUCCCUUGUGAGCAGAGCUUAAAAAAUGUAAGGUUGCCGUAAGAUAAUCAGGUAUAUUUGUACUCAGGGGCUGUUUGUCCAUGAUAAGGGGACCUGAGACUCAUAUUUGAAUUCUAAUUCAUAUAUAGAAUAUAGUCUUUGAAAAUCUUAUUUCUGGAAAAACGAAAACCUCAGAGAAUCUCUAGGCAACCAUUAAACAAAACUACGAGAACAUUCAUUGAAUAAAAAUAGGAACACGAAACCAAUAAAUUUUUUCAUUUACUACUUAGGUGCAUCAUACUACUUGAAUCAUAACAGAAUUAAUCUUAGAGAAUAUUGUAUAGAGAAAAAAAAAAAACAAGCAGCCAUAGUUUGUUUUUACAGCAAACAUUCUACAAGGACAUAUUGGAUAUAAUGCAAGGGCAUGCAAACUCUGAACUCCAUUAAUCAUUUAACGAGAACUCCCAUUAUCCGUAACCAUCCAGAUUAGAGCAGCAAUUGUAGACUAACAAAUGGACAUGUACAGUAAGGUACAACAUAUUACUGACAGAUUAAUGAAAACAUUUUGAGUGGACUGCUCUUGUCUAAAUAAUCACGCGUAAUAUAGCAAACUAUUUUUAACACCGAUCUGUCCCAAAUUAGAUUUAAUAUAUAUUUAAACAUUUUUUUUUUUUACAUGUGGCUGUCUUUUCUUUUUUACCUUUAAAUUAAUUAAAUAAUGCAAUGAAGCACAGCAUUUAUUUGAAAAUGUCUCUAAUGAUUACACAUUUAUUUUAGUUAAAAGAACAAAAUAUAUAUUUGGAACAAUCAAUGUAGGCUUCUCCAAUGAUAUUCAUGAAAAGCCUCUCAGGUUUUGCAUAGCUAUAAACUUGCCAAGCCCACAGGUGAAAAGGAUUUCCUUCUACCUGUUUAUAACAUCAUUGAGUUUUCCCAGUUUCCAUUGGUCCAUGUCCGUGCACAAAAUCUCCACCCAUUCAUAUUUUUCACUAGAAAUGCUCUUUUGUUCAUCAUUGUGACACCCUAUAUUAACAACAAAGAGGACAAACUCCAGGGAAACAUUUAAUUGCACAGUUACUUUAUGGUCAUCCCUGUGAGUUUACCCAACUCUUAAAAACAUAUGGACUCGAGUGAAUUUUUUUUAUAAAAAUUGGAAAAUUGUAAUACCUUCUAUCUGGUUUAGGAAGUUAGAGGUAAGUUAAUUUCAUAUAAAUUUAUAUUCAUUCUUUGACAUAAACAUAUGCAUUAAUAGUGUUAUAUACACUAUGUAACCUCAGGAAUGAAACUACUCUUUUUAAUUUGAUCUUCAAACUGAAACCUAAGGCUUUUGUCUUAGAAAACAGAUGCACCCUGGUGGGGUUUACUUUACCCUUGGCUUCAAGUCAAUAUACCUCUUUAAAGCUCUAUAUAACACUAUAUAUUAAUUGUGUAAUUAGUUCUUAUGAAGGCCUUAAUGGGUUACUCUACCCAUAAAUUAAACAAAAACCUAUAAAAAAAUAAUCUAAAAAAAUACUUUGAGUCCAGCACCGAGCCAAAUUCUCCUUGCUUACCCUCCUACUUUGACAUCAUGCUAAUCCACCUGCUCUUGGUCUAACGUUUAAUCAAAGUUUCUUAUUGAAAAGCAUUGAUGGAACUUGGGCAUAUGUGCAACAAGUGGCAAAACCAGACAAUCAGCACAGAGGGCGUGGGAAAUUAAAACCUGUAGGAAGUGCUUUGGGCUGUAUGCAUACGAGCUGCUCACACCUAGUCCCACAUACUUCACAUUGCAGGUGUGCUCACAGUGUUGUACAGAACCUCAUUAUGUCCACCCCCCCGUGCAUAGCUCUGCACAGAAUUCACGUUGGUCAGUAUGGUGUAAAACACUCCGGCACAAUUUACUAUGUAUAGGCUGUGUGUCACACUUAAAAUGCUUCACAUACAGAUUGCUUGCCCCAUGACCACUUCUAAAUCAGCAGUGGUCAUGUUGGCUGCAGUAACCCUUUAAUAAAGACCUGUUUUAUUGGUAAAACAUCACUUGGGCAUUAUUAUAAAAGCAUUAUGGAGAAUAAUUGCAAACAACUAAUAUUUUUUAUUAUACCUACACAGUAAAAAUAUGCAUAUUGCCAAAACCGUAAAACCAUAAAAACUCAUAUUGUUAAAUUAAGGUACCCUAGUAUAUUAAACAUCUGUCUACCGAAAUCCGCAUCACCCUUCAAUCAAUCGACCUAUUGUCUCUUGAUGAUAAUUACAUCCUGUUGUAGACCUGGAAUGGCAGGUUCACACUGUGUUUUCUUUAAUUAGCCAAGCUUUACAUAAUCCACAACCUUCCUCUAUUUGACUAUCGUAUCAUGUAAGGACAGAAGAUAUGAAUUUUAGAUGUCACACUGAAAGUACUCAUCACAUACACUAAUCACAAAUUCAUAGGAACUGAGUAAUGGGUCUGUAAAUGUAAUUUAAGAUAAUAAUUUUUCUUACUGUUCCUUAUAUGUCCCCUGCCUGGGCAAACAUCAUGUAGAAAUUAAAGUGACGACUAAAAAUAACAAAUAUUGUUCUUGCAUCACUCUAACGACACUGGUGUUACAGCAGACAAAACAAACAAAAACAAAAGGAAAUAUUCCCCCCCCCCCAAAAAACAUUUAGCAAAUAAAGAAGGAUGUUACAUAACAGUGACUUUCCAUAAUAACUGGUUAGGAAAUUAAAUGGGAAAUCAUUAACAAUGUACUGAGAAAUGAGAAUUAAUCCUAGUUUCACUUGCAAUUAUGUUUUGCACAGGCAUUAAUUAUGGUUCAUUUCAUACCAUACAAUUGUUAUCUGCUGCCUCCAGUUUUAAUGCAUGGAAAAAUUGUGCCUAAAAAGUCAUGAUGUGCCCUUAGGAUAGAAGUAUAAACCACCAAAUUAUGAUUACUUGUAUUUUGAUAUGCACUGUUGGAAUUGGGAACUGUAACGUGUAUUUAAUAAAAUCUUUAAUAAAGAAUUGGCUGCCUGAAAAUGUGUGCUCAAGGUUUCCAGUCCUGCUACGUAUGGCUUGCAUACAGAGGAACAAAAGUUCAUAUUUAUUAAAGAAAAAUUGGAGCAAUUUUGGGAUGAAGAAAUCAAUGUGGAGUAAUUUUUCUUUUUGUAAUUGCUCAUGAUUUUAAUAAAAAAACUAUACCUGUUUUGCCUUGAUAAUGUAGUCUUUUGUUGGCUCCAUAACUAAUAGAUUACCCAUUAUUGUUUCAGUGAGGAGAAAGAGUAUGGUAGUCACUUGAAAAAGACAGUUAAUCAAUAAAUAUCUUAGAAUUGUGCAUGGUAGAUCAGAUUCAAAAGGGCUGUAGAAAAUUGGAAUAAAAUCAGGAUUUGUUAAAAUUGCUGGUGGUGGAAUUUGCCCAUUUAUCCUACAAAACAAAAUAGGUCAAACAUAGGUAAAGAAGGAUGGUGCUGACUCUAUAAAGAGAAAACAUUUUAUAGAAUUGGCAGUGAAAUCCAAAAUGUGGGACUUAGAUACCACUCUUCCAUUGAUAUAAGCACGCUCUAACCUAACUGAGAGACUUGAAUUUUUAUUCACUAAGUUAAGAGUUACCAGGACAUUCAAAAUGAAUUAAAGUGAAGUCAAACGUAAGGUUAAAGUAGCUGAACUGGAAGCGUGUCGACUUAUUUUUUAAACUUUUCACUUAGAAUGUACUUUGAAUUAUUGAUAAUUCUCACUAUAGUGAAUUACUGUGAAGACAUCAAACACAAACUCUCAAUUUUAAAACCAAAGAAAUAUAAAGAAUGUUCAGUCCAAAUGCUAAUGGAAUGAAUUUUUUUAAAGUUGCUCUUACUCUUUUGACAAUAAAUCAACCGCAUUCUCACUUUCAUUGAAAUUUUAAGAACUUGAAGUUGGUUAUCUGAAGCCCAGCAAUAGCUAGACACAACCUAGUUUACAGUAUUAGGCAAAAAACUGAGAGUAUUUAGGGUAUUUAGGGUUUACCUUUAUGUUCUACUAAAUGUACAAUGACAUCUGCAUUAAUUCUAUGUGUUUUUCACACCGUGUAAUCUUUUUUACAAUAUUAAGCUAAUUUGAGAAUAAAUUGCCCAAUAACAACUUAGCCUUAUACCUUGUUAUAGGGGUGUACUAGUCGGGUAUGCGGGGAUGAGGGAGUCGGACUGAUGGUAUGCUGCUCAAAACUGGAUACAGACAGCAAUUCUCCAAAAAAUGUAGUAAAUAAGGUGUCACCUCUUAUACCUUGUUAUACCUAAUUCUGCUUAUUAUUCUACAUCUCUACAUCUCUAUCCCGUUGUUUCCAUUCUAAAUCUUGAACUGCAAGCAUUUAUCAGUUCUAACAGGCGUAUCGUCCCAGUAAACAAGAUUGCACUCAGUAAGAUCAUAAUUUGAGAUGAUGUCAUAUACACUUUAACUUAAUGAAGACUUAAUUUUGUAAGGUUUAAAAAUACCGUAAAACUUUAAUCUCCAGUGAUUUAUAAUUUUCUGAAAAAAAACAAACAAAACCAAACACUAGGCGUGGAUGCCAUUAUGUGUUUCUAAAAAUGUUUUACAUGCUUACAUAAUAGUUUUGGUGGUAUGUUAUUGUGAAUAGUUUCACUAUUACAUAACUAAUAUAUACUUGUUUGAUUUUUUUUUUGCCUUUUCUGAGAUUAAUUGCAACAAUUACUCAAUUAAACCCUUCAAUGAGUAAUAUCUAACAAAGAAAUCAAAUAAAUAGUUUUUGGCGUAGGCGUAGAAUUAGUUGGGUUAUUGUAAAAUCACGUCAGGAGCAACAUAACGUAUAAUGCACACUCCAUGCCGGGCUUGGUUAUCUUUGUCCCAAAUGUGAAAAGCAUUUCUAUUGCUGACUUCAUGCCUUCAACACAUGUCUCUUAAGCAAAUUAGUUUAUACUAGUAUGGGCUUAAAUAUGUAGUUAUUGUUCUGUCUUUAUACUAAUCCAUCUAUAGCUACAAUUAACAAACAGAACAUGAAUCAUAGACUCUGUAAAAGUGUGUAGGCCUCGCUAAUGACGGUAGCAUUAUUUAUUUAUUAAGAUGAAUUCAAAGUGAAUUUAAUAUUUUAGGUUUAUAUAACAUAACUGGAAACAUAACUGACUUGCAGAUUUUUCCAGUUCACCUAUUUUGGCAUAAAAUUAGAAUUUUAAUUUGAAUUCACUUUGAAUUCCCAAAAAUUCACACUCAUGACAUUUCUACUUCUGUAUAAGACCAUAAAGAUGUGCAUUACAUUUAGAGCAACAAAUUACAUCAUUAUAAACUAUGCUGUAAUACAAAAAAUGUACUUCGUAUAUAGUCACAUUUAUUAGAAAACAAUUCAAUUUAAAAUUAAAAAUAGUAUUUCAUGAAGAAGAUUUAAUAAAUCUAAACUACAAUAAAGGGCAGGACAAGUCCAUUUUUUACAUAUGUACUGAUUACCAUGAACACUGUUGUAAUAAAGCAUCUUUGGGCGAUGUUGGGGGCCUCAAUGGUUCUCACAAUGUACCCGAAGGUCCAUUUUGUUAUUCAAAACAUGCUUGUUGAUAUACAAAACCAGAUGAAGCUGAAAAGGAGCACACAUAACAAGUAAUUUAUAUCAUAACCAUUUAUACUGCACAUAUUCCACAGCACAGUGCAAUUUAGCAAUAAUAUUAAUAUAAAACUGUAACUUUGCAAAGGAUCCAAGAGCAGACUCCUCCUUGCCCUUAUCGAUGGGUAAAUAUGAAUGGGUAAAUAUAAAUUACUUGUUCGGUAGUGUAACAAAGAUUCUUCAUCAUACUUGUUCUUCAGACAGGUGUGCUAAUGCAGCCUUCUAACUUUCAUGAGUAAGAAUCCCAUUUAGAUACUUUUAAAGAUCACAUCUGUGAUAAUCUAGUUAUGAGAUAACAUAUGGUCUCAUUGGUGACAUGCUAAUGUGUACUGUGUAAAAGUGAAGCAAAUUGCACCACGGAAAGUAUGUUAUAACUUAAAUGUUCAUAUUUAAAAGAACAUAUUUUUGUAUUUCUUUUGUAUUAACUACAACUUACACAUGCAUUUAAAAGUUAUUCAAAAUAAAACAUAGCUGUCCUUAGCUACUCAUUCUAACAUAAACUACACUGAAAACACAUUGUGGAAAAUUUGGAAAAUGUAGAAAAUUUGAAUGUGUUGAAAUAAUCAUAGAAUUGUUCCGGUUCUUAAUUGUUCAAUGUGCUGUUCCUGAGCAUGUUGUGUGCGUUGUUCGGGACAUACCUCGUCUUGGUUAUUUUCAGGAUUCUCUUGUCCACCUCAGUGUAUAAAUAAAGUUUCCGGCCCUGUAGUCUUUGCCUCAUCGUGGUUUCCUCUUGGUUCCUCAUAUCAUGCAUUAUAUUGUUCCCUGAGUUUCUGGUUUGUCAAUUUUGGCUUGUUAAUUAACUCUUCAGACUUCUGUUCGCUAACAUGGCUAAUUAUAUAGUAUUUCGAUUUUUCUGGUAUCCUGAUCGUUGCUUGUUUUAUGUUUACGCUAUCUCUCUUUUUAUUUUACAUUUAAACCAGCCAUUCUAAAGUCUGGUAAUAUGCCCUUUCAGUCUACAUAUUCCUGACCUACACUUGUAAGUUGUGUAGUGUAGCCAUGACAAGAAUCAAGUCAAAAUGGCUGCCCAUUAAAAAUGAAUUAUUCAAGUGUUUUAAUCAUUUUUUUAUUUACUCUUACUAUAUAUUAAAGGAUGGCAUUGUGUCAUCUGUUCAGCAUAUUGAAUUGAUUCUUACUUGGAGAUAAUAAACUCUUUGGAGAGUUUAACAUUUAUAUUUAUCUCAAGUAGUAAAAUAUCCCACAAAGCAAUUUCAUUUUAUGGCACCAUCAGGUCCUGAUAAUUGAGUCAUAAUUAUUGACACUAUAUAGCAGGUUUUCCUUCAUUACCUCACAAUGCUGUUUGAUAGUUAAAGUAGACAUGUCUAUAAAUUGUUAAAUUUAAUUGGGAAGAAAACACAAAUAUAUUAAUUAGGUUAUGGUAUUUUUAUAUCAAUAUCAUAUGAGUUUUGUAGCACCACACGAUCUGUACUUUAAAGCAUUUUAUUGACGAGCUUUCAAUAAGAUCUAACUUUACAAAUAUAUAAAGGAGUUUCCAAUACAUGUGAAUACACAUAAAGUGUGAACACAUUGUAAACAUGUCUAAUUGUGUUCUCCUAUUCCUAAUCCUCUCCAAUUAUCCAUUUUCCAUCAAAGUUUUCCUUUUAUGCUUUAUGUGCCUCCAGUUACUGACAGGAUGUAGAUACUUUGUAGCUUGAUCUUGAAUCUCAAGGAUUCUGCCCAGACAGCAGUUCUGAAGUUUUAGGUGGAGUUUAUAUUAUCAGCUUGUGAAGCAAUUUCAUCUGCAGUCAUGACAUUUUGCUAAGUAAGCUAUCUGAAAAAGUUUCAGUUCUUUUCAUUUUAGUACAUCAGCCAUUCAUAUUUUUUUAAGUAGAAGGUCAUGUAAAACAGUUAAGAUGCUUAUCAUUGCUUGUUGAGCCGGGAAUUUACAGAGAAUGUAAUUGUGUAGUGAACUGCAAACACAGACGUUGAAAUUUAAAUUAGUUGAAGGUAUCACUGAUGCUUAAAUCUGGGUCCUUUAAAACAAAUAGUAUACCGUUUCCAAAUUAUAUUUCCCAUCUUUACAUAUACAAAUACAGGAGAAAGGCAUUUGACAUUAAGGACUAUAAAAUAGAUGUUUACAUAUAUAGCUGGUCAGGAUUAACCCCUUAAGGACACAGCUUCUGGAAUAAAAAGGAAUCAUGACGGAAUAUUUCCGUCAUGUGUCCUUAAGAGGUUAAUUAAAUUAAUUCCUGUUUUUAUUUGUAAGUAGAAAACAUUAAAAACAAAUGUAAAAAAAUUAAAUUGGCUAAAUCAUAGAUUCUUGAUUCAUUGCAUGGUAGGGUUUGAGAGGUAUUGCGAGGUCAUAUUGGUUUAUACUUUUAAUCUUAAAUCUAUUGUUCCUAUAAGCAAAUCAUUGAAAGAUCUUCCUGAACACAACCUAAAAAUAUCCAUGCAUUAGGGAAUAUUGAAUUAACAUCAAAGGUGUAUAUAUAUUAUGAUUCAGAUUGCAAAGGACCUACAUAUAUAUUUUAUCAAUAAGAAGUGAACAAACAAAAUGUGAUUUUUUUUUUUAUAAAACCUAAUAUUGCUUAAGGAGCCAACAAAGAUACUGCUUGAAAUGUUAGAUAAAAUAGCAGAAAAAUAUAUGUAAAUUGAUAAUAGUUAAAUUAUCACUCAAUACUAAUACAAACACAAACAUAUGCGUUUGUUAGUAGGAUUGAACCUGAUGCCCAUGGCAUGCCCUGUAAUUUUACAUUAGUAUAUAAAGAAACUGUAAAAUUGCUAAGAUGUUAUUUAGCACUGUCAUUUCUGCUUAUUAACAGUACCAGUAGAAGAUUACUGGAAGAUAAUGACAUGUCCACACAACUUACAACUUCACUGGCCCCAGAAUGUAAAAUUUGCUUUGGUAGCCCUUACAUUGAUUAUGAGGUAAAAAAAAUUGAAUACUUUUAAACAAUAGCAUGGAUUGUGAGCCAAAAGAACCAAUGACGGCCAGGGACAAUCUUUGGACUGUGUGAGAUGUGCAACGUAACAGGAGCACCAGGUGGCUGACACAGCUUGCAACCAGUCCAGGACCUCUCUGAUAAUACCAUGACAUGGGGUCGAAGAGGACUGGAUUCUCCUCAAAACUCUUUCUUAGAGAAUUUUGUCUGGAGAUCUAAUGGUAAAGACCUGUUAAACCAUUAUCAUUAAUUCCCUUCACCUCUUUGCCCCUGACAGAGCUUAAUGUAAUUAAGGGACAGCCACCCAGAAGAAAUAACUGAUACAGGUGACUUAGCUGGCACCUUCUUCCUAAUUAAUCUUAAACCUUGUUCAUUUAACACAUUUGUUUCAGGGGAAAACACACACACACCAAUAAACUACUGCUUAGGUUACUUAUUUGAGUAUAAAUGUAUUCUUUUUUCUUUUUAGUCAACUGAUUGACAUCUUGCCAGCUCUCGGCACCUCAUUAUAUAUUUUUUUAUACUCAUAUGCUUAUUUAUACUAAUACUGGGAAAGUUCACAGCUAUAAAUGCCUCUUUAUUGGUAGAAGCUGACUUGUCUUCAAAUUUCUGUUGAUUUCUUAGUUUCUAUUUUCUAACAUUCUAUUAUUGUUUUAUCUAAACUCAUAAUUAAGUUCCAUAAUGCAACUUAAAGUUUGUUGGAUUACUUUAUAUCUUAUUGGUUUUAUGAUUUUGAGGUUGGUUAUGAAGUGUGGAGAUUGUGUUCCUGCCAGCAUCCUUGUGUUUGGAAGUUGUUUGGCUUAUAAUUGUAUUGCCUUAUUGCAAAACCCUUAUCACGAGUCCUUGGCUACAGUGCAGCGUGUUCCCCUUUUUUAUUUGAUCAAUUUAUACUUCCUCAGCUCUUCUUUUAUUGGAGUCAAUUAACUGAGCAGGACUGAAAAAGAAGAUGUGACACAUGUAUUUAGAUUUAUUGUGCUGCAGAAUUAUGAUUUUUCACUCAGAUUUAGCCUUUAUGAUUAUUUAGUAAAUUUUGAAACUCUCUCAAUGCCUUAUUGUGUGUAUACCUUUGUUUUAAUGGACAGAAAAAUGCACAGUUUGAGCUAUGCCUUAAAAGUACAUGUGGGCAUUGUGAGUUAUGUAUUAACAGCAAUUCUGUGAUAAACAUGCAAUCACCAUGAAAACCAUUGUUACUGCUCCAUUUUUUAUAAUUUUGCCAUAGAAUUGAUCGUUAUAUAUAUCCUUAUUAUUUUCAAUUGCCAUUUUUGAGUUUUGAAAUGGCUAGAUGCUAAGCAGGGCCAAACUGUAACCUGUUUACCGUUGUUUUAUUUAAUUAUUAUACUUUUUAAUCUAUGUGAAUGAAAAUUAUUUUUUUUCUUUCAUCAAGCUUUCUAAUCUCUUUGCUUUGGGGUUAUAAGAAAGAGAUGUUUUAAUUGGUUAAUGCUUUUGGGUGAGGGAAUGUGGUCAGGGUGGGGUUAUUUGAAGGUUUUCCAUACUCUGAGCCUAAAGGCCCAAGGCCAACCUUGAUGACCAGUAAUUAACAAUGGACUUUACAAUAAUGAGCUUUUGGGACUCAUCAUCAUGGUGCUGGUUCUGGUCUAGUAGAUAACAAAUUUCCGUCAAUGUACACAUUUUGGGCUUGCAAUGCCAUCUUAGACACAUGCUUUUUUAUUUACUUUUACAUUUAAUUUUAAACAUUCAAUAAAAUAUUUUGCUUAUUGUAUUCUUUACAUGUUAGAAAACAUCUUAUUUAUGUAGUUGAAACCUUCAUAAAUAGUUGCCAUUUUCACACUCUUUCUGAAAUUGUAGGCUUGGACAGUAACAUAAAAGCCCUAUUAGCAUUAGACAGGGUUUUCUACACUCCACAUCACUUUCCAAUUUGGGACACUCCAGGGUAUUAGAAAGGCAAAGAUAUAUGAUGCUCCUCUGGUCUAGAGAAAUGAAGUUUCCUCUGGAGUCUUGGCAAACUGCUGUCAAAUUCAGCAUUCAGUAAUAUGUACAAUUUAAUAGAUUUAUAUGUCAUUUUUGUUUAAAUAUUUUACAUCCAGACAAGUGUACUCAAAUCAAUUUCUAAUUAGUGGCUAAACAUAUAUGAGAAUAUUACUUUUGGGAAUCCUGAUCAAAUUCUUAUUUACCUAUCUAAAACAUUCAUAAAACAAUAAUUCAUAUAUUAGACAAUUCAUCAACCCCGAUAGUGUUAAAAAACCCAUACAGAAACUAUACAAUACAUUUAAGCCAUAAAUAUAAAUUCUACAAAUAAAUCUCUAUCCUUUCAUAACGUUGUGUUUUCUUAUAUCCCUAGCACCAAAAGUGUUAAUAAAUAAAAUUCCAAACCAUGUUUGAUGAUUGUCAGCUAUAAUGAAAUCAAUACUUGGAGCCACUCUAGUGAUUAUAUUGUAAGUAUGGGGUGAUGGCAAGAAAACUGUAGAGAAAUGUUUGCAGGGAGAUGCAUACUGAUGUGUUAUAGGUGUGUUAGUUAAGGGUCUGAGUAAUUCUAAAGCUCACUUUUAAACCCUUUUGGGAGAUAGGAAAAAUCGAAUCAUAAUAUUAUUCUCCUUCAAGUGGGUUAAAGGGUUAAAAGGUUAAUUUGAAAUAUUCACUAAUGGUAUCCUUGUAUUAUUUUCAUGUAUUUCUCAAUCUAUAUCUGCAAGCAGGCAGAUGUUCUGCCUUAUGUUUGUGCCACUCUACUGUUCCUAAAUUAAAGUGAACUAAUUCAUGCUUAAAAUAGGAUGAAAUCCCUGCCUCUUGUAUUUAUUACAAAACCUUUUUCGUGGAAUGUCACAUUUAAUUUAAUAAUUCACACAUAUGGUAUAUUGUACUCCUCUAAUUUAUAUGCAGUUUUUCAGGAGUAUGUAGAAAUGAAAAUUGGAUAUGUAUUACCAAACAGACACUUGGUUUUACUAUGUUAUAUGAAUAUUUUAAUUAAGACAAAAUUAGUAUAGAAAAUUAGUAAAAAUUUGUAACAAUUUAUUUUUUUCAUUCUGAUUUAAAAUUCCACAAAUGUACUUGAGGUUUGGAAAGUAAUGUAGCUAGGUCUGUAGCCAACGUUUACUAGAUAAUUAGGUUAACAUUUUUCUGGUAUUAUUCUGCUUUCAUUUCACUGAUGCAAUACCUUGUUCUGCCCGCAAACCAAAAUUAUCUGCCAUACUAUUGGUCAGGUUUUAACAAUAUUAAUAUCUUUCUUUUGUCUAAAUUUUCUUAAAGGGUUUCCCCAGCCUUUUUAAGGGGGGGGACCUUUCCUGUGUAAAAUUCCCUGUUGGGCAGUAUGGAGAAGAUCCAUUCUCCGUUUGCAGAAUAACCUGCUAGAUUAAGCUUUGAAUCCAGCUCUGGGCAAUGAUCCCGGUGACUGAUCUUUCACUCUCCCACUGAUGUCACAGGGCCACAUGCUGUCCAAUCACAGGCUUCUCAUAGAGAAACCUGUGAUUGGACCAUUUUGACGGCUAGACGCAUGCUGGUGUGGAAAGGUGAGGAUGGUGUGGAGAGAAAGGAUUGUAAAAGAAAACUCUGUGCAACAGAGGGUGAUGGGAAAUUUUUAUGUUUGUUGGCUGCGUGCAGUGUGCGCUGACAACAGGUGUUUUUAUGCACAGAAUUGACAUUGGCACUCGAACUAUUAAACUAUAUCAGGAGAGAAACACUGCUAAACAGUAAUUAUUAUUCUUCAAGUUAAAGGGAAUAUCAGAGAAUUGAGCAGAAUUGAGACUGCAGUGGUAUGAUCUUUACACCAAAACUGCUUUAUUAAGCUACAGUUGUUUUGGUGACUAUAGUGUCUCAUUAACUUGAAGAAUAAUAACUGGGGAGCUUUGCGGAAUUCUCAACCUCAAUUAUAGUAUGCUUUCAGUAUCUACAACUUCCUUAUAUAAAUUAAUAUCACAGCUACACGAUGGGUCAUUUAUUUGGUUAUCCUGUGCAGAAAGACUAGGCUCAAAUACAUAUUCAAUAUUUCAGACAGGGCGUAUAUCAAUGAAGUACAGUAAAAAUAACAAAACUGUGUUAAAAUAUGGUAGUUUCUAAAAAAAUUUAGUUUUGGCAUACUGUAACUAAAGAUAACUAAACGGGUGGUAGGUUUGCAUUGGUAUUGAUUUGAAGGACGUAAGUUGUUGGCCCGGACGCCAAGUAGGGGCAGAGUUGUUUAGCAAUGCUCUUCUCCAUUGUAGAACCUAUCCUCCUGGCAAGUUAUCAAUUGCCAUCUUCAUUGGGAUGUAGAAGCAGGCAGUGUUAAAACUAAACAAACAUGAAUAGAAAUGGAAUGGCAUCUUACUUCCCCCAAUUAGCCCCCAAGACUGGGCUUUUAGGAAAUAUAUUACUAUGCUAGAAAUAGCUACUUACUCUGUGUGAAGAUUUACAAUAUUACAUAAAAUAAAUUAUAGAAAUAUAGGAAUAGUAUGUCCACUUUGUGCAUUCACUUUAAAUAUCAAUUUUCUGCCAUAUCAAAAUGAUAUCAUGUUUAAUAGAUAAGCUAUACUAUCGCUAGGCACAAACCACAUUUAUUAUUUAUUAAGCUAUGACUAACUGCAUGUGCAUUGGCACAAAAAUGCUCGUCCCCAGUUCUAUUAUACUGUCAGUGAUAGAAACUGUUUUGAUAUAUUUAUUUUGCAGUAAAUCAUCUCAAAUGACUUUUGCUUGACCAAAUCCAAUCAAAGUCUUGGCAUAUAUCCUCUCUUUCCAUAUAAAGUCCCAGGUUAAAUCAGUUUCAGCAACCUUACAUGCUGAUUCACUGUAGAGAAUGUAAUAUAGCUAUAGUAGAGAAGCAAAUUCCCUUACAUGUAUCUUUUAUUCACAGUGAACAUCGUUAUCUGAUUUACAGUUAUAGUCACCUCAAAGACAUUGCGCUUGCUAUCUUCUGGGUAGGGUGUGUGCUUUGCCAGUAGGCCAAAAUGCAUUUCCCUGUGCUUCUUUUUGGACAUUCUUACAAAACACAAAUGUCUAUAUUCGAAGAGUAGCCAGCUCUGCGUGUUUAAAUGUUAAGCUUUGUUCCUACAUUAUUUGAUGUCAGUGGGACAAUAAUCCUUCCUAGAACAUAUUACUAUGUACUUGGUAAAAUAUACACAUUUAAAAGCAGAUAACUCUCCGCACUCGUGCAAUGCUGUGGAGCGAAAACAACACUUGUGGUGUGAAUGCACUUUUUUAAAGAAUAUAAUAUAACACAAAUUAUAUAAAUAAACAAAAACAUGCAUGCGAAAAUCGUGACAACUAAACAGAAGGAAUUUAGGUAAAUACCCCUUUGAUUGCUUUCUCUUAUUCUUACUUGAAUUUGGAAAAUAUAUUCUUCUACAGUGUUCAGAUUGACCCAAGUGUCACUCUCCAAAAUGCAGUUAAAUUGGGCACUGAUAUUUAUUUAUUACUGGCAUUUAUAAAGCACCAACAUUUUCCGCAGCGCUGUACAAUUGGGAAAAAGACAAUACAAUAAGAACAGACCUAUACAAUAGGUAGAGGACCCUGUCUGUGAGCUUGCAAUCUAAAGGUUAAAAUUGGGAAAUGAGACAAGAAACUGCAGAGGAAUUGGUAUGUGAUGACAGAGAUAAUUAAUAGUAUAACUGCAGCAGCUGAUAGCAUGUGAAGAGAAUGAGGAGGUGAUUGACUGUGGUUCCAAACAGCUGGACGUGCAUGCUAUAUAGUUAGAAGGAACCAGGCUGGGCAGGAGGAGGGGAGGAUGGGUGGCUAUGACACUGAAUAAGUAAAUAGACAAAAAGAUUAGCCUUCUUUACAUGCUGAUUGGCUGGCAUAUUUGUCCUGUUCAUUUAUCUAGGAAACCAGCUAAUUGAUUCAAAAAAUGUUACAAAGAGACUUAAAAUGACCUGAAAAUCCCUUUGUGACCUAUUAAUUAUUCAGAUUUAAAUAUAGACGUUGAAAGCAUUUCAUUAUAGAAAAUACACGUGUAAGUAAUCUCCAUUCGGGAACUCUUUAACAAGGCUCAAACAUACAAAUACAUGUUUAUGUGCAUACUGUAUGCAUAUAAUAUUAUCUUGAUUACAUUUGCAAUUUUUUUAAUAUAAUUAAUAAUAGGCAAAAUAGAUGAUUUGUACUUGAAAAUGAGGCUAUUCAAAAAAGAUAAUACACAUUUAUUGUGAUUAUACAUUUUUAUUGCUAAUAUUUGAGAUGUUAUCCUUUUAAUAUGGUCUUCUAACAAUCUUCAAAAUCAUGUUUUAGCCCAUUAUCUUGAGCUUUUGAACCCACAGGUCUAAGCUAGGCAAACGUAUCUCCAAUAUAAAUGGUGAUUAUGGAAAUUUUAGUGUAGCAGGUGUCGAGAUGCCAAGCUUUUUUUAACCUGUGAGCUGUGGGUUUAAAUUCCCUGAAGCAUAACAUCUUUGUACUUAGAAAUGUAAAAUAUGUUACAAAAUUAUAACAACGGGUUUCUUAUAUGAGUUUGAAACCACCUGCAGGAAAAAAAUACAUUAUACAAAUUUUUGUUUUUAUACAUGUUUGAAUAAAACAUUUCACAUGAGGUUUUCAUUGUGAAAUGCAGUUUUGGUUUCCACUUUGUAAAAAAUUAAAUUGUAGCUGUAUAUAUAUAUACAUAUAUACAUAUAUAUAUAUAUAUGGAGGAAAAUAAAUACUCCUUUAGACAGUGUUUAUAAAAUACGAGGCUAGCAGAAUUUAUUGAGGGGCUUAUUUACUAAAUGGUGAGUUGUAUUGCAUUAAUAAUGAAUUAUAAUAUAAUGUACUGAAGUUUAAUAUAGUGUACUUCAAACAUAUACAUGCCAAUCAAGUGUUACAUAAUGAUAUGAACUAUAGCUGCUAAGCUGGUAGCUUCCUUCAGCCAACAUUUGGGGACAUUAUAUAAAAUAAAAGUCUCUCUACAAAUAAAAAAUAUAUUGAAAUCAUACUCUGUAAUAGUUUUACUAACACACAUCUGGAAGAAUACACACAUUUUCAUUAUUGUAUCUGGAGGUGAUUGCUUUGCUAGUAUUGUACUCACAAAGAUACUCUAUACUAGGGAUGUCCAAAAGGGUAGAUAUAACAUCAUGGUAGGCAAAGCAUCAUGAUAAUGGCAGUACUAAAACACAUGGAGAUCUAACUUCUAGGCACCCCUGGUUCAUACAUUUGUCUUACUCAUUUUCAAAAUGUACAAAAAAGUAGAAAUAAAAUGCUUCAACAACAAGCUGCUCUCCUUUUGGUUUUCAUAAUUGUGAGAACAUUAGAGUAAGGGAAGAUUUUCAAUGUGAGAAAAAGUAUGGCUUGUAGAAAAAUCAUGUUCUCUAGGUCCUGUAAUUUUAUUUGUAGCAGUAGUUUUAUGAAUAUUUUUAUAUAAUUCUACAACUAUAAUCAUUCCUGUUCUUUGAAAACUUCCCCCACUCACACCUGAGAGGUGGUUAAAGUAAGUAAAAGCAGGUAAGCAAAUAAAAUCCAUUGAAGAACUAUAUACUGAUAUAUAUAUGUCACUUUUGCUGACCUUUGCAUGGUUUGCAAAGGUGACAUGCCAACCUGGAGAAUGUGUGCCUAGGGGUACAGGAGAAAGUGGAUAUAUUUACCUGAAACUGUGAAACUGUGCAACACUGAUGUCUAUGGAAGAUCCCAUAAGUCUUCAUGAUCCUCUAGAGCAGGCAUAGGCAACUUUCGGCACUCCAGAUGUUUUGGACUACACUUCCCAUGAUGCUUUGCCAGCAUUAUGGUUGUAAGAGCAUUAUGGGAGAUGUAGUCCAAAAUAUCUGGAGUGCGGGAAGUUGCCUAUCCCUUCACUAGAGACACUGAUAGUGACAGCUAGGGCUUUUGACAAAACUUUACCAUGGAAGCACUGCCCAAGUUUUGUCAACCUCAGGCUUUACCAUAAGAUAAAGCAGUCCCUAAUUUUCUAUGGUUUCAUUUGAUUGCUUUAGAAUUUUUAUGGAAUUCCAACAAAGUCAUUGGGAGUAUUUCAUCUUUGUUUUAUCUUUAUAAAAUACUCAAACAUGUUGUGUGGGGAGCAGGGCCAGAUUAUUGCAGCCAAAUUAAAAUCAGUGACCAUUAAGUAAACAGAUAAUGCACAUAUGAAUAAACUAAUGGUGGCCGACCGUGUGACAUUUAUAUUUUCUGAAACAAUACACUUUGAAACCAAUGUGAUGCAUACAUUUUAUAUAUAGAUUUCAAAUCUUCUAAAGGUAACUUUUCAUAAAGCCAGGAAUUAUCUUGAAAUAUAACUAGGUCUUUCAUUUGUUAAAUAUAUUAAACAAUAGUUUAACAGCCACUGGAGGUGUGUUUUACUCUGCAACGUAAACAUUGCAAUUUGUAAACAAUCGCAAUGUUUAGCGUUGCAGGGUUACACCUACAGUAUUACAACACCCUGAGCAGUUCAUUAAGAUAAAGUGGCUGGGUAACUUUAUUGGUACUGCAAUGGAAUAUCUGUUGAACAAAGUAUCAAUAGCUAUGUACAAUCACACGGCUAAAUUGGAAAAAAAAAGUCUCAAACUCAACUAUGUUGGCAGCUCAGUUAUUAGGCCAAAGAUGUCUAUCUAUCUCCUUACGUUUCACUCUAUAAUUAUUUUUUUUUGUAUGUGCAUUCAGAAUUCAAGGUCAUUGGGUGACCCCUUAUCAAUUGUAUCAGUCAUCAAAUUGUAUGCUUUCUGUUUGGGUGAAAAGUGGAUAUUGAGACAUGAUUACCCGACCUUGUCCAUAUUCUCUGUGGGUCAACUAAUGUCCUGACACUAUGGAAGAACACGUAUGAAUGAAACGAUCCAUUAAGGGAAAUGAAAUGUCACUUCAUUGCAUAUAGCUUCUCAAAAAGAAUCACACAGCAGAGCAGUGGGGAAACCUAAAGCCUUUCAAGUUUCAUCUUGCAAGUGGAGUGAUCUUUUGUAUUAUGUAAUUUUCAGAUGUUGAAUUCUAUUCUGGAAGGGAAUUACUGCUUUAUUUUCAUGAAUUAUACCUGAUAUCUAACUUUAGAAAGUAGUUCUGUCUGUGCAUGAAUUGUUAAAACACCUGUUCCAAGCAAUAACUGUUGGGUAGAAGGACGGAAUAAGUAAUGACAAUUUACAUUUUAAUUAGCCUUUCAGAAGAGCUUGAAGUUCAAACACUGAAUUUCAUUUCAUUAAAGCAUCAGCUAAACCAUUUAUUCAUAUGGCAAUCAUGGUCUUUCCAUGUAGAAAACACCUCUCAAGUAAUUUCUUCAGAUGUUCUGUAAACAGAAGGGUGGAGAUAACACACUGUUUGAAAUGUCAACAAAAUGGACAAAUAAUAUAGUGAAUCAAACUAAUUGGAUUUCCCUUGUACCAUUUCACAGCAAACAGCAUAUGUAUGAUGUGUUGGACAACUUUUUAAUGGAUUUUGCACAAAAGUCUACAUGGAGCAUUUGAUUAUUUGCAAGUUUCAAUGACAAAUCAUACAUUUGUAUAUCUAAAAUGUAUAAAUUAUUAGUUUUCUACAAUGGGCUUCUAUUUUUUUUUUAUUAUUAAGCACGCCAUACAUGUACGGUACUGUUAUCUUCUAAACAGUAGUAAUAUUUAAUACACAUGCACACACCCACUCAGCCACAGCACACGGAUAAACUGCUACACUACUCACAAGCACAGACAAUGACUAUGCAACAUAAUUAGAGGGAAACUUUCACUUCCUAGGAUUUGUAAUAUUAUAUUUACUAAUAAAUACUAUAUAUUUAAAAAAUGUGUGUUUGAAAGGACUGACCAUAAAAUUUUAAUUAGAAACUCAUACUUCUGAAUAUACUUCUUUCCUGAAAUUGGACACCUCCAUCUUGGCUCCCUGACAGUCACUGGUAAAAGCCUUUUUAUGUCAUUGAACAUAGUACGUGGAGGUGGCGAAACAGAAUCAUCAUUUUGUUUCUCCUCCUCCAAUGUGCAUGCCAUUGCUUUGCCAGGACACAACCGGAUUGUGAUAAUAGCUGCUGAACUUUUUCUAUGCAUUGAAAAAAAAACUUAACAUAGCAUGAAACGAUGUAACUGCAGGUAGCGCUUACUUGAUAUCAUGAAGCUUCAUAAAAAAUAUAUAUGUAAAAAGUUAACGAAAUAGAUGGAAAUUAAACAAAAGCAACAACAACAACAAAAAGACAUCUUACAACAUACCACUCCAUAGAGCAGACCUCACACGUAUAAAAUUACCAGAAUCCUAUUUCUAUAACGUUCUGUACAAUUUACUACAUUUAACAAAACUCUGUAUGUUGCAGCAAGAGCUGCAGAGAAUAUUGAAUGUGUUUCAAUUUACAGUUAUGAUGAGCAAACCUCUGUGAAUUAAAUUCCUUGACAAAACUAAAUUAGUAAUUCAUUGCCUCUCUCUCUCUGUUAAUUUACUGUAAACUUACAACUAAAGGAUGCAUGGUACGAAGCAAUCAGCCAAAUCCUUGGGUGGUCAAACUCAACAUUUACUGUAGAUUUUCAUCUGUGUGGCAAACGAUAAAACAAUAUUGUUGAACUUCUAGUUCAAGCAGUAUAUGAUUUUGCAGGUGGGCUUAAGCUAUCAAAUGCAAAGUUAAUUAAAACAGUCAUUUGAAUCUUCAGAUAAGGAAUAAUCUGUACAUACGCUGAAACAGCUUUACUGUAAGAGAUUUUAUGUGCACCUGCUGUAUGUACAUGACAUAGAUACUUUUUAUAUCUGUUUAUUAACCUCUUACUUCUCUUCCUUCUAUUUACAUCACUAGCGCGUGUAGGCACAUAAUUCUCAAGUGCCCACCAAUGCCUCCAUAAAAAUGAAUCAAGAAAAAUGUCACCAUUUAAAUAUGAUGUUUGUGUUCAGUAUGGGUAGCAGUAUGUUUGCAUUUGUGUAGAUAUAGCAGUGUGGGUAGAGUUGUCUAGGUGACAUUGUGUGUAGAAAAUAUGGUCCUGGUCAAAAACAGUCAAUGGCAAUUUUUCAAUAACUUUGCCCUUUGUUUAACAGUAAACUGUACCAUGCAGUAAACAAAUUUUAUAGAUCAAACUUCAUGGCUGCUAUUUAGCAGCUUAGAAGGAGCAAGGGAAUUGAGGAGUAAGUUAGAGCCAACUGAGCACCAUACUGAGAUUCUUUCCAUGGUGUAACAGCAGCCUUCAAUGCCUUACACAACAAGAUAAAACAGGUUGAGCCAAAUACCCCCCCCCCCCCAAAAAAAAAAAAUAUAUGUAUAUAUCAGCUCCUUUGGCUUCCAGUAUCAUUUCUAUGCGGAUUAAACACAAAUGUAUCUGUCCUCCCCUGAUUUCUCACCACCCCUCUUGACUCUUUGCUAGUUCCAACUAGAUGGCUGCUCAUAUCCUUAAACUGAACCUGUCCAAAACAGAACUUCUGGUCUUCUUGCCCUCAAGGGUGGCUACUCCCUUGUCUGUGUCCCUACAAGUCAAUGGCACUACCAUCCACUCUACCUCUAAGGCUCACUGCUUAGGUGUUCUCUUUUGACUCCGACCUCUCCUUCACCCCUCAUGUCCAAUCAGUCACCAAAUCCUGCUGCUUCUAUCUCAAAAACAUUGUGCACAUCUGAACCUAUUUUACGCCUCAUCUGGCAAAGGGCUUGUCCAAGCUGCUGUCCUCUCUCAUCUUGUAAUCCACUUCUCAGUGGUCUUAUGUGUUUCCAACUUGCUCCAUUACAAUCAAUAAUAAAUGCAGCGGCAAGACUCAUUUUCCUGUCCAUCCGCAUGCCUCCCUCCUUUGUCAGUCCCUACAUUGGCUUCAUGUAAGAUAAAUGACUCAAUUUAAGAACCUGAUACUUGCUUACAAAUCUCUACACAAUGCUGAUCUGACAUACUUAUCCUUACUAAUACACAAAUAUGUCCCAUCUAGCCCCCUACGCUCUGCUGGAGACCUAUGUCUAACCUCUGUUUGUACUCCUACCUCUGAUGCUCACCUUCUCUAGGGAGACUUCUCUAGGGAUGCACCGUUUCUAUGGAACACCCUCUCUGUUAGGCUUUCACCUAAACUCCACUCCUUCAAAAAUUCUUUGAAAACUUACUUUUUUUAGGAAAUCAUAUCAAUUAAACUGUGAACAGCUUUCUCUCAAUGAAUACUAUCCUAGCAACAAACUUUUCUACCAUACCCUUACCUUUUGUGUCACUAUACCCCAUUCUCUCUAGCAUCUAAGCUCAUUGAGCAGGGCCCUCAAUCCCUCUGUUCCUGUGCAUCUAACUUGUCUGGUUACAAAUACGUGUCUGUUAGUCCACUCAUUGUACAGCGCUACAGAACUUGUUGGGGCUUUAGAAAUAAUAAUAACAUAUACACGUAGUAUUUAUACAUAUAAAUUUGUGAUCCUUAGAAAAGUUCCUGAAUGAGACUUACAUACAUUAGGCUCCUGCAGGGUCUAGCAAGCUAAUAACAGAGCAGGAGAUAAGAAAUUCUACAUUAAACAGAAUUUGCAAUAAAGGAAGUGUAAAUGCCACAUGACUCUUUACAUGAUAAGGAAGGAUGUGUAAGUCACAUGCAGGGAGGUGUGGCUAAGGCUGCAUAAAAAAUUGAUUUAACUUCUAAAUGACAGAGAAUUGAGCAGUGAGACUACAGGGGCAUUAUCUACAUACCAUAACUGAUUCAUUAAGCUAAAGUUGUUUUGGUGACUAUAGUGUCCCUUUAAGAUCAAACUGUAUAAGAAUCCAGACCAUCUGGUGAUUGCUGAAAACUGUGGACUGUGUUCUUUGCACUUUUUUGGAAAUAUAUAUAUAUAUUUUUAUAUUUAAAAAAUAAACUUCAUUCCAUGACAUGUCAUUCGUUGUUUUGCAAAUACUCUUGACAAUUUAAAUAUUUCCAUUUAUAUUUUUUUGUUACCCUUGCUCUUUUACAAAUCUAAUAAGAAAUGCCAAAAAUGACGUAAACAUUUAAUUGGGAUUAUGAAAUAAGAGAUUGUAUUGAUGAAAAUAAAACUGUUCCAAAAUUGCCUUCCAUAGAUUUUAGUUGCAAAACAUUACUGAUGCCUAAUUAGUGCAGGUUGUCAUAUCUUAUAAAAACUCAGAGUUUAUUCAUUAAAUUGCUAUUAUUAUAACUGUGCUAAAUUGAUCAAAUAAUUUAAAUUCAUCUGUCAAUUCACCAAAAAAAAAUUACUAGUUACUAACUUUUAAUAUGAUAAAUUGCUCAGAGCAUAACCAGUAGACAAAUAAACUGGCAUACAAAAAAACAUUUGUGGAUUUUUAUUAUACACUAUGUUUUUGUGUUUGUCUUUAGACAGUCAGAGAUAGUUAAAAAGACAUGUCACCGCCUCAAAAAGUAAAAUGUCUGUUAAGGACCGUGGGAUCCAUAGAGAAGAAACUAAGAACUAAGAAACCAGUAGAGAUAUUCUUUAAAUCACCAAUAGAAUUCUACUACUCAGAAACAAGUGGAGAGCUAGUGAAGAAUGCCUGUACUGUGUGAAAGAUGGUCGCAGUCAAAACAAUUCAAACUCUGAGAGCAGCGCUUUAUUACUACACAAAAAGUAGCUGCAGGUGUUCUGUAGAAAGAUCUAUUACAUUAUCAUUUCAUCUGCCACUUGAAGAUAAAAUACAAUACAUUGCACUGUAGGCCCUACAAUAGUUAGCUAAAACUAUAGGCCCAGUAUUCAGUCCUGAAGACCAAAUGCUAAAUACAAAUACAUAAAGUUGAGUCGAAAUCUAACGUGAUCUUAUUUUAUUUUAAUAAUUGAAUCAUCAAUAUUUUAAUAGAUUUUCUACCUUUUUCAUUUGCUUCAAAGGGAAUGCUCACUACUCUAGAAUUUACAGCACUGAAUAACACUUUAAAAAUCACCUAUGAUUAACCAUACCUACAUGUAUUAACCAUUUUCCAAUGAGGUGCUCUAUUUUCUUUUCAACAUAUAUUUAAAAAUUUUUGCAAAUUAGAUUAUAAUCCAGCUAAAACAAGACAAAUCUGGGGCCAGCAUUGCAAAUAUAGAAAAAAAUGAUUUCGGACGACCAGUCAAUUAGCUGAAAUUAUGAUGGAUUGCAAUUCUGAAGAAAAUCUAUUAAAUAGUCACUUCAAAUGUGUGAUUAAAAUAUAUUUUUACAUAUUCAGGAUUAUUUGAGUGCCGAGUCAGAUUAUCUACAGACAAUAGCUUAGGGUGGUAUCCUGUCUGGGUCUUAAACUCUGGCUAUGAGUGGGCCCUCCCUGUGCUGGCAGGGAAACCAAAAUAUCUCCCUGCCUUUGCUCCCUUUCUUGUUUAAGGUUUUUUGUUGUUGAAACUUUCAUUGGGUGCAGAUAACUUUAAGAGCCCCAUCGUCCCUGCUUCUCAAUGACUCAGAUUAAUUUACUGAAUGAACACAGUAAAGGAGGAGACCAUAUUUAAAAGAAGAAAAACUACCACAACAAGAGGACAUAGUCUUAAAUUAGAGGGACAUAGGUUUAAAAAUAUCAGGAAGUAUUACUUUACUGAGAGGGUAGUGGAUGCAUGGAAUAGCCUUCCAGCUGAAGUGGUAGAGGUUAACACAGUAAAGGAGUUUAAGCAUACGUGGGAUAGGCAUAAGGCUAUCCUAACUAUAAGAUAAGGCUAGGGACCAAUGAAAGUAUUUUGAAAAUUGGGCAGACUAGAUGGGCCGAAUGGUUCUUAUCUGCCGUCACAUUCUAUGUUUCUAUGUUUCACUGAGCCUGUUAGAGAACACUUAAAAGUGAUUUACAUCCAAUAUUGGGACAGACCACAAUGCUCCUUCUCUGCAUCAACAGGGAUCCAGUUCAGUGUGCUCUCCAUUGGACCACCAGGGAUAACACAUUUUCCUGACAAAAGAUAAGCAUAGGAGCAAAAGAAAAGCUUCCCCACAAUCACUCAGACACUACACACAUACAUCACUCAGCCGCAGCAAUAUUUAGACUCCUACACACACACACAACACUCAACAAGCACACACAGGCUGCCCCUCACAUAUACUGUAUCUCUCACUCUCCACCACAAACGCAACACUCACCUACUACACACUCUCACACACACAACAUUCAGUCUCCCCUAUACACAAUCAACACACACACAAGUUCAUAUUUAUUCACUUUGCUGAAAUGUAAUUCUGCAUACAGCCUUGGAUAUACUAUAACAUUUUUAUUCUUUAACCUUGGAUUUUCCACUGGCUUCCGUUUUAUGAAAAAUGCAAAACAUCUCAAGUGAGAUCUGAAUUUACUAAUUUAAUUUAUUUAUUAGUAAUGCAAUAGAAAUUGGCUAAGGUCAUUUUAUGUAUUUCACAUACCAAACUACAAACAUCCAAAUUGCAUAAAUACUUUGUUUAAUUCUAUAGCAUGAGAACAUUUUAACAGUAAUUAAAAAUGUAACUGUUAAAAGAACACACGAUGGUUUAAUAAAAAUGAGUAGUGCCAUUUAAUGUGUACACUUUCACAAUUGCAUUAAGGUACUUGGUACAUUUCUCAAGAACAGAAUGCAAUGCUAUGUAAAAACAUUCUAUUCUUUAUAUACUAAUCUCAAGCUCUUUUUUAUCUAUAUAUUUUUUCCCUUUUACCUCUACUGGGAGAUAAAACAUCUUUUAUUAAUAAUUGCAAGGUUUAAUAUUUUAUAGACUUUUUGUGCUCAAAGAUAUAAUAUUCAGACAGUUCUCACAAUGAAGAAAAUUACACUUGAUAAGAUCUACAGUAUAACGGGUUAGAUUUUGUAUCCCAACAAUAAGGACUGAAUCGCAGUAAAGUCUGAGAGUAACAUGUAGAAUUUAUAACACUGGAGUAUUUUUUGGUCCCUUUAGAUUACUGUACACACAGAUUUUUGGCUACACUGCAAAUGUGCCAUUUUGCCACCACCCCCCCACAAAAAAAUGCAUCUUCACCUGUGAGUCUCUUUAUUCCCCUCUUGAAUUCCGCAUAUGUUUUUUAUCCCAACUUUUGAAUGUCUUAUCUCCUUUUGUGUAUGUUAUUGCCAUUUUGUGUCAUACAGCCUCCUUUUGUUUACAUUAUCCCCCAUUUUUCCCAUUUUGUUUAUAUUCCCUCCUUGUGUGUCUCUUACAACCCCUAUUUGUGUAUCUAUAACUUCCCUUGAGCCCCAGACCUGUGUAACGUUUCACCAGCUACUUUUGUGUGUCUCUUACCUUUGCCUUUCCUCCAGCUACUUUUGUGUUUAUUGCCCCUUGUCACAUUUCCACAUUUGUCUUUUCCAUCAGCCCUCUUUUUGUGUCCACUGUGUGCUCCGAUCCGGCUUAUGACCCAGACCUUGCAACUCCUGGAUGGGUGUGCCCUAAUGCGGCUGCCUAUACCGUCUUAUGGUUGUUUACAUGCUUCUAAUCCAGGUUGGGAGGCAUUUCUCAUUACAAUUAUGCUGAGCCUCUGGGAAUCAUCAGUACUGCUGCUCACUCCACCAAUUCAACAUUAUGUAGGGCACAUAUAUCAGAUUCUCUAUGACAAUCAGUGAUGGCACAGUGCACUCACAGAGAUAAUCUUUAACAUAUGCUUCAUGGUAGCGACAAUGUGAGGGAGGUAGAACAUCUUUCUCUUGAACUUGGAAUGGUUGGAAAGCAUAAACAAAGGUGCACUCUGUUAAACUUUAAGAUAUCCACAGCCAGAUAAAAUGGUUCUCUUGCAUUUAUCCCCUGGAAUUCAACCAGGCAGGGCUAUGAGUUCUAGAGAAGCUUUAGCCUUGUGAUUACAUAUUAUCAUUACUAUCUGAAUUUGCACAAAAAUUCUUCAUCAGCAGCAAUAAAUAGGUAACUUUUUGGUAAACUGCAAAUUUUUUUAUUAUUUUUUAUUAUUAUAGACUUUUCAAGGGACUAUAGUCAUCCAUUGCUUCUCUUAAUAUUAUUUUGUAUGUCAAUUAAUCAUUGUUACACACUCCAGUUGCAAAAUUGUAAAGUGCUAAGGAAAAUGCAGGUACUCAAAAACCUGCAUGAAUAUGGUUCCAAGGGUUCUCAGCUCUUUGACAUAAAGGAUGUCCAUACUGACAUGCCUAUCUCCCCAGUGUCAAGGGAUAUCCAAAUCCACUAUCACUUCCUGCAAAAAAUCUAUACUGUGCUUCACCUUAUUACUAAAUAUAUGUGGGUAUGGAUGGUCAUGCCUUCCCCUAACUUUUAGUUAUAAUUAAAUUUGAACUUGACCUAAAAAAUGCUUAGAACAAUUACAGCUGGUAGAAUAUACUCUACUUAAGAGAUUGUGGAUGAACAAUAUAUCUGUUGUGAUCUGAUCUGCCACUCCAACAUCAAUAAGACAGUUUGAAACCGACAAGCUGUGUUGAAUUGUGCUGGUUUUGCACUAAAUGAGUGACAGUGCAGAUAACAAAAUUAGGAAUGGACUUCGAUCUUUACAUUUCUGUGAGGUUUAUAUAUCACAUUACAGACAACCUUAAAAGUUGUUCAUCUAAACACUGCCCAAGUAAAGUGAAGCAUCACUUCAGCUAAGUUUAUUAUUGUAAGCAUCACCUAUUACAUUUUUCUGUUUUUUUUAUCUGUAUGAUAAAAUACUUAAAUUAACACUAUAGGCACCAAAACAACUUUAGCUUAAUGAAGCAGUAUUUGUGUAUUCAUCAUGCCCCUGAACUCACUGCACAAUUCUCUGCCAUUUAGGAGUUAAAUCAAUUUUGGUUUUGUUUAUGCAGUCCUAGCCUCACCUUCCCUGGCUGUGACUCACACAGUCUGCAUGAGGAAACGAUAGUUUAAUUUUCAAUCAGAUGUUAACUUACUUUAGAAGUUUUUGUCUCCUGCUCUGUAAAUUAAAUGUUAAUCACACACAUUAGGUUCCUACUAGGUUUAGCAAGGUAUUAACAGUGCAAGAGAUAUGGAAUUAUACAAUUAAACAGAAUUUGCAAUAAAGGAAGUGUAAACAUUAGAUCUCACUUUACAGAAAGUGUUUAGGAAGACUGUGCACUUACUUGCAAGGGGUUGUGACUAUGGCUGCAUAAACAAAAUGUUUAACUCCUAAAUGGGAGAGAAUUGAGAAGUGAGACUGCAGGGUCAACAUCUAUGCUCAGACCUACUUCAUUAAGCUACAGUUGUCAUGGUGACUGUAGUGUCCCUUUAAUCAUGUUUUGUUUCAUGUACUCUUCUUUUUUUUUUUCAAAUGUGUCAUUUUUAAAAAAAAUUUUAUUCUUUAUUUUUGACCCGGCUCAACAGCAUGAGUGGGUUAGCAGGAAUAAUAACGACACAGACAACUUUGUCAGUACAGACAUCUUAGUAUACACCUGACUAUACUGUCUGUUACGUGGGUGCAGUGCGUGGGAGCAGGGUUUUUUUUAUUAUAAAUGCCUUAUGGUCUAUGUCAGGUGGUCAUAAUCGGUUUUUGUUCCUAGAUUGCCUGUCAUGUGAAUAGUCAGAACCUGUGGGUUAUCUGCAGCCCGUAGCCAGAAAUGUAGAAGGACUGUCAAGUGUAUGGUCCUGGCUUGGGUGUCUCUCGUGGAGUUGUGUGUGUGUCCUGCUAGUUGUAUGUGUCCUAUACCAGUGUCCAGGCCUCAUGGGUAGCCUUGCUAGCCACGGUUCUGUGUCUAACUGUAUUUGCGCACCCCCAGGAUCUCGUAACAUCUAUAGGCGUAUCAGGUCUAGUCUUGGAGGUGGGAGAAAGAGGACCUUUGCAUGUCAAUUGGCAAGGUUGGGGUGUCUGUAUAGUCUUAUCUGUGGUGGUAAACAGUAAGGGGUUGUCACCAUGAAAUACACAUAAAACUAGAAAAGCUACAAUUUCUGGGGAAAUUGUGUGAAGUGUUCUUGCCUCCACCAGUAGUCUACAAUUGGAGUGGGCGGAGUAACUGUUAUCAUUUAUAUAGCACAUUUAAUUGCAACGUUGUUGCACAGUUACAUUAAACCAUACAUUUAUAAAAACAUUAGCAGGUGUUCAAAAGGCCCUGUCUAUGACAUCACUUGCUGCUGCAGCCUGGCACAGGUCAGAGUAUUUUGGCGGUUGCCAUCUUCAAACGGUCGUAUUUUAAAAACUAUAAAUCCUACAGCGAAGAGCUUUAUAUAAAAAUGCAGGCACAGUCGCAGUUUAGAAAUUGCACUUCAAAUUUGAGCUUUGUAGAGUGAAGUUUCAAUGAAUGUCAAUGGACGGCGUUAGUAGCAAACAAAUGAUUAUAUUGUGAAAACUAUCAGGACUAUGGCUUAGCCGUUGACAUGUUUAGUGGCAGCAGGGAUAGCUGAGCGUUUUGAUAUAAGAUUUGUGUAGGUGGGCCUGAAAAUAAGGGAGUGGUGGCAGUUUAGAAAUCAUGUCCUGAUUUUUCAGCUUUUGCCAGCUCCCACUCUAGCUUUGCCAUUCAUUUCUAUGGGACAAAUUGCACCACAAGAACGACGAUAUUCCGUGAACCAUUUGGCGAAACGUUCCACAAAGUAAUAGCAAUCCGAUCGGGAACAAUCUGCACGUUUUGGUAAAUUUUUGUCUAUGUAGUGUAAAAACUGUGGGAGGAGUUAGGGUGGCAAAUUUGGCUAUAAUAAUAAUAAUAAUAUAUAUGUGAGAUAACAAUAAGUGGUCUUGCUAUGCAAGAACACUUAAUAAGAAUAUAUAUGUGAGAUAACAAUAAGUGGUCUUGCUAUGCAUGAACACUUAAUAAUAGCAAAAGCAUAUUUAGAACUUCAAACCGCGUCUGUAAGCCCAGAAAUUAAGGCCAUUAUAGGUGGGCCGAGAGUCUCGGAAUAUGAGGCAACGAGUGCUGAGGUGUGGCUGGGUAAAUGAAGCUUUAGUAAAAAUGGCUAUCACUUCAAGCCACAUAGGUAAGGUGAGAAACUGAGACCGUUAGUUUUGGGCUGACAGUUUUGUAACUUGAUGCAAUGUAUGCCUAGGUGAGGUUGAGCAAACUAAAGAAAAAUGGAAACAUAGAUAACUUCGAACCACAUAGGUGAGUACAGAUAUUGAAGCCGCUAUUGUCAGACCGAGAGUCUUGGAGGAUGAUGUGGAGUAUGCCUACAUGAGGCUGGGCAAGGAGAGGAGUGGUAAGACAUAUACAAUAGUAAACCGCAGAGGUAGGUUCUGGUGCUGAAGCCAUCUUAGUUGGGCCAAGAGUCCCAAAAUGUGGGGCAGUGGAUACUCAAGUGUGACUGGGAUGCUUCAAGGGCGAAAAACAAAGUGUAAAGUCAGGGUCAAAAAAUAAUAAUAAACAAUGUCUAACCGCAACUCCUGAGGGCGGUAGAAGAGGUAGUGUGGAGUAAGUCCCGUGGUUCAAGUUGGGGCUGCCGCGUAAUCCUCUGGCUGCUGUCUUUGAGGCACAAACGGUUUAAUCCUCACUGGCUCCAAGCGGUGUGUGGCUGUGUUUGUUCCCAGCUGCCCUGAAGGAGUAAGGGGGUUCUCCAGUAAUCCAAAUGUGUUGUGUUCUGAUACUUUAUCGAAUGCCCAUAAUUUUAUAGAAUCCAUACUUCUCAUAUGCAAGACAGAUUCUGGAAAAAAAGGCAUGACAAAUCUGAGAGGCAUGUUUACUGUAAAACCAUCAAGAAUUCAAAUGACUAUACCACACAACAUGUUAUUUUUUUUGUGAAUCCAUUUAAUAGAAAUAAGUGAAAUAUAUUUUAUAGCUACAAAACGUAUUAGAAGAAUGUUAUAAACUUUCAAUAAAGAAAUUAUCUGCAUUCCUUAUUUUAAAAUUUUCAUUCAAAUGGAAAUUAUGAUAAUCAUAAAAAAUUCCAGUUUCUCCAUUUAUACCAGAUAAUAUUCAAUAAUUUAUUUGCUUUUAGCUUUGUAAAAAAUGCAUUUUUCCAUUUGAUGAUUUGAAGCAAUAAAAGAAGAACAUAAAAAUGCAUUUUUAAAAGCUUGCUUUUAUUAUAUUUAUGCAAAAAAUAUUGUUUUAGUCAUAAUCCGUUUUAGGAAAAUUGAAAAUAGUUGUACACUGAAAAGAUAAUAUAAGGGAUGCUUUUAAAAUACUUUUUCCUAGUCUGUGUUUUAGAAACUAUUACUUUUUCUAUUUCAUUCAGAUUACAUUUAUUUAAUGCCUUCUGUUUAAGUAAAGAAAAUAUGACAUUAGAUUGCUCAUAGGCAUAAAAAAUAGCUAACAGAAAAACACUCAUAAUGUUUUGAACAUUUUCCAUUCUGAUCAAAAUAUAACGUAGAUAAUCCAAUCAAUUUCUUGUGAAUGUCUUCUUUACUAUAUACAUUUUGAUGUUGUGAAAUGUAUUGUAGAGUGAGAUCACACAGUCUUCUUAUGAAGAACUUUUUGUUAAUUAGCAGUGUGUUUAGAUAUUGUUGACAUGUAAGGGGUUAAUGCAAAUAACUAUUCCUAAAAAAAUUAAAUAAAUCCAUGUAAACACUUUUUAAACGAUUUGUAACUCCAUUGAAAUAUCUGACUGUUGACUGAGGAAAGUUGGUGUAUUUUUGAGAACCUCGAGUCUACAUAAAUAAAUUAAUGAUGAUAUCAAUGAUAAACUAUAUAUAACUAACUCUUCUCUCAUUGAACUUCUAGUUGCAUUUGAAUAAUAUAUAAAUAAGACAUGGACGAUUUUCACUUGAUGUACAGCCCAAUUAAAUAUACUGAAUUAGAGCCAAGUUUCAACAGUUUUGAGAAGACUUCAUUAGUUGAAAGUUUUUUUUAUGAUCACCGUACAUGUAAAUGUAUUCCGUUGUAUAGAGUGGUAGAUGUGUUUAUUACCAAAUGGUUUUUACAGUGAGUGAGUGUGUCACUCUGACUCAUACUCUUUCAGUUGAAGAGUGUGAGUGACAAUCUGAAGCCAUUCAAAUGUUAGACUUUGGUUUCUUAAUUCUUAAAUAUUACCAGCUGUACCAAUAAUAUGUUUAUUACACUUGCAGGUUAUUGAGAACAGAAAUGCUAAAUCUGUUAGUAUCUUUUUAGGUCUGUGUUUUUAUAUCACACAAUAAAUUGUGUCUAUUUUGUGCAGUUUUUGAGUUAUAGGCUGGAGAACUAGUAACCACUUAAUUUUUCCAUUAAUGCUUGAAUCAAAAUGACAUUUUAAGUCAUAUUCAUUAUUUCAGGGUAUUAUAUGUAAUUUUUGAGAACCACCAUAUUUUCCUUGGCUCCUCCCCACUCUUCAACAUCAUUUUUAUCAUGCAGUCUUGCUUCACCUUGGCAACGCAGAUAUUUCCAAACUUCAUUUUUGUGAUACUCAGACUGUUUUAAGGAAGGCCAAUGAUUAUUUGAAAUGUGGUUCAUAAACCAAGGUUCACUAUCAUUGCCCUAACCUGCCAAAGAAACUUUGUGAUAUUAAAUGGGUAAGUAUAUGAAUUUAAUCUUGGUUCCAACCAUAGCGGGGAUUGUAUUAUUGGUAACUCAAUUUUCUUCUGUUAAAGUUUCAGCUACUGAAUUGGUGAUAUCUAUGUACUCCACUGCAUCCAUGAGUGAAAUAAUGUUCAAAACUCAAAUGUGCUAAUUUCUAUGCUAUACAAAUAUAUAUACAAAAAUUCUUAGCAGCCAUGUUGGCUUAAAUAUAGGUGGCGUUAAAAAGGGUAUCUGUUCCUUUUUGUCUAUUCUCCUCCCCUUCUCUUUUAUUAUCUCCCUUCCUCUUUCUUAUCUUUCACUGGUUCCUUCUUUUUAUCUCUACUUAAUUUCUCUCACACCUCUCUACUUACAUUUUUGUUUUGCCUCUUCACCUUUACCACAAUGUAAUUUUUACUAAAUACUCUCAACCAACCCCCAUUUGUUCCUGCUAUGGAAAUGUAUAAUAUGACAGUUCUUUAAAGGGUUUAGGGAUGUCUUACAAUUAUAUUGGUAUUGUCAUUUUCCAGUGUGUCCAGUUAUCUUUUAGGCUAGAGACUAAAGCCUCCAACAUCAAUUUCAAUAUCAAGCCUAGCAUUGUUGACACAGAAAUUUGUGAAUGAUGCUGCGUAGUGCUGUAUUGAGUACUUGUGUACUUCCAUAGUAUUAUUUUCUCUUAACCUUCAAUAAAUUAUAUGUACAUGCAUUCUUCACAUCUAGGUCUAUAUUCACUGGCAACAUUGUCUUCCAUUUUAAAAUCAUACUUUAUUAUUUUAGAUUGUUUGAAACCACCCUAUUGUGGGCAUAUCAGUAAACAAACACAUAUAUAAGGCAGCUAAGCAAAGUUUAAAUAUUACAUCCACUUUUCUAAAAUUAAAUAAAAACUAAGCAAAUGCAAAAUAAAAAUACAAACGAUUAUGCCAUAAUAUACCAUGCUUUGUGUGGUGACUAAUUUACUACAAUAGUGAUUAAAAAAAGUCAUUUUCAGCAUUGAGUGGAUUUGUUGCUGUACACAGUGUAAUGUAAUUAGAGUUAAAUAGAUGCAUAAGUUCCUCUAAAGCUCUUUAACAUUCAUGAGAUUGUGUUAAGUUGUGGAGUCUGGAUGAAACUUACCAAAAACAUUUGUCACUCGCCAAUAAAGUACUUAUUGUGCUGUGAAUGACAAUAAGAAAAGCUCCGUGGUCACUUGGCAACAGGGAUAGAAAACAUUUAUGUCAUUGUGGAAUUAGAACUAAUCAGAGUAAACAUAUUAUUUGUUAAAUUGGCUGUUGAUAUACUGGCUAUGGAAAUUAGGUAAGUUAACUGCUUUUGAUCUUGUCACUUAGCUAAUAAACUUUCUCCAUUAUCUGUAAUGAUUCAUUAAUCUGCCCGUUAUUAUGUAUCGAUUUUGUGAGAAUUAUAUUUAAGUUUCAUUUAAUAUAAAUAAUCACUAACUAGAAUGUCAUUAUAUUUAUUUUGAAUUACAAAAUAUGAUAGAGAGUAAGAGAGGAUGUUUCUUAUUUUUAUGUAUUGUUUUAAUAUAAAAUUGAAUAUCUAUAUUCUUAUUCUUAUUAUAUAUAGAAAGCGCCAACAAAUUUCACAUCGCUGUGUAAUGGGUGGACUAACAGACAAUUAUUUGCAACAAGACAAGCUGGAUGCACAGGGACAGAGGGUGUAGAGGGCUCUGUUAAAACAAGCUUAGAUUCUAGAGGGAGUGGGGUAAAGUAGCACAAGAGGUAUGGGUGGAUGUAUAUCAAAUGCGGAAAAAGUUUGUUACUAGAAUAGUUUAAAAUGAAGGGUUAGGCUUUUGGAUGACACAGUUGCAAGAGAGGAAAAAGAUCAAUACACAGACACACAGAUACACACACAGACACACCAACACAAUUAAACACAGAUACACACAUUGACACACAGUCACACUCUCUGACACAUUUACGCACAGAUACACACAUACUGACACAUAGUUACACACACAGAUAUACACACUGACAGAUACAAACAGACACACAGAUACACACACUGAUAGAUACACACACACACACACACAUACACACACACACACACACAGAUAGACAUAGGUACUCACACAUACAGUCUGGUGUGCACAUUGACACACAGAUACACAUACACACACAGAUACACACAUACACUCAGGGACACACUGACUCACACUUGCUGGUCAUUUGGUCAUUUUUUUAGCAACACACUUGUUUCUUACCUUUUGUGUACAGGAGAGUGGCCUCUGAUGGUUGGGACAGUUGUGAGUCAGAGUCUGGCUCUCUCCUCCUCUCUACCUUGUCCUGUGCCUCCUCCCCCCUAUGCGGUUGUUAACUGUGAGGAAGUGACGAUUGCUUACUUCUUGCCAGCACUGCUGGGAUCAUUAAAGGGGCCCAGUCUUGCUAUUAGAGAGCCACGGCGCACAACUAGGCCUCUUAUAACAUAUGCCCAUAUAAAAUGGUUACGAAAAUCUCAGAAGACAGUGUUACUUUAAAUGUAACAAAAUCAUGAAAACCCAUCCUGUGCCCAUCCUAUUUAAUGAAGGUUUGUGAUGAAAUAUUAUAUCAAGUGGUACGUAAUCUGUGCCAUAAAGCUACUGGCAAGAUAAGUUUGCAGUGCAAUUAGAACUAAUUAUAAAAUAUGUUUAUAUUUGCCUACUAUUUUAUGAGCCAAUAUUUGCAGUUGUCAUAUGAUUUAGUGCAGUGUAAAACCAAUGGAAUUAAGAGACUGGAGAGUCAGACUAUGUCGACUGGCAACAAAUAUUCACACAGAUGUGAAUACGUAUUACAAAAUCCUUUGAAAAGCUAGAUGUAUUAAAUGAAAAUAUAAUACACAAUCUUUCUUCUUCCAUCACUACUAAAUCAUAUAAUUAUUAUAUAUUGUGUAUAUGUCAAAAUAAUAUUCUUCUGUUCAUUAUCACCCGUGUACUUCAAUAGUAUUAUUUUCACUUAAUGUUUGAUAAAUAAUAUGAACAUGUAUUCCUUACAUCUAGGUCUAUAUUCACUGGCAACAUUGUCUUCCAGUUUAAAACCAUACUUUAUUAUUUCAGAUUUUUUAAAACCACCCAGAACUCAUGGUUUAUAUGUAUAUAACCUACAUUCUAGGGAUUAGCUCAGAUUUCCUGCUUCAAACAAAAAAAGGCAGGAAAACAAAAUGUCCAAGACUACACUUUGUUUUCUUUUUUUGAUGAAAAAUGGACAUGUUUGGAUAUAAAUCAGUUUCUGCAAAGACAAAAUAAGAGAACAGAAAUUGCUCUGUACAUCGUAGUAGUCUCAUUCGGAUAUAUAUAUAUAUAUAUAUAUAUAUAUAUAUAUAUAUAUAUAUAUAUAUUUAAGCAUACAUGCAGGAAAAUAUAGAUAGACAGACAGACAGACAGACAGACAUGGAUGGAUAGAUAGAUUGAUUGAUUGAUAGGUAGAUAGAUAUAGAUAGAUCUAUAGAUAUAUAUAUAUAUAUAUAUAUAUAUAUAUAUAUAUAUAUAUAGAUUGAUAGGUAGAUAGAUUGAUAGAUUGAUAGAUACAUAGAUAGAUUGAUAGAUGUGUUUUCCUUUUGAUUCUCAUGCCAUGGAAGCAAAAUGGUCAUGGCAUACUAUAUAAUUUUAUUAUACGGUAUUAUUUACUCAAUCUCCUUUGUAAUAAUUUAACCAAUAUCAGCUUAAAGGUAUUUUAGUUUGACUCAGUGUUGGUCUAAACUAUGCAGUGUUAUUGCAGACCUCUCUGUAUCUCAAUGGGUUAAAUGUUAGUGGUAAAAGUAAAAAAAAGCAUGCCGAGUUUUGCUAUCUUUUCUUGGGGAAAGACAUGACAUUUUCAUUUCUUUGCUAUUGAGUGCUGUUCCGAAUGUCUGGUAUUUUAAGCUACAAUGCGGUGAAGAGCUCAUAAGACAACAUGAGACUAGCAUACUAAAUGGUCUCCAGCACUGCAAUGAGCUGAAGAAAUUUCAGAAUAUUGCAAAGAAACGAGAUGAGUAAAAACCAAUCUAUUCUUGGAUAAUUUGAAUAUUUUGUGCCUGAUCGGUACAAGCUUUUGAAACUGUUAAACAAAGGUACUCACUAUUCAGUUUCAAAAGACUAUAUACAAAGUGAUUAAUACAAACAUUGUAAUUCACAGGGCUGGACUAGGACUUACAAUGGUCUAUGUUAGUUCCUUGAUUGUCCCAAGUCAAUCCAGGCAGUUACCAUUACAAGUGAACUGGGAGUCUAAAGUAAGCAUUUUCAAAAAAGCACCAGAAGCUUGCUCUGUCAUUGAACUCCAGAUGACUUAGUCCAAGGAUCAGAAUUUGUGGCCUGUUUUAAAUAGCUGGAUUUUCUGUCAUUACCGGGAUGCAUAUAAAACCACCAAUAACUUUCCUACAAGGCAAUAUGAAGGGGUAAAGAAGGGAUGAUGGGUGGGUGCGUGCUGUGAUUUGCAUGGACCCCAUUAUUUAUGGCAGCAAAGCAGACUUUUCAUGCUAGCAUGCAUGUGUGUCAGGCUGCCAAAGCCCAGCUUAAAGUAUUCGCUUGUUGUCAAAAUAACCCAGAAUUGCUUCUCUAUGCCAGAAGUAAGACACGUGCCGAAAACAUAGACAAUGAGACAGGGGACUAAAAUUGGGAUUGUCCUUCCAGAUUAAGGACAGUCGGCAAGUAUGCAGGGGUAUUCCGUCAGUUUCUACUGGGAAGAAGAAAAUGAAGAAUAAAUUAAAGGAUGGGGAUAACAUGGCUAGAGUUCAUUACCUAUCUGAUUUCAUUUUAAUGUAAUAUGUGAUUAUUAUUCUUAUCAUUUUAUUUUAUGGAUUAGCACAUUAAAACAAUACAACCUUAUGCAAGUGCAGGAUCUAAGUACUCUUAAUGGACAUUAAAUAGUUAUGAAUAUUCUUGGUUAACUGCCAUGAAAAUCAUGUGAUUUACCAUGCACUAUGCCAUAAAAAUUGAAUAACUGGGUUCAGCUGGAUAAAAUAGCCUUACAAUAAUUGACAUCACAGGCAUUGCUCAUGGGUGAUAUAACAAUUAAACUGAACCAUUGUGGAUUUUUUUUAUUAUUAGCCUUCAAACUGAGUACAUAAAAAUAUCCAUGUAUCCAAGAAUUUAAUAUCUUAUAGGUUUCCUUCUUUCCACCACCUUUAUCGAUUACGCCAUGCUACACAUAAUGGCCCAGUGAGUAAAUAAAAGAGCACAUUAUCACAAUAAUAUUCCCAAUGCAUAUAGUGUUUAAUUACAAGGCCAGAUUUUUAUAGCAGCAUUUUUUUUAUUUAUUUUUAAUUUUUAAGAGACGUGAAACUUUUGUUUUUAUUGCUCUGUUUUAAUUUUCUUAAUAUAGGGUAAUUAAUCCUGGAGAUCUUUGGCCGUUACAUUAUAUCGCCCACAGAAAGCCUGGGGAUUAUACAUUUUUAUUUGAUGUUAAUUUGUAUUAGCAACUGUGAAUUAUUUUCUUAAACCUUGCUCCUUAAAGUAUCAUCUUGGUGUACAUCUUACUUGUUUAUAUAAUAGGAGGUUGGAGAUUGCACUGGGGCAGUUGUAAAUCCUAUGUAAAUGAGAACUCAUGAGAAAAUGCAAUUCAAUUUAUUGGCUCUGCAUAUACUCUUUACUCUAUAAUCUUGAUGUUUCAGUGCAUAAACUGGCUAAAAUGUAUCUAUAUCUAUAUCUAUAUCUAUAUACUGCCUAUUAGCACUCAGCAGAGGCACGUUAACCCAGGUACAACAGGUGUCCAACUGUAGGUAUAGAAUGCCUGUCCAUUCAAACAAACGUGGUACCACCAUUCUUUAAGUCAGCUGAACAGGGAAGUAUGUCACUAAUGAGUAUGCCUGGGCAUACCUUUUUAUUAUGGAACUAAUAGAACAGUUUAAGAGAGAUCAAAAGAUCUGUCAUAAUGGGUUCUGAAGUAGUUAAAUAAAAUGAGUUGUGUCUGCAUUACCUGAUAACAGAAAGCUGUGUUGCUCAACUAUUUGUACACUGUUGAAUCUGACUGACAGCUUCAGGAGGAGGGAGUGAUUUGAUGUCACAUCCUCCCUGCACUAUGCAUGGAUAAUGCUUAGGAGAGCUAGUGAAUUACUGAAGCUGUCGGCUAUCAAAUAAAAUGGAGGGGGCUGCUUAUAAAACUACAAGGAAAGGUUGAUGGAUAGAUAGAUGGGGUUUAUAUGGACAUGCAAAUAGAGGAUAUUAUUCAGUGUUAAAUAUGAUUUAGGGUUGUGAUUGGGGGUUAGGGACAGUAUUUUUAGGGUUUAGGGGCAGUACUUAGGGAUAGGCAUUUUGAAAUAAGGAUGAAAUCUAGGUUUAGGUGCAAUAUUUAGAGUUAGGUUCAAUAUUUAGGGUUUAGCAUAGUAUUUAGUAUUAGAGAUAGUAUUUAUGGUUAGGGACAGAAGUGUUAGAUGUUAUGUUUACGAUUACUGGUAAGAUUUAGGGUUACUGUUAGGCACAGUCCUUAAUCACAAUUUGUGAUUGGAAAAGGGGUAAAUGGAGCAAUAACAUGAAGGGUAUAAGUGGAGAAUGUAAGGAAGGUUUGCAUGGACAAAGUCAGGAUGCAACUCAUUUAUCAGUACCACAUUGUACCAAAUGGAACUUUUCACCCAGAUAUCCCAAACUUAUGGCAAAUCCAUGUCAUCAUGAAUCAAGGGGUCACACAAUAUUUACGGACGGCACAGACAUACAUGUUUGGGGAUACCUGAAAUUGAAGGUCACGUUCUUGAAUGGAAGUUGUGAAUCAUGAGUGUGCGGCUUAACUGCAUAUUUUUUUGUUUAUACAGCAGCUGGAAUUGCAGGAAGCAAACUAUCACAAUUUUCAUCCCAUCUAUUGAGGAACAAAAUUCAAUAAAAUAUAAAAAAAAUAGAAUUAUAUACUACUAAAUAUGCAUGAUAUAAAAUGUGUGCUAUUGCAAAACAUGCCAUCUCUGGGUUGUGGAGCUGUCUGUAAAUUUAUGAUAUCUCCAGGACACGGAGAUGGCAUUAACUCCCCAUAAUACAUGCUACAUGCUUUUGGGAAAAUAUUAUAAUUGAGGUGGCAUUAUGGCCCCAUUUCACACAAUUCCUCAUUAUGUUCCUUUUAUAUCAGAGUACUUUUUUAAAUUACUUUAUUAAAUGUAUGUUAAAUUAUCUGAAUAUUAAUUGUUAUCUUUGCAUUCUACAAUGUAAUGUCACACUACACAAUAAAGGAUCUAAAAUAUAAUAUUCUUCUUAUACUAGUAGACAUAUAUUAUAUGUUUUGCAUUGCAUUUUUUUAUAUAUUUUUUUCAUUGGUCAAUGAUUAUUAGCAAAAUUGCAUUAACUCAGGUAUGUUGAACUAUCUGAUAAUUUAGUGGAUGACACUCAGCACUUGAGUUAAUUAAGAGUAAAUAACAACACCUUAAUCACCUUAUAAUAACAAACCUCUUGUUUAGGUUUAUGUUUUUAAUUACACUCUAUUCAGUUUUCUCUUAAAGUUUAUGUUUUUAAUUAUACUCUAUUCAGUUUUCUCUUAAAUCAUGCUUCUGAGAUGAGUAAUUUAUCUUAUUAUUAUAGAAGCAUGUGCCAAAACUCCUUUAACUAUCAGCAGACAUGAGAGUGCACAAUGCACGCAAAUUGCAUGAUAGAUUCAAGUGGUCAUCUCUAUGAUACAUGAGGGGAAAGUGAAACCUUUUGUAUAUAGAGAGAGAAUAUUUUGUUGGUAAAAUAUACUGAAAUACACUUAUAAGUGCAUAAACGUCUGAAGUAAUCUGUAACGUAAUCUAUUAACAGGAAGUGGUAUUAGGAGGUUUGCAGUUAACUUCCUUUAUCUGCUAUGCAUCUACAUUAUGAGACACAUUUUCUUGCCAAAAGCUCUUAUACAGACAAAAAGAAAAUAUUGCUCUCUUGAAAUGGCUCUCAGGCAUUUAUUUUUCUUGUCUUUUUCUUAAAAAUGUAUACACUAGGAAACUGAAUAUAUUUUAAAACAAAUGCACUGAGAUUGUUAUUCUAGCUCUGUGAACAUUAGGUCAGGUCCAGAACAUCGUUUUCCUUUGCUAUUGUCUGCUAAGACGAUGCACAGAAAAUGCAAUUCCAAUUACUUUGUGGUUAUGUUUCUGUAUUGCUCAUAUGCUCAUUUUCACAACUGCUGAAUGUCUGAAAUUACUCUUGGAUAAUUAACAUAUCUCUGUUGUUGUGGAGCAUGAACGGAUGAAGAAAGAAGAAUGUAUGAGACAAAUACCACCUAAAAUCCAAAAUAAACAACAAAUAUGAAAUAUCCUAUUUUCCCCAUUACUUUUUUCACUGCUAAUAUUUUCUCAUGUAAUUGCUGCGGACCAUGCUCAUGUCCUCUCCCCAGCUGUAAAUGUUUAACCAGCUGCUUAGAUAUUGUGCACUGUGAAUGGCAGGUUGGUCUGCUCCAUUCCCCUGUUAACCAGAUCCUUGGGAUGUUGCCUGUCAAUUCAUCCUUACCAAUUGCUGUUAAAAGCUUUUAUACUCUUGUUGGUGGUACCAUAGUGAAUGGACAGAUGGUGUUUCAAUAUUAGUUCCAAAAUCUCCAGUUACCUAUACAAUAUUUUAGAAAAUGUUAAAAUAAUAAUAAUAUUGAAGAAAAAAAAAUAGAAGAGGUUUGCUACAAAAUUGCAAAUCGCUUUCUUUUAUUAAAACCAAUAAAUGUUGCUCUUGCCGUUGUGUGGUCAUCUGUAGGCAAAAUUAUGCUUCAAAUGUUAGCAUUAAAAAACUGCUGAUUUGUUAAAUAUGUUAUGUUUUAUACAUAUUGCAUUAACUGAGUUUUGUUUACAGAUACAUCUGCAUUUUUAAAUUUGUAGUGUUAGUUUAAAUUUAGGAACCUGUGUAGGGCUUAUGUCAUAGGCUCAGAAUGAUCACCUGACAAACUCAACCAAUGAGCUAGUCUUGUGUUGCACAGCUUAUUUCAGGAGAGCUAGUGGAAUCCUUAUGCUUAUGCUCUCAGCUCUCAGUUGCCAGUAGUGGAAGUAAUGAGCUGAGUAGAGUGGUCUCCAGGUAAGAAGUCAAAUAGCUCUAAUAUGAUUUGACUACUUACAGUAUUGAAGCUAUGGCACUCUCUGCACCAUAAUCAAAUAAAAAAGCUGUAGUGAUUAUGGUGCUUGUAGUGUUCCUUAAUUGACAUCUCUGGAGCUUUGAAUAAAAUGUUGAGCUUUUUAAAAAAAAUUUAAUGUGAUAUUCUGUAUUUUUCGGUUUGUUUAUUUGUUAUGUAUAUUAUACAUUUAGUAAAUUACAUCACAAUCCACUUCAGUCCAGGCACAGCCAGGACAAAACAUGCAAAUACGAACAGAGAUAUUGUUUGUGUUUCUCCUCUUCCAUUAACUAUUUUCAGUGGCAAUGUGUUUUAGGGUUUCAGAUUUUUCCUUUAAUCAUUAAACACCACAAUGUAGUGGAUUGAAAACCAUAUUGCUACAUUUUGGCAGAUUUGGGAAAAUUGUGUCAUAUCCAGGACAUUGCAAUAUAAUUGUAAAUAAAUGAAGGGUUAUUAAAACAAAGAUCCUUGAAAAUAACAUCCACAAACUUUUUUUAAUAAUAUAAAUGUUAUACAUUUGUCAUUAAGUGAGAUUAAAAUGAAGAUUACUGCACUGUUGCUGUAUGCUGACAUAUUAUGCACAAAUUCUGGAACACCUUUAUUACACAUUCCUUCAAUCGGAUUUUGUUUGUUGUAAUUCCAGGAUAUUAUAGAUUUCAUAUUCAAAUUAGACAGUGUGUAUUUAGUGUUUUCCUCCCAUUUCCUCUCUAAACUCCCAGUUUGACAAACAUUGGAUAUUUAUAACUUAAUUGGUACACAGGCUCAUGUUCAAAUCCUGUUUUAAUGAGUUACUUUGCCUUCAAGAAUAAUGAAAUUGCAUUUAUGGUUCAAUAAGUGAGCUUGAGACAUAACAAGGCUUGACAGUUUUACAUCUAUUAAUAUUUUAAUUUUGCCUUAAAAACCAAAAUAUAGCAUCUGGUAAAGAAUAUGCUCAUUAACCCUUGUACUGCUGAGGGGACUUGCAUCCUAGUGGGAAGCAAUUAGCAUGUAUCUCCUGUAAUAUAAAAUGGAUUAGGGCGAUUAUGCAACAUCAUUUAUUGUGUUCUUAUAAAUUACACAUGUAAAUUGACCUAUAGCGAUUUGCAGUGCAGAGCACACCUUUGUAGCACUCGAAGCAGCACUUCUGAAAAUCAAAGAUUCACCAUUCAGUUUCAUGAUAUGUAAUGAGUGUUGGCUAACCUUUGGCAGUGCAGCUGGUUUUUGAGCUACAUUUCCCAUGAUGCUCUUUAAGAAUUUGUAAGCAGAGCAUCAUGGGAAACAUAGUCCAAAACAGAUGUGGUGCGAAAGGCUAGCUGUCCCUGAUAUAGAUCGUACCUGCAGCAAUCAUUUGUGCUUCUGCAGCUCAGGCAUGCAUUCCCUUUCAUAAUGUGAGAUGCACUGUGUGUUUGCCACGUAUGAUGAUCUAAGAGGGUAAUGCAAUGUAAAAUGAGUAGAUAAAUGUAAAUGAGGUGAUUUAAAGUUGAGCAUCUGCAUCUGUAGUUUCACACCUAAUUGAAGUACACUCUGUAUAUAUCUAUACCAAAGUAUUGCUUCAGACCUGAGGAAGAGAGGAAGACUCUCGAAAGCUUGUCUUUGAAAUAUUAUGUUAGUCCAAUAAAAAGGUGUCAUUGCAUAGUGCAAUACUCUGGUAUUUUGGUAUCUUGUCUACGGGACUAAUAUGGCUAAUCCAAUCUACACUAUAUAUCUAUACAUAUAGCAAUGCUUCCAACAUCUAAGUGUUGCUAUUCUCUAUCAGGACAAACAUGAUAUAAAUUGAAAAUGAAAGAAAUAAAAUGAGAAGUGUUGGGAAUUCAAGAGGAAUUCAAAGUUUAUUUUAAAUUUAAGGCCAAGACAGGCAAACUGGAAAUAUUCAGCUAUAUUUCUAGUUUUGCUACUUUGCUCUUCAAUUUGAAAUUGUCCUUGAAUUAACUUGGAAUUCCCAACAAUUCUCACCAAUUUUGUGUCGGUAACACAGUUAUAGACCAUUUAUAUUCAUAGCAUCAGAGCAUCAGAGCUGUGGAGUAAAUAGGGAACAUGUUCCUUUGCAAAAUGAUCCAAAGAGAUGUCCUUUUGCCUAAUUCAUCACCUGUACCAAAUGUUUUGUUGUUUUAAAACUUCCAUAAUUAAAACUUCAAAAUGUCCUCUUAAUUUUAAUUCUCUUUUUUUUUUUUUCUCUGGAUCUUGUCAUUUGGCCAUACAGUUGACCUACUUAAACUGAUAGCUUUAUAAGAGGAUUAUCACCUCUUUGGAUAUUACUUCAUUAAAACAUUGUUUCUUUGCUCCUUUUCCCUGUAUACUUUCUCUAUACUGACAGCCAGGUUAAACAAAAUUGAACUCAUAACAAUGAUUGUCAGGGAGCCAAGAAGAGGGUACACAUGUGUUUGAUAAAGAGGUAUGAAUUUUGACAUUGAAUUGUAUUUGUGACUCCCCCUAAACACAUUUUUUUUUUUGUAUGAGAUAAGGAAACAUAAUAUAAAAAAAAUAGUAAGCAAUAGUUUAAUUUUAAAGGAACACCAUAGCGUUAGAUAUUCAGAGAGGUAUUCCUAACUCUGUAGUGCCCACAUUAAAGAUUAGUUUUAGCAUUCUACUUAUUUUUUUUAUCUAGUAUCGAGACUCCCUCUGUGCUGCAGGUUACUCUACCUUAUGCAACAAUGUCCCACUCUCAAGCCAAUGAUCAAUCCAAUGCUCUCCUAUGAGCUGCAACCAAACAUGAUCAAGUUUUACUGUGUUAUAGAGAAUGAGCUUCUAGUGGAUGUCUUCUAGACAUACACUAGACCACUUUAUUGAGAACAAGUGGUCUAGGUGACUUUAAUGGUCCUUUAUAUCUUUGGCACUAUUCGACUUGUGACACUGUAUCUUUAUUAAUGACUUUAAAUAAAGUAAAUAAAUAAAGUCUUUGAAAAAGUUAGUCAUUUAUUAUUUCUAGUGAACAAAAGUAUUAAAAAUAGAAAAGAUCUAAAAGAACAUAAAAGAACAUAUUAUGCAUUAUACAAUAAAAAGUGUACAGAACAUUUAUAUAUUUAUGGAAUGAUCAAGUUCUUAAAUUUGAAUUGACUCUUUUGUGAUGCAUUGACUAAACUUCCAGAGAGCUAAUAUUUAUUUUACGGACUUGACUUACCUGCAGUGAAAUGUGUUCUUCAGUUCUCCAUGUAAUUACAGGUACAACAGAAAAUUGGCCUUUUUAAAAAUAUUUACUCUUUGUUCCGCGCAAAACAAUUAGUAGUCAAGUUGCUAGAAUUAUUUAUAUUCAACAUGGUUACUAUAUCAUUUCACUAGCAAUUUGUAUAAAGCAACCUUGUUGCUCUGAAAUAUCUGAGGCAAAUUACAAUUGGCAGUUCUGUAAAAGAGUGGAAAUUAUUUUCUUUCUUGAGUAAUCACAAAAAGAGUAGUAUAAUUGAUGUUCCUUGUGAAAGCAACUUGGAUACUACAAGUGUAGAAAAUAGAAAUACAACUGUAAAAAUCUAAUUGAAGUACACAUUAUUUCAAAUAGAAUGUUUCAUUAAAACUCAAUAAAAUGUGAUGUAUGGUCCUAGAAUUAUUUAAAACUAAUAAUUUAUGAAUAUUAAAAUGGCAUUAGUAAAUUCUAAGAUUUACCAACAUUAUAUUUAACAUUUUCCCACUGACUUUUUUGUCUGCUUAGACAAUGUUCUUAUUUUCCUAAAUGCUAAAAGUUAGCGGGAUAUAAAGAAGCAGAUAAAUAGCAAUAAUGGAGAGCGAAAAUAAAUGUAACAAUAAUGCCUUAAUGUAACAAUCAUAAUAAAUCACAUCUCAGCAUGCUUCGAAAAAUCAUGUAAACUGCACAACUUAUGAAAGACGUGUUAGCUAGUUCCACUCAAACUUUUUUACUGUAUUAAGAGCAAUAAUUGUAUUUUUAAAGACGUGAUCUAUGGGGGGCAUGCACAAAAAAAAAAAAUCAAUGCAAAAAUGUUAGCAUCUUAUUUUGUUCCUUACAAUUUUCGCUAUUUAAAGAUUAGUUAACAAAUAUGAGCAACUUAUGAAUAUAAAUGGGUUGCCCAUAUUUAUUUUGCCAUUUUUUAAUUUUCAGGAUAAAAUAAAAGGCAUGGAAGUGUGCAUAAAAUAGAACAUGUAAUUAUAACCGAAAAAUGUUCAUCUAUAUAAAAAUAGUGGAAGGUCCGUAUAAACUAUAACAUACUUUAUGUUAGAGACCUUUUCUUUAUGACCGUAAUCUCAACCCUAUGCACGCAGAGGUGCAAAUGUCUUAACACCCACUCACAACUUUGGUAUAAAAGACCUGUUACUUUUUUCAAUAGAAAAAUCAUAUUAGAAAAAAAAGAAAUCAACAAUGUUCCAGUUCUGCUUCUUCUGCCCUAGAUUAACCUCCUCCACUAAGCACAGUCUAAUUCUGUAAAGAGAGGGAAUAUAUUUAGUCAACUCUCAGAUCUUCCCAUGUCAUUAGAGGAAGGCCUGCCAUAAGGAUAAAACAGUGAGAGCCAAAACAUGACAAAGUAGAGUUGGAGGGUAGGGACCAUGGUGGGUGAACAGAAUUUUAACAGCGACCUGCAUAAUUGAUUUUGUAAUAGUUUCUACAUGUUACCCAUGCAUCUGUGUAUGUUCUAUGUGAAAAUAGAGCCAUAUUCAGACCCACUUAGGUUUUCAAUGUCAUAUAUUAUUUGCAGUCUGCCAAAAGAACUGAUAGAAAGAAUAAUGUGUGAUUUAUAAUACACUGAACUUCUGUAAUAUUUCUGCAAUGUAUUAACAAAUACAGAUACAAAUCUUUUUGUGUGUAGUUGUAUAUUCAUUUUAAGUUUUCCUUGAGAUUUUAUUCUCUUGUUGUUGUUUUGUCUUCAUUUACUUUAUGUGCUUGCGAUGCUUCCAUUUAAUUAAACUGUUUCCAUUUAAACUUUUACUGUAAUAGUUCUGCUAGGGCUCUAUUUUGCCUUUGCACCUUUGCAAAAACAUUCAAAAUGGCAGCUCCUUCCUCACUCCUACAAUACACUGCAGCCUAUAUAGGUCAAAUUUAAUGGAUACAUUCUAGUGCCUAAUGAGGGGACAGGAGGGAGGGCUCUGAGUGCACUGAGGACCCUCUCAGGCAUAGUACAAAUUCUUGAUGUUACUGAGGAUACUGAAUGGGGCAUUAUAUCCCAAUUGAGAUAUCAUUUUACAGAAUUGUAUAUUUUUAAAAAUACAGAUGGAUUCCUUGCAAAUACCCAUAAGUAUGAGUAUUGGGGCAUGCCUCUGUCUAAAACACAGCAUAAUAUAGAAUACUACAUAAUCUCUAUUUGUUUUAUUUCCCACAAUAAUGGGAUUCUGCAAAGGAUAACCGAAUAUCUUAAAUAUUACAAUAGUGUAAAUGUAUAAAAGAAAAUGUUUUAAAUACUCUAAUAUAGCAGCAUGUGCAUACAAUUGCUUUUUAAAAAAACCUAUAUUUAAGUGAUUGCAAAGCAGGCAGAUUUUUUUUUCUACAAAAUAAUUUGGUAGUGAAAGGUUUCAUAUAAAUGUUGCCCCCUGCUACCUCUUGUCUCAAAUUCCCAUUAUACCCUUUAGAUUGUAAGCUCACAGGCCAUUUAGCUAAGCAUUUUGUAUAAAAGAGCUCCAAUGGUUAUAGCUCAGCUUAUGGGCAGGGCCCUCUACCUUUUGUAUUUGUCUGUGUAUAUUGUACGUUCUCUCCUAAUUGUACAGCACUGCGGAAUAUGUUGGUGCUUUACAAAUACCAGUAAUAAAUAAAAAUAAAUACUUUUCCAUGGUAAAUGAACACUAUAAGCACCACAACCACUACAUCCUGCUGUAGUGGAUAUGUUGUUAUAAAUACCUUUGUACCCAACAAAGUAGCUAAACUCAGCCAUGCUGGGCCAUGCUCAUUGGUUGAGAGUGCUCAUCUGACAUUCUCAGGCAAGGAGUCUUGUACAGCUUAGCUCAGUGAAACAAAGAGAAGUUCUUUGCAACAAUCCCGAUAAGUUGUCAGACUCUUCUUGGCAUUUGGCGACUUUUAGUGGUUAUGGUGCUUGAAAUACUUGGAAUGCUCCUUUAACGGGUAUCCAGGUUCUAGUAUUCUUUAAGAUUUUGGAAGUACUUAGUUGUGAAUGGCUUAAUGCCAUCAUUGUAACAUUUGUUUUUCAGUCUGGUGAAGUAUAUACUCAAUAUGGGUCAUAUUUAUUAUAUCGAAGGUUUACAUAAUUUAUUAUUAUUAUUAUUAUUAUUAUUGCACUUGCCGUUUUGGAAAUCUCCAUUUUGAUUUUAUUAUAUAAUAGGAAUUACCUUUUUGGAAUUUCCUAAAAAUGUUGACGUGCAUAAGUAAAUUUAUGUUAGCAAUAUAAGCACAAAACAUCAUUAUCUUAUUUAAAGCAGACCUUCUAUGGUCCUAGUUUUUACAUCAGAUUUUGGUAAUAAAAGCUGUCUACACUGUAUUUAAAUUAAGUCUUUCAACUUUUCAGUUAUUUAUCCUAAAAGUUGGCUAUUUUUAAACCUUUACGUAUCUCAACAUCCUGCCUUUCAACUGCCAGUUUCUGAGCAGAAGCAGUUGGAUAUACAGUUGAAAGGCUAGCGAGACGUCUUCUCGUAAAAAAAAAGGCUUUGUAAGACUUCAAGAAUAAGCAAUCUUUAAGGAUGAAAAGUCUCAUUUUUAAUUUUAACACAUUGUACAUGUAAUUUUCAUUACCUACAAGAUGUCUGUGGUUCGGAAUCGGACUGGUUCAUAACUUUACUAACCAACAAGAUACUUAAACAUCUUUUAUUAAUCAUUUGUUUUGGAAUAACAUUGUUUUCAUAACAAAUAUUGAAAUAAUUAUUGAUGAAAUUAUUAAUAAAGAUACAUUAAACUAUGAAAGUACAAAAAGGUGUUAUAAAUAUACUUAUUCCCUAUAAUCGUACUAAUGUAUAUCACAUUCAUACACAUUGUUAUUAAAUUUCUUACAAAGGGUAUUGUUCUCUGUACAUUACAAGGAAAGGUUUACAUUUGCUCAUAAUAAACAGCACAAUAUGGUUUAAUUAGGCUAUGUUGUGAUCUUUGUCUCUGAAUAUAGCUGAAAGUGUAUGGUAGUAGGUGGUGGAUGCUGUUACCUCAACCACAUGGCAAUUAAUGAGCCAGAACUGUAGAUUUAGUUUGCAAAUACAUCAGUCUUGUCUGUGAACAUAACCGAUCUACUGUUGUGGGGGUGCAGUGCAGCCUCUACCACAUGAUGCUGCAAGGGAUUAGAUCUAAAAGGAAUAUGAUUGUCUAAAGUGGAUUACAUGCUGCCUAAAUUGGCAUUGGGAGCUUUUUUAUUACCUUAGGUUGCCUUGUUUCAUUGCCCUGUGCUGCAUGGGAUAUCUAAUGAAGAUUCAGGGAGUUGGGAAUACAUGAAUUAAUAUACGUAUAAAAAAAAUGUCUCCAAUCAUACACACAACAACAAAUGGCUUGUAUUAAUUUUGCUGUUGUUGCUAUUAAUAAUACAGCUCCACCUCCAUUGUUGAACAUAUGAAUUUUGAAACUAAAUCUAAUAUUUGAAAUAUUAGAUUUUGUAAUUGUUUAUGCCAAAAUCCUGCAUGGAAAUCAUUUUAAUCACAUUGAUUCUUGCCCCAAUCAUCUUUACUCUGUGUCUCAUUAAUUCCAGCUUACAGUUUGAUGACACAAGGAGAUGACACUUACAGGUUGAAAUGAGUUGUUUCCAUAGCAACACAAAAAGCUUCACAAAAGGCUCUGUUUUGCUUUUAAUGUGUUUACAGCUAUUAAGAGCAAAUAAAUAGACAUAUCUACAAAACUUUCUUUGCAUACCUUGCUACCAUUCACAGUCGUGUUUUGGAGGAAGAGAACAGCACAUUCAAGGUUGCUGACCUUUCAAAUAAGUCCAAAAAUCCUUGAAAGGGAAAAAGAUCAUUUGUAAAAAAGAAAUACAUGUACCUCUCAAAUAUAAAUGUUUUCAUAUAUUUUUCUCCAAGUAAAAAAAAAUCUUAGCACUCAACUAGUACUAAUAAUAAUCAUAAAUGCAAACUUGGAAAAUCCCUCUAGAUUAUAAACUCAUUUAUAGCAGGCUUCUCUACUUUUAUUGUUUCGGUUCACCUUAAAGAGACACUAUUAUCACCAAAACAAAACAACUUUAGCUUAAGGAAUGGUUUUGAUGCAUAGAUUAUGCCCUUGCAGUCUAAAUGCUUAAUUCUCUGCUAUUUAUAUAUUAAUUCAAUUUGUUUAUGCAAUCAUAGCCAACAUCCCUUGCAUAUGACCUACACUUUUUCCGUACAUGCUUCCUGUAAAGAGAAAUCUAAACAUGUUUCCUGUAAAGAGAAAUCUAAUGUUUAAACACAUUCUGUUUAAGUUAGAAGUUAUUAGCUCUAUUAAUAGCCUGCUUCAGAUUGCAGAAAAUACAACUUCUAAAGUAAACACACUGUACUGUUUGAAAAUUGAGCCAUUUUUUUUUCUUCAUGAAGGCUGUGUGAGUCACGGCCAGGAGAGUGUGGUUAGGACUGCAUAAAUAGAAACAACAAUGAUUAAACCUCUAAAUGGUAGAAAAUUGAGCAGUAUGACUGCAGGGGCAAGAUCAUGUUUUGGUGCUUAGAGUAUCCUUUAAAAUUCUUCAUAAUUUAUUUUAUUUAAACUGUUUUAAAAAGUGUAGUAGAUAAAUGUACCCUUAUCUAUAAAGUAAUACUCAUUAUAAGCAUUGUUAAAAAAAAUAAGUAUAAUUAGUAAAGGAACCUGCCUGCAAGAACUGUAUUUUUUAAUUAUAGAAUUAUAGGGACUCCUGAAGAGCAUCUGUCAUGAAAAAUAUAUUGAAUAUAAAAAUGUAAAAAGCUAUUUAUUUAAUCUAUACAUUGUGCUUUCAUAUGGACUUUGCAAAUGUUUAGAACUUCCUUUUUUUUUAAAUUCAAUGAAUAUAGAUCUGGUAUGUUAAAAUAAUAUAAUGAUAUCCGAGAGCCGAUCAAGCCAACUCAUAACAAAAACUUUCCUUAGAUGUUUUAAUACAUUUGAUUCUUAAUCCUGUUAGCACAGUUGUAUUUUUUAAAUAAAAUGUUGCUAUUUAUUUUAUAGUGUUCUCCUUCGCAUCCAGUAAAAUGUGUUUAUAUGAGUCACACGAGUCUGUAUUUUACUUCUUUAAUAAGCCACAUAUAAGCAAGGUAACCGUGCAUGCUAAAGACUGUAACAUGAAUUCUCUUCAGGCUUAUUGCCACUGUCCAUACUUAACACAAUAGUUUAUGGCCUAAUAAUACCCAGGACUACCACAUAUUGAUGAAAGCUCUGCCUUCUGCACUGCCACAUAGUCUGUCUGGAAUUAUUUACAUUUAUAUGGUUAAAAUUGCCAAGAGACAAAUACGUACCUAGAGAUAUUCAGAAUACUUAGUUCUCUAUUCUUUUUUUCCUGUUUGCACUUGCCCUAUGUCUGUUCUAUAUCUUUCAAUAACCUGUCUCACAUUUUUUUAUUUACCUUACCUAUGCAUACACUGCAUGGCACAUGCUUCACUAGAUCAACUCUUAUAUACAAUAAAUUCAUAAACGGGACAUUUCAAGAUCAGAGACAAUGAUGGUCUGUUCACAGCACAGUUACAUUAAAUAAUUAAGAUCCUGUAUUAUUUUUGGAACAUCCCUAGGGCAUUGACUUCUACUUUUAAUCAUGGGCUCAUCUGAAGUGAUCAUUUUCAGGAAGUGUACCAAAAAAAGCAGUUAGAACUGAGGAUCAUUUGACAGGCACAUAUUAAAUAAUUUACGAAAUCUAAGGAACAUUUUGAUAAAACCUUUUUUUUUACAUAUCUUGGUCUGCAAAUGUUUGAUUGCAUUAUCUGCACAUAUGUACAAAACUAAGAUAUUUUUGUUUAUUUUAUUUUUGUUUGGUUUGGAAUACUGAUGUAUUCUAUAUAAUCUGACACCAAAUGAUACAUCUGCCUGUAAUACCACACAAAUUCAAGAGUAUAACUAUAAAUAACCAUACGUUACAAGUAUACUUUAUAGACCUACAGUAUAGUAUAUCUAGUAUAGAGUAUCUAGUCUUCCCAUUGAUUUCAUGAGAGCUGUGCAAAUCCCAAUAGCUUAUGGAACAUUUAGUUUAGCACUUGGCAGCAGUUUCAUUCAUCAAUAAUGUGACAAGAAUUGCUGCCAAAGCUGAUAGCACCUUCACCACAAAUAGAACCUGCAACGCUACUGAUGCUUUAGGGACACUCUAUUCACCAUAACAACGUAAUCUAAAUAAAGUUAUUAUGCCAGGAGGUUCCCAAUGGCACUCUUACCUUAAGGGUUUAAACCGUUUUUGAAUGGUUUAGCCCCAAAGUAUACCUCCAGCACAGCUCUGAAGAUGCUGCUGGGCAGGAACACCACUGAUUGGCUAAGAGUAGUCAAACGACGAUUUCAGCCAAUCAGUGACUCCCCAUUCAUAAAAUUGGCUUGAAAACAAACAUACACUUUUCAAGCCAGUUUUAUGAAUGGGGAGUUACUCAUUGGCUUAGAGUGCGCCCGGCGGCCCCCUGACACCUUAACAACUUAAUUUAGAUGAAUUUGUUUUGGUGACCAGACAGUCCAAUUAAGUAUAACAGCAAAAGGGGGUGACAUAAUAUCUAACAUACCAUCUUACAUAAAAUGUUAUUUAUACAUGUACAUUCUAUGUCAAGAAAAUAUAGGUAGAAGUGUAUUCAGUAUAAUUCAACAAUUAUUUGUGGAGACACUAUAAUGAGUCACAUUUGAUAGUGGUAAAAGGGACGUCUCAAGUAUUGUUCUUUGAUCGUAUGUUUUCUAUUAGAUGACAGCCUUUGAAUAACAUUCAGGCCUCUCAAAAGCAAUUCUAAACUGAACAUUGAUAAAGAGUAAUAUCUUCAGGGACACCAUGCAAAUUGACUAUUUGCUGUUCAACCGUGUUGUGCUGUUUCUGUGAAAUAAGUUAUUUCACUCAUUUUUGAAGUAUUAUUUUUCUUUCGCUUAGACACUACAUUUUAGGUAGACAAUUGUGAGAUCAAGAGUAGCAUUAAAUGUUUACAUAUUCUGAGGUAUUGCUAGGAUUAUCAGUUUCUGAAAAAAACUGUGUUUGUUUAUAUACUAUUAGAUCACACUGAUUCCAAGAGUCACAAUUAUUAGGUAGAUAGACAGACAAACAAUAAAUAGAUGCUAUUCCCAAUCAAAUUUAAACACUAUCCAAUAGACUUCCUGAUAUUAUUCUCAAUAUAUUUACAAGUUUGAUCUCUUCUAGUCCAUCGGGACACUGGCUAAGUGGAAAUUCAAAUCAGUUUUAGUGAUUUUGUUAGCAGAGACAUAUGCCACGAUAACAUUAACACAUGAUGUGUUUGAUCUGCAUGCAUGAAACUUAACACACUUUUUAAAAAAUACAUAAAGUAAGAGGUCAGGGAUAUGUUGUAAUAUUAAUAGGAUAUUUUAAUUAAUAGGGAAAUUCAAACAGAAUAAAACUCCAAAAGAUUGGUUUAAGCGGUAGAGUUAGUAAAUAUCUGGAUAUUCUAAAGCUUUAUCAAUUUAGUUUAAUGGCUUUUCCAGUUGGUCUUAGAUAUUAGGAUGCCUUCAUAAACAUUAAUUAAGUCUUCUUUAUUUUGUUUUAUUCUAUCAUAAAAUAUUACAGUAUUAAUAUCCUUGGAGGUAUGAAAAUAUAUUAAUUUACACAUGCAAAUUUUUAGAUGCAGUUUAUUUUACACAUUUCAGAAUUCUUUAAGGGAUGUGGUGCCUUAUUCUAUUUGAUGAACAAUAUUAUUUCCCUUAAUCUCUAUAAAACUGUAAGACCACAUUUGAUUUAUGAAAUAUCAUAUUCUGAAAAUAAUUGAAUAUUUACUAUAUAUGUGUCUAGAUUGUCCCAAAAUUCCUGACCAAAAUAUUAAAAUAACUCUAGACCAGGGUUGUCAAACAUGCGGCCCCCCAGAUGUUGCUGAACUACAACUCCCAUGAUUCUUUCAAUGAAACAGAUAGCCAGGGAAUCAAGGGAGUUGUAGUUCAGCAACAUCUGGGACAAUCAGAAAAUAUUCAAUUUGUGAUAUCUAAAGAAUAUUUUUAACUGUGAUAACAAAUAUGAUAUGUUUCAGUUUGGGGGCAAUCAUACAUCUUACUUCUCAUUCCUUAAUUCAGAUUUUUUUUUCAUCCUUAGCCUUGGAUGUAUUUGAAUGUAAAAGUUGAAAUCCUUUGUACAUUCUUCAUUCUUUUAAUGAAAGAAAAAUAUAGGGAUUGGAAUGAUAUCCAUGGAAACAUGUAUACAAUGAGUCAUUGUACUUUUAAAACCUCAUCUGAGAUAAAAAAAUAUCAAAGAGCAUUAGUUGGCAUGUAAUGUAAGUACCCCAUCUUUUCCAAUAUUCGACUUGGAGAUUUGUUUCAUUAUUUUCAUUAUCAAACGGCAAUUCAUCCGAAUCUGGGUCGAUUGAGUGAAAUGUAGACAAAUCAUGAACUGAAUGAACUUUGGAAUGGAUGAGCAUGAUUACUUUGAUUUGUGAUUUGGAAAAAAAAGAGCUGAUUGAUGGGAACAAAAAGAUUAUGUAUGGCUAGAGGACAGUCACUAAAUGUUUAUUUUGUUCACAGAUCAAGUGUGAAGUGAUCGAUAAAGUGAAAAAAGUCAGAGCUCCUCCUCUUUUUACCUCCAUUGGGUACUUUUUCUCACUUGACCUGUGAACUAAAUGAUAUGGAAUGUGCCUAUCAGUACCUAUCAUUAUCAUGCCCUUUUGGUUCAUGUGAUUCAUUUUCCCAAAUCUUUAUUCGUUAAAAUUUUUAUUAGCCAAACCAUAAUAUGGGUAAAAUUUGGCUAUGCCUGAAAUAUUUUUGUUUUUCGGACGAAGUGAUUUAACCGAAACAUUUUUGAUAUAUUUUUUGCUGUGCACAAGUCUAUUCCUUAUAAAGAGACUUUACAGCUGUCGAUAAUAACAGCUAGAAGUUAUAUCAGUGGAGCAUGUGAAAAGGAAAGUUGUUGAAUAAUGUGGGGAGUACUCAUGAUUGAAAAGAAUUGUUCAAGGUUUAUACUGAUAGAACGCAUGCCCAUAAACACCUAUGGAUAGAAUUCGGAGAAAUAAAUACACGUGGACACAACUGUAUUUAUUAAAAGCCUUACAAUAUGCUCACAAUACAUAUAUAAAAAAAUAAACAGAAUUCCCUAGCAACAAACAUCAAAAGUUAUACUCAGGUUUGCAUUUCCUUUAAUAUAGUUAUGACUUAGUAUUUUCUUUCACCUGCUUAUACUACCCAAAAGGAAAAGCCAGUAAUUGGAAAUCUGUGCAAAAUGGUUUAAACUACUAAACUAUAUCUAUGUUUACUCUAUGUGUGGGAAGAAAAAUGUACAUUGAUGACGAAACCUAAAUUUGAGGGGAAAACACAACCAGAAUUUAUGGAUCGCUUAUGUGGGGACAUUUGGCACAAGGGAAUGGGGGUACAUAACUGGGGUUGCCAAUGACUGAAUGUAUGUCACUAGUGAUGCAUGAAUGAUGAGCACUCCUAACAAGGGGAUGUGUCAGUCUAGGGUACAUUCAUCGCACGCUGACUAAUCCCCAUGCUGUCCAUUUCUCUAAAUGUUUGCCCAUAUGCAGAGCUUGGCCAAUGUGAACCUCUAUCGGCAGAAAGUGCCCAAUUACAUGAAAUAUGAGCAAUGGGACCAUCCCAUUGUAUCUUGAAUGUGGUGGUAUAUGCAAUGCAAUGAGCAUGAAUAGCAUAAUAACUUUGUGAAAAUGUAUUCUCUGUAAUUUCACAACCUGGGAUUAAGUUUUUUUUUUUUAAAGUGAAGUAUGUACCACAUGGUAAGCUACUGAGAAAUGUCGAUUUUCAGAUUUUAGCUUUUUCAUGUUGGUUCAGUUCACAAAUAAUGAUAUCGACACAUACUAGCUUUUUAAGAAAAAAACAUAUAACCAAGAAACCCUUGUUUUGCAAUCUGGAUAGUGCUUUCUUAUUAUAGCAUAAGGCAGACAUGAAACAACAUUUUUUCUUAGACAUCAAGAUCUUACAAAUAGAAUAAACUUAUGACAUUUGUGAGCACCUUAUGGAAAAAUCACGAAUGUUCUUUUUUCAACUAGAACUAGAACAAGUGAAAAAAAUAAGUUCAGUAUAAAAGUUAAAGAAGUUAAAGAAAGCUCAGCAUCAAAGAGGGUGAACUACAUUCUUUCUGUUGCCUGUAUGGUAGUUAUAAUAUAUCCAUUUAAAAGUGAAGCACGGUAAAGACGAAUAGUUAUAGGGAUAGUGAUAAUUUUUUUAAAAUGUUUAGAAUUUUUGUUAAAUGUUUAGAAAUUUUUAAAAAUGUUUCUAUUCUGUGAUGCUCUUAAUAUCAAAAUAUAACACAAUAUAAGCUUUGCGUGUGUGUUUCUCUUACAAAACUCCACACCGGUUGUCUACAAAUGCAAUAAACAUGAAAUAUUACCUCCCAGAAGUAGACUGUGCUUACUGCUGAGGCAUGUACGUGUGAUAAAUUGUGUUUCGUGAUAUGUAAAGGAAGAAAAUAUCUCCUGUCAGUGUCAAUUUUGUAUUUGUGUUAUGAUACUUGUCUCAAAGUGACAUUCCCAGAGAGUUUAUUUUCAAGUCUACUCUUAAAAGUCUUGUCAUAGAAUUAGAGAAUUAUUUUAUUAUUUUUCCUCUCUGUUUUCAUACUACAUUUAAUUACAGGACCAGUAAUACCUCUAGGCAAGAUAGAUUUAAUUGGAUACUAGAGAAUAAGUGCUGUAGAAAUUCUAAAGAACAGUCAUGAUUUUAAUACAGCCCUGCUCAAAGCAUAAAUUCCUUAUAACUUUCCCCAAUGAUGGGAGAGGUCUGGCCACACUAUUUAUUUAUUAUGUAUUUAUCACAUUGUUUGUUUGGUUUAAACUGGCAUCAAAGUACAUAGCAAACCCAAUACUAUAAAUCAUGGCAUCUGCUUGUGUGCGUUUUUAAAGAUAAUGUUUAUUCAAGGCCAGAUAUAGUUACGAUGGAUUAAAUAUGUCAAAGAAACAUGGCGAUGGUCUUAGGUAUUAUGGGGACAAAAUUUACUCAAAUCUAAUGCGCCAUCGAAUCUAAUGCGCAAUUCAAUUUUCGAAACUUAGAAGCGGAAAAAGGUUUUUGCUGGUGAAUAUAAUGCACAUUUAUACAAGAAGAUACUACUAUAAAACAUUGUACUACAAUGAAAAUGCUUAUUGCCAUAUACCAUAGUAACACUGAUGGUAUUUCCAUUUUAGUGUUACAUGUUAAGUCUAUUUUUUCUUAAGCCCUCUUUCAGGAAUGAAAUUAGCCUGUAUGAACUCACCUGAAUGAAUUCACCUGUGUGAAUUUGCCUGUUUGAAUUCACCAGUUUUAAUUCACUGGUUUAAUUUGCCUUUGUGAAUUUGCCAGGAAUAUAUAAGUGCAUUCAAAUUUUGGAACCUUUAUUUUGCAAAAAAGGUGCACAGAUUUGAGUAAAUACUGUAUGUAAUUGUCAUAGUUACAUAUUAAAUCCUAACAAUCAAAUAUAAUUGUUUUAAAUAUAAUUAUUAACUGAUCAAUAAAGUAGAUUUUGCCUCAACAUUGUCUCAUAAAUUCUCAUAUCAACCUCGUUCGUAUUCAUAUUGACCUCUUUCAUGUAAUAACAUGUUGCCAAUUAUUACUGCCAUCUUUACUACCAAAUCAUAGAAACAUGAAACAGUUUUUGAAAUUGCUAAAUACACCACCUAAACCUAGCAUUUGACACAAAUUAAAUAUAUGUAAAAAUAAUAAUUCAGCAAGCUGCUUUUAUUAGUAUAUGCCCAAUGAUGAAUCAAGUAAUCUCUAUGAGGAAAAUUCAGUUUCCCUAUGCAGAGCAUGGGGACACUAAACAGCAGGGCUGCUUACUGUGCAUCCCCGAGCCAGGAAGCCCCUCCAGUGGCCAUCUAAGGAGUGGCCACUUUGUAGUGUCCCUAGGGGCAAUGUAACACUGCCUUUUCUCUGAAAAGGAAGUGUUUACACGAAAAUGCUUGAAGGGAGCUAUUAUACUCACCAGAACAACUACAUUAAGCUGUAGUUGUUCUGGUGACUAUAGUGUCCCUUUAACUGUGAUCUAAAUACCAAACAUUCAUAUUCAAACUCUUUCUUGCAGCAAAAAAAAAUUAAUUUAUUGCUCAGUGUUUUCUUGUAUUAACCCAUAAAACAUCAUAUCAGCUCCACUGAUUUAAUUUAUAUAAUAGAUUACACCACUGUAUUAAUCAGGUAUCUUAUCCAUAAAACAAGCACAUUAGCGAAGUUGUUAAACCCAAAUAAAAUAUAUAACGCGACUUCUUAAAAACAUCACUGAUAUGUGAAAAGCCAGAAUGAGUAAAGCAUAUUUAUUUGAGGCCACAAUGAAAAGCUUGCUUAUUUGCCAACACCCAGUAAGUCUUUUCAUUUUAUGGUCCUUUCCUUGCUGAAUUACACUUGGAGCACUGCCUGGACUAACUCUGCAAUGGCAGUAAACUGUGCAAGACCGAAGUGACACAAAAUAUUUAAUGUACACCGCAGAAAUCAUAUUAGUAUGGAAUUUGAAAUGUUAUCUGGAAAUAAUGUGUUACUAUGUUUCACUCCUUUCUAAGUGAAUUUGAAGAAAAACCUUUAGUGGAUACUGUUGAGAUUCAUAUAUAAUAUAAUGAUAUUCAUUUGCUUAUAAAUUUGACUGCGCCUUUUCAUCCCCUUUGGUACGCAUGACUGAAAAAUACUUCUGACAAGUUUAAAAUGAUUUGGUCAGUACUGAUUAAGUGCUGCAUGUGUGAGAUUGUUAGAAGUCAUGUUUCUGCACACCAGAGUAUGGUACCUCAAAUGCAAUUUGCCAGAGCAACACUGUGAUUUAUUAUAAUGUAUAUUGAAUUUUGUUUAUUUAGCGCAGUGGUUGUUAUUGUGCGGAAUACAUCUGUGUCUUUCCAGACAUAUCUAAAACAAUGAAUGAAAAAUGCAUGGCAGAGAACAAUCAAAAACAAGCACUGGAGUAAUUCAGAAAUUCAUUGCUUGUGUAUGUGUGUUUGUACAGUUUAAAUCAGCUUGUAAUUAUGCGCAUAACAAUAAUAAUAAAUAAAUAUAUGUCAAUGUACUUUGUACACAAGAUUUUAGGCUCAUAUGUACUAAAAUUUGAUUGUGGUUUAUGUAGUAAAUCUCAGUCUACAUUUGGUAAUUAUCGCUUGUGUUUAUGUGCAGUGGUUCCUUGGGAAUGAUUAGUAGACCGAUGCAUUCGGUUUAAAACGAAUUGUGAUUUGUUUAAAUUUAGCCGAUAGGUGAUUUGUUUAAAUCCUCAAACUUAGAGAAACUAUAUCGAUGAGUCAUAAAACAAACGACACAGACAAUGGACAAAACCGUCAGGUUGGUGAUUCGGAAUUCUGUCCAACGAUUGAAUCAAAAAUAGUUGUUUGGUGGUUAGGGACAACUAGUAAAUGUUGAUUUUAUUUACAGAUCAAGUGAGAAGUAACCAAAAGAGGAACAAAAAUAGGAUUUUUUUUUUAUCCCUAUGUUUUUGACUGUGGAAUGGUCUUUUAAAUAGAGAUUAUGUAUGUAUAUUUAUAUGCUAUAUUUAAAAGACUAUUACAUAGUCAAAAACAUAGGUAUACAAAAAUAGGGCAAAUAGGGGGUAUAUAUUUCAGGCAUGUAAUCAUUUAGGGAAAUAGUCCAAACAGAGGAAUAAUCUGGCGUUUCUUGUUCCGGAUGGCAAUAUGCAAAUGUUUUCUAGUUUUCUAUAUGCCAGUUGAAAAAGCCCUGUGUGGCGAAACACGUUUUGGCUAUUUUAUUAUAGUAUUAUAUUAUUUUAUAUUGCAUUAAUAAAGGAUUAGUGGCCUUUGUUUGGACUAUUUCCCUUUUUUUUUUUUUUUUCACAACUUCUCAAGUGGAUUCAACCAUUUCCAGCUUACCCUAAGGACUUAUUCAUGUUCAUAUGUACUGUUGUAUGUGUAAGUACUUACUGUGUUGCUUCCUCAUUAUUUUAUAGCUCCUUAUAAAUAUUUAUUUUUAUCUUUGUUUUAUUGUUAUCAAAUCAGUUUUAUUAUCCCACAUUUUAAUAUUUUCCAAUAUUUUAUUGGCGCGACCUAAUAUUCUCUAUUUCUUAGAUUUUCCUCUUUUUUUUGACGUACUGUGAGGGAACGUCUCAUUUUAGGUUGCUGCCUACAUUUACAUACAUUUUGCACUAUUCCAUUGAGAAACUAAGCGCUGAACCAACUACCAUUUUCACAUCUAAUCAUUUAGGGUAGAUAUUAAUUGAAAUGGGUAAUAGUUAAGUGGAGCAGAGUAGAAAAAAUAAGGAGACAGUCUACUCUAAGAAAUGAGGUAGAAAGGGUAGAGAAAAAAUAGGAAACCUAUUAACCUAUAGGGAUAUCAGAAUCUUAAUAGAGCUUGCAAGUUCUCCUCUUUUUCCCCAGAAGUGACUUUGAGUCUCUUCACAGGGAAAUAACCAAUCAGAGGCUUUUCAAUGAGAAGUCUCUGAAGUUAUCUCCAUGUAUAUGCACAUACACUAACUCGUGCCUGCACUUUGGUUCAUGUCCAGAAAGAACAUUGGUCUGAUCUGAGGUCCAAGAACAGGUAUGCGAGGGAAGCCGGAGUGCACAGAUAGAGAAUGCCUGCCACUUCAGGGGAGCUAAUGGAAGUAGGAAGUAAACCUCAUUGGCUAUGUAAUUGAUUGCCAGGGGGUGUUCCAUUCCAUUAUUUAAAAAUAAAAGUGCUGAUUGUCAUAGAAAUCGUCAUUUUGAUAUAGUGCCUUUAUGGAUGUGAAGUGGUCCUUUAAUUUGGAAUACUCUGAUCAGCCACGACAAUGAAACCACUGACAAGUGAAGUGAAUAACAUUGAUUAUAUUGUUACAAUGACAUCUGUCAAUAUGUGGUAUAGUUGGAUUAAUUAGGUAGCAAGAGAACAGUUAGUUCUUCAUUUUCAUGUGUUGGAAGCUGGAACAACGAGCAAGUGAAAAGUGACUUUGACUAGGGCCAAAUAGUGAUGGCUAGACAACUGGGCCAGGGCAUCUCCAAAACAGCAAGUCUUGUGGGUUGUUCCCGGUAUGCAGUGGUUAGUACCUACCAAAAGUGGUGUAAGGAAGGAAAACUGGUGAACAGGUGUAAGGUUCCUGAGCACUCAAGGCUCCUUGAUGCAUGUUGGGAUAUGAAGGCUAGCCCAUAUGGUCCAAUUACACAGAAGAGCUACUGUAGCUCAAUUUGCAGAAAAACGUAAUAGUGGCCAUGAUUGAAAGAUGUCAGAACACACAAUGCAUUGCAUCGGGCAGCAUAGCCGUAGACCAGUAAGAGUCCUAUUGUGACCCUUGUCCACCACCAAAAGAUAGGGACGGUAGCAAUGGUCUAGACACAAGCUUGACAUUUUGGAUAGUGUGGCCACUAAAAAAACAAGAAAGAAAGAACUUUCCCUGGAAAUUAUAUAUACAAUUGCUUUUUAAAUACAAAUAUAGUUCUAUAUUUAAACUAUGAUACACAUCAUAAAAGUUUCAGAACUGGAGAAGUUUCUGCACCAUGUAUAUACAUAGAAUAUUUAUAGGUUACAUUAAAUUCUAACCCAAGCAUAAAUAUAUAUUUACAUAAUGUUCUUUAAAUGUAAAUGUUAUAUUUUCAAUGUGAUAAAAAUAAUAACAAUAUCAUUUUCUGUUUCUUUUUUAGGUGAGUAAAAUCAAUGUUUCAAGUAACCUUUGUGACAUGCCAUUUUGUGAAAUGGGUAAGUCGUGAAAUAGAACAAUAACACUUGUUUUUUUGUUGUUUUUUUAUUUUUAUUAAAGUUGGUUAUAUGUGUCUUUAAACAUUGAAUCACAGUUAUUCAAAAGCACACUUUAGGCACAUAAAACACUUCAGUUUGCUAAAGUGCUUCAUGUGUCGGGAGUCUGGAGAAUUACAGCUCAUUGAGAAGCGUUGGAAAGCCACAGUCGUAUGAAUGUGUGUACUCGUGCCUCCAGUACAACUCUGAUUGGUGUGUUUACCAGACUAAAACCUCUGCCGAAGGUUUUCCCAAUAUACCUCAAAGAAAACAUGAAUGAAAAAUGCUACUAAGUAGUUAGAAAAAAAUUGGACUGUUUCUUUAACAUUUUAGUUACCAGUGUAAUACAGAAAUACAUUUAUAUCACUUGGACUUGACAUUAGACUGUUAAAGGAUCCGUAAAAAAAAUUCACUUGCAUUUUAGAAAACAGGGAGGCAAAUAAGGAUUGGAUCUAUCUGUCUAUGCAGAUAUGCAUAAUCCACUUUAUCCUAUUUUUGUGCUUAGCGGUAUAUUUAGAGAUUGUGUGUGAAAACAAAAAUGAAAAUAUGUGGGGGUUUUUAUUCAUAAUUUAUAUUUAUGAAGAAUACAGAUAAAUCCAAAUACAGGUUAGAAAAUAAUUGUAGUGCAAUAAAUUAAUGUAAGCAUUUGUGUACUUUUUAUGAAUUUUAUAAUUUUCUAUACCACUUUCAAACAGAUAUGUUUUUGUACAACUUCCGAUGCGUAUUUAAUUAUGAUAUAUAAUUCAACUUGCUCAGAGAGUUCGGAUCUUCUUGUUCUUAGCUUUAUAGUUCUACGUUAACCUCUGCAAAGUAAAAAUGAAAUGUUGAAGAUUCUUAUCAGUUUAUGAAGUAGUACCUUAAAGUUAUAUCUGGUCAUGCUCUUCCUGAAAAUAUUUUACUGAACGAUCACUUGCUACCUAAUUAUAAUUGAAUACCAGUGCUAAUGUUCUUUUCAAAGCUUAUGUCAACAGACAGCAUAAUUACCAUUGUCUACUGAUGUCUAGAUGUUCUUAACAUUGUUUGGUGACGUGAAACAAAAAACACUUUUUUUUUUUUAAAUGAACAAUAGUAGGCUACAUUGGUGAAAAACUGGAAAGUGAUAAGGGUAAAGAAGCAAUAUAUUGGUUUAAAACUGGACUGUCCCUUAUUCAAACUUUUUUUUAUUCAACACCUUAUUUAAUAAAGUUUAUAUAAAAUAAUGAUUGGAGCUGCAAAGUAAUCCUCUAUGGCAGACGUAGGCAACCUUAGGCACUCCAGAUGUUUGGACUACACCCCCCCAUGAUGCUUUGCCAGUAUUAUGGCAGUAAGAGCAUUCUGGGAGAGGCAGUGCAAAAUUUCUGGAGUGUCGAAGGUUGCCGAUACCUGCCCUAUAGGCUGGUUAUAAUCUUUAGGGCAUAUUCCCCAUCAAAUAUAACUAACAAAGAAGUUUAAUAUUACUGGGGGAUAUAUUCAAGACAACAAUAUUUUAUCUUUGCAUACAAACUACUGACCAGAUAAAUAUUGUAAAAACAAAUUUUGCACCUUAAAAACAUUUCAAUUUUUACAUAUGUAUUAUCAGGCUAUCAAGAGUUUUUCCCCACAAACAAUAAACUAACAGGAAAAAAAGUAAAAUAUGGCAUAAGAAAAAUGGGAGCCCUGAACCUUUAUAUCAGUUUGUAAUUUCAAACACCGACAGGGUUAUUUACUAAAUGAAGAAUUGCAAUGAAUUCAAAGUGAAUUUCAAAUUAAAGGCCACAGUAGCUUAAGUGAAAAAAAUCUCCAAGCCAUUUAUGCUUCAAAAUAGGCUACUUUGGACUUUAAUUUAUAAUUCAAUUUAAAUUGCCAACAAUUCUCAUUUUAGUGAAUUACCUUGAGAGUGAUUUUGUGACGGUAUGUAGAAUUGUGUUACUGAGGUAAAGUUUUAGGUUUUUAUUAAUUUUCAUUUAGAGCGAUCGCAAAUUUCAAGUUAGACAAAAGUAAUUAUCGAUGUACAGGGUUAUCCACUAAAGUGAGAAUUCAAAGUGAAUUCAAAGUGAAUUGAAAUUUUAAAGUCAAAUGAGCUGAACAGAAAAACAAAUUCAAGUCAGCUAUGGUUUAAGCUUGGUUACUCUGGGCUAAUAAGACAAAGGACAAUACCAUUUUUUGCAAAUUUAUUUUAUUUGCAAAACUUUUACAACAAUUAUCUUAGAGAUAAGGGCAGAUUGUUUUUUUUAAAAUGAAGCAAUAAGUUGAAACAUUCUAUAAAGGUUAUAAUUUUCACUAUGUCUAUUUAGAAAAUACAUUUCAAAUAUUUGAAAUACUAUUGCUAUAUCAGUCCUUGAUAUGAAUAUACUUUGAAUGAGGCACCUCUUUCUUAAAUAAUACACAUUUUUAAGGAUGCAACUCACAUUGAACAACUUGAGGAAGCAUUGCAUAAUACAAAAGGUCUUUGUGUGAAAUACCAUACUAUGAUUUUCUUCGUCCUGAUUGUGGUCUCAAAGGGUCGCGGUGCUCCCGAUCUGUUAAGCAAAACUCAUUGGAUGGCCCUAAGUGCAUGGACCACCAACUGCACCAAUGGUAGUUCUGCCGCUGUCCAGAAUUGAAAGCUUCCACUGGCAGUGGAAUGUCGAUGUGUAUAAUGGAAGCUUUGAUAAUCUAGAGCACAAUCCACCAAAUAUCUAUGGGAUUGUGUGCCAUACAGCAAUUAAACUUACUUUUAGGAGAACACUAAUGUGCACCUUCAACUUCACACUAUGAGCUCCAGGGCAAGUUUGGCUCUUGUCUUAUUUAUGCACAUCAUAUUUCAUAGUACACGAAUAGUAGUUCAUAGUUUUUUAGUGCCUGUAAUAGAUUUACAUGCUAUUUUUGAAGAAAUAAAAAAACAACCAGAGUGUUUAUUACAAAUGUUCUAAGUAAAUUUGAUUUAAUCUAUACAUUUUUGUUAACUAUAUAGCAUUGCCAAGUUGUGUUACAAAAUAUGCAUGUCAUUCAAUUAUCAUAGUAUAUCAUUGGAUGUGGUGUAAAUUGGUGUUAACAUGGACAUAUUAUCACAUAUUUUAAGAACAGACAUACGUGUCGAAAAAAAUAAUGCAAUGCAUCGUAAUUUUUUUGGAAGUGCAACAGAAAGCUGUUAUUCAAAGACAACCAGCUCAUAUUUUUAGCUAAAUGUAAUAUGUACAAAAAAAAAAAUCUCAUGUUCUGGUACAUGCUAUUCAAAACAGUAAAACAAUUUCACAAGUGGUGAUCAUUAAAUCAUUUUGGGCAACUGUCUAUAUGUCACAAGCCUAGCUGUUUCAAAUGCCUGGAAAAGUAGUAUGUGAUUUUAAAAAUACUUAUCUCCAAUUUAAUUUGGUGAAUGGAUGAAAUAUAUUUUACUUUUGUUUCAUAAUGUUAAGCAUAUUCUUCAUCUAUAAAUUUAGAUAUAUUUGCAAAUAAAUCUUUCAACAGCUCAGUACAACGGGAGGCCCUAUGCUACUAACAUGUCCACAGAAAAAAAUAAAUGAAUUUGUCUUGCCUGUGGAUGCAAUUGUUAAAUGUCUGAAUGUUGAUAAUAAGAGUCGUAAAAGUUCUGUGACUUUGCUUUUCACUUGUACAUAACUUUACUCAGUGGCCCACUGAGAUUUUGUUAUCUUAUUAUGUUACAGAAAUACAGUACAGAGGUUUUAGCUGAUUAGGAUAAAAACUUAAUUUACUUGUCUCUAAUUGCUUCCUCUUUGUAUUAUCUCCAUAUUGCAUAUUAUAUAUUGCAUGUAGUAUAUAUUGCAGGAUUAAAUAAUAUAACCUCAUUCUCAAUAAGCUGAUCAUAAUGCAAUAACUCUGCAAGAGACUCUGUGGUCAAAGCUGUGACCUGUUCAUUCUAACCAAUGAUAGGUACUGAUUGUGUGACUCUACGUUGCCUACACCAUUUGUGACAAGGGCUUUAGGCCAAUCCAUGAUUCCAUUACUGUCUUUUUUUUUGACAAUGAUAUGUUCAAUGUGAGUGGAGAGACUGUGACCACCUAAUUAAUGAAAAGAUAGGAAAUGCAUUCACAAAAUUAUGGAAUAAAAGAUUAACACUAUUACGUUAAAAGUUGCAUUUACAAAUACAGAACGUUAAAACUGCUUCCUUGUCACAGAAAAUCACCACUCUGAAAGUGGCAAAAAAAAUUGUCAGCUUGAAAAGAUACACUUUUACACCUCUUUAUAAUACAUUGCAAGAGACUAAUUUGUAAACUAAGUUACGUAUAAUAAUGUUUCUGUGUGACAGGUAGUGCAAUUACGACACAAUUAGUAACUUCACAUAUGUAUAAAAAGAUUCUUCACAUCAAUGCAUUCAUGUAUGCCAGCUAUGAUAAUAUUGAAAAGUGUUCUAAUAAUUCUUAUUUUUCAAAUUAUUAUUUUUAAAAUGACAGCAUUUAGGCAAAAAUUGCUGAUCUGGAAAAAAAAAAAAUCUCCAUCUCGGGUAUAGUCACAGCUUAAAGUUUUUAGACUGAAGUUUGCAAUCCGGAUUUCAAUUCACUACAAUUCAGAGUUUGUCAAGCAAACUCCUUAGUGUUAAAAAUUAAUAUGUUAUAUAUACUUAAACCACAAUAAAACUUUAAUAUCAUUUAAUCCAAGCAAAACCAAACUAUUUAUAAUUGUAUUAGUAUUUACCAAAAAACAUAAGCACACAAUCUAUCACAAAUGAAGGUGUCCUCUUAUAUUUUGGCCAAAUAAUGACCUGUUACUAAGAGUUCAAGUAAGGCAAACAUUUUGUUUGUGAUAUAUUAGUAAAUAAAUUGUUUAAAUAUAAAUAUUGCAUAUAUAAAAUAUAAACUGCUGCUAUAAAAAGAUCUUGAUACUUGGUGGAUUCUAAAGUGCUGUCUGAUAAAUACUACCUAAUGUUUGAAAUCUGAUUGUCAACCCCUGAAAUCAAAUGCCUGACUCCAGAUGUCUGACCUCAUGUCUGGCUGCUGAUGUAUAAUUUCUGAUGUCUGACUCCUGAUGUUUGAUGCUUCAUUACUGACUUUUGAUAUCACAUACUUGAUGUCUGAAUCCUAAUGUUUGAUUCCUGAUCUUUGAUGCCUGGUGACUGACUUUUGAUGUUAAACACUCGAUGCCCUGAUGUCUGAAACCUAUUGUUUAAUGCAUUAUUCCUGAUGUCUGACUGCUAAUAUCUAAUGCCUGAAACCGGAUGCCUGACUUCUGAUGCCUGAUUCUUGAUUUCUUAUUUUUGACACUUGAAACCUGACUCAUUAUUUCUGAUUCUCAAUGCCUAACUCCUAAUUUCUGAAUCCUGAUGCUUAACCCCUGAUACCUGACUGUUGAUUACUGACAUAUGAAUUCUGAAUCCUGAUACAUAUAACUCCUAACUCCUAGGGCCAGAUCUAUCAUUAGGUAGUGAACUGACAGGGUGCCCAUGGGGACGUUUCUUGGUAGACUGCACCUGUCUGAGGCCAGAACGCUGGGUGAGCGGCUCUUUUGCCACCUUCCCCCCCCCCCACUGCAGUCAUUUCAUCCUCUGGUCUCCUUCAAUAUCACUGCCGAUUAUAUCCUUGGAGAUGGGGUUUACUAUAAGUCCAGCAUCCAAGCAAUACUUAAUGUUUCCUGCAGGCAAGGGAAGCUGAGAUGUGACCUGGUAUCCUGGCUUCCCCAUGCAUUUGAACACCUCUGAAGGAUGAAGGAAGCAGCCUGUGCUCUGAGUGCAUGGCUUUCCUGACCCCCCUUUCUAAUACUUCUUGCAGGCUGAUCCCCUUCUCCUUCAGUCACAGCAUGUAGGUAUGAUAUAUCUCAAGGAUAAGGAUACUGAUUAUUUUGUGCAUGUUUGUAAAUUGGUGUGUGUAUGUGUGUAAAUAAAUUGUGACUUUUCAUAAACUCAUGUGAUUGACAUUGUGUGCGUAAGUAUUAGUGUGCAAGUCACAUUGUAUGUGUGUCAGUGAGAAUGUGUGUGUUAGUGUGUAAGUAACAUAAUGUGUGUUUGUGUGUGUUAGUGUGUAAAUGACAUUGGGUGUGUAUGUCAGUAAAGCUGUAUGCGUCAGUGAGCAUGUGUGUGACCAUGUAUAUCCUUAUAGAUUAUUUUGAACAUUUUUUUUACUUAUAUUGAACUUUUCUUUUUACUUAAAGGGAAAUCCCACCAUUCAGCCAUUGGCACAUACACUGUUUAAACAACCCACAAUUUCAAUGACAGACACACACACACACUGACACUCCCACUCACAGACAGGCACACACUCUCAAACACACAUACACUGACAUAAACACACUGACACAAACAUUCUCACUAAUUUGACACACUCUGACAGACACACACAUUCACUUACAGACAUACACUGACAGCUACACACACACUGACAUACACACACUCACUGACAGAGCGACACACAAACUCUCACUGACUGACACACAAACACUCUCUGACAUACACACAUACACACUCCCUGAUAGACACACACACUCGUUGGCAGACACAAACUCACUGACAGACACACACACUCAGUGACAGACACAGAUCUACUCACUGGCAGACACUCACAGACAGACAGCACACUCACUGACAGACACAUACUCACUGACACACACAUCCACUGGCAGACACACAUACACACAAACACUCACUGACAGACACACACACACACACACUGAAAGACACAGACACUCACUGGCAGACACACACACUAACAGAUACACACACUGACUGACAGACACAUACACACACAAACAAACAGUUUGCAGCAGUUCCAGAUGGUGAUAGACAUCCCCCAUGUGUCAAGAAUUCAAGAAAUGGUUGACUGUCCACCCCUACCCCCACCCUUUUGUUUUCUGUACCCAACACCUAUCCCUACUCCACUAAAAUUGAUCUAAUGUGUUAAUUAUGUGCAUGCAAUAUUGUCAAGAAGCUUAUGAUAUUGUAACAGCUUCCCUUUAUUCCUUCUGUAUCCCAAAUAUAAUAAAAAUUGGCAAAUUGAAAAAAAAGUUGAGGUGGUGACUUUAUACACCUCUUCUGUUUUUGCCUAAGUGUUAUAUUUCAACUCACUGUUUAAUGAAUAGACAGGGAAGAGAAAAGAAUAGAAAAGGAUAAACUACAUUGACAGAGUUAUUCACUAAAGUGAGAAUUAUUGGGAAUUACAAAUAAAUUUAAAGUUAAUUUCCAGUGGUCAAAGUAGCCAAAUCUGGAGAAUGUUUCCAUUUUGUUUGGCCUUAAAUUAGAAAUUCGCUUUGAAUUCCCAACACAUCUCAGUUUAGUGCAUAACCCAAUGAGAAUAAAGAGAGACGGGCUGGAGAGAAUCGUUGGCAUAGAGUGAGCAGGGGAAUCAUGAACAUAGAGAUUGCAACUUCAAGAAAAAGAAACCGAGGAGAAAGAUGGGGAUAAAACAGAUUGCUAAGAGACAGGAAUGAACACUGUGAAGGAAAGGUACAGCUGAUCAGACCUAACUGAAAACCAAAUGGCGAAAUGUAGGCCAAACAGAUCAUUUAGAAGAAUUCCUCAACUCAGCAACAGUCAAAGUUCAGCAGUUUUUUUCUUAAACUUUACAAUUCAGUUUUGAAUUUACUUCAAUUCAGAGUUUAGUGAAUAAAAAAAACCUCAGAGAAAAUGUAGUUGCAUUCAUGAUGAGGCGACAAAAUAAAUCUUUUUGUAGGAUGGCUGUCACCUAAUGCUGAGUAGGGAGUUUCAGUGGAUGACUGAUGGUGUUUAGGACGAAAAAGGAAGGUGAUUUGGAGGAGAGUAGAAAUAUGUCCUAAAAUGUACUCUGUAUAACUGAAAAGUUCCAGUGUUUCCAUUUCUCCGUGAAGUACCUCUCAGCCUCUCAGCAUCCAUUCUUUUCACACCAUAUUUCUAUAUAACAUCUAACCGCUCCAACUUAGCAACUCUCAAUGUUCUAGCUGCCUCCAUCUACAAGGUUUCUCUCUCCAACAGUUCCCAGUCAGAAACAUUUCCUUCCUUUGCAGACUCUCACUUUACAUUUUUCUUUUCUCUCAACAUAUUUUCUCCCCCUGCCGAGAAACACUUUGCAGAAUCUCUUUCUGCUAUUCACAAGCAACGAGCUUGUAUGUCAUUUUAACACUAUACAAAAACAGAUGUUUCCAUGACGGCAAAUACAUACAGAGUCACUGUCUUAUAUUUAUAUAUAUAUAUAUAUAUAUAUAUAUUCUUAGUCAGAUUUAAAUUUCAGAGAGUUUGCAAAAAAUAAAUAAAAAAUGUUUAACUUAUUAAUGACAAGACUUGUUUUCUUGAUUCUUUAACAAUUUAAUGUGAGUUUUUAGAAGUAAUUCCCAUGUUAUUUGCCACGCUAAAAUAUUAUGGACACCUUUUUUUCAUACGCCUCCAUAUAGUUAUCUUUUCUUUUUGUUUGAAAAUAUGUAAAUCGUUGCAAUGAUGGUUAUCAGCUUAUCUGCCUACCUAGACAGGUCUUCAUUAUGAAAUUUCUCUGACUUCUCCACACAGCUAUGACUAACAUUCUAUAGUUUAAUAUAUAUAUAUAUAAAACACCAAGAUGGCUGCACUCACCUGUACAUGCAUACAUUAUAGAGUGCUGCUGAGGCCAACUGAUACAACAUACAAGAUCCAGCGCUCUCGCUCAUUCACUAAACAGCUAUUUCAAGUCUUACACAAAAUAGUUUUAUUUAAUUGUCCCUUACCUAGGCAAAAAAACAGGAUGAAGUAUUCUGUGAGAUUUGAAAUUGCUGUUUAGUGAAUGAGUGCACUGAAUAUUGUAUGUUAUAUGAAAUAUGUAAAGGAGUAGCCCGGAGUCUUGUUUCCCUUCACUGCUCCAUACUGUUACCUGGUCAGCUAGUCUUAUUGACCUUGCCUAUACCCCCUCACAUAUUUCUUCUCUUCUCUCUUUCUACCUUAUUACUUUUUGGAUGGGCCCUCUUUAUUUUACAGUCCUGACAUUUCAGCACACCCAAACCGACUUCCACAUACAACUAUGUUACUUGUACACAUGUCUAUUUACUAUAGGCUAUUGAUACAGCCACGACCACAAAAAAAAAUAAAAAAAAUAAAAAAAAAAAAAUAUAUAUAUAUAUAUAUAUAUAUAUAUAUAUCACGUUUAUUGUCAGCAUUUACAGACUUUUAGCAAUUUGCAAUGACCAAAUCAAACAAAAGCAAUUUAAAUAUAUAUAUAUAUAUAAAACCCAUAAUAAGUGUGUGUAUAUAUAUAUAUAUAUAUAUAUAUAUAUAUAUAUAUAUAUAUAUACAGUAAUUGUAUAUAUUAUAUAUAUUAAUAAAAUUAAAAUAAUAAAUACAUUAAAUAUAUGAAUUACACAAUUAAAUAUAUAUAUAUAUAUAUAUAUGUAAUUUCAUUCUAAAAGUAUUUUGAUUUUAAUAUAUAUAUAUAUAUAUAUAUAUAUAUAUAUAUAUAUAUAUAUAUAUAUAUAUAUAUAUAUAUAUAUAUAUAUAUAUAUAUAUAUAUAUAUUAUGUGUAUAUUUAUGUAAUAUUUUAACAUAAUUAAGUCAUUUUAUUAAUUAUAAUUUGAGGGAUCAGCCUGACAACCCAGGCAGCAAGUACAGCGAAUUUAAUUUGCAAGUCAUAUGUUUAUCCCUGUGACUUUCCAAAACACCAUAAAACCUGGACAUGGGGGAUAUUAUUGUACUUGGGAGACUUUGCUUAACACAAAUAUGUGUGUUGUAAAACAUUAAAACUUAUCACAUGAUGAUAUCACCAGUAAAAGUUAUUUCACACCUUAUCAUUUCCCAUUUUCCCAUUGUUUUUAGAUUUUGUUCACAUUCAAUUAUGUUUCAUAUAUAAAUAUUUGACAUUAAAUGAAAGCCGUGUUUCUCCUGAACAAAAUGAUAUAAAAUAAGUGUUGGUACACUUAACAUGAAAGAGGUGAACUAUGGUUGAACAACAUAUAGUGCAAAUUCCAGCUUUUGUUUAUGUUUUGAACAAUGGGCUCCGUCCUUAAGGGGUUAAACAUGUUCUGCAUAUUCAAUAUAAAAAAGUGAGUAAACAUUGCAUGCAAGGUAAUAGUAAGGUGCAGUGUUUUAAAAUGUUAAAUAAAUUGCAAUGUGUAUUUAUAAUAAUAUAACAUUUAUGAGCACUAUAUUAUGGAUUUAAAAAGGUAAAGAAAAAAAGGAGAAACAAAUGAGUGAAUAGUGGGAAGACGAGGGAAGAGAGAUGUUAUUUACUCUUUAAUCAAUGUCUGUUUAAUUAAAUAGAUUUUUUUAACAAAUGGAAAACUAGGGGAUGUUUUAUUUUGACAGGUAAUGUAGUCUUAUAGAAGUCAUGAAGGUGGUGGGUUUGAAGGUGAGAGUUGAGCUGUGAGUGUGAUAAUUCUGCAAAGUGUGUGGGUAGUGAUUCGAUAUAUUUAUUAAAGAAGCUAUAUUGUUGGGGAAACACUAGUUGGUAAUGACUGAAAGGUGAUGAGGUAUAGUAGGGGUCAGAAAAGGAACCUAGCAGCAGCACUCAUUAUGGCUUGAUGUGGACAACUGUGCAAUGUGAAGGUGCCAAAUGAGGAUCAAACUGUAGGAGUCAAGGCAGAUGACAAGAUCAUUGUUGUGAGAAAGACUGAAGUUUCAUUGAACAAAGGGCAGGAUACAAGCCACGGUCGCAUGGGGCAUCACUCCAGGGAGCCGGCUGCAGCAGCGAUCUCUGUGACCGUGGGCCACUUCACUUGUAAGGGGGACAGGCCACCUGAGGGCACCACGAGCCCGGGCUCCUUAUAAGCACACAGACCUGGUUUGGGAGAUCUUUUGAUCUCCCUCCCGCGUCUUAGCAGAGUUUGCACAGCAGGAAAGGGAGGAGGCUCUCUGCCUUCACCUCCGUGUUUUUGUUUCCUAUAAGUAUCACAUUUUCAAAGAUAAAGCUAAAGGUAUAUAUGUUUUUAUGUUUUAGUAUGUUUAUAUUCUUCUUAAGUAUUGCUCAUAGAAAUACCUAAUAUUGCACAGCUAUUUUUUUUAACUAAAUGAUCAUCCAUUUUCAGAUUAUUUCUAUUUUUAUAUCUAAAUAUUUAGCAAUUAAACACAGGCAGGGUAAAGUACUGAAGUGAGAAUUCAAAGUGAAUUCAAAGUGAAUUUAAAAUUUAAGGCCAGCAUAGCUGAACUGAAAGCACAGAUGACUUAGAGAUUCUUUUCAUUUUGACUGCUUUGACCUUGUAUUUGAAAUUCACUUUGAGUUCAGUUUAUAUUUUAACUUUAGUGAAUAACCCUGAGAGCUUAUCAUUAUUACAGACAUUAGGAGUGAUAUGUGGUCAUUUCUAGAGACAAAAUAAACAACUUAGAGUGUUAAUAUCAUGAGACAACUGUCAAAAAAUAAUUUUAACCUAAUUAUUCCCAAAAUCAUGUUACAAGUUUUUACUUUCAUUUAACUUGCAAUGCAAACUUAGUCCGCAAAGCCUCACUCACCCUCAUUUUUACUCCAAAAAAGGAUUACCAGCCUGUAGAGGAAAACAUUUCUCUGCCAUAAGCAAAUAACAUUUGUUUAAUGUCUGAAAAUGUGGUAAAACUUUUAGAUACCUACUCCAUUCUAAACAGUGAAUGAAGUUUUAAUAGGCCUUACCAUUCCUACAGUCAGGGAGGAAGGAUGUGUGAAUUAAAUAUUGCAAGAUAAAGGACACUGCAAAGUAACUUUUCAUUCUCCAAAUAUUCUAUGAAAGAUAGACAAAUUAAAAAAAAAAAAAAAUGUAGUACAUCUACAUAAUAUAUGUUUUUACAUUUUCCCUUAAUUCUAAACACACAUUCUUUAUUUUGUGAUGUUUUUAUGUGAUAGCUAUACAUCAGAUGUUUCAAAUAAAUGUUGUGGUAAUUGUUUUUUUCAAAUAAAAAGUACCUUGUUGUGAACAGGUUAAUAUCUACCUCAUCCUUCCUUCCUGAUGUCAGUGCAGUAUGGAUAGGGAUAGUGGGUACUAGAAUAAAAGUAAUGCAUGGGAAAAGUUGAAUUAUUGUAUAUGUGUGUUUUACAACUCUAGGUAAAUAUUCUCACAUACUCAUAGGUAAUAAGCAUCAAUUAUUUAAUAUUAUAUUUUUCCAUGUUGUGUUGUUUUUUUGUGAUGUUGCGAAUAAAAAAAUUACAAUUUAAUGAGUAACAUUAAAGAAUAUAUAAAGUAUGGCAUAUAGUGGAAGAACAAGAAAUGAGAAAGACAUUCUAAAAUUUCAAAUUAAAUGAAAGGGUUACGCCAAACACCAUGACCAGUUCAGUAAUUUGAAUUGUUCAUGGUGCCUAAAGACUGUAUGUGCAGUGUUUUUCUAUAAAACGCUGCACAUAUGCAGUUUAACCCAUCUGCUGCCGGAGGUGCAAGUUCAUCAGCUAAUGCCAAAUCUGCAUUGCUUUGAACCAAUGAAUGGCUAUAGCUGUGGCUUCCAGAUUCUUUGGCUCUGCAGAAGUGGAAAUCGUGUCACUGGACCACCAGGUUAGGAACACUGCACAUAUUAUAAUUAUUAUUAUUAUUAUUUUAUUAUUUAUAUAGCGCCAACAAAUUCUGUAACGCUGUACAAUGGGUGGACUAACAGACACAUAAUUGAGAUCAGACCACUGGACGUACAGGAACAGAGGGGGUUGAGGGCCCUGCUCAAUGAGCUUACAUGCUAGAGGGAGUCGGGUAUAGUGACACAAAGGGUUAAAGUAGGAGAAUUACAUAGUUUGUUACAGAAGGGUUUAUUGAGUGCUUGGUAGGUCAUUUUUGACAGUUGCAGGAAAGGAGUCAUGGGGUGGGGGAUGAGAAACCUGCUGACAGUUUAAUUGAUACGCUUUAAUGAAGAAGUGAGUUUUCAAAGAUUUUUGGAAGGAGUGGAGUCUGGGUGAAAGUCUGAUUGAGGAGGGAAGGGAGUUCCACAGAAUAGGUGCAGCCCUGGAGAAGUCUUGAAGGCGAGCAUCAGAGGUGGGGACCUGGGCAGAGGAUAGGCGUAGGUCUUGGGCUGAGCGCAGGGGUCUUGACGGGACAUACUUGUGUAUGAGGGAGGAUAGGUAUGUUGGAGCAGCAUUAUGUAGGGAUUUGUAAGCAAGCGCAAUAAUUUUGAAUUGGGCCCUAUAUCUAACUGGAAGCCAAUGCAGGGACUGACAGAGCGUGGAGGCAUGGGAGGUGCGACCGGACAGGAAAAUAAGCCUCGCAGCCGCAUUCAUUAUAGAUUGCAGCGGUGCAAUCUGGGAACAUGUAAGUGAGAAGGGGAUUGCAGUAGUCAAGGCGAGUGAGAACAACAGCAUGAACCAGUACCUUAGCCGGGUCCGGUGUUAGAUAUGGGCGGAUGCGCGCUAUGUUCUUGAGUUGGAAGCGACAGGAUUUAGCUAUCGAUUGGACAUGGGGAGUAAAAGAGAGAUCAGAAUCAAAAAGAACCACUUGGCAGCGAGCCUGUGAGGUAGAGGUGAUAGUAGCGCCGUUGACUUGGAUGGAGACAGACACAGGAGUAGCAGCACUUGAGGGAGGAAAAACUAGAAGUUCUGUUUUGGACAGGUUGAGUUUAAGGAAGUGAGCAGCCAUCCAGUUGGAAAUAGUAGAGAUAAACAUAUGCAGUUUAACCCAUCUGCUGCCUCAUUAUUGGUAAACUGGGGAAGGGUACGUCUGGCAUCAUAACCACUACAGUGUGCUUUAGUGGUUAUGAUGAUUGGAGUAACCCUUCAAGUAUUGAAACAUAAAACACAGCACUUUCAAUGCAAUGUUCUUGUUUUAAGUAACAGUGUUUUAAGGUAACAAUUAAAACAAAAACACAAAAAGAGCCUAAAAAUUGUAACUAAAUGUAACACUUAUGAAUAUUAACUUAAUAUUAAAUAUUAAGAAUUUCAACAACUGAGAUAUUUUUCCUUUAACCCCUUAAGGACACAUGACGUGUGACAUGUCAUGAUUCCCUUUUAUUCAAGAAGUUUGGUCCUUAAUUGGUUAAAGUACAAUACUCUUUCUAAUACUCGUGCAAAGCAGUUAAAAGCAGGGACUAGAAAAUUAUUACUAUUAAUCUUUUUACUACUAUUACUCGUUACAGUGCUAAAACCCUACAUAGCACAGAAAGCAAUUGAUUCAAAAAUAACAUUAUGAAUAAAAAAGAUUUACACUGAAAUUAUAGUUUUGCUAGAUGCUUGACUACAAAAUAAUUACAUUGAUUUAAAAAAAAAAAUCUCUUCAAGUUAGUUUCUCCCAUAUCUAUAGUGAUAUUGUUUUAUUUACAGUUAUAACAUAUGGAUUACACAAUUCAACUGUAAUAUGUUAAAUACAUAUACCUUCACUACAGAGACAAGGUUUAUAUUACAGUCUUUUUUCUACAAUUAUUUUAAUCAAUAAUAUAAAACUAUAUAAUGCCACUUUAAUAUUUAUUAAUAUAAGCCUCUCCAGUUCCAAACGUUCUAAAGAACUCAAUAAAAUGUUUUUUGUUAUUUGUUGAACAGUUUCAUUUUUCUUUUCUAUAAGAAAGAAAGAGGAGCAUUCACUUGAGGAAGGAAAGGCAGUGGAGUGUAGUUCUGCUUGCCCCUGUCAAAUUGAUAGAGUGAAGAUGUUGGACAAGAUAAUGGAAACUUUCUAUUCAUUGAGGGUUGGAAUAAAGAAAGCAUUUCUAGUCAUUCAUCAGCAUUGAUUGCCUUACUACUUGAGGCUUAGAUCAGAACUUACUGUUUACAAAGAGAGAAUAAAACCAGCAUGUGAUCUACUGCAGAAAAUGUGGAUAGGCAAAGCUUACCAUUUUGUGUGAAGGGUAAUCACAAGAAUGUUUAACAACUAGGGGUCCUACUCAAUGAAAAGCAUAUGUAUUAGCACUUUGUUUUUGCUUUAAUUCUCAAACUAGUACAGCAGCUCAGGAAAAGGAAUGAAUGAACAAGGCUGAUAUAUUAUAAAGAUCAAACCUGGAUCAAUGAGUUGAAGCAGAACACUCAGUGGUAAUACCCCACAGGUUUCAAUGUUGCUUGAUCUGUUUUGGUAAUGCUGACCCUGAAAUUGAUUCCUAUGUAUAGCCCCUGUUUUUCUGUGUAGUUCAAAAAUUAGCUUCCAGCUAACAAGCCCUAUAGCAUGGGCAGUUUUGGGGCAUUCUCGUAAAACCCAUGAAUUGAACAGGUUUUUACGAAUAAGUUAUGUUUAUGUGCAUAACUCAUUUUUGUAUGUGAAGAACGAUGAUCUUAGAAGAUUCACUACAUCAGCAUCAGCCUUGAACUAUAGCACUGGUUAAAGAAAGUAUCUGUACGAAAAUAGCUUUGAAUACCAAUAAUGCUGUCAUUGUACCACUGCAGCUGGUUCAAUUAGGAUUUAUACUUUUCGGGGUCCAUAUUUAUUUUUUAUAUAUUUUAUCAUAUUCUACUAAAUGCAACCUAAUAUAACCCAGCUUAUAUUUGCCUUAAUAAACUAUUAAUUUGGUUUGGCUGAAUCAAAUCAUCUGAAUCAAAAAAAUGUUCAGCUGCUUUAAUUUCGUCCAUGUGGCAUUUUGGCUUGGACAACUUUCGUCCAUGAAGUCAGUUACAUGAUGCAGAUUUAUUGAAAGGCAUGAAAUGGGUCAAUUAAUGUACAGCUAACUCCAUUUAUAAUAUAAAUAUUAGUUAUACAUAUAUAGGAAGCCUAAAAAGUAUAUAUAUAUAUAUAUAUAUAUAUAUAUAUAUAUAUGUAUUACUUUGCUUAAAAACAAGUAAAAUAGUAGCAGUGAACCUCUUAUUUGCUGACUUAAUACUCCGAGAUGCGUUUCACUACCAUCUUGAAGUUUUUCCAAUUGAUACACCGAUCAACUAAGGUUCCCUCAUGUAUUUAAUUCCUGGUCAGUCAUGUGGGACACUCUAUGCAUCAUGUCCCUCUAUCAUUUACACCUCUAAGAGGCAUGGAUAUGAAUCUUGGCAACUGAGUCAUAGAGACGUAUAAACUCAAAUACCAGCUCUUCUUCUCUUGAAUAAUGUUGCCAUCAUAUUAUAUAACAAUGUAACAAACAGAAUGUCUAGUCCAAUUUUACCCUUGCUCACCUAAAACACUAUUUGGUCACAUUGUUUGAAUAAUUUAGUGAGUCCAAUUAUGCUCUAUUUUGUCAUAACAAUCUGUUCUUUUAAGAUCUUAUUUCAAAAUGGAAUCACACUCAACUGAUGACAGUAGAGCUGCCUGGCGCUGUCACAACUAAAAAAGUUGGGUAUUCCAUGAGGUAUUUUAGAACCAUGAUAGUUUGAUGUCAUAGUGCAACAUUUAACAAUUUAGGAUAACAUAUGACACUUAUUCACCCACCCGUGCUUCCAGGAAUCUAUGUUGCUCAAUUAUAUUAUUCAUCUGUAAAUUUCAAACAUGCUUAGCAUCAGUUUGUUUAUUCAAAAAAAUGUCCACUUGCAACUAGGUUCUGGCUAUACUCCAUUGCAAUAUCUACUUCCUAAGAGGCGUCAAAUAAUUCCAUCUGAACUAUUUAAAGGCAUUAUUCAGAUCCUGUACCUACUUUAAGAAUUAUCAACCAUAUAGUUGAUGCUCAAGACAAAGACUUGCUAGUGGGACUUUAUAACAUUACACAGAAGUGAUGGAAAUUGAUUUAAUAUAUCCUAUUUAGCUACCUGUAAUAAUAUACCCCUCCUAUGUUCCUAGUUUUUCUUGAAAAUAAUUGUUCUUUAAGACUAGAAUGAAAGAAAUGUCAACACAUUUAAAGAGGACUGGAUUGUCUUGCUCUACAGUGAAAUCUUUUGUUAUACAAUGCAUUUUAUUUUUAUAGAAGAACAACAAUCUUUCUCUCCUUUAUGUUGUAAUGAUUCUUUAUGUCUAUUGUGUUGAGGUUCAUAAUCUAUACUGCUUUUGUAUACCGCUAUCACUAUUAUUAUUGGUAUUAUAUUGGCAAACUCCUUCUCUUUAGAUCUAAUCUAGGUUUGAUCAUCUCAAGCAUAUGUGAUAACCAAAAGAAUGAUGAUUGACCAAAUGCAAGAGAGAGUGAGAGCUCAUUUUCAUAGCACAUAUAAAUUGCUGUGUGCUCAAUGUCACAAAACGGGCAAUUUGUUUCCGUCUCAAAGUUAUACAAAAUAUUUGAUAUUGGUGAUGGACACAUUUUUUUUAUUUAUUGGGUAGAGGUUUGACCCCUUAAGGACUGAGCCAAAUGUACACGUUUUGAUCAAAAUAAAACUUAAACAAAACUUAGAAUUUGACUAUAUGUCUGUUCAACCGUAAUUCACCUCAUUCAUAUUAAGUGCACCCACACUUAUUAUAUUUCAUUUUAUUCAGGAAAAAUAGGGCUUUCAUUUAACAUCAAAUAUUUAGCUAUGAAACAUAAUUUAAUAUGAAUAAAAUAUAAAAGAAAUGUGAAAAAAAUAAGAAAUGGUGUUAUUUUUUUUUAGUUCUGCAUGACAUUUUAACUGCGAAUGUCAUAAUACUGUUUGGUUGUACUGCAAUAAAAUACACAUAUUUGUAUUCAGCGAUGUCGCACGUGUAAAACAGUACCCCCGAUGUACAGGUUUUAUGGUGUUUUGGGAAGUUACAGGUUCAAUUAUAGCACAGUACAUUUUUAUUUUUUUCACAUUGAAAUUCGCCAGAUUGGUUACGUUACCUUUGAGAGCGUAUGGUAGCCCAGGAAUGAGAAUUACCCCCGUGAUGGCACACCAUUUGCAAACCUAGACAACCUAAGGUAUUGCAAAUGGGGUAUGUCCAGUCUUUUUUAGUAGCCACUUAGUCACAAACACUGGCCAAAGUUAGCGUUAAUAUUUGUUUGUGUGUGAAAAAUGCAAAAAAAUUAUUUGAACGACACUUUUGGCAAGUGUUUGUGACUAAUACUGUAUGCUGCAAAAUGUAUAGGUGCUUUAUAUAUAUUUUUUCUGUAAUAGUUUUUUACUUACAUUAUAAUAUUGUACCACAAUGGCUUUCCUGCAUCACCAAGGAUGUCAUAAUUACUUUUUCUUUCAAUUGUAGCUCUCCUGCCUUCAAUUCUGUGUCAGGUUUGGUCAUUUGGUGCUAUGAGUUACAUUGUACCCUGUUUCCCUCUCUUUCACAUACAUACAAAUGACCGCUGGGUAAUUUACAAUGGUCACUUGUGGCACUACAGAUAAGUGUUAUCUUGUUUAGGUGCUUUUGCUUUUACAGUUAAUUUGCAGUUACUAAUCAUUGCUGUGUUCUCCUUUGCCAAGUUCUUGUUUCUCUGACCACUAGAUUGUAGGAUCCAUCCUAAACCUCCCUAAUACUUGUCAAGCUUAUCACAUUUAGGUGUCUGUCAGUAUUUAUUGCCAAGUUCAGUCUUCUCAUACUGUCAGUCAAAAACAUUUCCACCACAUCUAGUUUCAUAUAGCAAGUAUUUCCAGUGCCCAAAUGCUUUUGGCUGGCACUAUAAAGAUGUCCAGGUCCCAUGAUGAUUCUUAUCAUGUCAAAUUCCUUUUCUAAAUCUCCUAUUUGAUUUUUAGAUUCCAAUUUAUAUUAUUAAGAGCAAUUCCAAUUUAUACUAUCAAGAGCAUCUUGGGUUAGAAUUAAAUUUGGUUUGGGUUCGUGUUGUUCUUUAGGUUAUAAGGGAACUCAUGGUAAGAGAUAUGUUAAGGGUUAGUGGAGUGUUUAGGGUUACGUUAGUGUUUCAUAGCAAUUGGUUGAGGAAAUGUUUUGGGUUAUCAGGAGACUUGGUGUUAAAUGUGUGUUUUGGGUUAGGAAGAGGACUUUUAAUAAAUUAAUAUUAAUAAUAACUAAAUGAUAGCAUUCAAGAGGAUAUGUCACCAAUCUCUGAUAUUAAAUCUAGAAAUUUUGUGUAAUGGUACGGCACAGACUAGUAUCUAACGUUAUGCUAGAAUGAUGUUAGAACGAUAUUGAAUGAUAUUAAAAUAUUAUUCGAUUGCUAAUGUAACCGACUUCUGGUGUUGAAACAGACAGACUAAUAUCUAACAAUAUCACAUGAUCACAAUAAAUGUGGUUUCACUUCAGUUUCAAAUUAAUGUAGUAAAAAACAAAUGAAGGAAUAAUAAGUAUCACUCUUGCUGGUAGGUUUUUGCAGUGGUUGCCUGUGAUUGUACGUCAUGAAUAGGACACUAUCAUCCAACCUUCAAUGACAAUAUACAGAAAUAUAACAAGCCAUGAAAUGAGUUAUUGCUGUUUUGUCAGAAGUUAUUUCUCUACUUAUAUUUUCGUUAUACAUCAUUACCUUCUUUAAAUGUUACGAUUUUUGUGACUUGCAAUCAAUAUGAAGAAACCAGGGAUUGUUUUUGCAUCCAUAUUCCCUAAUGCAAUCUAUUCUUCUCAUCAAAUUUAAGAUAUAUUUUUUUCAUGUUUUCAGCAAAGCACUCUAGUGAUAUUUUAAAAUGCUAGUUUAAACAAGAAUUACAUUAACUUUACACCCCAGUAAAUAUCAUUGGUCUGUGUUACGUGAAACGGUAAGGCUAGUUUUAUAAUCUAUUACAUUAUCCAAUCUAAUAUAGCUAAAUGAUGGAAGAGUGAUUUGUAGUCACAUACUAUACUGAUCAAUGCACUAAAAUCUUUUUUUUAUAAGACUUCUGAGGCUAUAUAUUUUAAGUAUCCCUUAGAACCUAUAAAAAAACUGAUGUAUGAAACCAUUAUGACUUUAGACAAUAUACAGAAAUAUUGCUAAUCGGUACUUUGUGCAUUUCAAGGCAAGUAAAAUAUACCAGCAUUUAAGGUGUAAGUCAAAUAAAUAUAUGAAAAAAAUACAAAUCUAAUGUUAAUUUGCAUAAUUCCAGUGAGCAGUGGAAUUUUCUUAUUUAGGUAUUAUACAAUAUUUAUUUAACUUUAUAAAUAUAAAAAUUACUUAUGAACUUACGUAAUAUUCUCCUCACUAAAAUAGUAUCCUUGUAAAAGCUAUAUGAUAACAACUUGCUAAAAUGAUCUUCAAUGAAAAUGUAUUUGCAUUGACCAGUGUCAAAGUGAAAAGUUAGCUUUUACCAAGUCAUGUGUAGACCCCCAAAGUAAAUUUUUAUAUUUCAAUUGUGAAACAAGAACAUUGUUACUCCUUGCCUCCAACUGGAUAUUUUGCAAAUGCAAAUUUAUUUCCCUUAAGCAAUAAAUAUUUUUCCACAAUCUUAACUGUCAAUCAGGCAGCAAUUACCUCACUGAUAUUCUUCAUAUCAGUAUAUAUGUAUAUCCGGAUAUAUUUUUAUGCAAAAAGUACAAAUGACAAAGUAGAGAUAUAAAUAUGUGUCAUUUUACCCAUUCCUAUUCAUGAUUGCAGAUGCAACCAUUUGGGAAUUUUCUGGAAAAUGUUUGGGAAAUAGCCAAGCUAAAUAGGUGAUUAUUUAAUUAUUAUUAUUAUUAUUAUUAUUUUUCAUUGUAAAUGCUUUUAUAAAAUUUUAUACCGGGGAUAAAAAUACAAUAUAACGGACACAAAAUACAUGAACAGAAAUAUGAGGUAAAGAGAGGGCGCUGCUCAAAUGAGUUUAUAAUUUAGGAGGAAAUGUGAUUAAAGAACAUCGAGAGGUUGCCAGGUAUGACACCUGUAGUUGGUAAAACUGGUUAAACAAUAAAGAAGUCUGUGGAGGUCUUUAGAGAGGGAAGGUAACGGGAUGAAAUGGACUGCAGAAGCACUAUUUAUGUGAGAAAAGCUUGGAUGACUGAUAUAAAGAAAGAAAUGACCCAUGAAGAUGAUAAGCUUUCACAAACUAAUGCAUUUUAAGGAUCUUCUUGAAGGACCAAAGAAAAAAUCUGGUAGGAUGAGGGAUAGAAUUCUUGAAUAUAAUAUCAUUCAGCAUAUAGAUGUUAAAAAUCUAAUGGGACUAAAAAUGUUGCCAAAAAGGAAAGUAUAAAGAGAGAAAGUUAUAACUCCAUCACCAGUUCUGAAUAGUAAAUAACUGCCUAUAGGCAACCAAUAGGCUGACAACGUGUAUGUCUUGGAUAUGUUUUUUCAAGUUUUUUUUUUUUUAAUUUAUACAUCUAUACAUGUGUCCUCAUCUUUGUUAUAGUUUUCACUUUAUUUAUUUAUUUUUUAUAUUGAAUGUAUAUUUGUCUUUUUUUGCAUAAACACUUACGCAGUUAGAGGAACGGGUAAAUGUAAAUAAAAAUAUAAUGACAUAAAAAGAAGUAACAAAAUGAGUUUGCUAUAGCUUGUAGAAGAACAAUUACUAAAACUAUUUAGUUAACUUCUAAUCCAAUAUUUAACUCCUUAAUGAAUGAUGUUGCACACUGAGAGGCUGUGAAUACCAGCAGGAUACUGUAAUUGGUUAAUUUACUGAGGUCAAUUAUUUUAAAAAGUUUGAUAAGGGUGGAAAAUUAAAUGUAUUCAACUAGAAAUGCACAAAAACAGAUUUUUAACAACUGAUAGCAAAGAUUACCAAAUAAAUAGAUCAUGUAAAAUGCUUAUUUAACCCCCUAAGGACCGAGGACGGUUCAGGACCAUCAUCUGCAUUUUUGCGUUGCCGACCGGUGACGGUCCUGAACUGACUUAACAGUCAGAUGUACUUACCCGAUCGCCAUCUUCCCCCAGCAGCAAUCUGCAGCGAUUGGCGGAGCUCCCGGUGUGGGGAGACUGCCUGCAGCCCAGGCAGUCUCCCCACGGUGGAUUAGGACCCCUGGGGCCAUGUGGUCGCUCAACAGAGCAAUCAUAUGGUCACAAUAGGUGUCCAUGUGUCUGCCUGUAGGGGGACUGCAUGUGCUGACAGGCAGUCUCCCUGCUAGUGUAAAAUCAUAAAAAAAAUAAAUAAAGGUUAAUGUUAAUAAAAAAAAAAUUAUAUAUGUGUAUAUAAAUAUGAUAUAUAGACAUAUAUUAUAUUUAUCUAAUAUAUGUCUAUAUAUCAUAUAUAUAAUGUCAUGCUAAGUGUAUUUUUAUAUUAAUUUGUACAUAUAUUAAUAUAAAAAUACACUUAUAAUUAAAUUACACACAUAUAUAUAUAUAUAUAUAAUAUACAUAAUAACUAUAUAUUGUAUAUAUAUCAUUAUAAAUUUCAAAUAAUAAGUAAUUUAAAUUAAAUAAAAAAAUCAAAAAUAAUAAUGAAAAAUGUAAAAACAAUUAUAUAUCUAUAUGAAAUUUUAUUCUAACUGUAUUUUGAUAUUUAUAUAUAUAUAUAUAUAUAUAUAUAUAUAUAUAUAUAUAUAUAUAUAUAUAUAUAGAAAUUCAAAAUCAGGAUGCACUCACAGGUCUUAGUUAAAGUGAAAAAAAGUUAGUUUUAAUUAUUCCAUGUGAAAUGUACAAAAAAUCAAUCGACGUUUCGACCCUGACGGGUCUUUUUGUUAUAUAUAUAUAUAUACAUAUAUAUAUAUAUUUAUAUCCAAAUACACUUAGAAUGAAAUUGUAUAUAUAUCUAUGUAUAUAUAAAUAAAUAAAAAUAAUAUGAAAUAUACAUAUGUCCAUAUUCAAAAUUACAUAAAUAAUUAUAUAAAUAUACACGUAGACUUCAAAUAUAUAAAUAUGCAUAUAUAUUUAAAUUCUACAUGCAUAUUUAUGUAAUAUUUUUACAUAAUUAAGUAAUUUUAUUGAUUGCAAUUUGAGGGACCUGCCUGCCAACCCAGGCCGAAAGUCCAGAGAAUGUAAAUGGGGUAUGUCCAGUCUUUUUUAGUAACCACUUAGUCACAAACACUGGCCGAAAUUAGCGUUCAAUUUAGUUUUUUACUUUUUUCACACACAAACAAAUAUGAACGCUAAAUUUGUCCAGUGUUUGUGACUAAGUGGUUACUAAAAAAGACUAGACAUACCCCAUUUGCAAUACUUUGGGUUGUCUUCUUUUGCAAAUGGUGGCUACUAAAAAAGUCUGGACAUACCCCAUAUUGAAUACCCUGGGUUGUCUACUUUAAAAAAAAUAUGUACAUGUGGGGUGUUAUUCAGAGAUUUAUGACCGAUAAUAGUGUUACAAUGUCACUAUUGAUAAAUUUUAAAAAUGUAUGUUUUGAAACCGCAAUAUCCUAUUUGUACUUAUAGCCCUACAACAUGCAAAAAAAUAGCAAAAAAACAAGUAAACACUGGAUAUUUUUAAACUCAGGACAAAAUUUGGAAUCUAUUUAGAAGUUUUUUUCAUUCGCUUUUGUAGAUGAGUAAAAGAUUUUUCAAGUAAAAGUCAAAAACAUGUAUUUUUUAAAAAAUUUUCAUCAUAAAAAAAAAAAAAAAAUUCUAAUUAAAUUACAUGAGAUUAUAUAAAUAAUGGUAUGUAAAGAAAGCCCUUUUUGUCCUGAAAAAAAUAAUAUAUAAUUUGUAUGGGAACAGUAAAUGAGAGCACGGAAAAUUACAGCUAAACACAAACACCACAAAAGUGUAAAAAGAUGCCUGGUCGUAAAUGUACAACAUCGCAAAAAAACAGUCCGAUCCUUAAGGGGUUAAGGAUAAAAUGAUUAUGAACUUAGUGAAUAUAAAAAAAAAUGUAUUAUGACCCACUUUGAACUAUUUCACAUUAACCUUCCCCUCUACUGCUGUGUAUAUAGAUUUGUCCUUCUGACUGCAUGCCCAUUUUACUAACAAUUUAUUAAUAAAACAAAAUCAACAGUCCAAAGCAAAUGUAUUCAUAUAUGAUUGAAAAAUAAUAAAAUUACUAAUAAAAAAGUAAACACUGUCAUUUUAAACAUUUGUAAUCAUUGUUGUCCCUAUAUUUUCUUUUUUUAAAUUUUUUAAAAUAAUAAAAAGCAGAGGCAACUUUUUCUUAUAUAGAGCAUGCUUUCUGACAGUCAUUUACAGGGGAUGAAGCUCGAGCAGGUUUCAGUUUCAGUUGAUAAUUUCUUAACAAUUUAUCAGUCAAAACAAAUCCUGUGGAGAGCAAACAGUAGAUCUCAUGAAUAGAGAAGAACAAAAUGGCAGUGCCCAAAUAUUAAGAUCUUUUCAUUGGGGACCUUUUUGCUAUUGACAUGUGUACAAUUUUAAUAGGAAGACAGAGGUUCUCUAGCUCAUUAUUAUUUACACACUCUCCACUGCACGCUGAGUGUUAACAUCAGUUGGAUUUUUAAGGUAUGCACAAAUUAAUUAGCUAUUCGUUCUCAUCACCAAAACCACAACAGCAGUUGUUAAGAUGCAAAUUUCCUGUUGGUGCAUCUCAGUUUCAUGUAAUUUCUUCCUAAUUAAUUUUUUUGUCCUAAAUCCAACCUAUGUGGCUGUCAGCCAUGCAACCACAAUAAGUUUAGGUAACCACAAUUAACUAAGCCUACUUAAAUGGAUUUUGUUAAUAUUACAUGUUCCGCAUCAAUGCCAAACUCAAUCUUUAGAACAUGCAGUCACUUUGCUGUAAGCACACCUACUAGUUAUAGUAAGCCCUGAUUGAAUUGUGUGCGCGUGAGAGCAUCCAUACAGCAUGUGUGGCACUUCAAUGCUUCUUUUUUGAUUGGUCAGUAGUGGGCAGUUUCCUUCUUGCUUCUUUAUGACACACAUUUGAUAACACAUUCCUAAACACAAGGUAAAAAAAGAGGAUGGAUCUUCAAUAGCUGCAAUAGACAGUUCUGCAGUUUAUAAAAUGUAGGAUUUUGGGAUUAUGACUUUUCUAUUUAGUAAAUGCACAUUUGUUGUUUUAUAAACAUGUGCAAUUCAUUUCUGUCCGAAUUUAAAUUUGGAUUAAUUUAGGCAAUUCAAAACAUUCGGAUUCUUCUGAAUGUCCAAAUUGCCGAAUCUUCGAAGUGCCGAAUUUCGGAAUUGCCGAACCGAACCGAAUUGCCAAAGUCCAGAAUUGCUGAAGUGCCAAAGUGCCGAUUACAGAAGUGCCAAACCAAAUCAAAUUGCCAAGUGCCAAAUUUCAGAAGUGCCAAAGUGCUUCGGAUUUCUAAAAAGUGGCAAAACAGGAGAGGGAUUGAAAAAUAAGGGAAUGAUGACAGGAAUCUAACCCUAAUCCUAACCCUACCCCUAACCCUACCCUUAACCUCAACCCCAACCCUACCCCAAACCCCAACUACAAACCACAAACCUACCCCUAACCCUACCCCUAAACCGAGAAUAUUUAAAAAUAACUAUAUAAGACAUUAAGAUGCGUGUGUCAGGCUCCCGCGGACGGCUGCGAGGGGAGGCUGCACUCCGCUCGCAGUACUCACCCUCCAGCCGUCCGCGGUCCCCUCCACCUCGUGGGUACGGCGAGCGGCAUCCUUCCAGCCUCGGAUGCCGCCCGCCGUUCCCUCCACGUCCCCCAGCGGCAGCAUGCAUGACGCUGCACGCUGGGAGACCGCCCAGGGUUAUACACGCCGGGUUCAGUCACCUGACCCGGCGUUAAAGGCAAAGUGCCACAAUCACAGUGGGAGGUCUAAAUAUCUCCCACGUGUGAUUGUUAAUUCUGAUUGGAAAUCAUCCAAUCAGAAUUAACCUGAUGGUUUAAAUACUUACCUUUCCUGUUCCUCCUUGCCCUGUUGUGGUCUUUGCUUGUUAGUAUUGAUUCUGUACUUGUGCUUCUGGUUACGUACUCUCUGGCUUGUUAUCCGACUCUGUGACUUUCUCCUACCCUUUGACCUCGGCUUGUUUCACGUUAUUCUGUCUUCUGGUUCCCCUUACUCGGCUUGUUUCCUGACUAUUCUUUGUGUGCUUAGCCCGGCCACUCUAAGGUCCGGUACGGCACUUUGUGUGUGUGUGUGUGUGUUGGCGUGUUUGGUUCCCCGAAUCGUGACAUUACAACAGGGCCAUAAUGGAACCUGCUGACAUACCACUGCUUCUAGUUAAUCAAGAGGCUAGAAUGGAUGGCUUAGACCACCGUAUGGAUCAGUUUGCUCAAGCUUUACAAACCAUUCUGGCUCGUACUGCACACUUGCAACCGGCCGUUCAGGAGGCUGCUGCUGCUGUGCCCGAACCCAUUCCCACUCCAGUACCUGUUCCCGCUCAUGUAGUUCACAUGACGCCGCCACAGCGCUACAGUGGUGACCCAGCAUUGUGUCGUGGUUUCCUCAACCAAAUCGACAUCCAUUUGGUGAUGAAUCCACGCUCCUAUCCCACUGACAGAUCUAAAAUUGCCUUUUUGAUAAACCACUUGUCCGGGAGAGCUUUAGCAUGGGCCAACCCCAUUUGGGAAAAUACGUCUCCUAUGUCCUUUGCUGAUUUUCUGACAGCUUUCAGACGCACGUUUGAUCAACCCGGUAGGGUUGCUUCUGCUGGCAAGGCUCUGCUUAGGGUCCGACAGGGUAACAGGUCUGUAGCAGAUUACACUAUCGAAUUUCGUACUCUAGCAGCUGAAGUGGUUUGGAAUAAUGACGCCCUCGUAACAGCCUUUCAGGAGGGUCUGGCCGCUUAUAUACUGGAUGAAAUAGCAUCCAGGGAAUUACCUGCUCUUCUAGAUGAUGUUAUAGACUAUGUGAUUCUUAUAGAUAACCGUAUUAGAGAGAGGCGUAGCCAAAGACGGUUGGAUACACGGGUGUUACCUGCUCUACCCAGUACUUCCCUGCUAGCGUUACCCGCUCCUGUGCAGCCAUCCCCUGAACCCAUGCAGUUGGGUGCUACAGGGUUAACUGAGGCCGAAAGAGCGUACCGUAGAAGGGAGGGGUUAUGCCUUUAUUGUGGGAAGAGGGGGCAUCACUGUAAAGCCUGCCCUAAACUACAGGGAAACUGCAGCACCUAAGGCCUAGAGAGGGGUCGGCCUCGGGUGUUAUGACCUUGUCCCCUCAUAUGUCCAUCUCUAGACCGUUUAUUACGGUUUCUCUCUUGGUCAAUAAAACCACUAUAACAACCAAAGCCCUGAUCGAUUCAGGUGCGGCAGACAACCUUAUGGAUGAGACCUUUGCCAAAACCGCAGCCCUGAAUUUGAUUCGAAAGGAGACACCCUUGGCCGUUGAGGCCAUAGAUGGUAGACCACUGGAGAAACCUCUGGUGACCCAUGAAACCCAGGAAAUAGUUAUGUCUGUGGGUGUUUUGCACAAAGAGAAGUUAACCUUCCAAAUAAUUAACUCCCCAACAGCCUCCAUCGUUCUAGGUUUUCCCUGGUUAGUUAAACACAACCCUGUUCUUGAUUGGGGUUGUUUAGACAUACUUUCCUGGGGGGAAUCUUGUCAACGAGACUGUGUGGCUCAUGUACAUCCUGUCUGUUUACUUAACGUACCCACGGCUAAACCACUCUCGGUUUCUGUGCCCUCUGUUUAUGCGGAUCUUGCCUUGGUUUUUGAGAAGAGGGAGGCAGAUAAGCUACCUCCACAUCGUGAGUAUGAUUGUGCCAUAAACCUCUUACCGGGCACUAUGCCUCCUAGGGGAAAGGUCUACCCUCUUUCUGAAAAAGAGAACCAAAUCAUGGAGGAGUACAUACAGGAAUCCCUAAGAAAAGGUUUUAUUAGAAGGUCCUCCUCUCCUGCUGGUGCUGGUUUCUUUUUUGUGGCUAAGAAGGAGGGUGAUUUGAGGCCAUGUAUAGACUACAGGGGUCUGAACAAUAUAACGGUUAAAAACGCCUACCCUAUCCCCCUCAUCACUGAGUUGUUUGAUCGUGUUAAAGGUUCUAAAUUUUUCACCAAAUUAGACCUCAGGGGGGCUUAUAACCUUGUCCGUAUAAAGGAGAAUGACGAGUGGAAGACAGCCUUCAACACACGCAGUGGGCAUUACGAAUAUCUGGUCAUGCCUUUUGGAUUGUGUAAUGCUCCUGCCGUGUUUCAGGACCUCAUAAAUGAUGUCCUUAGGGAUCUAUUACAUGUCUGUGCUGUAGUAUACCUUGACGACAUACUUGUGUAUUCUCCUGAUUUGAAGUCACACCAUAACCAUGUUAGGAUGGUGCUCAAAAGGCUAUUGCAGAACGGACUCUACUGUAAGUUAGAAAAAUGUUUAUUCGAUCAGACCUCUGUGCAAUUCCUAGGAUAUAUCAUUACUGAACAGGGUUUCAGUAUGGAUCCUGCUAAAUUGGAAGCUAUAAUGUCCUGGCCACUUCCUCAAGGACUAAAGGCUAUCCAGCGUUUUAUAGGAUUUGCCAACUAUUAUAGGAAAUUUAUAAAAAACUUUUCACCACUCAUAUCUCCCAUAACGAAGUUGACAAAAAAAGGUCUACACCCUAGGGUUUGGACUCCUGAAGCCCUUAAGGCCUUCGAAACCCUCAAGAAGGCAUUUGCCUCUGCUCCAGUGCUGCACCACCCUGAUCCUUCUCUUCCCUUUGUUAUGGAAGUAGACGCCUCAGAGUCAGGUGUGGGAGCCGUACUGUCACAGAGGUUGUCUUAUGACAAACCCCUCCAUCCCUGUUGUUAUUUUUCUAAAAGGCUGUCUGAUUCAGAGAAGAAUUAUGAUGUUGGGAAUAGGGAACUAUUAGCUAUUGUGUUAGCUUUCAAGGAAUGGAGGUACUUAUUAGAGGGUUCUAGACACAAAAGUAUGGUUAUAACAGAUCAUAAGAAUCUAUCCUAUAUUGCUGAUGCUAGAAGGUUAUCUGCCCGGCAGGCUAGAUGGUCUCUAUUUCUCUCACGCUUCCAAUAUGUUAUCACCUAUAGACCUGGUUGCCGUAAUGCCAAGGCUGACGCCAUCUCUCGGCAGCAUGAACCAGUAGAAUUUGUUAACCCAACUCCUGAACCUAUUGUACCUGAGUCUCAGAUAAUAGCUGCUACCCGUUUGGUUGUUUCUUCACCUUUCCUUACCAGUAUUAAGACAUACCAAACCCAGGCACCCCCUGAGACGCCGGUUGGUAAACUAUACGUUGAAGCUAAUGACAGAAAAAAGUUGUUAACUUUAUUUCACACAGCCAAAACUGCUGGUCAUCCGGGGGUUACCAAAACUUACAAGGGCCUCCUUCAACAGUUCUGGUGGCCUUCACUUAAGCGAGACGUAGUGGAUUUUGUUCAGGCUUGUCAGGUCUGCACGCAAUGUAAGUCCCUCAACGUGAGACCCCAGGGUUUUCUGAUGCCUCUAUCUAUACCUAAGAAACCAUGGACCCACUUAUCCAUGGAUUUCAUUGUAGACCUGCCUCUUUCUGAUGGUCAGACGGUGAUACUGACUGUGACGGAUAGGUUCUCUAAAAUGGCGCACUUUAUUCCGCUUAAGAAACUGCCUUCUGCGGUUCAGUUAGCUCAGGUGUUUGCCAAAGAAGUGUUCCGAUUGUAUGGGGUACCUCAGGAUAUCGUAUCUGACAGGGGCCCUCAAUUUGUCUCUCGGUUCUGGAGGGGCUUUUGUGCUGAGAUGGGGGUCUCCUUGUCGUUCUCUUCCUCCUAUCACCCGCAAUCUAAUGGUGCGGCCGAACGUGCUAAUCAGUCUGUGGAAUUGUAUUUGCGCUGCUUCACUAAUGCGCAUCAGGAUGACUGGUCUCGCCUUCUUCCGUGGGCUGAAUUUGCCAGGAAUACGGUGUCUCAUUCGUCUACUGGCUUAAGUCCUUUUGAGGUUGCUUAUGGGUUUCGUCCUUCUGUCCUUCCCGGUGCGUUCUCCGACAAGGGAAUGCCCGCCUUGGACCAGCACCUCACCUCUUUGCGGAAGACGUGGGAUCAAGUCCAUGUUGCGCUGUCUCGUUCAGCGGCUGCUCAGAAAAAGUUUGCUGAUCGCCGUAGGGUUGCGGCCCCUUCCUAUGUUCCGGGUGAUAGGGUAUGGUUGUCCUCCCGGAACCUCCGUCUCAAGGUUCCCUCGAUGAAAUUGGCCCCCAGAUUUCUUGGUCCUUUCAAGGUGUUACGUAGGGUUAAUCCCGUUUCCUACUCCCUUGAUUUGCCUCCUUCCAUGCGUGUCCCGAACACGUUUCACGUCUCGCUUUUGAAACCCUUGCUGUGUAACCGGUUCUCUCGUCCCCUCGGGCGGCCCGUUUCCCCUCGAGCUGUCUCUGACGACGUGUACGAGGUGGCUGCCCUUCUCGACUCUCGCGUUUCUAGGGGUCGGCUGCAAUAUUUGGUGGACUGGAAGGGGUACGGCCCUGAGGAGCGGUCCUGGGUUUCAAGCUCCGAUGUGCACGCUCCCUCUUUGGUCCGCCCCUUUCAUGCCCGCUUUCCUUUGAAGCCUUCCGCUUCCCACCCCCUGGGUGGUCUUCGAGGGGGGGGUAAUGUCAGGCUCCCGCGGACGGCUGCGAGGGGAGGCUGCACUCCGCUCGCAGUACUCACCCUCCAGCCGUCCGCGGUCCCCUCCACCUCGUGGGUACGGCGAGCGGCAUCCUUCCAGCCUCGGAUGCCGCCCGCCGUUCCCUCCACGUCCCCCAGCGGCAGCAUGCAUGACGCUGCACGCUGGGAGACCGCCCAGGGUUAUACACGCCGGGNNNNNNNNNNNNNNNNNNNNNNNNNNNNNNNNNNNNNNNNNNNNNNNNNNNNNNNNNNNNNNNNNNNNNNNNNNNNNNNNNNNNNNNNNNNNNNNNNNNNUAUAUACUGGAUGAAAUAGCAUCCAGGGAAUUACCUGCUCUUCUAGAUGAUGUUAUAGACUAUGUGAUUCUUAUAGAUAACCGUAUUAGAGAGAGGCGUAGCCAAAGACGGUUGGAUACACGGGUGUUACCUGCUCUACCCAGUACUUCCCUGCUAGCGCUACCCGCUCCUGUGCAGCCAUCCCCUGAACCCAUGCAGUUGGGUGCUACAGGGUUAACUGAGGCCGAAAGAGCGUACCGUAGAAGGGAGGGGUUAUGCCUUUAUUGUGGGAAGAGGGGGCAUCACUGUAAAGCCUGCCCUAAAGUACAGGGAAACUGCAGCACCUAAGGCCUAUAGAGGGGUCGGCCUCGGGUGUUAUGACUUUGUCCCCUCAUAUGUCCAUCUCCAGACCGUUUAUUACGGUUUCUCUCUUGGUCAAUAAAACCACUAUAACUACCAAAGCCCUGAUCGAUUCGGGUGCGGCAGACAACCUUAUGGAUGAGACCUUUGCCAAAACCGCAGCCCUGAAUUUGAUCCGAAAGGAGACACCCUUGGCCGUUGAGGCCAUAGAUGGUAGACCACUGGAGAAACCUCUGGUGACCCAUGAAACCCAGGAAAUAGUUAUGUCUGUGGGUGUUUUGCACAAAGAGAAGUUAACCUUCCAAAUAAUUAACUCCCCAACAGCCUCCAUCAUUCUAGGUUUUCCCUGGUUAGUUAAACACAACCCUGUUCUUGAUUGGGGUUGUUUAGACAUACUUUCCUGGGGGGAAUCUUGUCAGCGAGACUGUGUGGCUCAUGUACAUCCUGUCUGUUUACUUAACGUACCCACGGCUAAACCACUCUCGGUUUCUGUGCCCUCUGUUUAUGCGGAUUUUGCCUUGGUUUUUGAGAAGAGGGAGGCAGAUAAGCUACCUCCACAUCGUGAGUAUGAUUGUGCCAUAAACCUCUUACCGGGCACUAUGCCUCCUAGGGGAAAGGUCUACCCUCUUUCUGAAAAAGAGAACCAAAUCAUGGAGGAGUACAUACAGGAAUCCCUAAGAAAAGGUUUUAUUAGAAGGUCCUCCUCUCCUGCUGGUGCUGGUUUCUUUUUCGUGGCUAAGAAGGAGGGUGAUUUGAGGCCAUGUAUAGACUACAGGGGUCUGAACAAUAUAACGGUUAAAAACGCCUACCCUAUCCCCCUCAUCACUGAGUUGUUUGAUCGUGUUAAAGGUUCUAAAUUUUUCACCAAAUUAGACCUCGGGGGGCUUAUAACCUUGUCCGUAUAAAGGAGAAUGACGAGUGGAAGACAGCGUUCAACACACGCAGUGGGCAUUACGAAUAUCUGGUCAUGCCUUUUGGAUUGUGUAAUGCUCCUGCCGUGUUUCAGGACCUCAUAAAUGAUGUCCUUAGGGAUCUAUUGCAUGUCUGUGCUGUAGUAUACCUUGACGACAUACUUGUGUAUUCUCCUGAUUUGAAGUCACACCAUAACCCUGUUAGGAUGGUGCUCAAAAGGCUAUUGCAGAACGGACUCUACUGUAAGUUAGAAAAAUGUUUAUUCGAUCAGACCUCUGUGCAAUUCCUAGGAUAUAUCAUUUCUGAACAGGGUUUCAGUAUGGAUCCUGCUAAAUUGGAAGCUAUAAUGUCCUGGCCACUUCCCCAAGGACUAAAGGCUAUCCAGCGUUUUAUAGGAUUUGCCAACUAUUAUAGGAAAUUUAUAAAAAACUUUUCACCACUCAUAUCUCCCAUAACGAAGUUGACAAAAAAAGGUCUACAUCCUAGGGUUUGGACUCCUGAAGCCCUUAAGGCCUUCGAAACCCUCAACAAGGCAUUUGCCUCUGCUCCAGUGCUGCACCACCCUGAUCCUUCUCUUCCCUUUGUUAUGGAAGUAGACGCCUCGGAGUCAGGUGUGGGAGCCGUACUGUCACAGAGGUUGUCUUAUGACAAACCCCUCCAUCCCUGUUGUUAUUUUUCUAAAAGGUUGUCUGAUUCAGAGAAGAAUUAUGAUGUUGGGAAUAGGGAACUAUUAGCUAUUGUGUUAGCUUUCAAGGAAUGGAGGUACUUAUUAGAGGGUUCUAGACACAAAAUUAUGGUUAUAACAGAUCAUAAGAAUCUAUCCUAUAUUGCUGAUGCUAGAAGGUUAUCUGCCCGGCAGGCUAGAUGGUCUCUAUUUCUCUCACGCUUCAAAUAUGUUAUCACCUAUAGACCUGGUUGCCGUAAUACCAAAGCUGACGCCAUCUCUCGGCAGCAUGAACCAGUAGAAUUUGUUAACCCGACUCCUGAACCUAUUGUACCUGAGUCUCAGAUAAUAGCUGCUACCCGUUUGGUUGUUUCUUCACCUUUCCUUACCAGUAUUAAGACAUACCAAUCCCAGGCACCCCCUGAGACACCGGUUGGUAAACUAUACGUUGAAGCUAAUGACAGAAAAAAGUUGUUAACUUUAUUUCACACAGCCAAAACUGUUGGUCAUCCGGGGGUUACCAAAACCUACAAGGGCCUCCUUCAACAGUUCUGGUGGCCUUCACUCAAGCGAGACGUAGUGGAUUUUGUUCAGGCUUGUCAGGUCUGCACGCAAUGUAAGUCCCCUAAUAUGAGACCCCAGGGUUUUCUGAUGCCUCUAUCUAUACCCAAGAAACCAUGGACCCACUUAUCCAUGGAUUUCAUUGUAGACCUGCCUCUUUCUGAUGGUCAGACGGUGAUACUGACUGUGACAGAUAGGUUCUCUAAAAUGGCGCACUUCAUUCCGCUUAAAAAACUGCCUUCUGCGGUUCAGUUAGCUCAGGUAUUUGCCGAAGAAGUGUUCCGAUUGCAUGGGGUACCCCAGGAUAUCGUAUCUGACAGGGGCCCUCAAUUUGUCUCUCGGUUCUGGAGGGGCUUUUGUGCUGAGAUGGGGGUAUCCUUGUCGUUUUCUUCCUCCUAUCACCCGCAAUCUAAUGGUGCGGCCGAACGUGCUAAUCAGUCUGUGGAAUUGUAUUUGCGCUGCUUCACUAAUGCGCACCAGGAUGACUGGUCUCGCCUUCUUCCGUGGGCUGAAUUUGCCAGGAAUACGGUGACUCAUUCGUCUACUGGCUUAAGUCCUUUUGAGGUUGCUUAUGGGUUUCGUCCUUCUGUCCUUCCCGGUGCGUUCUCCGACAAGGGAAUGCACGCCUUGGACCAGCACCUCGCCUCUUUGCGGAAGACAUGGGAUCAAGUCCAUGUUGCGCUGUCUCGUUCAGCGGCUGCUCUGAAAAAGUUUGCUGAUCGCCGUAGGGUUGCGGCCCCUUCCUAUGUUCCGGGUGAUAGGGUAUGGUUGUCCUCCCGGAACCUCCGUCUCAAGGUUCCCUCGAUGAAAUUCGCCCCCAGAUUUCUUGGUCCCUUCAAGGUGUUACGUAGGGUUAAUCCCGUUUCCUACUCCCUUGAUUUGCCUCCUUCCAUGCGUGUCCCGAACACGUUUCACGUCUCGCUUUUGAAGCCCUUGCUGUGUAACCGGUUCUCUCGUCCCCUCGGGCGGCCCGUUUCCCCUCGCGCUGUCUCUGACGACGUGUAUGAGGUGGCUGCUCUUCUCGACUCGUGUUUCUAGGGGCCGGCUGCAAUAUUUGGUGGAUUGGAAGGGGUAAGGCCCUGCGGAGCGGUACUGGGUUUCGAGCUCUGAUGUGCACGCUCCCUCUUAGGUCCGCUCCUUUCAUGCCCGGUUUCCUUUGAAGCCUUCCGCUUCCCGCCCUCCGGGCGGUCUUCGAAGGGGGGGUAAUGUCGGGAUCCCGCGGGCAGCUGCGAGGGGAGGCUGCACUCCACUCACGGUACUCACCCUCCAGCCGUCCGCGGUCCCCUCCUCCUCGUGGGUCCGGCGAGCGGCAUCCUUCCAGCCUCGGAUGCCGCCCGCCGUUUCCUCCACGUCCCCCAGCGGCAGCAUAUAUGACGCUGCACGCUGGGAGACCGCCCAAAUUAUUACACGCCGGGGUCAGUCACCUGACCCGGCGUUAAAGGCACAGUGCCUCAAUCACAGUGGGAGGUCUAAAUAUCUCCCACGUGUGAUUGUUAAUUCUGAUUGGAAAUUAUCCAAUCAGAAUUAACCUGAUGGUUUAAAUACUUACCUUUCCUGUUCCUCCCUGCCCUAUUGUGGUCUUUGCUUGUUAGUAUUGAUUCUGAACUUGUGCUUCUGGUUACGUACUCUCUGGCUUGUUAUCCGACUCUGUGACUUUCUCCUACCCUUUGACCUCGGCUUGUCUAUCGUUAUUCUGUCUUCUGGUUCCCCUUACUCGGCUUGUUUCCUGACUAUUCUUUGUGUGCUUAGCCCGGCCACUCUAAGGUCCAGUACGGCACUUUGUGUGUGUGUGUGUGUGUUGGCGUGUUUGGUUCCCCGAAUCGUGACAUUACAACAGGGCCAUAAUGGAACCUGCUGACAUACCACAGCUUCUAGUUAAUCAAGAGGCUAGAAUGGAUGGCUUAGACCACCGUAUGGAUCAGUUUGCUCAAGCUUUACAAACCAUUCUGGCUCGUACUGCACACUUGCAACCUGCCGUUCAGGAGGCUGCUGCUGCUGUGCCCGAACCCAUUCCCACUCCAGUACCUGUUCCCGCUCAUGUAGUUCACAUGACGCCACCACAGCGCUACAGUGGUGACCCAGCAUUGUGUCGUGGUUUCCUCAACCAAAUCGACAUCCAUUUGGUGAUGAAUCCACGCUCCUAUCCCACUGACAGAUCUAAAAUUGCCUUUUUGAUAAACCACUUGUCCGGGGGAGCUUUAGCAUGGGCCAACCCCAUUUGGGAAAAUACGUCUCCUAUGUCCUUUGCUGAUUUUCUGACAGCUUUCAGACGCACGUUUGAUCAACCCGCCCGGUAGGGUUGCUUCUGCUGGCAAGGCUCUGCUUAGGGUCCGACAGGGUAACAGGUCUGUAGCAGAUUACACUAUCGAAUUUCGUACUCUAGCAGCUGAAGUGGUUUGGAAUAAUGACGCCCUCGUAACAGCCUUUCAGGAGGGUCUGGCCGCUUAUAUACUGGAUGAAAUAGCAUCCAGGGAAUUACCUGCUCUUCUAGAUGAUGUUAUAGACUAUGUGAUUCUUAUCGAUAACCGUAUUAGAGAGAGGCGUAGUCAAAGACGGUUGGAUACACGGGUGUUACCUACUCUACCCAGUACUUCCCUGCUAGCGUUACCCGCUCCUGUGCAACCAUCCCCUGAACCCAUGCAGUUGGGUGCUACAGGGUUAACUGAGGCCGAAAGAGCGUACCGUAGAAGGGAGGGGUUAUGCCUUUAUUGUGGGAAGAGGGGGCAUCACUGUAAAGCCUGCCCUAAACUACAGGGAAACUGCAGCACCUAAGGCCUAGAGAGGGGUCGGCCUCGGGUGUUAUGACCUUGUCCCCUCAUAUGUCCAUCUCUAGACCGUUUAUUACGGUUUCUCUCUUGGUCAAUAAAACCACUAUAACAACCAAAGCCCUGAUCGAUUCAGGUGCGGCAGACAACCUUAUGGAUGAGACCUUUGCCAAAACCGCAGCCCUGAAUUUGAUUCGAAAGGAGACACCCUUGGCCGUUGAGGCCAUAGAUGGUAGACCACUGGAGAAACCUCUGGUGACCCAUGAAACCCAGGAAAUAGUUAUGUCUGUGGGUGUUUUGCACAAAGAGAAGUUAACCUUCCAAAUAAUUAACUCCCCAACAGCCUCCAUCGUUCUAGGUUUUCCCUGGUUAGUUAAACACAACCCUGUUCUUGAUUGGGGUUGUUUAGACAUACUUUCCUGGGGGGAAUCUUGUCAGCGAGACUGUGUGGCUCAUGUACAUCCUGUCUGUUUACUUAACGUACCCACGGCUAAACCACUCUCGGUUUCUGUGCCCUCUGUUUAUGCGGAUCUUGCCUUGGUUUUUGAGAAGAGGGAGGCAGAUAAGCUACCUCCACAUCGUGAGUAUGAUUGUGCCAUAAACCUCUUACCGGGCACUAUGCCUCCUAGGGGAAAGGUCUACCCUCUUUCUGAAAAAGAGAACCAAAUCAUGGAGGAGUACAUACAAAAAUCCCUAAGAAAAGGUUUUAUUAGAAGGUCCUCCUCUCCUGCUGGUGCUGGUUUCUUUUUUGUGGCUAAGAAGGAGGGUGAUUUGAGGCCAUGUAUAGACUACAGGGGUCUGAACAAUAUAACGGUUAAAAACGCCUACCCUAUCCCCCUCAUCACUGAGUUGUUUGAUCGUGUUAAAGGUUCUAAAUUUUUCACCAAAUUAGACCUCAGGGGGGCUUAUAACCUUGUCCGUAUAAAGGAGAAUGACGAGUGGAAGACAGCCUUCAACACACGCAGUGGGCAUUACGAAUAUCUGGUCAUGCCUUUUGGAUUGUGUAAUGCUCCUGCCGUGUUUCAGGACCUCAUAAAUGAUGUCCUUAGGGAUCUAUUACAUGUCUGUGCUGUAGUAUACCUUGACGACAUACUUGUGUAUUCUCCUGAUUUGAAGUCACACCAUAACCAUGUUAGGAUGGUGCUCAAAAGGCUAUUGCAGAACGGACUCUACUGUAAGUUAGAAAAAUGUUUAUUCGAUCAGACCUCUGUGCAAUUCCUAGGAUAUAUCAUUACUGAACAGGGUUUCAGUAUGGAUCCUGCUAAAUUGGAAGCUAUAAUGUCCUGGCCACUUCCCCAAGGACUAAAGGCUAUCCAGCGUUUUAUAGGAUUUGCCAACUAUUAUAGGAAAUUUAUAAAAAACUUUUCACCACUCAUAUCUCCCAUAACGAAGUUGACAAAAAAAGGUCUACAUCCUAGGGUUUGGACUCCUGAAGCCCUUAAGGCCUUCGAAACCCUCAAGAAGGCAUUUGCCUCUGCUCCAGUGCUGCACCACCCUGAUCCUUCUCUUCCCUUUGUUAUGGAAGUAGACGCCUCAGAGUCAGGUGUGGGAGCCGUACUGUCACAGAGGUUGUCUUAUGACAAACCCCUCCAUCCCUGUUGUUAUUUUUCUAAAAGGUUGUCUGAUUCAGAGAAGAAUUAUGAUGUUGGGAAUAGGGAACUAUUAGCUAUUGUGUUAGCUUUCAAGGAAUGGAGGUACUUAUUAGAGGGUUCUAGACACAAAAUUAUGGUUAUAACAGAUCAUAAGAAUCUAUCCUAUAUUGCUGAUGCUAGAAGGUUAUCUGCCCGGCAGGCUAGAUGGUCUCUAUUUCUCUCACGCUUCCAAUAUGUUAUCACCUAUAGACCUGGUUGCCGUAAUGCCAAGGCUGACGCCAUCUCUCGGCAGCAUGAACCAGUAGAAUUUGUUAACCCGACUCCUGAACCUAUUGUACCUGAGUCUCAGAUAAUAGCUGCUACCCGUUUGGUUGUUUCUUCACCUUUCCUUACCAGUAUUAAGACAUACCAAACCCAGGCACCCCCUGAGACGCCGGUUGGUAAACUAUACGUUGAAGCUAAUGACAGAAAAAAGUUGUUAACUUUAUUUCACACAGCCAAAACUGCUGGUCAUCCGGGGGUUACCAAAACCUACAAGGGCCUCCUUCAACAGUUCUGGUGGCCUUCACUCAAGCGAGACGUAGUGGAUUUUGUUCAGGCUUGUCAGGUCUGCACGCAAUGUAAGUCCCCUAAUAUGAGACCCCAGGGUUUUCUGAUGCCUCUAUCUAUACCCAAGAAACCAUGGACCCACUUAUCCAUGGAUUUCAUUGUAGACCUGCCUCUUUCUGAUGGUCAGACGGUGAUACUGACUGUGACGGAUAGGUUCUCUAAAAUGGCGCACUUCAUUCCGCUUAAGAAACUGCCUUCUGCGGUUCAGUUAGCUCAGGUAUUUGCCAAAGAAGUGUUCCGAUUGCAUGGGGUACCCCAGGAUAUCGUAUCUGACAGGGGCCCUCAAUUUGUCUCUCGGUUCUGGAGGGGCUUUUGUGCUGAGAUGGGGGUAUCCUUGUCGUUUUCUUCCUCCUAUCACCCGCAAUCUAAUGGUGCGGCCGAACGUGCUAAUCAGUCUGUGGAAUUGUAUUUGCGCUGCUUCACUAAUGCGCACCAGGAUGACUGGUCUCGCCUUCUUCCGUGGGCUGAAUUUGCCAGGAAUACGGUGUCUCAUUCGUCUACUGGCUUAAGUCCUUUUGAGGUUGCUUAUGGGUUUCGUCCUUCUGUCCUUCCCGGUGCGUUCUCCGACAAGGGAAUGCCCGCCUUGGACCAGCACCUCGCCUCUUUGCGGAAGACAUGGGAUCAAGUCCAUGUUGCGCUGUCUCGUUCAGCGGCUGCUCAGAAAAAGUUUGCUGAUCGCCGUAGGGUUGCGGCCCCUUCCUAUGUUCCGGGUGAUAGGGUAUGGUUGUCCUCCCGGAACCUCCGUCUCAAGGUUCCCUCGAUGAAAUUCGCCCCCAGAUUUCUUGGUCCCUUCAAGGUGUUACGUAGGGUUAAUCCCGUUUCCUACUCCCUUGAUUUGCCUCCUUCCAUGCGUGUCCCGAACACGUUUCACGUCUCGCUUUUGAAACCCUUGCUGUGUAACCGGUUCUCUCGUCCCCUCGGGCGGCCCGUUUCCCCUCGAGCUGUCUCUGACGACGUGUACGAGGUGGCUACCCUUCUCGACUCUCGUGUUUCUAGGGGUCGGCUGCAAUAUUUGGUGGACUGGAAGGGGUACGGCCCUGAGGAGCGGUCCUGGGUUUCAAGCUCCGAUGUGCACGCUCCCUCUUUGGUCCGCUCCUUUCAUGCCCGCUUUCCUUUGAAGCCUUCCGCUUCCCACCCCCUGGGUGGUCUUCGAGGGGGGGGUAAUGUCAGGCUCCCGCGGACGGCUGCGAGGGGAGGCUGCACUCCGCUCGCAGUACUCACCCUCCAGCCGUCCGCGGUCCCCUCCGCCUCGUGGGUACGGCGAGCGGCAUCCUUCCAGCCUCGGAUGCCGCCCGCCGUUCCCUCCACGUCCCCCAGCGGCAGCAUGCAUGACGCUGCACGCUGGGAGACCGCCCAGGGUUAUACACGCCGGGUUCAGUCACCUGACCCGGCGUUAAAGGCAAAGUGCCACAAUCACAGUGGGAGGUCUAAAUAUCUCCCACGUGUGAUUGUUAAUUCUGAUUGGAAAUCAUCCAAUCAGAAUUAACCUGAUGGUUUAAAUACUUACCUUUCCUGUUCCUCCUUGCCCUGUUGUGGUCUUUGCUUGUUAGUAUUGAUUCUGUACUUGUGCUUCUGGUUACGUACUCUCUGGCUUGUUAUCCGACUCUGUGACUUUCUCCUACCCUUUGACCUCGGCUUGUUUCACGUUAUUCUGUCUUCUGGUUCCCCUUACUCGGCUUGUUUCCUGACUAUUCUUUGUGUGCUUAGCCCGGCCACUCUAAGGUCCGGUACGGCACUUUGUGUGUGUGUGUGUGUGUUGGCGUGUUUGGUUCCCCGAAUCGUGACAGCGUGUUUAUAUGAAGUUUUGGUAGUGUGUGAGAAAGCCAGAGUCUAAGUCCUUCAUUUCUGGUGUUGAAAUGUGUGAUAAUUUUCAUCUCAAAUGUCUUUCGUUGAUGACAGUCUUUGAAAUUCCCUUUAAGAACUUUAAUCCUGAGGUUUUGGAUUCAGUGACCAGUCUGGGUGAAGUGAUGACCAACAGGGGUAAAAUAUCCAUUUUCCUUGUCGUUCUUGAUUGAGUGUUUGUGUAGAUUCAUUCUGAGAUGCAGCUUAAGGCCAGUUUCUCCAAUGUAGCAACCUUUGUCACACAUUGUACGCUGUAUCAUGUGCACCACAUUCACAGAUGUGCACGAAUAUGAUCCCUUAAUGUUGUAUGAUUUGUUAUUGUGUCUGUCUGUGUUAUUGCCACAAAUAUGUUAACACAGUUUGCAGAGUGAUUUGUUGCAUCGUACAGUGCCAUUCUGUGUGAGCUCCUGUUCUGUUGUCAAUUUGCUGCGGAACAAUCUCUGUCUCAGGUUGGGCGGUUGUUUGAAUGCUCGCAAGCCCUGCUCUGCUGUUUACUUGUUUGUUUGUUUUUAUGUGUUUUUUUUUCUUUUUAACUAGCUUAUUGACUAUCCUCUGUUCAUUUACUUUUUCUGGCUAUUCUCAGCCAACCUGCACCUUUCACUUUCAGGCACAUCUUGUGCUAUUUAUGACACCCCACUCACCCCCUUCCCUUCUCUCUCCUUCUCUAACAUCAGUUGUUUUAAGUGUUAAACUCUAUCAGAUUGAUCAGACCUGAAAAAGAGAGGAAAACUCUCGAAAGCUUGUCUUUGAAAUAGUAUGUUAGUCCAAUAAAAAUGGUAUCAUUACAUACUGUAACACUCUGGCAUUUUGUCUACUUGACAAAUACGGCUUAUACAAUUUAUAUAUAUGUGUGUAUCAAAAUAUGAUUUAACAAAAAUAAAUAUAUUUGUAUACGGCAAAUCUUUUCUUUAACACAAUUAAAUGUAUCUAUUUAUUUUACUACACUUUGGGAAGGGAAAAAGAGCAACACCAGAUGCUAGGCUCCAUGUCCAUACAUUAUGCCACAUCAUAUCACAAAUAGCAAUAGCAAUAAAAAAUUGCCUGCUCUAGAUUGUUAGCUCAUCUGAACACAAUCCUCAAUAACCUUUUUUUUUCUUGUUAACAUAGGCAAUAGUUUGUUUCUUGUAUAUAUUAUAUACUUUUAUUAAUAUUACAGAGCACUAGAAUAAUAUGUUGGCUAUAUAUAAAUACCAAUAAUAAUAAUGAUCCAAUAGUGGGGGAGAUUUAUCAAAGUGUUCUAACAGGUGGUCCAAACAUUUAAAUAUUGAGCAGUCACCAAUGGAACGGCCUCCUGGUUCCACGGUAACUGCUCCACUUUUAGCACUUCAGAUCACUUUCUAGGAAAGAAUAUUUGGUAUAUCUCCCCCAAUGUAUUAAAAAAAAAAAAAAAACAAUAAAAUAAGUUGCAGUUUGGGUGAAAACUAAAAAUAAGGGUGAGAUUGAAAACCAUUUCUGUUUAUAUGUUUUUCUGUUUAUAAGCAACAUAAUAAUUUUGUUUGCCUGCUCAGCUUAAAUGUAAUGGUGUAAUCUCUCAUUUUUAUGUCACAAUAACCUUCAACAAUAUUAUUAUGUCUAAGCUGAGUUAAUGGUUUCAGAUAGUUAACAAAGACCUUUUUGAAAAAAAACAAGCGAAAGAGGAUUAGUUUACUUAUAAUUAGCUACUUCAUCAUGGUUGGAUCCAAAUAUAAUAUUUGAUACAGUAAAGUAAACAUUCACAAGAAGAGGAGAUUUCAGAAUACUAAUUAAUCAUGCCUGUCAAAAAACAGGAACAAAAUACUUAAAGGUACAAGCCUAGUUUCUCUGCUGCCCUUAUUUAGGUUGUCAGAUAGAAAGGAACAUUUUGCUAAUGACUUGCAUUUGCCCUUGUCUUUUGUUUGCAAAUUGGGCUAUCAAUAGCUAUCCUCUCCAGAAGAGGAAUAACUUGAAGGUAAUGAUGUUUUUACUUUAACAGAAAUUAAAAUGCAUAGUUUCUGUGUUUACUAUUGUAACAAUGAAAACAGCAAUUUUAAAAUUAAAUAUAGUGCCAGAAAUUGCUUCAAUAAUGUAGUAAAACGUUAUGCACAUUUUAUGAAUAGUCAUUAAAUUGGUUUAUAUAUUUAUAUAUACAUUAAUACAUAUAUAGUAUAUUUAACAGAUGUUUCAAUGGGUAUACUUGCUUAUUUAAAGGUAAAACACAAAACAAG